ACUUAGAUGCAAUACAUGAGGGUGCAAUGCCAUGAAAUGUUGCCACACCAAGGAGAGGGCUUGGGCAAAGCAUAGAGUCACAACAUCAACAAGGUGAAUGUCAGAGCAUGUUGCCUCAACAUGGAUGCAAUCUAGAUGUGCAUGCCAAAAGAGAACUUAACAUGAGCAUGAGCCAUAUAUAUAGAUGCCUACAACAACAACAUUCAAAGUCAGACUCGAAGUGGGAUUGCAAGUCAAGCAUGAGUAGGAGUCUUGAUGUGAAUUGUAGUUGUAGUAUGAGUAGGACUAGGACUUAGAGUCCAAGUAAGAGUGGUUAUUGUCAUAGCCUAUUAAGAAAAGUCCUAGUAUAACUAGGAAUAGCACUCCUAGUCUAACAAGGAGCGGUACCACCCUAUAAAUAGGGAGGAGUGGAUAAACUUCUGAGAGAGAUCAAGAGGAAGUCUGAACUACCAAAACUAUUGUGGGAGUAUAGCUAAAGUCUUGUAUUCUUAUUCAAUAAGUUAAUAAAAUACAAGUUAGGGUUGAUGCCCUAUAAACCUCGUGUGUUGCCUUGCAUGUUGUCAUCUAGUAGGGAAAGGUGUAGGUUAGCAUAAAUAGCUUCUAAGUAUUGCAUGGAUGUGAAAGUUUAUAUGGGAAUUUUGCACCUAUGACAAUUGGUAUCAGAGACUAACAAGCGAAUGGUUGGGGGAAGUGUUACAGAGACCUUAAGAGAAAGGAUAUCAAGACUAGAAGAACUGCUAGGGGAAUAACAAGGUGAUAAGGGCACUGUAGCCCUAUGGCCAAACCACACCAAGGAAGAAAUCCUUGUGCAAUAGAAUUUCUUAGAGUCCCAUGACAAAUUCAUAGAGGAUAAAGUGGUAGGGUUGAAGGUAGAUGUCAAAACUUUGAUGGAUGACUUCUCAUCCAUUAUAUAAUAUUUUGAGGAAGUCAUAACAAUCCUUAAGAAGGUGGUGCUGCAAGGUUCUAUCUCAAGAAUGGAAGCCCCUCCCAAAGCUCAAGUCCUAGAACCAAAGGGCUUCAAUAGCAAUCAAAAUGCUAAAAAAAUUAGAGAACUUAUGGGAUAUGGAGCAAUAUUUUAUUGCUACUUGAAUCCCUAAGAUGGAGAUGGGUAUUAUCACCAUGAUGUACGUUACUAGUGAUAUGAAGUGAUGGUCAUGAACUAAGGCAGAAGAUAAUGAGGAGUCUAGAAGGCCCAAAUCGCCACUUAGGAGACUCUUAAGAAGGAGUUGAAUGAUCAUUUCUUUCCUACUAACAUGACUUGGUUGGCUUGAGAAUCCUUGAAAUGAUUGAAGCACACUAGUUCAACAUGGGAGUAUAUUGAGGAAUUUAGUUCCUUAUUGCUCGACAUAAAAAAUAUGUCCGAUGAGAACAAAAUGUUUAACUUCAUGUUUGGAUUGUAGGGAUGGGCCUAAAUUGAGUCACAAAGAUAAUGGGUGUGAGAUCUUUCUAGUAUAAUCUUUACAACAUAUUGUUUGGUAGUAUAUAAGUUGAAUGGUGUGAACUCUACCAAUCAAAAACCUAAACCAGAUGGAGCAAAGAAACCUAAUAAAGAGGGAAAAUCUUUUAAGAAGUCAUAUGGGAAGAAUUCGAAAAAACCUAUAGCAUCGUAAUCGAGUGAAAAAACUACUAAGUAUGGGUAGCAGAUAACCAAACCCAUGGGUUGUUUCAUUUGCAAUGGUCCUCACUGUGCUAAGAAGAGUCCAAAAUGGGAAAAAAUAUCAGCCCUUAUGGCUACUAAAAGUAGUGGUGAUUUUGACAUGGAUACACCUUUAAGAGUCAAUCCUUUGUAGCUCUUGAACAUAAUCCACAAGAAUGCACUAAUUCAAAAAGGGUUUAUGCAUGUCCAAGUGCUAGUAAAUGGCAUGCAGGUAAAACCAAUGAUGGACAGAAGGGCAACCCAUAAUUUUGUGGCUAGUUAGAAGCCAAGAAGCUCGGUUUGGAACUAGUACAUUACAUUAUUAAGAUAAAGGUAAUAAAUAGCAAAGCCCAAAAAAUUAAUGACAUUGCUAAAAAAAGUCCCACUCUAAGUGGGAAAUUGGGAAGACAACUACAAAUUGAUAUGUGUACCCUUAGACGACUUUGAUUUGAUAUUAGGGAUUGACUUUUUCCUUAAGGCUAAGGUGACAUUGCUCCCAUAUCUUGGCGGGUUAAUGAUCAUGGAUGAGAGUCAACCUUGUUUAUUUUUGCUAUAAAUGAGAAAGUCAUAAAGAAAGGUCAAACCAAGAUGGUUUCUACGCUUCAAAUAAAGAAAGGGUUGAAGUGUGGGAAUGUCACAUAUAUUAUAGCCUUGGUUGAGAACAAGGCAGACCAGUCAAUAGAGGUGCCACAUAGUGUAACCCAUAUUCAAAAAGAAGUUAAAGACAUGAUGCCUUCAAAGUUUCCCAAGGAGUUGCCUCCUAGGUGCCAUAUAGACCAUAAAAUUGAGUUGCCACCUAGGACCAAACUUCCUGCUGAUCAGGUCUCAUGUCAGAUGUUACCUUUGAAAUUACUAGAGUUAAGGAAGUAAUUGAAGAAAUUGUUGGAAGCAGGCAUGAUCCAAUCUUCAAGGGUUCCCUAUGGUGCUUCUAUCUUAUUCCAAAAGAAGCAAGAUGAGACCCUAUAGAUGUGUGUUAACUAUUGGGCCUUGAACAAAGUAACGAUCAAGAACAAGUAUCCAAUCUCUUAGUGGUAGAAUUAUUUAAUAAAUUGGCCAAGGCAAUGUUUUUUUCCAAAUUGGACUAGUGGUUAGGAUACUAGCAAGUAAGGAUUGUAGAGAGGGAUGAAAAACAGACUACAUGUGUAACCCGCUAUGGGUCAUAUGAGUUCCUUAUGAUGCCAUUCGGACUAACUAAUGCCUCAAUAACAUUAUACAACUUAAUGAAUGAUGUGCCAUAUGAGUUCCUAGAUGCCUUUGUUGUGGUUUACUUCAAUGCAUUGUUGUCUAUAGCAAGACCUUAGAAGAGCAUGUGAAUCACUUGAGACUAGUGUUUCAAAGACUAAGAGAACAUGAACUCUACGUGAAGAAGGAGAAGUGUGAGUUCACACAAAGACAUAUUACCUUUCUAGGACGUAAGAUAGAGGAAGGGUUGAUAAAGAUAGAUGAAGCAAAGGUCCAGGCCAUUAAAGAUUGGCAUGUUCCAAGCAAGAUGACACUGGCCAACUACUAUCGAAGGUACAUAAGGGGUUACUUCAAGAUAGUGGCUCCUUUUACUAACCUUCUAAAGAAGGACAUUUGUUAGGAUUGGAGGUCAGAAUUCUAGAAAACUUUUGAGAAAUUGAAAGUGGUGAUUGUAGUUAAGCUGGUGCUGCAUUUAUUAGAUUUGGAUCUCAUAUUUAAGGCCCAAAUAUAUGCAUCAGCUAGGGCCUUAGGGGGGAUCUUAGUGCAGGAAGGGCACCUAAUAGCCUUUGAGAGUUGAAAACUUAAUGAGUUAGAACAAAGAUACUCCACUCACAAGAAAGAGAUGACAACGAUUAUCCAUUGCUUAUAGUAGUGGAAGCAUUAUCUACUAGGGAGUAUAUUUACUAUAUAUGGUCAUAGACAACAUAGUUAAUACCUUUUUCAAGAUGUAGAAGGAGUUAAGCCCUAAGAAAGCUAGGUGGCAAGAAUUCCUAGCCGACUUCAAGUUUGAAUGGUUGUAUUGACUAAGAAGACAUAAUGUAGUUGGAGAUGCCUUGAACCAGAAGGAAUUGGCAAAGUAUGUAAUUGCUCUAUCAAAUGCGAUCUCAUAUUUUAAUGAGAAGAUCAAGCAAGCUACUAAGCUUGAUUCUACUUAUGAGAAGAUGAAACAACAAGUCAAAGAGGGGGCUACUAAAAAGUAUUGGCUAGAAAUUGACCUCUUGAUGGUUAAAAGAGGUAGGCUGUAUGUACCAAGAAGUUGCUUACACAAGGAGUUGCUAAGAGAUACCUAUGAUGUGAAGUAGGCAGGUCAUCCUAGCAAAGAGAUGGCAUCAAUAGUAUUGUCCAACUACUAUUACUAGCUAAACAUAGGAGAGGACAUCCAAGCUUAUGUUCUAUAUUGUUUGAUAUGCCAGUUGGAUAAGAUAGGCAAGAAGAAAACAAUAAGGUUACCGCAACCUCUCCCUAUCCUAAAGAGACCUUAGGAGAACAUAUAUGUGGACUUCAUCGGUGGCUUUCCAAAAUUGAGGGAAUUCAAGUCUAUCUUCAUGAUAGUAGAUAGACUCUCUAAGUAUGUUGCUUUCAUACUUACACCACAUGCAUGUCCCGUAGAGGAGGUAGCUAGGCUAUUCUUCAACCAUGUGGUCAAGUACUUCAAGUUGCCUAAAGACAUAGUCAAUGAUUGUGAUGCCCGAUUCAUUGGUCAAUGUUGGACUGAGUUGUUUAAACUCCUAUGAUUGAAGUUGAAGUUCUAAACAACAAAUGAUUCGCAGAUAGACGGGCAAACAAAGUGUAUCAAAUGCGCUACUUAAGGAAUACCUCAGACACUAUGUUUCUGUAACACAAAAGAAGUAGAUUGAUAUAGUGGAGAUAGCUCAGUUAUCCUAUAACUUGCAUAAGAGUUCAAUAAUAGGGUUGAGUCCCUUUGAAUUGGCCACAGGGCAACAACCAACUAUGCCCUUGGAGAUGUUUAAGCAAAAGGUUGGUGGUAAUUGUCCUAUAACUUAUAAAUUUACAAGGUCUUGGCAACAGAGGCUCAAUGAAGCUUGUGAAAGCUUAGAGAAGGCAUCUAGAAAAAUGAAAAAGUAUGCGGACAAGGGCCGAAGACCUUGAGAAUUUUAGAUUGGGGAUAGAGUCAUUCUAAACCCUUAUAUAUGGAAGAAAAUUAGCAAUAAGACUAUGCAGAGGGGGUUGAUUCCCAAAUAUGAUAGACCUUUCAAGGUGAUGUAGAGGAGGAUAAGUAGCUUACAAAUUGAAGUUGUCAGAUAGGCUAAAGAUACACCUCACGAUCCUUGUGAGCUUCUUAAAGCCUUAUCAUGAAAACCUAGACUCAAGAAGGAUACCAUCAAGGCGAGUGAUUAGAAAGAAAUUUGAUUGCAAGUGAUAUCGGCAAGGUAGAGAAGAUAUUAGAUCAUCGAACUAUGGGAAUGAGUAAGAAAAAUUGAAGAAUUGAUUUUCUAGUUUAGUGGAAGGAUAGUCUUGAAUUAGAGGCUAGUUCGGAACGAGAUAUAAUGCUAUGGAAAUUUGAGGAGGUAGUCCAAGCCUACCCAUAGUCCAAGUCGAUGAGAGCAUCAACUACAUCAAGUAGAAGUGGUUUGUUAGCCCUUUGACAUGGACCAUGUGAUACUAAGGCCUCAUGGGGUGACACCUUGGCCUCUUGAGUGACCAAUGACAACAACAAGGUGGUAUAAGGGUGCAGUGCCUUGUGCAAGGAGAUGACUUGGUGAACCAUGGGCACAAUGCCAUGGUAAGUGUAGCACUAAGAGAGACUUGAAUGGGCAUAUCAAUGGGGGGGGGGGGGGGGGGGAACGAAGUUGACUUAGAUGCAAUACAUAAGAGGUGCAAUGCCUUGUACAUGGGGAUCCAUAGGUGCAAUGCCAUGACAUGUUACUGCACUAAGAAGAGGGCUUGGGCAAGGCACGAAGCUACAACAACAAGGUGGAUGUAGGAGCAUGUUGCCCUGACACAAACACAAUUUGAACAUACAAACCAAAAGAGGGCUUAUCAUGCACACGAGUCAUAUAUAUAGAUGAUGCGGUAGUAGCAUGAAGAGUUGGACUUGAAGUGGGAUUGCAAAUCAAGCAUGAAUAGGAGUCUUGAUGCCUAACGUAAUUAUAGUCUAAGUAGGAGUAGUACUCAAAGUCCAAGUAGGAGUGGUUAUUGCCAUAGCCUAUUAAGACAAAUCCUAGUAGAACUAAGAGUAGCACUACUAGUCUAACAAGGAGUGGGUGGCACCACUUUAUAAAUAGGAAGGGUUGGAGAAACUCUUGAGAGAGAUCUACAGAAGGAAAUCAUGAGGGAAGUCGAAACUCACCAAAGCAAUUAUGGAAGUCUGGCUAAAGUCUUAUAUUCUUAUUUAAUAAGUUAGUAAAAUACAAGUUGGGAUUGGUGCCUUGUAAACCUCAUGUGUUGUCUUGCAUGUUGUUGCCAUCUCAUGGGGGAAGGUGUAGAUUGGCUUAGAGAGCUUUUAAACACCACAUAGACAUGAAAAUUUAUGUGGGAAUUUUGCGCCUAUGACACCUAACCUUUAAAAGUAUGUUCUAAGGGGACCCUUUAUCUCCCUUCAUAUAUUGAAUUAUUUGCUUGUUUUUUCAACCCUAUUAAUGCAACAUAGGUGAAUUUGCUAGAUGGUUUAUAAGAAAAUUCAUAUCAGUUGUGUUCAACCUGUUAAAUUCUACUAGGCUUAUGUACCGGUAUGUAGAUUAUAGCUUCUUCGCCUAAGCUCAAAUUUUUCUUUGGUUUCAUGGUGUCAACAUUUCAUGAAAGUAAAUGCUCCAUUGAAGAAUAAAUUUACCUAAAAUUGAAUAUGGUGUGCUAGGACAUAGAGAUUUAUUAAAUGUUAGGAAAAUGUAAGGGUGACUUGAAACCUAAAUUUGAGCAAAUAAAGAGCCAGUUUAAUAGUGCUUUUAGAAAACACUUAUAUUAUAGAAAAAAAAAACAUUUUUGAAGAAAAAUCAAAGGUUUGACAAAAUUUAGAAAAUACUUUUAAAAAGUUAAAAAUUAAAUUAUUUGUAAUGCUUCUUGGAGAAACACUUUAAAUAUUAUUCUUCCAAAAAUACUUCUAGAGAAAACCUAAAUCUGUCGAAGCACUUAAAAUAGAAACUCAAGCAAAUUUACUCUAAAUCUGCCGAAGCACUGCUAAAAAAAUGAAAAAACAAGCAGACUCAUGUAUAUUCAUAAAACUGAGCAGCAUAAUUUCUUGAAAUAUUAUAUGAUUUUAUGCAUACCUCCAUCCUGGGAUAUAAACUGACAUUGCAACCUUGAUUGCAAGAUAUGUCUGUUCUUUCUGGAGUUGGAAUAUCCUUAUUCCUUCUUCGUAGCUACUGCCAAAUGCUGUCCGAGAAAUCACAUCCCCUGUCAAAUUUUCAAGAUAGGGCCAAACAUCCAACUCACAUGAUCCCUCCACCGAAAGCUUCUUCCAUUUGUUCACCAUGUCGCUACAACUCAAAUGAAAUGCCGAUAACAUAUUCUACAACCACAAAAUCAAUUAAUAAAGACCAAGAACAUCCCUUCGGUGGUAAAAUUAUGGAAACGGACCAUUGGAGAAAGGGGGAAAAAAACUCUAUAUGAGUAUGUGAAAAAGAAAGGGAAAAAGAAAGGAAAAGUUAGGACACUUGGUUUGUGAAAAACUAGUCACCAGUAGUACUUCAUUAAAAUGACUGAAAUAUUUGGGAAUUCUGAUGUUUAUACAGGUUUUUAUAGGAUUAAAAAUAAAUUUUCAAUUACUUCCAUAUUAAAAAAAAAAAGAAAAAGAAAGAAAGUUUUCUGGAUGGAAAACUGGGUUAAUGAUCUUUCUGGAAACUAAGGUCAAAUAUUCUCGUUUGAAAACUAGGCAUUGAAAACUACCUUCAACUUUUCUGGAUGGAAAGCUGGGUUGAUGAUCUUUCUACGUUUGGCCCAUUGUUCACCUUCCAAGGCCACUAGACCAGAAACCAGCAACUUGACCAACGGGUGUGAGGGUGUCUUUUGAAAGAUAUUGGACUUCAACAAAACAUCCCUCAUUAGCUCAGGCUCCAUAAUGUUUACCCUUGGACUUGGACCCACCCAUGUAAAGAAAUUUUUACCUGCAUGUUUAUGCCAUUAUUGGAUAGUGUUAGUCCUGGAUUGCUUUUAGUUUCGAUAAUUGUUUUAAAGACCGACUGGUUUGAGCAGUCCGACUGUCGACUGAAAGCAAAUUUGAUCCGGGUCAGCAAUUGAGCCGGUAGGGCUAUUGAACCGCCAUCGAACCGGACGACCCAGCGGUUGAACCAUUGACUUGGUGAACUGGGUCGCCGGUUUGGGCCUGGACCUAUCUCUAAGUGAAAUUCUUUUGGCUAAAAUGGGCCAUGGUUUUAGAUUGAAAUUGGUCGAGUGGGCUACUGCUUGGGCCACUCACAGACAUCCACACUCUGGGCAAGCCGACUAUAUAGAGAGAUAUUCAGAUAUGGGACUGACUUGGGAAAAUUAGGAUAUCAUGACUAUGCUAUUUAUGUCUUAUGUAAACAUUUCCACAACACUAGCUAAAAAAAAAAAAAAAAGAAUUCUUCCCAAAGUUUUUAUAAUAAUAAAAAUGCAAACAAUUUAAAGUAAAAUAAUAUAAUUUUUUUAAACUAUAAAAUAAUAAGGUAUAUAUAACUUCUAAUAUAUAUAUAUAUAUAUAUAAAUUAAAUAACUUCACAUCUAAAUAUUAUAUAUAUUUUAUUUCAUAAAAUCUUAAAAUAUUAAUGCAUCUAUAUAUUAAAUAAAAAAUAAAUAUUAUUAAUUUUUAAUUUCUUUAUAUAUUUAAAAAAAUUAAAAUAUUUUUAAUUUUAAGAAUAUAUAAAUUACAUAUUUAUGACAUCAUUGAUUUGACAACUGAUCUAACUGAUGAAUCAUGAAUCAUUAAAUUUUUUUAUUUAAUAAUCGAUCCAAUUCUAAAAAUAGCUAGUUUUCUCGAGCAUAAUAAAAAUACAUAUAUAUGAAAUUGUAAUCUCAAAAUUUGAGCUUGUGGCAAAUGGGAAUCACUCCUUACAUAAUUACUCGGUAUAUAUUAUCAAAUAUAUGUACGUAGAAGUUAUUUUAAUUAUCAACCAUAGAAUUGGCAUGGAAUAUUAUAUUUUUAGCACAAAUAACUGACAUAAAAAUUCAUCGAAAAGUGCGUUGACUUGAAACAUCACAAAUUAAUUCGAACACUUCAGAAAAAAAAAAAAAAAAGGUGAGAAGGAAAAGAAAAAUAGUUAGGAAGAGAAGAAUAGAAACUAAACAACUGCUCUAGGGCAGUAUAUAAAAUUUGACCAUAAUUUGAAGAAACCAGCAAAAUUUAAUACUAUGAUGAAAAGUAAUAACUCAUGUUGGUACCAUAUUUCUUAAUGAAAUGACAAUGGAAGGGCAGAACACGCUGAACAAUAUCAUCGGAGAGGCUGAUGGGUCUUGAAUAUGCUUCCUUCAUCAUCCUGGACAUCUCUUUGGAGUCCCCUUGUAAUAGCCUAUACGAAUUCCCAGCCAGGCCUUGCUCUCUAAGGCAUCUCUCUAACCUCUUCGGUCUCAACCACACCCAAUUCAGCAGCCUCCAUACACAGCUUAUUAGCACAGUAAGGAACCCAAAAGAAAUUGCAACUGAGCUGAGCUUCAUUUCCGGUUUGAGGGACUUCUAAAAAGAGAGGUAUGUUAAAUCACUUUAUAUGCUGCCGGUGUAUAUAAAGUGCCCCUAUUCCAUUCUCUGGUGUCGGCAAACAUAGAAGAUUUCUUUAAUGCCUAUAGGGAGAAGCACGUCUCGUAUUUUAAAUUGUCUCCAUCAAUAUGGCUUUUCAACUUCUCAAUUCGAUACAUUUCAAAGUUUUGUGUAGCCAUCACUGCUUAUUAGAAACUAUAUAUAUGACAUGGAUGUAAGAGAGAUAGAAGAUUUCUUUAAUGGCUAUAGGGAGAAGCACGUCUAGUAUUUUAAAACUAUCUAUUCUAAAUCGCCUCCAUCAAUAUGGCUUUUCAACUUCUCAAUUUGAUACAUCUUAAAGUUGUAUGCAUCAAAAUGUAUACUAUAAAACUAUAGCAUGAAUUAUUGCCUAUAUAUAGGGAGAAGCACGUCUAGAACAUUUCACAUUAUAUAUAUAUAAACAGUGUUUUUAAAAAUAAAUUGCACAAGAAAAUCAAAAUACCUUCUAUAAUGGACGAAUUGAAAUUCCACUUAUAAGUGAAAUUUCAUUUCCUUUGAAAUCAUUUUUUAUUUUAUUCUUAUUCUCACUUGAAUUAUCCAAACAUAGGAAUUAAUCGGAAGAGGAAAGGGAUGCAUAUUCCCACUCUCCAUUCUCACAUACUAAACUUGGCAUUAGAAUAUUCUUUUAUUAAUUUGUUGAAGUAACGGGUCUAAACAUACAUAAUAGAAGUGGGAAAAUUAAGAAAAAUUUUGUGUUUCUAAACAUUAUUUCAUAUAUUACACAACUAUUUAUAUAUAUAUGCAUAAUAAAAUAAAAACUCAUAUUUAGCUUUCAAUCUGAUUCAUUUGAUAAGGACAAUAAAAGAAAAAUAAAUAUGCAAUAUUAAUUGUUUUAUUUAUACACCAUCACACUGUCUCUAUAUGAAUACCAUCUUCCUAAGAAGAAUAACAUGACUAACAACAAUCCACGACAAUAGUUUUGGAACGACUGCCAUUUGUUUGUUAAUAUUCUAUUGUCUUGCUAGUAGGGCAUGGACCAGCUUUAAUAAAGUAAUUUUUUAGGAGAGUGCAUGUCAUUGGAUUCUUAUAAGGAUGCAUGCCUGUAUCUAGGCUUCAAAUUUAACGUUUUAUCGGUUAAUAAUGCAUUGGGCUCCUCCCGUCCGAUGUUUGAUAGGAUGGAUAAGAAGAAGAAAGUGACGUAAGAUCUAAAAUAUCUGAUCACAUUUAUUUAAAAACUGAAUAGGACAAAUGGGUGAAAUGAUUAGUAGUGAGUCGCCCGGGAUAACAUAGUUGGAUUCUUUAUAGCUUCAUUAUUGUUGGUAGACAGUUGAGUGCAAAAUUUUCUUUGACCAUUCCAAGACAUAACCUGUAUGUAUGAGCUUCCUACUCAUAUGACAUUUCCUCCUAAAAUUAUAAUCACCCUUUUCUGAUAAUAUAGGAAAAAAAAAAUAUUUACAUGCUAAGCAAGAAUAAUAAAAUUAAAGAGCAUAUCCAAAGAAAAGAAAAAUUAAAGAAUGGUACUUAUUAGAAGAUAAAUCAAAGUCUAGAAUACAAGAUUUCAUCAACACAUAUAUAUAGGCCAACAUCUCAGUUUUUCAAAAGAACUACCUUGAAGAAAGGGAGAGACGAAAGGAACUUACACUAUAAUCCCACAGUGUUUAAUGUUAUAAAAUAAAAAUGAUAAGUUCUUAAAAUGCACAAAUAUUAUUAAUUCAUGGCAUUUUCUUUCAAAGAAAUUGACUUUUUCUACUAAUCUAUUUUUCUUUUAUUUCCAAUAUAUAUCUACCUCCAAGUCUUGGUGUAAAGAAGUUUCAACAAAUAAAAAUUUUCAUAAUUCAAUUUAAUAUGACCUCAAAAAAAAAUCCAAAUUCACUUAUUCAUAUAUGUUUAAUAACCUUCAAAGGAGCAAGGCCAAUAUUAAAAGGUGACAGUGAUAGGGACUAAAAUUUAGCACUUUAAUGGGUGUAAAGAACAUGUUCAGUGUGUUUGAGGUGCUUAAAAUCUAGAUUGAGGGAAGAAGGUGCUAUGUAGUCUAAUAGUACCUAAAGAGAAAGAGUUGGCAAUCAAAUAAGGAACGGUGCCUAAGAAUAGAGGAUAAGAGCAUUUUGGAUUGGAUCUAGGUUCACUCUUGUGCAUAAAAACAUUUUGGUAAUUACAUAAGAUUGCAUAGUCAGUAGUGAACAAGGUCUCUAAAUUGGGUUAAUUGAUUAACUAAAUGACCCUAUGUGGUUAAAUAAUUAAUCAAGACCUAGUUUAAGCUAGAUUAAGUGACCUAAGCCUUAUUGGAAUCAAGACACUCAAACCUAGUAGGGGAACCCUAUAAAUAUUGUUGGAAUUAAGCCCUAAAAGCAAGACAUGUUGUAAUAAAGUCAAACUUGACUCUCCCCUUGUUAUCCUUUUAUGUAUUGACAUUUAUUUGAACAUUCAACCCAUCUCUUACAUUGUUAUGACUUAGAAGCAUUGGGAGUUGCAAAGAGGAGACAAGUCAUGGGCUCCUUGUAAGUAUAUAAAAUGUCCACAUUCAAUUUAUGAACUUGGGCGAUACAAUAAAGAUUGUAAUGCACUACCUUCUAAUUGGAGGGAUGUUUUGUCUUGAUCGCAAAGAUAGAUUUCCCAUGGUGGGUGGACUAGUGUAUGUAACACACAUUAGACAAGACCUACGUUAAAUCAUGACAUUAAACUAUGAGUUGCCAUGAAUCACUAAGUUAUUAUACUAUAGGGACUCUCAACCUUGAGAGGAUAUUGAGCAUGUAGUAAUAUCAACAAAAGACUUUGACUUAUAGGUGAGACCCUAAAGUGGUCAUAUAUCCCUAAGGAUUGUGUCACUAUUGAUGGAGGUUAGUGGCAAUAAAUAUUCUUAAUAGAGGGACCAUAUCUCAUGGGUUUGAGCCAAUAUGUCUCCUUGGAUGAUUCAAAGGACAUGUGAUCAUGAAAUUUAUGGUUGUAGUAAUUCCUUCAGUGGAAUUUCACAUACACUCCUUAGAGUUAAGGUAUGCCAGUUAAUCUUUUAAUAAGUAGGAUUUGUAACUCAAUGAUUAGAGAGGUAAUCUUGAUAGGCGAUAACACUACCUUGUUAGAUUACGAACACUAGUUCAUGAUGAGUUUGCUUAUAGCAAAUUGUAGGUCCCGGACUUGAGCUUCGUCUCAUUGUUAUUUAAAUAGGGUACUAGAGUGUAGUUGAUUUUCUAUAGUGGGAUAUUGAAUCAACUUUAUAAUUGGAUUCUAAGGUAGCUAGUACAUUUACGAGUCUCAUUGGUCCCCACUUUGAGCUCAUAUACCAUGUUAGCAUGGUUUAUGAGGGUUGGAUUGACUCUAUGUUCACUCUUGUGCAUAAAGGUAUUUUGGUAAUUAUAUAAGAUUGAAUAGGGGAUAGUGAACAAGGUCUCUAGAUUGGGCUAAUUGAUUAAUUAGAUGGCCUUAUGUGGUUAAUUAAUCAAUUAUGACCCGUUUUAGGCUAGAUUAAGUAACUUAAGACCAUAUGGGCUCAAGUCACUUAAGCUUAAUAAGGAAACCUUAUAAAUGCCUCCUUAAGGGCCGGUUACGAUUUCCAUGACUUAGACAAUUGUCUUCUACCUCUAAAGAGAGAGAGAGAAAGAGAGAGAGAGAGAGUGAGAGAGAGAGAGAGAGAAAGAGAGUCUAGAUUUCCACCAUUGUAAAGCCCACACUUUGGAGUGUUAAGAUCAUGGUUUGAGUAAUCCAAAUCUAGGAACAUCCAAACUAUUCAAGUAUGUUCUUCACUAAGAGGAAUUGAUUUAGGAACAUCUAAAUCUAGAUCUAGAUAUGAGUCUCUCAAUCUCUAAAUAUUUAUUCUAUAACGAUUUUUGAAGUCAUUAUUUUUAUGCACUAGAUUUAGAGAACCUAGGGUUAAAUGCAUGCACCCCACGAGAUCUAGGGCAUAGGAACAGAGUAAUCCAAGGUUCCUAACAAAUACCCCCUUAGAGGUUAGGGUUUCUAAGGUUUUCAAUUGUCUUCCACAUCUAAAAAGUGUAAGAGAGAGAACUUAGGAAUCCUCUCUUCCAAAGCCCACUCUUUGGAGUUCUAGUCACCAAGUAGAAGAUCUUGGAUGUACGUCUCCAAAUUCUUUAGGUUUCUUUUUUACCCAUGAAAUUGAUCUGGGAACAUUCAGAUCUAGAUAUGAAUGUUUCUUCUAUAGUUUUAUUAAUCUAAAUCGUUUUAAAAGUCAUGUUUCCACUCAAAUUAGUUUCUACAGAAGCCUAGGGUAGAUUUACAUGUACCUAUACAAUCCAAGAUAUGGGAAUGGAGCAAUCCAAGGUUCUCAAUAGACACACUAUCUCACUCCCUAUCUCACUCCCAUGAGAUAUCAUGGUGCUUCUAUUGAGAAUACUUGUUGCCAACUGCUCCAUAUGGAUAUAUGAUCAUGUUAGGGUCUCACCCAUAAAUCAAAGUUUCUUGUUGAUUUUACAUAAAUUUAAUAUAUUCUCAAGGUUGAGAGUCUAUAUAUUAUAGUAGCUUAGUGAAUCAUGACAACUUGUAGCCUUAUGUCAUGAUUCACUAUAGUUCUUGUUCAAUAUGUAACCAUACACACUAAUGUACUCACCAUGGGAAACCCACCUUGAUGGUCAUGAUAAGCCAUCUCUCAAUUAGGAGGUAGUGCAUUAUAGUCUCUAUUGAAUUGCCCAAAUCUAUGAACUAACUAUAAACAAUUAAUCAUCUUGUAAGAAACCCAUGACUUAUGUCCUUUAUGCAAUUCCUAGUACAUUGAAGUCAUAUGCAAUGCAAGUGAAAUGACGUGUUUGUUCUGGUAACCAAUCAAUACAAAAUGGGAUAGUACGUUGAAUAAGAAACAUAAAUAAAUAAAUUUAUUAAUGAAUCUAAAACUGGUAUAUCAUGUCAUGCUUUCUAAGGCUCUAUCCCAAUAGGUUGGAUUAGGUGACCCAAGUCUAGUUUAAGCUUAAGUCACUUAAACCCAUAAGAAACCCUAUAUAAACCCUCUUAGAGCUUUAAGGUUCAUGAUUUUAACAUUUUGGCCAUUAUCUUCCUGAGAGAGAGUAAGAGCAAGCCCUAGCCACUCUUAGGAAAGGAAAAUGAGCUCACCCUUCUCUUGUGUCAGGAUCUUUGAAGGGAGAGAUAAGGUGAAAGAUCUUUAGGUAGAUGAACUCCACAACAUUCCCAACAUCUUUGACAUCUUAUGGGAUUAGAUUCAAUUUUGGAACAUCCAAAUUGCAGGUAUGAAACUUUAACCUCUAUGUUUAGAUCAUAAUAUGGUUUUAGUUACCAUAUAUUUCUACUAUGUUAGAUGUAGAGAGCCUAGGACUAGAUUGCAUGAACCUUGCAUGAUGCAGAGCCUAGGAGUAGAGUAACUAGUGGUUCCUAAUAGUUUACAAUUAUAAAAUGAUGAAAACUAAUGCCUUUUCACCAACUAAACCUCAUAAAGCAUUGAAAUAAUUAGUUUCAUUGCAAUUUCAAGUUAAAGAUUAAAAUGCACCAAGUAUGAGUCUCACACACAAAAUGAUCCCUAAUGCUCAUUAAUCUUUUUUUUUUUUUAAAAAAAAAAAAGUCAAAAGGAUGAUGAAGAUGAUGACAAACCUGAUUCGUCCCUAGCAGCGGCAGUGGCAAUGGCACCAUUUGAUUCGGGGUUCGAUCCCUGGCAACGGCGCCAUUUGAUUCGUGCCCAAUUGGUGUCUCAGCUGAUUCGUGUCCAGCUGGUGCUCCUUGAUUGAGGGAUUAAUCAACAAAAUUUAUAACCUAUUACACCAUAUACUAGGGUAGCAAAGACAAAGCUACUAUAGCAUAGUGGCUCUAGGAUCGUUCACUGGGAUGGGUUUUCACUUCACAGAUGAUGUUAAUUCAAAGUUGAAUUGGUGCCUUUUCAUUUCAAGGUUAGCUUUAAAAGAAAACAUAAAGAUGUUUGAAUGAAAAAGGAUUGGUUUUAAGCUAACCAAAAAUAGUAACUGAUUUUACUUACAAAGAAAAAUGUUUCUUGGAGUUCAGAUCACUAGGCUCAGAUUCCUCAUACAAAAAGGGAGUUCCGGUCACUUGUUUCUUUUCCUCGCAUUAGAGAAUUAACAUAUAGUUAAUUCUCUAACCGGUGUUGUACAAAUGCUUCCCAUUAAUGGGUUCAAACACUAAAUCCCUCUCACUGAUGCAUCUUGCAAUGACUCAUACCUCUCACCUAGCACUUGCCAUUCAAGGUGAUCUUUAACCUUGGACUUCCCUUCAAAAGCUCGCAAGAGAUAACUAAUGGAUGUCUCCUUGGAGUCCAAAAGCUUACCAAGUGUUGGCUAUUCUAGAAAAUCCUACUUUCAAACCACCUCCCAAAGGCUCGCAAGGGGUAAACUAAUGCAUUUCCAUGGUUGGAAAUCACUUGCCUUACCAAGUGUUGGCCCAGGUGACUCUAAGGUGUUUUAAGUUAACUAAAAACAUAGAAAUCACUAACGGGUUACACUUUCUCUUCAUUAAAAACUAAAACAACAAAACUUCCAAAUUAUGCAUGUGGAAACUUACCCGGCUUUCCUCACUCCAAGAGACAAAAAGCUUAGCCUCUCAUCCUCUGUGGAAAAAUCCUCAGAGUUUGGUUGGCUAGAAAGAAAACUAACGAGAAAACAAGAAUAUAUAUGAAAAACAGAGCAAGUGCUCUGUUCGUUGAUUCUAUAUAUUAGAUUACAUGUUUUUUAUUACAGUGGAUGCAAGGGAAUAUAUAUAGAGACGUUUUUCCAACCUUCCUAACUAAGAAAUCUUAUGGUUGGUGGAUUACAAGGAGAAGAAUGGAAAUUCAUACAAAAAUAUCUGAAGAAAAAUAUCCCAAAGUGUCGGUUACAAAUAUCGGGAAGCACUAAGGACCAUUUCGCAGGUGAAAAAUGAGGUCUGCGAAAUUUCGCAGGUGCACAAGGAGGUCUGUGAAAUUUCUUUGCAGCAAAAGGCUGAUUCCACACCUCUACGAAGUUGGCUUUCAUAUUGUGGUGUUUGGCUUCCAUCGCAGCAUGAAACUUCAGGGGAAAUCCAAAGCACUGUGCAACAAGGCUGCGAAAUCAUUCCGCAACAAAAGGGUGAUUUCGCAACACUUUGCUGAAUCCUUCCUUCAGCUUGGAGCAGUCAUCUUCCAAAGGCUGUAACUUCCUCAUUUCAGCUCCAAAUCGUACACGGUUUGAAGCGUUGGAUUAUUGACUUCCUGAGCUUUGAAAUGGUAUAUAGCAUGUAGAAAAUGGACUUCGGGAAGUGCUCCAAAAGUGUGAAAGAAGACUGCAGCUGCUGUCCUCUGUUUUCUUCACUCUGUUUUUCCUCUCUCCUUGCUUCUCUCCUUGCAUACUUUGAACGACUUUGGCAAAGGGCUAUGGAGCUCCAAAGCUUGGUUCUUCAUGAAUUUGAGCUUCCAAAAGCUUUGCCAUAACUUGUCCAAGUAGCUCCUCCAUCAUUUGGCAUGCUUGAAUUGAUUCAUAAGCUGAUAAAAACAUAUAAACUUGCCACAAAAUGGUUAAAACCAAUUACUAAGGACCUUAAUGAAUUAAUUGGGUUAAAUGAAUAUGAUUACUACUCAAAGGUGCUUAAAACCAUUAUAAUUAGGUCUAUAAAAUAGCACUUUUUGGUAGUAAUCAAAACCAAUAGUCAAAGCAAACUUUUGAUAAUGAAGAAAUAUGUUAUGUUCAACGUCAAAAUAAAAUUAAUGCUAAAUUUUAUAAUAAAAGAAUUUUAUAAUAGGUUAUGACUAUAACCUAGAUAUCAAUUUCAUAUUGACAAAAAAAUAGUGCUUAAACCAAUUUGAAAAACAAGCAUAAAAUAGGUGGUUUUGGAAUUGAUAAUAGAGUCAAUAAGCCAUCUCAACUUGAUACUCCUUGACAACAUAGAACCAUUGUUGAUCCCAAUACGAUAACAAGAUCUAGACACCAUGAAAAUUUGACAAAGCAAAAUUUACCAUAGACUUGGUAUCAAAUCAAAAUCAACAUGUAUUUCAAUAAAUUAUAUAUAAAAAAAUCAAUACAACACUAACAAUGGUAAUGUUAUUCUUUAGAAUAAAUUAAUAUAAAAAUAAUAAAGGCUCAAAGGUAUCAAAAUGUCAUUAAUGAGUACAAAAUCUAAUUCAACCAAUUUUAGGCAUUCUCAUAUGAAUUUACAAGUAUAAAAUGAUGAAAACUAAUGCAUUUUCACAAGCUAAACCUCAUAAAAGCAUUGAAACCAUUAGUUUCAUUGUAAUUUCAAACUAAAGAUCAAAAUGCACCAAAUAUGAGUCUCUCACACAAAAUGAUUCCUAACACUCAUUAAUAUAUAUAUUCAUAUAAGAUGAAAACAAAUAUAAUUCAACAAUUUUUAUAGGGCUAAUUAAAAAAAAAUGAUAUAGAAUAAUACAAAAAAAAAAUAGAAAGGAGAGGAUAAUAUACAUUGAAUGAAAGCUUGGGGUGCAGUUAGGGAGGCUUUAAGACUUGUUCAUAGCUUUGAUCUUCCUCUUUGAUUUCCAAAUUGACAAAGUUUCACCUCCUUUUAUUUCCAUAGAAUCGUCUCAUUCGAAAAUGUAGUUUUCUCUUUGUAUUUAUUGCCAACAAGGAUGAUGAUAAAUCAAUAAUCAAAGUUAACUUUUAAUAAUGAAGAAAUAUACUAGGUUUAGUGUCAAAAUCAAAUCAACACCAAAUUCUCUAAUAACGGAAUUUGAUAAUAAGUUGUGACUGCAAACUAGAUAUAAAUUUCAUUUUGAUACAAAAACUGAGGCUAGACUAAUUCGAUAAACAAACAUAAAAUAGGUGGUUUAGGAAUCGAUUUGAAAUUAAUACUUGAGUAAAUACAACUACCCAAAUUGAUACUCCUCUACAACAUAAAACCAAUGUUGAUCCCAAUAUGAUAACAAGAUCUAUGCACCAUGAAAAAUCAACAAAACAAAAAUUACUGUAGACUUGCAUUGAAUCCAAAUCAACAUUAAUUUCAAUGAAGUAUUAAAAAAUCAAUACAAUACAAACAAUGGCAACAUCAUUCUUUGGGAUGCAUGAAUACAAAAACAAUUAAGACUUUGUGAUAUUGAAAUGUUAUUAAUGCUUCGAUAAAAAAUCUAAUUCAACAAGUUUUAUCAAUUUCCAUUUGAAUUUACAAGUAUAAAAUGAUGGAAACUAAUGCAUUUUCAAUAGCUAAAUCUCAUAAAAGCAUUAUGUAAACCUUUCUUUUUGUCCACAUAGCACAUGUUUUUAAUCAUACUUAGCACCCCUCACUUUUUAGUAAUUUAAAUUGUCUUUUUGUUUUUGUUUUUGUUUUUUGUUAUAGAUUAUACGAAUGUUUUAACACUUAGAGAAAUUGGAAUGAAGCAAAAUAUGCAGAAAAAAAAGAAAUAAUUGUCUAUAGUUAUCUUUAUUCUUUUUUAUAUGUUUCUAUUGACAUGAGAUAAAUCAUCAAUAAUUGUUGUGAUUAAUAGCGCUGAAAAAAGUCAAUGGCCAUACUAAUAUUCUAUUGCCAUUUUUUUUUCUUUUUGUAAAAUAAUAGAUCAAAUCACAUCUUCUUGUAAAACUAUCAUUAAGAUUUACAUGAUUUCUUACAAUGUAGCUUAAAACCAAAUAUUUCAUCAAAGAAGUUAUCAAUAAUCAACCCAACACAAUGAUAUCUAUUAUAAUACAAACUUCCUUCAAUAUGUGUGUUUGUGAGUGUAGAGAAAGUAACAGAGAUAAGAAAGUAAGGUAAUAGAAAUUGAGAAAGUAAAGUGAGAGAUAUCUUUUUUUUUUUAUUUUUUUUUCUCUCUAUGUUUAUUCUGCUAUUUACGGAGUAAUAUAUAUAGUAAACCUAACUACCAAAUUCCCUAACAAUUCAUCUAACAAUAAUAGAAGAAAACCAAUGACCAUAUGACACGUGUCCAUCUUGUAACCAUAUGAAACUAUUUCUUAACAUUGUCUUUAAACUUAAGGUAGAAAGAUUUUCUACUUUGAGUUUGUUUCUUAGAUUUACAAAUUGAGUGCUUGAGACAACUUUCGUCAAGACAUCCGCUACUUGAUCAAUGGAAGGCACUUGUUGGACUAAAACCUUUCUUUGCAGAACAUUUUCCUUCAAAAUAUAAAUCCAAUUCAAUGUGUUUUGUUCUAGCAUGUAAUAUUGGAUUAGCAACCAACAUAAUAGUGCUAAGAUUAUCACACCAAAUAACUGGUGGUGUAGGCAAAGUGAUUUUAAUUUAUGAGAGAAGAGAUUGUAACCAAGUGAUUUCUACAACCAAACUAGUUAGGCUUCUAUACUAGAUCUAAAAAUAGUAUGCUCUUUCUUUUACUGCUAAGUGACUAAAUUUGAACCAAAAUAUACACAAAAUCCCAAAGUUGAUCUUCAGUUAUCAAAAUCAGAGGCCCAAUUGGCAUCACAAAAUGUUACAAGAUCAAGAGUAAGAGACUUUCUUAAAUGUAAUCCAUGAUGAAGAGUUUCUUUCAAGUAUCUAAGAAUUCUUUUGACUACUUUCUAAUGAGAUUCUAAUGAAGCUUGCAUAUAUUAACAAACUUUAUUAACACUAUAGGCAAUUCCAGGCCUAGUAACUAUUAGCUACUGCAAAGCUCCUACAAUUGAUCUGUACAACUUCACAUCCUAAACUGAUUCACUUUCAUAGCCUAAAAGUUUAUGUCAAUUAGUCAUAGGAGUAGAAAUAGGAUUGGCACCUUGCUUUUUGGAUUUGCAUAAUAGAUCAGUUAUGUAUUUUCCUUGAGAGAGGUGAAUGCCUUCAACAAUAUGCUUCACUUCAAUCCCUAAAAAAUAGUUGAUUUCUCUAAGAUCUUUUAAGGUAAACUCUCUAUUUAAAUUGGUAAUGAGAUAUAUCACAACUUGUUCACUACUACUAGUGAUAAUAAUGUCAUCUACAUACAUAAGAAUAUAGGUAGAAUGACUUUUUGUCACACAAAUGAACAGAGAUUGAUCCGACUUUGCAAAGAUAAAUCCAAAGGAAUAUAGGGCUAUACUUAACUUAUCAAACCAGGCACUUGGUGCUUGUUUUAAGCCAUAUAAAGUUUUAUGUAAUUUGCAAACAAGAUGAGAUUGGUUGUGCUGAAUAAAUCCAGGAGGUUGUUCCAUAAAAAUUUCCUCAUGCAACAAUCCAUUCAAAAAGGCAUUAUUAAUGUCUAAUUGAUGAAUUAACCAACCCCUAGACAAAGCUAUAGUAAGCAUAACCCGAAUAGUUGUAGGUUUAACAAUAGGAUGGAAAGUUUCAGUGAAAUCAAAACCAACAACUUGAUGAAACUCUUUUGCCACUAACCUGGCUUUGUACUUCUGAAUUAAGCCAUUGAUUUUUUUUUCUUUUUUUUUUCACUUUAAAUACUCAUUUGCAACCAAUAGGUGUUCUUCCAGGUGGUAAUGGGACUAAGGACCAUGUAUUAUUAUUCAAAAGAGCCAUCAAUUCAUCAGUCAUUGUUUGUUUCCAAUGAUGUAUAUGUAAAACUUCCUCAACACAAAUAGGUUCACAUGUGGUAGCAAAAACCUUUGGUUUAAAAAAUUCCAGCUUUAGACCAAGUGAACAUAGAAUGAGUAUUUUUGCAAUGUUGCAUUGGAACAAAAGCUAAAUCUUCUUGUAUUUGGUCAUGUGAAAAAGCUCUAUGGCUAGCAACACUGUCAUAAGUAUUAGUAGUAAGAGGAGAAACAGUAGGUGCUAAAACAUUAGUAACUAAUUGGACAAUUUCUAGAUGAGUAAAGCUACCAAAUGAAGAAAUCAUUAAGAAAACAGCAAAAGGAUAUAUAUAAAAAAAAAGGGUGAAACAGAAUUAGAUAAGGAUGACUAAAUUUUAUGAGCAAAAUGAAAUGAAGACUCACUGAAAAUGACAUCUCGAGAAAAAAUAAUUUUGCCAUUAGAAUUAAGACAUUUGUAACCUUUAUGAUUGAGAUUAUAACCCAGAAAAGUACAUUAAGUGAAUUGGAAUUGAAGCUUGUGUUUGUUAUAUGAAAGAAUGUUAGAAAAAUAGGAGCAACCAAAUAUUUUUAAGAAAAAGUGAUUUGGUAGGGUUUUGAACAAAACUUAUAAAGGAGUUUUAUGAUGAAGAACAGAAGUUAGUAAUCUAUUUUUGAGAUAAAUAGAAGCUCUAAAGGCUUCAUCCCAAUAUUCCAUUGGCAUUGAAGCAGAUACUAACAAGGUGAGACCAUGUUUUAUAAUUGUUCUAUGCCUCCUUUCAGCCAAACCAUUUUGUUCAUGAGUACAAAGACAAGAAUAUCUAUGAAGAAUGCCAUUUGAAGUUAAUAUAUUUGUGAAAGCUUUAUAUUUUCCACCCCAAUCUAUUUGUAUGCCCUUCAUUUUAAAACCUAGUAGUAAUUCACCUUGAGUUUUGAAAUUAAGAAAGGCUUGAAAUGCAUUUGAUUUAUGUCUAAGCAAGUAGAUCCAAGCAAAUCUAGAGUAAGCAUGAACAAAGUGAAUGUAGUAGUAAUAACCACUAAAGGAUUGAAGUGGAGAGGGACCCCAUAAAUCAGAGUGUAUAAGUUGUAGGGGUUGAGUGUAAAUAGUGUCUAUUAAAGAAAAAUGAAGUUUGUGAAUCUUGCCAUAACAACAAGCUUAGCAAAAUAACAAUAAAAAAUAAAAAUAAAAAUAAAUAAACAAUAAAAAAUAAAAAAUAAAAUUAUUAAGAACAAAAAUAUUGCAGUUAGACAGAAGAAACUUUACAAUUUUAAGGAAUGAAUGUCCACAUUUGUGAUGCCAUGGAUCUAAUCAAAGAAUCCUUAGGUGCAGUACAAGAUUCAAGAUUAUAUUGAAAGGGGCUAGAAACAUGAUUCUAAAAUGAAGAGGUGGAUGAUUCACAAGAAGUUGUAGAAUAUGGAACUGAUAGUGGCUUUGAUGAAGACAGAAGUGUGAAAUCAUCAAAUACAUAAAGUCCAUUCUUAACUCUUCUUGCCAUGAGAAUUUCCUUGGAAUCUUGAUCUUUGACAUAACAGAAGUUAGGAAAGAACUCAAAAUACAUAGCAUUAUCUUUGGCAAAUUUAGAGACACUGAGCAAAUUUUUUGUAAUAGAAGGAACAUGAAGAAGAUGAUUUAAAGAGAGCAAUUUUGAAGUAAAUUGAGAUUGAAAAGAUGAUUGUCCAAUAUGUUUAAUGUAAAACCCUACUCCAUUACCCAUCACGAUCUUAUCUUACCAAACAAAUUCAAUUUUAUUUAUCAGAUUAUUAAUGUCUGGUGUGAUAUGAUUUGUAGUUCUAGAAUUUGGGUACUAGCUAGAGUCAUAGGCAAAUUCAGGAGUAGUAGCAACCAUGACAGUCAUUCAUGAUGAAUCUUGAGUAGAAGAAAAUCCUUUCUAAAUGAAGAUGAGCCCUAAAAAGAUGGAUCAAAUAUGUAGUAACAUUGUUGCACCAAAUGACAAUUGGCAUUGAGGUUUAUUGAAAUUCCAAUAAUUCCUACCACCAUUGAAAACUCCAUGACUUGUGCUACUAGAACCUCUAAAUUUAUUGAAUCCACGACUACCAAAACCUCAUUUACUAGGAAAAUUAUUAAGACCACAAAAAUUGGCUUAAACAAAAGUAGAAAAGUCAUUUUCGGAAGAAUUGUAAGACUUUUUCUUGUCUAUGCUAUUCUCACUAUGAGUUGCUAAGUUAACAUUCAAAUUAGAAUCUAGAGCUUUUGUAGCCUUCUCAAUGCACCUUUCUUGAGCCAAAAGAACAAACUCUAUUUCAUCAACAGUAUAUGAAUCCAUGUGUGUCGUAACAAUAGUAAUCAAAGUGUCAUACUUGAGGACAAUCCUUAAAAAAUUACAUUAAUAUGAUCUAAAGUAAAGAUAGAAUAGCUAACCGAUAAUAGACUAUCAACAAUGCUUUUGAUUUGCAAGAAAUAAUCAUUCAUGGAUGAUGAACCUUUCUAAAAGUUUGAUUUGCGUCUUGAACUAAUCAAUCUUGGCAUGAGUUUGAGUAGCAAAGAAAACCUCCAAUUUCUCCCAAAUUUGAAAAGAAGUUACACUUCCAACCAUUCUUGUUAAAAGCCUUUCGAACAUUAAUGAAAUGAGCCAAGAGACUAGUAAUUGGUCCUAUUAUUCCCAAUAAGAGAAAUCUCAAUUGAUUUUACCACUUGUUUCAUCAGAUGAAGAAAGAAAUUUUGGAGGAGUAGUAUUGAUUCCAUUGAUGAACUUUGAGAGCUUGUAACCCUUGAUUGCAACUUCAACUUGUUGAUGCCAAAUCACAAAAUUAUUCUAAUCAAGUUUUAUGGAAAUUGAAUGAUUGAAGGAAAUUGAAACAAAUUGGGAUGAGAACAAAGAAGUGGGGGUGAGGGAAUUGGCCAUGGAUGAAAGCUCUAAUACCAUGUGAAGAAAGUAGCAGAGAUAAGAAAGCAAGGUAACAUAAAUUGAGAAAGUAAAGUGAAAGAAAUCUUUUCUCCUUUUCUGUUUUAUUUUUCUCUCCCUAUUUAUUUUGCUAUUUACAAAGUAAUAUAUAUAGUAAACCUAUCUAACAAAUUCUCUAACAAUUCAUCUAACAAUAAUAGAAGUAAAUCAAUGAGAAUAUGACACAUGUACAUCUUGUAACCAUAUGAAACUAUCUCUUAACAAUUCAUCUAACAAUAAUAGAAGAAAAUAUAUGAGCAUAUGACAUGUGUACAUCUUGUAACCAUAUGAAACUAUCUCUUAACAAUGAGUAAAAGACAAAGUUCUUGGUUUAUAUUCAACAGACAUGUUAUAAAGGUGUUGUUAAUAGCAAGUGAUAACAAGAAUCUCAAUACUAAAGUUUUUAGCAUAGUAGUAUUUAUUUUUUCUAUUAUAACAACUAUAUUAGUAUAGAAUAUUCUAGAUAUAGUUUGUUAGAAUAAGUGUUGAGCUAUACAACCUCGUUUAGCAAUGUAAGAUAGAGCAUUUUGCUAUAUAUUUGUUGUACUUUCAAACUAUUAAUUCAAUUCAAUGAAAUGAGAAUGUGUUUUCUCAUUUCCGUUCUUUCCUUGUAAUAUGGUAUCAAAGCAUUUUCCUUUUAUUGCACUUCCAUCUUCUUGCUAAAAUGGCCCAUGGUGGUCAAAAUAAUAACACCAAUUGAUUUAAGCCACUCAUACCUUAUUCUUCUACUAGUACCGUGGCUUAACAUGAUUUUUCUUCUUCCAUGAAUAACACUAGUGGUCCUUUUUUCUUGCAUAGUGAUGACCAUUUCAAAUUGGUUCUUGUUUCUCAUCUUCUUACUAGUCUUAACUAAAAGCCUUAGAGUCGAGCCAUGGUCAUGGCUCUCACCACCAAGCAUAAACUCGUUUCUUUUAAUGGAUCAUUCCACAACUGCCUUCAGAGAAUCUUGUUGCUAGGGUUUGGUCAAGAUGUAAUAGUAUGGUCACUUAUUGGAUUCUUAAUGUCCUUUCUAAAGAGAUUGUUGAUAGUCUUCUCUACCUUGAUAAUGCUCAAGCUAGAUCUACAUUCAUUUUUUAGAUCAAGCAACAGCUACAUGGUUUGUCUCAAGGUUCCCUCAAUAUUAAUACUUAUUAUAUCGGUUUAAAAAUUCUUUGGGAUGAACUCAAGAAGUUUGAACCCAUUUUCCAUUGGUCAAUCUGGUAACAUGAAAAUAUGGAUGGAUUAUCAACAACAUAAGUAUGUGAUGUAAGUUUUUAUGGGCUUGAAUGAAUCCUAUGUUGUGAUGAGUGGGCAAAUUUUGAUGCUUGACCCAUUACCCUUAGUUGCGAAGGUUUUCAAUCUUGUCGUUUAAGAAGAAUGACAACGCACCAUCGGAUCUAGUUCUCCUACUCUAUUUGAAUCCCUGGUAUUUAGCGUCUCCUCGUCAUCUCUCUUUGUCACAAAUUUCUCUUCUCAGGAUAACCCAAUUAUGAUCAUCCAAUUUUUUCUCAUUGUGAGCUCAUAGGACAUAUAGUGGACCAUUGCUACAAGUUACAUGGAUUCCCAAAUGGGUACAAGCCCAAACCUAAGGCUUAAUUGAGCUCUCUUCAGUCCACCAACAAUCCAUUAUCUUUCCUUGAGCCAUCAAAGGACACCCACUUCUCUCUUUUAGCUACAACUGUCAUGCCAUCCUCUCCACUUUCUAGUUCUCUCUCAACAGAUCAAGUUCAAUAGCUCAUAAAGUAGACUUUGUUCACUUUGGAAGGAUCCUUUGUCAUGCUCAAAUCUUAUUAUGCACAUGCCUUGUUUGACUAAGAUCAUUAUAAUUGUUUCCCAAAGUGAGUCAAUGCCAAAUAUUGAAUAAUUGGUUAAGCAUAACUCUUACACACAUUUCAAGAUUUAUGCCCUUAAAUGUAUGCAACUCACUUGCAACAUUUGGAAAUACCCCCAAAGUGGAUAUAAAGGCAACCAUGAAUGAAAAAAAAAAAUCGAUAUUGAUCAUAGUGUACAAUGGCUCUAUUUUCAAAAGAAAAAAAAAUCAAUAUUAAUCAUAAUGUACAAUGGCUCUACUUUCAAAAGAAAAAGAAAAGAGAAAGAAAUAUGAUAUCAAAUUAAGGGAGAGUCAAGUUGUGUUGUAUAUAGAUCAACAAGACCAUGUUAAACAAAAAUCCAACAAUCUUAAAUCAAAUUAAUUGGAUGUGUACUUUAAUUAGAAUAAAGGCAUGAUUGGAUCUCUUCUAAGUGAUCAAUUUUGAAAUAUAGAACUAGACAAUAAGUCGUAUUCCCUUGAACAUCAAUACUUAAGUUUCUAUGUUGGCCCUUUUAUCCACUAAUGGUUAUGCAUUGGGUUUCAAAACUAAAAUUACAAUUAACUUUGACCUUUGGACUUGAAACCUCAUUCUUGAUGGAUUGAUGUAUAAUAUCUAAAGUAACUCAUUUGCUUUGUAAUUGAUUAAAGUAACUCUUACAGGCUAUUUAAAUCCAUCUAGUACACCAUUUCUUAUUUCUCACUUUUCUGAGUUGUUUCAAGCACUCCAAGUUUCCAAUUCUUUGUCAUUUGAGGUCAAUUCUCCUAGUUUUUCACAUUUUUGUUCAUAUAGUAUUGUUUUACACCUCAUUUUCAGUAUUCCUAGUUGUUUAGGAAUUUUUUUUUUUGGAUUUUUAUAAUUUUUUAUUACUUUUAGUGUCCUUUUAUAUUUCGUCACCUUAUUAUGGCAAGUCAUCAUCAUUCUCAUGAGGUGACCCCUCCAAGGUCGCUUGAUACUAUUUAGAGCAUCGCGCUCUAAGGCCUUUUUGACCUAAGAGCUCUUCCUGUUGAGUGUUUCCCUUGGCAGGAAGCAUGAGACCGAUACUACGCCUCUUUCCAUAAUUGGCAAGUUGAGGUUGAGCAUUCGGUUGAUCUCAAAGUCUUUUUCGAGACUUCUCUCCUUACUAUUGUUAGAGAGUGAGGAUAAAAGGCGUUACUCUCAAUUUAGGGGACUUUCUACCCCCAUCUUAUUUGCAUGUUCUAUUUGUUGUAAUUGGAGUUACCUUUCAGGUGAUUUCGUAUGAUCAAUCAUUUCUUGUCUCUUCCUAUUCCAUCCCACGUGUCCUUGGCAUGCCGUGACUUGAGUCUUGCUUUGUGCAGAAGCUAUUCUCCAAGCUAGCAUGGUUGCUAGCUACUUUCUUCACCUACUCCUUCUGCCAUUCUACUCAUCAUACCCAGAUCUGUUAAUCUUCUUCUCGAUUCAUUCAUCCAUACUCUUUGGCUACCAAUUAUAUCAUUACUUCUUGCUCAGGAGACAUCUUCUUCUACCAACCCGACUGUCCGAGAGACAUUGGAUUCCAUGGCCUAUUUCCAUCAAUGGAUGGACUCCCAGGAUCUUUAGCUUCGUGAGAUCUAGGGAUAACUCCACUAUAUCAUUUUAUAGAUCCACUCUAAAGGUGCCUUGAACUCUGUUUCUCCACCUCAUUCGGAUGCUUAUAUAUAUAUAUUUUAUUGUUGAUCUGAAUUUAUGCCUUUUCUACAUAUCUUAUGUAUCCAAAAUCAUUUUUUUUUUUGCUACAUAUAUAUAUAUAUAUAUUCUUAUUUCUCUUUAACUCUUUUGUGCUUUCCAAUGUUUAUAAUUCAUAUGCUUUGCCAUUUUUAUGACAAAAAAAAAAGAAAAGAUAUCAUUGACCAUAUUUAAUUCACUUAAAUAGGGAGAGCAUAGGCAUUGAUAUAAUAGGAAAAAAAAAGAUAAAAGAACUCCUUGACAAAUAGUAGUUAAUAAGUUUUGAAUUAUUUAUUUAAUUCAUUCUUUUACUCAUUUAAUUCUUAAGGGAAAUUAAUUGAAAUAUUGGAGAAAAUUAAACCUAAGACAUUGGAGAAAAUUAGAUCAACCGUUGAAAGCAUAGCUUAGAAGUUUAAGAGAGUUACCUAAUAUAGAUAUUUCCUAUAAGAUAUUUGUAUUUGAAUUGUCUUUCAUUUUAGAACUACUAUGAGUCACAAAAGUUUUUUCUCAUGGCUUUCAUAGUCUAUUUUUUGGUUGGAGAGAGACCUCUAGGCAUCAUAGUUGAUCUAUUGUGUCUUAUCAAGCUUCUAUUAUGUUCAGUUGAUUUGUAUAGAUUUAGAUUCCUCUCGAGCUUUACUUUGUACCUUGUUAUCACUAUAGGGAUAUGUUUCUCUUACAUGCUUUCACAAUGAAUCGAGCAAAAUCUCUAAUUAUCAUGUUCUAUUGCUUUGAUCAUAUCUUAUCUCACACAUUUUUCUACAUUUGUUGAAGUUUUUUUAUGUGUUCAGGUUACAAGGUUGGAAAAUAAGUACUACAAGAUGAUGCAAAGCAUUCCCUUAGUUUAUUUUUAUUUAAGCAUUAAUGUGUGUUAUGUAAACUCUGUUAUAAGAGUUAGGGUGGGUUUAUGUAAUGAUUUUUUGUCACAAGAUUGCCAAAGAGGGAAAUUGUUAGGACAUUAAGCCUUGAUUAUAUGUCGGCAAUUUUGUUCCUUUUAAUGUUUGACCAUAAAAGUCUUUUUAGAUAGUGACUUGCUCUCUAUUGAAGAUUAAGAACUGUUGUUUGUCUAACCGAGAAUUCACAUGUACAUCUAAAAAAGUUUGGCUUGUAGUAAGUUAGGCUUCUUUGGGGUAUAAAGAUUAUUGGUAAUUGUUUUAAACUUAAAAUUAAUUUUUAUAAAGUUUUUGAAAAAGAAGGGAUGCUUAAGUGGGGAGCAGUGCUCAAGUGUUGACCGCUCAAGUGCCCCACAUUGCUUGAGCACCCAAAGCGCUCAAGCCACCUUUGUAAGCUCAAGCAAUCAUGAAUGUCUAGUCGAGAUUUUUUCACGCAAAAUUGAUUUGGAAGUCUUCUAAAACCAAACCUUUUGGGGAUUUAUUCCUAUAAAUACCACUUUAUAACCCCUUAAGGGUUAUAAAUAGUUUUAGAGAUUGGUGAGAGAUCUUACAUUCUUUAUAGAAAGUCUCUUAGAGAAAAAGCCUAACAAGCCACACCAUUCUUGAUCUCUCAUUCAAGGAUUUAAUCUUUGAAUCUUGGUUUGAAAAGCUACAUCCCUUUAGUAAGGUUGAAAUAUAUUCACUAGAGUGAUAGGACAUUGCUAUGUUGCAGACAUGGAUCAAGUUUUAAGUAUUGAAGAGUAAGUCUGUAGGGUAAAGUGACUAAGUAAAUCUAUGUAACUUGAUUUCAUAUAAUGGAUUUAGAUUAGCGAUCAUAAACUUCAUGGUUUUUUAUCUCCAUAGUUAGUGUGGGGGUUUUCCAUGUAAAAAAUCUUUUGUACCUCAUUGCUUAUUACUUGAUAUCUUGUUUGAAUUGCCUACAAUAGAAAUGAUUGAUAUACCCCGAUAUCUUGUAGGAUAAAAAUUGGGUAUAGCAUAUAAAUCUUUAUUUAAAUUUUUUAAUACAUCCUUAGCCCCCCUCCCCUAGGUGUCACCCUACUAGACUUAGGGGCUUUUUCAAACCAUAAGUUGGUUCACCCUGAGCUAUUGGUUUAUGUUGUUGACCAUCGUUAGUUGAUUCAUUUUGUUCAAUUACACUUGUUAGUCGAUUAAUAUAUAUAUAUAUAUAUUGUUUUCUCAUAUCCAACUUUGGUUUCUUGUGAUUCCUCCACCUAAAACCCACCAAUUAUUUUACAUCAUAAACCAGAGCUUCACCACUUGUUUUGUAUUCUAACCUUAACAAUUCAUCUUCUUUAAAAGUAACAUUUCUACUGAUUAUUGCAUUCCUCAAAUUUAGAUGCUACAACUUAUACCCCUUCACGUUAGUAGGAUAUCCAAGAAAUAAGCAUUUCUUUCUUUGCUCUUGGUUGCAACUUUUUAUCAUUUACAUGUGCAUUGUUGUUGACCCAAACACUAUAAGGUGUUGGUAACUUCCUUGUUUACCUGUCCAUAUUUCUUGAGGUGUUUUGAACUUUAUGGAACUCGAAGGGCAUUUUUUAAUCAAGUCACAUGUUGUAUGGAUAGCUUCCACCUAUAACUUUGUAGGUUAUCUUACAUUUAUCAACAUGCAUCUUACUAUUUCAAGAAUAGUACGAUUCAUCCUUUUAGCCAAGCCAUUUUUCUGAGAUGUACUCUUCACUGUUCUUGUUGGGAUUAAACCCCUAAAGAAAGGAAAUAAUGUAACGAAGUUAGACUUGAUUGUCCUCUUGCCAUCCAUUUAGUGUAUUGACAUUGAUUUGAGCAUUUAGCUCAUAUCUCUUACAUUAUUACAUGACUUGGGUGCCUUAGGAGUUGCACACAAGAUACAAGUCAUGAGUUCCUUAUAAGUACAUAAGUUGUCCACAAUUGGUUGAUGGAUUUGGUCUAUCCCAUAAAGAUUGUGGUGCACCACCUCCUAAUUGAAGAGAUGACUUAUCUUAGCCAUUAGAUGAGUUUUCCAUGAUGAGUGCACUAGUUUAUGUGAUGCACAUUGGACUGGACCUAUGGUGAAUGAUGAUGUAAGGCUAUUAAAUGUCAUGAUUCACCAAGCUAUUAUGCUGCAUGGACUCUUAACCUUGAAAGGAUAUUGAGACCAAUAGAAGGCUUUAACCUAUGGGAGAGACCCUAAAGUGGUCAUAUAUCCUUAUGGAUUAGGUCACUGUUAAUGGAGGCUAGUAACAAUAGUUAUUCUUAAUAGAGGCACCUUGAUAUCUCAUGGAAUUGAGACAAUGUAUCCCCUUAGGUGAUCCAAAGGACAUGUGAUCAUGAAAUUUGUGGUCACAAUAAUUCCUUUAGUGGAAUUUGACUUAUGCUCCUUGGAGUUAGAGCUAGAGUAUGUCAGUUAAUCAUAUAAUAAGUGGGAUCUAUAACUCAAGGAUUGGAGAGGUAAUCUUGAUCGGUGAUAGCAUUACAUUGUUAGAUUACGAACACCAAUUCAUAGGGAGUUUCAUGCAGUGGAUAGUAGAAUGUCAGGGACCUGAACUUUGUCUCGUUGUUAUGUACAUAUGGUAUUGGAGUGUUGUUGAGUCUCUUUAGUGGAAUAUUGAAUCAACUUCAAAAUUGGAUUUUGAUGGAGCCAGUACUCCUAUGGGUCCUAGUGGUCCUCGUUUUGAGUUUAUUAUCAUGUGACACAUUUUAUGAGGGUUGGAUUGACUCUAGGUUGAUUCUUGUGUAUAAGAGUAUUUUGGUAAUUAUGCAAGGUUGCAUAAGGGAUACUAGACAAGGUCUUUGGUUAGGGAUAAUUGAUAAAUUAGAUGACCCUAUGUAGUUAAUUAAUCAAUUAGGAGUCAUUUUGGGCUAGAUUAAGUGACCCAAGCCUUGAUGAGCUUAAGUCACUUAAGCACAAUCGGAAACCCUAUAAAUACCCAUUUAUGGGUUAGCGUUUCCUAAUGACUUUUAAUGAGAGUUGCUUUUGAUUACUACUCAAAAAGUGCUAUUUGAUAGCUUGUAAUUAACUCUUAUAAACGAUUUUGAGUAUUAGUUAUUGCCUUUUAACCCAAUUAACAUAUUAAGGACCUUUGCAAGCACUUCUAAUCAAAUUGUGUUAAGUUUUGGUGUUUUUGAUAGCUUUUAGCUACACCAAAGCAAUCCAAGAAUGAGGGAGAGCUGUAUAUAGUUUAUGGCAAAGCUUUUGGAAGCUCAAAUUCAUGAAGAACCAAGCUUUGGAGCUCCAUAGCCCUUUUCCAAAUUCGUUCAAAGUAUGCAAGGAAAGAACAAUGGAGAGAGGAAAAACAGAGUGAAGAAAACAGAGGACAGCAGCUGCAGUCUUCUUUCGCACUUUUGGAGCACUUCCCGAAGUCCAUUUUCUACAUGCUAUAUACCAUUUCAAAUCUCAGGAAGUCAAGAAUCCAAUGCUUCAAACGAUGCACAAUUCAGAGUUGAAAUGAAGGAGUUACAGCCAUUGCAAGCCGAUCACUCCAAGCUGAAGGAAGAAUUUUGCACAGCGUUGCGAAAUCACCCUUUUGUUGCGAAAUGAUUUCGCAGCCUUUUUGCACAGUGCUGUGGAUUUCCUCCUGAAGUUUCUCGAUAAUUACGACAUGUUGGAAGCCGAACACCACAAGCUGAAAGCCAACUUCGCAGCGCUGCGAAAUCAGCCUUUUGCUGCGAAGUGAUUUUGCAACCCUUUUUGUGCAUCUGCGAAAUCUCACAGACCUCGUUUUCACCUGCGAAAUGGUCCUUAGUGCUUCCCGAUAUUUGUGACCGACACUUUUAGAUCUUUUCUUCAGAUAUUUUUGUAUAAAUUUCCAUUUUCUCCUUGUAUUCAGCCACUCAUGUAAUUCCUUAGCUAGGAAGUAUCCAAGGAAGGGUAAAUUACCUUCCUAUAUAAACUCUCUUGUAAACACUAAAAAGAGGACUCUCAGGGAGUUUUAAUCAUGUAAUCCAAUAUAGAUAUAUAGAUAUAUAAAUAUAUAGAAUAUACAGAGCCUUGCUCUAUUUUUUCCUUCUCUUUCAUUUUCAUUUUCUUGCUAACCAAACUCUGAGGAUUUUUCCUCAGAGGAUGAGAGGCUAGACUUUUUGUCUCUUGGAGUGAGGAAAUCCGGGUAAGUUUCCACAUGCAUAAUUUGGAAGUUUUGUUGUUUUAGUUUUUAAUGAAGAGAAAAUGUGACCCAUUAAUGGUUUUUAUCUUUUUAGUUAACUUAAAAUGCCUUUAAAUCACCUGGGCCAACACUUGGUAAGGCAAGUGAUUUCCGUCCAUGAAGAUUCACUAGUUUAUCUCUUGCGAGCCUUUGGGAGGUGGUUUGAAGGUAGGAUUUUCUAGAAUAGCCAACACUUGGUAAGCUUUUGGACUCCACGAAGACAUCCAUUAGUUAUCUCUUGCGAGCUUUUGACGGGUAAUCCAAGGUUAAAGAUCACCUUGAAUGGCAAGUGCUAGGUGAGAGGUAUGAGCCAUUGCAAGGUGCAUUAGUGAGAGGGAUUUAGUGUUUGAACCCAUUAAUGGGAAGCAUCUGUACAACACUGGUUAGAGAAUUAACUAUAUGUUAAUUCUCUAAUGCGAGGAAAAGAAACAAGUGAUCGGAGCUCCCUUUUUGUAUGAGGAACCUGAGCCUAGUGAUCUGAAACUCCAAGAAACAUUUUUCUUUGUAAGUAAAAUCAGUUACUAUUUUUGGUUAGUUUAAAACCAAACCUUUUUCAUUCAAACAUCUUUAUGUUUUCUUUUAAAGCUAACCUUGAAAUGAAAAGGCACCAAUUCAACUUUGAAUUAAUAUCAUUUGUGAAGUGAAAACCCAUCCCAGUGAACGAUCCUAGAGCCACUAUACUAUAGUAGCUUUGUCUUUGCUACCCUAGUAUAUGGUGUAAUAGGUUAUAAAUUUUGUUGAUUACUCCCUCAAUCAAGGAGCACCAGCUGGACACAAAUUAGCUGAGACACCAAGUGGGCACGAAUCAAAUGGCGCCGCUGCCGGGGAUGGUGCCACUUUACAAUGAUAUCACCUUUUCAGAGUACUUGUGAUCUUCAUCACAAGUUUGGUGACUUUUCUUUUCCUUUUACUAACUCUUUUUAUUUCUUUAUUGUUCAUAUUUUAGUAUACCUUUUAUUUAGUUUUUAGUUUACCUAUAUUUUUUUUCUUUGAAUUGUUUUUUCUUUUAUUUUCUCUGUUUUUAAUUCACAAAUUGCUAGUUGUGCAUGCCAUAUUCAAUACGAGAUAGCAGAGGAAGCCAUGAACUUCAUGAGUUAUGUGGUUGAAGUUUCAAGAGGAUGGGAUGAACCAAAUGCUAGAGAUAUGGGGAGAAUGAAGUCUCAACCUAAUGCUAAGGGUGAGAUGUAUAUUUUGAAUGACGACAUAGACAUGAAGGCAAAGAUUGUAGCUAUGGCAAGGAGAUUGGAAGAGUUAGAAAUGAAGAAUAUGCAAGAAGUGCAAGCCAUCUCUCAAACACCAUUGCUACCUAUGCCUUGUUCCAUUUGUCGAUCAUAUGAGCACUUGGUGGAUGAGUGUCCUACCAUUCCAGCCGAGAGGGAAAUGUUUGGUAAUUGCAACACCUACAAUUCCAAUUGGAGGGACCAUCCAAAUUUCUCUUGGAAACCACAGCCACCUCAGGAUCAGCAACCUGCUCAAGCACCACAGCAAGCCUCAAACCUUGAACAAGCUAUGUGAUUACUACUCAAAAAGGGCUAUUUGAUAGCUUGUAAUUAACUCUUUUAAACACUUUUGAGUAGUAGUUGUUACCUUUUAACCCAAUUAACAUAUUAAGGACCUUUGCAAUCACUUCUAAUCACUUUGUGUAAGUUUUGGUGUUUUUGUUAGUAAUUUGAUCACCAAAGCAAUCCAAGUUUGAGGAGAGUUAUUUGGAAUCCAUGGCAAAGCAAUGGAAAGCUCAGAAACAUAAAGAGCCAAAGAUUUGAAGCUUUAAAGUCCUUUGCCAUAAGCAAUCUGGAAUGCAAGGAGGGGAAGUAAAGAGAAUAUCUGCCAUGAAGCAUUCUUGAUGACAGUCAUUUCAGCCACUUUUGGAGCACUUCCUGAAGUCCAAUUUAUACAUGCUAUAUGUUGUUUCGAAGAUCAAGAAGUCAACAAUCCAAUGCUUCAAACAGUUCAUGAAUCGAAGUUGAAAUGAAAAAGUUAGAGUCAUUGGAAGCAGAUCACUCCAAGUUGAAGGCCAAUUUCGCAGGGCUGCGAAAUCAGCCUUUGGCUGUGAAAUGAUUUCGCAGCCAUCUUUUUCAUCUGUGAAAUUUCGCAGCCAUUUUUGUGCGCCUGCGAAAUUCUCCUGAGUGCUUCUAGAUAUUUGCGACCGACAUAUUUUGAUAUUUUGCUUCAGAUAUUUUAUGUUUAAAUCCCAAUUCUCUCCUUGUAAUCCACCAAUUAUGGGAUUCCUUAGUUGUUAAGCAAGAACACAAGGGUAAACAACCUCUUAUAUAUUGUUCUGUAAUUUUCAUUUUUUAACACACUCGAGAGCUUGUUCUUAAAGAAUCAACUUUUUGUAUAUUUUGAAAGGAAGUAAAAUACAAAGCUUUGCUCUACCUUACCUUCUCACUUUGAUUGUAUGUUUCAUUCACUAGCCAAACAAGCUCUGAAGAUGUUUCUUCAGAGGAUGGGUGGCUAGUCUUUUUGUUCCUUGGAGCUAAGGUAGCCGGGGAAAGGGCCGAAUGCAAGAAUUGGUAGUUUUGUUGUUUCAGCUGUUAAUGAAGAGAAAGUGUAACCCGUUUAUGAUUUCUAUGUUUUUAGUUAACUUAAAACGCCUUCAAUUCACCUGAGCCAACACUUGAUAAGGCAAGUGAUCUCCGUCCAUGGAGAUGCACUAGUUUACCUCUUGUGAGCUUUUGGAAGGUGACCUGAAGGUAGGAUUUUCUAGAAUUGCCAACACUUGGUAAGCUUUUGGACUCCAAGGAGACAUCUAUUAGUUAUCUCUUGCGAGCUUGAGAAGGGAAGUCCAAGGUUAAUGAUCACCUUGAAUGGAAAAUGCUAGGUGAGAGGCACGAGCCAUUGCAAGUUGCAUCAGUGAGAGGGAAUUAAAGCUGAAAUCCAUUUAAGGGAUGCAUUUGUACAGCACCGAUUAGAGAAUUGACUAUAUGUUAAUUCUCUAAUGCGAGGAAAUGAAUCAAGUGACCGAAGCUCUGUUUUUGCAUGAGGAACCUCCCCUGUGAACCUGAACCUCCAAGGAAUGUUUUUCUUUAUAAAGUAAUUCCCAUUACCUUCUUUUUAGUUAGAUUGAAACCAAACCUUUUUCAACCAAAGUUUAUGUUUUCUUUUGAAACUAACCUUGAAAUGAAAAGGCACCAAUUCAACUUUGAAUUGGUAUCAGUUGUAAGUUGAAAACCCUUCCCAGUGAACGAUCCUAGAGCCACUAUGCUAUACUAGCUUAUGCUAUCCUAGUGCAUGGUGAUAUAGGUUAUAAAUUUUGUUGAUCACUCCCAUCAGGGGACCAAAAUCAAGGUACACCAACUGGGAAAACACGAAUCAAAUGGCGCCGUUGCCGGGGAAGGUGCCAACUUCACAGUGAUAUAAUUUCAGAGUACUUGUGAUUUUCAUCACAAGUUUGGUAAUUUUUCUUUCAUUUUAUUAACUCUUUCACUCUUUUCUUUUACUUGUUUAUACUUUAACAUAUCUUUUAUUUAAGUUUUAGUUCAUUUUAAUCUUUUUGUAGUCUUGUUUUCUUUUGUUUUUCCUUUGUUUUUGUUUUGGUUACAGUUGAUACUAGUUGUGUAUGCCAAAUUGGGUACGAGAUAGUGGAGGAAGACUUGUUAAACGUGAUACACCUCAUAACAAGGAAUUGGAAUUGAGUUUGAAAAUCAUGGAAGCUACGCCUGAAGAUCAGCAUAGUCACCAUGGUCACCAGGACAAUCCCAAUGCUUUCAGAUCAAUGAGGGACCGCAUGUAUCCACCUCGUAUGAGUGCACCAUCAUGUAUAGUGCCCCCUACAGAGCAGCUAGUGAUCAGACCGCAUAUUGUUCCACUUCUACCAACUUUCCAUGGGAUGGAAAGUGAGAAUCCCUAUGCACAUAUCAAGCAAUUUGAAGAAGUUUGUAAUACAUUCCAAGAAGGAGGAGCUUCAAUCGACUUGAUGAGGCUUAAGUUAUUUCCUUUCACUUUAGAGGAUAAGGCCAAGAUUUGGCUUAAUUCUUUAAGGCCAAGGAGUAUUCGUACUUGGACUGAUUUACAAGCUGAAUUCCUCAAGAAGUUUUUUCCUACUCACAGAACAAAUGGCUUGAAAAGGCAAAUCUCAAACUUCUCAGCUAAAGAGAAUGAGAAAUUCUAUGAGUGUUGGGAAAGAUACAUAGAAGCCAUUAAUGCUUGUCCUCACCAUGGUUUUGAUACAUGGCUAUUGGUGAGCUAUUUCUAUGAUGGGAUGUCUUCCUCAAUGAAGCAACUCCUUGAGACAAUGUGUGGAGGAGAUUUCAUGAGUAAGAAUCCGGAGGAAGCUAUGGAUUUCUUGAGUUAUGUGGCUGAAGUUUCAAGAGGAUGGGAUGAACCAAACAAAGGAGAAGUGGGAAAGAUGAAGUCUCAACCGAAUGCUUCUAAUACUAAGGCUGGGAUGUACACUUUGAAUGAAGAUAUUGAUAUGAAAGCAAAAUUUGCAGCUAUGACAAGAAGAUUGGAGGAGUUAGAACUGAAAAAGAUGCAUGAAGUGCAAGCUGUUGCUGAAACACCAGUGCAAAUACAGCAGCCGUGUCCUAUUUGUCAAUCUUAUGAACAUUUAGUGGAGGAGUGCCCUACAAUUCCAGCUCUAAAGGAGAUGUUUGGGGAUCAAGCAAAUGUUAUUGGACAAUUCAGGCCCAAUACCAAUGCUCCGUAUGGAAACACCUACAACUCAAGUUGGAGGAAUCAUCCAAAUUUCUCAUGGAAGCCAAGAGCACCUCAGUCUAGAGAGAGAACCCUAGUCUUCAACCUUGAGAUUUCCACAUCUCAGUGCCUAGACUUAAGAAGGAGUCAUCGAGUGGAUGAUUAUGGGUUUGCAAGAUCUUUCUUAAAUUUGGAGCUUUCUAUACUAACAAAAAUUGAUUUGGGAACAUCAUAAUAAUACAUAUAACACUUUUCUCUAGAUCCAUGAUAUGUUUUUGUUUUUUAAAUACCAAAGCUUUCAACUAUGCUUAGAUCUAGAAAGCAUAAGAUAGGAUUACAUGCACCCUAAUAAUCCAAGGCCUAGAAAUAGAGUGAUCUAAGGUUUCCUAACAAAUAUAACCCAAUAAGUAAGAAUGAUUUAUAGGAACUUAAAUUUCUUAAAAAAAGAAAAGAAGUUUAUUGGAGUAAGAUAGGUAUACAAGAGAAGGAAAAAUGCAAAAGGAGUAGAAAAAUACAAAGCAACAUUGGUGAAAAGGAUUACAAGCAAGAAUAAUGCACCAACAAGAGGAGGGUAUUUGCUCUCAUUGCUCUUUUAGUAACUAUAAUAUUAAUAAUCUCUCCGGUAGCUCAAAAUAGUUGAAAAUUUUCAAAUGGAUGUGAAAUCCAAUUUUUUGAAUUGACAUCUUGAAGAAGAAGUGUAUGUAGAACAAACCAUAGUUGGCAUAUAUAUAUAUAUAUAUAUAUAUAUAUAUAUAUAUGGGCAUGAGAAUAAAGUUCCAAAAUCGAAAAUAGCCUUGUACGGAAUAAAACAAACACUAAGAGCAUGGAAUAAUAGAAUUGGCCAAUAUUUUCAUAAUAAUUUUGUUUGAUACCUUUAUGAACAUGCUCUAUGCAUAAAAGUGAAUGAAAAAAGUGAUAUAUUACUUGUUUGUUUGGAUGUGAAUUGUUUGAUCUUUAUUGGAACUAAUCCAAUCAUGUUUAGUGAGUUCAAAGAAGUAAUAGGAUAAAAGUUUGAGAUGAUUGGGUUAGUCUCAUAUCAUACUCUCUUAGCAUAGACUUGAAGCUAAUUGAAAAUUGUACUUUUUAUUUCUCAAGAAGACCAUGCAAAAUAAAUUUUUAGAAAGUUUAACUUGAAUAUGUGUAAUAUGGUAAACACAACAAUAUAAUGCAAAGCUAAAUUAUUAAAGACCUGUAGAGGAAGAAAAAGCGGAUUCAACGUAACAUAAAAUCUUAGUUAGAACCAUACACUAUUUGACUCGUACAAGUUCAAACAUUUUCUUUGAAGUUGGAUUUGUCUGUCAUUAUACAGAAGCACUAAUGAUUAUUUACACUAAGACCCCCUAGUGAAUUUUUCACUACAUCAACGACACAUUUGAUUAUGACUUAUAUUAUUCACCUUUAACAAUUUUAGACUUGGAUGAUACAAAGAGAACAAAUAGCUUUAUAUUGCUUAUGGGAGAGAUACUGUGUUCACUUGGACUUCAAAGAAGCAACCUAUUGUGAAACUUUCAACCUAUGAAGUGGAAUUUGUAUUGGCAUCAUGUGUACAUAGGUCACGGAAUUUGGCUUAGAAAUUUCUUGAAGGAAUUUAAUUUACCACACAAGAAACCAAUAAUGAUCCAUAUGGAUAUAAAACCAACAAUUACCUUAUGAAAAAUUCUCCAUGAUAGAAGCAAGUACAUUGAUACAAAAUAUCAUUUAUUGAAGAGUAUAUAAAAUAUGGAGUGCAAUUAAAAUUUACAAAAUCUCAUAAUCAAAUUAUGAAAAUGUUUACAAAGUCUCUCAAGUUUAACGAUUUUAGAAAGCUAAUGAUGCUACUUUAACAAAUCAAGUUGAAGACAUGAGUGAAAAUGUUGACCAAGUUUAAAAUUUUAAAAAAAUAAGGAUGUUAUUUUUACAAACCAAUUAGGUUGAAGGGAGGAUGUUAGUUAAACUGGAUUUAGGAAGUUUCUAAAAAUUAGAAUUUGAGUUAGAUUCUAAAAUUCUUGAUUUAGUUUGUAUAUUUUGCUGUUACAAGAUUUUAUAUUUUACCAUUAUGAGUAUCUAUAUUUUUUUAGGUGUUAAUAUCAAUAAAUAAGAUGUUAUGUAAUAGUUGAACAAGAGCGGUGGAAGACAAUCAUCUCAAUUAUUUAAAUAUCUCCUUUUACAUAUGUAAUUACUUGUGUGUUUUUCAACCAUAUUACUGCAACAUAUGUGAAUCUGCCGAUUGGUCUAUGAAAAUUCAUAUAAGUUGUUCAACCUAUUAAAUUCUAUUAGGCUUGUGUAACAGUAUUUAGAUCAUAACAUCUUUCCCUAAGCCCGUAUUUUAUUAAAUAUAUAAUUAAAAUUGUUGUGUUUGCAAUUUUAAUGAAAUCUAGCAUUGGAUACUUAACUACAUCCCCACAAAACGACAAAAAAUGGUGGCGAUUUCAUGGAGGCUAACCAUUCACCUGCCUUUAGUCAAGGAUACCCUAGAUUUCAACAGUAAAGUAAUUAUCUCAAUCAAAACACAAAAUUUAGUUUUCUAAACAAUUAUUGUUCUUGGAAAACAUGCAAGGAACUUAAGCAUCAUAAAGUACUUAAGCAAUCCUAGUUGGACGUUCAGUAUCUUUUCAUUAAUUGGUUUUUCUCUUUUUGUGCCAACGUCUACUCUCUCUCUCUCUCAAGCCUGCUAGCGUAAGUGGUAGGCACCUCUUUUAUGUUUUAAAUUAAUUGAAUACUUGAUCUUAUUCCACCAUUCUUUUGGGUCUAACCCAAAAAUACAUUUACCAUGCCUCCUUUUCAUGUCCUUGACUUACUCAAAAGCUCAUAAGUCCCAUUGGAUAUGAUGUACUGAGUUUUAGAUUUUGAAGUAAAAUUAUCAACAUUGUCUAGCAUAUAUACUAAUAGGUUAUACUCUUUUUAACAAUUUAAAUUGUUUUUGUUAAUAGAUUAUAUGGAUGUUUUAACACUCAGAGAAAUUGAAAUGAAGCCAAAUAUGCAGAAAAAAGAAAUGGUUGUGACCAAUAGUUAUAUUUAUUCUCUUUAAUUUUUAGGGAUAGAGUAUCAACAAUCCUUGUGAUGAGUUAAUAAUGCUGAGAAAAGUCAAUGACUACACAAUGUAGCUUAAAACCAAAUAUGUCAUCAAAGAAGACAUCAAUAAUAACCCCACACAAUGAUAUGUUGUAUAAUUCAUUACUUGUAUCAAACACAAAUUUCCUUCAAUGUGUGUCUAUGAAUAAAAGAGAGUUCUUGGUUUAUAUUUGACAUACACGCUAUAUAGGCCAUGCUAAUAAUAGCAAUUGAUAAUAAGAAUCUCAACACUGAAGUCCACGUAGAAUCAGGUGUGCACCAUAUUGGGGUUGCAUAGUUAGGAUACUGAAAGAAGCAUGAGUAUAGGAUGGCGAAAGUUCAAAUGAGAAGUGUUAUAAGAUCAUUGCCAAAGCUAUUUUUGCCUCCAUCAUUGCAAAAUUUUGUCCAAUGCAUACCCGAGGACCCCAACCAAAUGGGAAAAAUGAAACUUGGUUUUUUGUUGCCUUCAAAACUCCUUCUGCAAACCUCUCUGGAUUAAACUCCUUUGCAUCAUCCCCCAAAAUUUCAUGAUCAUGGUGAACUAGGAUGGUGGACAACAAGACCUGCACUCCAGCUGGAAAACACAUGUCUCCCACUUGAGUGUCCUUAUAAACAACUCUAGGAAGCAUUGCUACUAGUGGGUAUAACCUAAGAACCUUAUGAAAAAUCAUGGUGGCCUGUGGUAGAGAAACUUUAGAAGUUGUUGCAUGAGAAUUCUUACUAAAAUAGAUUUCAAAUCAUUAUGAAGGACACUGAAGAAUAAAGCAAUUUCUUAAAAUAGUGAUGCAGAAGAGAAAAUGUUCUAAAUCAUGCAUGACAAAAUAUCAAGUAUGCAAAGGACAUUGCAUAUCCCAUGGACAUAAUAACUUAAGAACCUCAUGAAAAAUCAUCAUAAUCUAGCAAAGAAAUUUGAAAUCAUGGCAUGAGAACCCGUUCCUGAGCUACUAAGUGAAAGCCAAUGUUUAGUAUAAGAUAUAAAAACUCAAGAGAAAUGUGUUUUCAAUUUUACUUCAAUUAUGGGUGGGGGGGGGGGGGGGGGGGGGACCCAAAAAAAAAAAAAAUUUUUGGAAAAACCCAAAAAAAAAAAAGGGAAAAAAAACCCCCAAUUUUUAGGGAAAUAAACCCCCCACCCCCCCCUUUUUUAUCCCCAAAAACCCGAAAAACCCCCCCCCCUCCAAAAACUUCCCCAUUUGAAAGCCCCCCAAAAAGGGCCCUUUUCCAAAAAAAAAAAAAAAAAGGUUUUUUUUGGCCCCAAAAAAAAAAAAAAAAAAAAAAACCCCCCAAAAAAACCUUUAAACCCCCUCCCAACCCCCUGGUAAAUUAAAGGUUCUGAAAAUUCCCCAAAAAGGGAUCCCCUUAAAAAACCCAAAAAACCCCCAAAAAAAUUUUUCCCCCCCCCCCUUCCCCCCCCCCUUUUUUAAAAAAAACCCCCCAAAAAAGAAAAAACCCCCUUGCCAAUUUGCCCCCCCCCCCCCGCAACCUUUGGGGGAAAAANNNNNNNNNNNNNNNNNNNNNNNNNNNNNNNNNNNNNNNNNNNNNNNNNNNNNNNNNNNNNNNNNNNNNNNNNNNNNNNNNNNNNNNNNNNNNNNNNNNNGGGGGGGGGGGGGGGGGGGGGGGGGACCAGAGUACUAUACGAUUUUAGUGAGAAUCACUAAACUGAAGAUUGGACUAAGUACUCACAAUUUUUAGGUGAUUUAAUCCAUCAACUUCCCAUUUUUUAUUCCCAAAAACCUGUAAAACCUCUUCUCUUGCAUGAGCUUGCCAGUUUGGAUGCUCGCUUAGCAGGGCCAUUGUCCAUACAAGCAAAACUGAGGUUGUCUUUUGGCCAGCAAGAUAGAUAGAAUAGCUUACACUCUUCAAUGACAUCUUUGACACUCAUUCCAAUCUUCUUGUUAUUUUGAUGUUCUUGAAUUUCUCUAAAAUUGGAUUCCAUUAGUAUACCUAAUAAGUCACUAUUAGCAGUUUUGCCAGCCUUCAUUGCCUUCUCUCUUUUGUUAAUGAUACCCCUCAACAAUGCAUAUACUUCUUUGCUUAUUUGCUUCAUCCUCCUGUUCAUCUUUGUGGGUAAAAACCUAUGCGCAUGUUAGUAAUUCUAGUAAAUAAAACAUCACAUGAAACACACAGACAUUAAUUCUUAUUUUCAUCCAUGCCUUCUACUUCUCCAUUAAUUUUUUGAAGCUUGUAUAAGGCUUCAAAGGUAGAAACUAUCAAGACAAUAACUAAUGGUUUCAUCUACACAUGUGUUGCAGUGGUAUCUCAUCAUCUUGAUAUAAUAUCCUGUGAACAUAAGAUUAAGGAUACUAAACAUCAAUUAGUGAAACAUACUACUUUCUAAGUGUUAUACAAAAGAAGUAAUUGACUAAAAGGGAAUGAAAUGAUCUCAGAGUUGUAAAUCUAACAUCUCUUAUGCUAAACCUUGAAAAGUAAUCCAUUUUAAACAUAAAUUCCCUUCGAACAUAAAUUCCCUUCAACCUUGUUAACCAAACACACACUUGAGCACUGUGAAACUUUCAACCUAUGAAGCGAAAUUUGUGUUAGCAUCAUUUGUAGGUCAUGAAAUUUGUUCAAGAAACUUAGUUUACCACACAAGAGACUGAUAAAGAUCUAUAUGAAUAUAAAAUCAACAAUUACCUUAUGAGAAAAAUCUAGUUCUCCAUGAUGGUGUUGAGUUUUGAAUUUUGCCUUAGUAUAUGCUGGAAUUUGAAUUUUGAAGUUAAAUUUUACAGUUGGAGUCUUGCACAAAAUCUGCAACAUCCAAAUAUUUUCUUGUUUUUAUUUGGUCAAGAUUUGGUUUCUAUUUUAUAGGAAAUAGUUGUUCAUCAUCUAGUAGCUUGAUUUUAUGCCAUUAUAAUGUUAUUUCAGUUACAAGCUCAUGUAUAAAUUCAGCACUCUUCAUCAAUAAAAUGUGUGUUCCAACAGUCCAAAAAUAUAUAUUCUGCAUAAGUGUUUUAAUCUAAGAUCAACAGAUGGAAGCCAACAAUGCAUGCCCCUACGAUUCAAAGUAUAUUAAAUUGAGCACCUUUCCUAUGAUUCAAAGGUUGCAUGCCCUCUCAACAAUUGAACCCAACAAGAGCACUCAAGUUGUGCAUGUCUAUAACAUCUUAAUUGCACUUUUCCCUACCACUAUAAUAGCAUAUCCCUUGGGUCACUCACCAUGCACUGUCACGCCCCAAAACCCACUCCAAGGGCAUGACGAUCUUUUCACACCUCAAGCCCAAGGGGUCAAAGUGAAAAUGACACAAGCAUUCAUGUUGUAACUGAAAAUUUACCAAUUACCAAAUUCCUAUUCAAGAUAGUAGGACAAAAUUCUAAAAUCUCCAAGUAUCAACAUUAAAAAAAACUAAUAUAUCAACCAAGGUGUUAUUGUCCAAAUAACUUCAAACUCAAAGUAAUUCAAACUAGAAUUAAGUUUUAACAUUUAAACAAUGUCCAAAAUAAAGAGAGUUUAAACAAAUGUCCUAAUAAAGCCAAAUUUCCUUCCUAACGGUCACUCCUUGCCCAAACUGAGGUUGACUGAAAGAUUAUCAACAAAGGGGGAUGAGCUCAAAGCCCAAUAAGGAACAUUAAUACAAUUUCAUGGAUCAAACAUUUUCAAUUAUGCUUGCAAAUAAGAGAUAUAACAUAUACUUAUUUUCAUAAAAAAAAUUUGAGUUCAAAAUGGUAAUACAUUCAAACUUUUCAACAAAAUUUUCUCAUAUCCAUUUCAAAACAAUUUCUAAUCAAGCCAAAUCAAAUAUAUUCAAAAUAUCUUUACUCUAGUUAUCGUAUGACAAAUGGUACCCAAUUAGGAGGGACUUCACAAUUGAGUAACUAGUUUCAAAUUUGUUCCAUUUAAGGUGAACAAACCCAAAUGUCAACAAUUAUAACCCGUUGACUCGGGCCAUAGCAUCAACUAUUAUAACCCGUUGACUAGGAUCAUAUAAUAUCAACUAUUAUAACCCGUUGACUAGGCCCGAAAAUGUCAACAAUUAUAACCUGUUGACUAGGACCAUAUAAUCUAGAGUCAAAUACUUUAUUUCAUUAAUUCAAACUUACAAAACAAAACAUCGUAUCUCCUCAAUUUUUCAUUUUUCAUAAACAAAGAAAAUACUCAAAUAUACUUUCCAUACAAAACAUAUAUUUGAUCCAUGCUUAAAUAUAAAAAUAAUAUUUUUACACAUUUCAAAAUACAAUAUAAAAAGAAAAUUAUUUUCUUUUACAAAAAUCUAUAUUAAUUUCCCUUACAUUGAAGAAACACUCAAAAUCUUGAAGUAUUUAACUUUGAAGGAUUUCCUCCUCACUUAACAUAAUAUCAUACACAAUAUUGAUUAUUGAUUAUUUAUCUAAAUGUAUAAAUUUGACAAUCCUAAAAAUAUUUUAUUUAGCAUUAGGGAUCCUAAUUAAUUUCUUAUGUUAAUAUUAUUACCAUCCACUAUUAUUUUCAACUUCCUAAACAAUAAUUUAUUUCUCUUUUCUAACUUAUCUAAAUUAGAUAUUUUAAGAAUAUUUAUUUGCAUUAAACUAUUAUUACUAUUAUUUAAAUCUCCUAUUGAAACUUAACAAAUACCCCAUGCAAUUCUAUUUUUGUUCCCAACAACUCCAUUCAUUAUCAUUAUUUCUUUUAUUAUUAUUAUUAAUUUCAAUACCCAACAACACCUUAAUCUAUUUCUCUUCCAAGCCAUCAACGUCCUUUUCUUCCUCAUUGUUUACCAAAAUACUAUUUACUUCCUUUCCUAGGUCAACGUGUUGGCCAUUUCUUGGGUUUUUUUUUUCUUUCAACAUGCCAAAUCCUUCCUACUAACACACUUCUUUCAUCAAAAUUUUUUUCUCCUCUCUAAAGUCAAAACUUUUAACCUCCAUACUCACAAAUUUUAUAUAAUUUUCACAUCCGAAACUAUGUAUAUUUGUCUAGAUCUAUUCGUUUGAGUAAUCAAAAUUUGUCGAUCUCCAUUAAUAAAUCAAACCAUGUUCAUAAAUUUUUAAUAUUUUUUAUCUAGAAAUUAAUUAAACGAACUCUAAUCAAAAUCGAGAUAUUUCAAAUAAUAUCUAAAGUGUUCAAAACUAAUUAACGAAUAUAAAAUAUUAAUUUAAAGAUUAAAAGUCUUACUUGAAAAAUUGAUCUUCAAACCCUGAACCUCCAAAUCUUCAAUUGUCUGCUCUCUAAUCUUUCUGAUCUCUGUGUAAAAGGGUUUUUUGAAUAGCGAGGAUGGAAAAAAAAUCUAAUUUAUACCUAAGGGUUUUAAAUACCAAAAGACUUUUUUAACCUUAUUAAAUUACUUAAUUAAUUAUUAAUUUUUAAAUUACGAUUUUACCCCUAAAUUGGGUUUGGGGCAUUACAUGCACACUAUUCCCAUUCUUGCAAAGGUUGAGCUCCUAAGAAAACUUAUUCCAAUUAUUUGGAUAGGAUUUGUUAGGUAGUUUCCUAUUUCUUUCUAUAUAUUUGACUUAUUUUUGUAGGUUUCCUACAAUUAUAUAUAUAUAGAGGAUAUUUUCUCUUCUUUUCUCUAUGAACGAAUAUAUGACUGGGUAAAAUUAAGCUACAGGUUUCUUAAUGGUAUCAAAGCCAACUUCUGAUUACUAGGAAUAAUGAUUAAAAUAACAAUGAUAGGUGCUUCCAAUUAUGAUAACAACUUGAAGGAGGCAGAAAGAAAACCUAUCCCUCAUUAGAAUUUUGUGACCAAUGGUCAUGGUCACUCUUCUUAGCUAAUUACCUCUCACAAAUUAACUUAAUGGAGAAAAUUAUCUUUAAUGGUCUCAAUUUGUCAAACCUUUCAUUUGUGGGCAUGGACAAAUUGAAUAUUUUAUUAGAGCAACAUCAAUACCACAAGGAACAAUUCUCAUCGAGACAUAGGAAGUAGAGAAUGCCAUGAUUAUGUCAUGGCUGAUCAACUCAAUGGAACUCAAGAUUAGGAAGACAAACAUGUUCAUGCCCAUAACUAGAGAGAUCUAGGAGGUUACAAAGGAAACCUAUUACAACUUGAUAACUUGCCCAGGUCCACAAGAUAGUCAUACAAAUAAAAUACCAAGCAAGGUAAUAUGAAUGUAAUUUGGUACUAUAAUACACUCAAAACCCUUUGGUAAGAACUUAAUUUGUUCUAUGAUUAUGAAUAACAUUGUGCACAAGAUAGUGAAAUAUUCUAAAAGAUGAUUAAGAAAGAUCGAGUAUUUGCAUUCCUAGUGGGGUUUAAAUAAUAAAUUAGAUGAGGUUUAAAGUAGAAUUCUUAGUUGUGAAUAAUUCUAGCAAAAUCUGAUACCUCUUUACUUAACACUACCCUAGCUAUAAAAAACAGUAAGCUUCACAUUUCGACCAAUGAUCCAAAAUUCAAAAGGAUCCAUAGAAGGCCCUAGUGUGACCAUCAUCUCCUCUCAAUGCUUCCAGAAUUCAAAAUAUCCAUUGACAAGUGAUUAACCAUCAUCUUUUCCAAAUGCAUCCUUAGAUGUCAUAUACCUAAAGGUGUUCAAAUUCAUAAGAUAUUGACUAAGUCUAGAUAUUAAGAAGAAGUUAUAUCAUCCUCUACCAUUAGAAAGAAGAAGAUACAUUAUCCUUUACUAGUGAAAGCACAUAUGCCAUCAUCUCAACAAAUCAAGCAUGCGUGCAAAUCUAUCUUCUUGGUCUUUUAAUUGUGGUCGAGAAAAUAUUAAGGAAGUACUUAAUUUGAAGCAUCUCUUCAUCAUCUAUAAUGGUUGUAGUUUCCAAUCCAAUAAUUGUACUCCUUUGAAAGUGGUACAAAUUAUUCUUCCUUAUUCCUUGCAUCACCACAAGUUUACUCGGCAUAACUUUCAAAAUCCCAUCUUUUAUAGUGACAAUAUUGAACCCUAUGGGUUCUAAUUCUCCCAUUGAGAUGAGACACUUAUUCAUACUAGGAACAUACCAAACAUCACUCAAAAUUUUAGUUGAUUCAUCAUGAGUCUUCAAAUGGAUGGUAUCUAUUAUUGUUAUCUCACAAGCAUUAUCAUUCCCCAUGUAAACAACUCUAUCUUAUAGUUCUUCAAAGCAAGAAAACCACUCCUUGUAGGAAUGCAUGUGAAGGUGGACCCAAUAUCCAAAAUCCAUUCAUCUAAGUUAUAAAACAAGGAUAAGCAAACCAAAGCAAAGUUUAACCCAUCUUCUCCAAACUUAGCCACACAAGCAUCAAAUACUAUCUCUUUUUUAUUCUUCUUUUGUAGCUUAGGACAAUCAUUAUUCUGACACUACCAAAAUUAAGUAUAGUUGAUCCAUUUAUAUUUACUUUUGCGACAGAUUUAAGCUGACGCAAAUUUCUAACACACCUAUUCCACCGCAAAUUGAAUUAUCCGUCGCUUAUAUGUAACUAUUUACCAACGGUAAUUGCAAUAACAAAUACCUGUUGGAAAAAAUAUUAUUGCAAGGGAUUUAAACUAUUGCAAAUGUUCAACUAAUAUACUUUGUCACAAAAGCAAUUUACCUGUUUUUUUUUUAUUUUUAAAAAAGUGAAAUUUCAUAAAUAAUUUUUUCUAAGAAAAUUACUACUCACUAAAAUAGUUUUAUUAUAGUGGAUAAUAAUACCACACAUAAUUUGUUCCAAAAAUAAUUGUUGUCUUAUGAAUAUAAAAUCUUUUCACCAUAGUUGUAUGAUAAAUACGAUCUAGCUAGUGACAAAACAAUUUUAUGAUUAUUUUUUUAGGUUCAUACAAUAUUUACAUUUUUUUAAUCAUAAUAGUUUUAACAUUUUAAUAUUUUUUAACUACUUUUUAUUGUCCAUUUUAGAAAAAAAUAAAUUAAAAAUUAUUGAUAUAUAUAUGUGUGUGUGUGUGUAUUUGUAUGUAUGUGUGUUUGUGUGUAUGUAUGUAUGUAUGUAUGUAUGUAUAUAUGUAUGAUAUAAUUUAUGAUAUCGAAUAAUAAUAUUUAAAAUUUAAAAAUACAAUUUAUAGAGAUUUAUCUAAUUUGAAUGUAUUCAAUAACAUAAAAAAAUGAUAGUACAUGUAUAAGUAUUUUUAUUUUAAAAUGUUGAUAAUUUUAUUUAUAAAUUUAUAUUUAUUCUAUAUUUAAUUAUUAUACAAAAUACACAUGAAUCAUAAUUAAUUAAUUUAUAUAUAUAUAUAUACAUUAAUUUAUGCAUGUAUAAUUUAUAUAUAAUAUGUAUUUAUGUAUAGAUAAUAUUUAUAAUAUAAAUGCAUAAGGAUAGAAUAUUUACAUUUAUGAAUCUUAUAUGCAUUCUUUAUAUUGCACAUAACAAAGUUGACUUGGUGGCACAGUUGCUUUCUUUCAAACUUGAGGUCAAGGGUUCAAUCUCGAGAAACAACAUCCAAGCCAAUAUCCAAAACUAGCAAGGAGAGGGGUGUUCAAGAUGCUCCAUGUGAAUGUAAUGAAAUCGAAAUUUCAUGACAACCUAAAAUAUUUUAUUAUUUACAUUUCUCAGCCAACUUAAUCCAUUGGUAAUAGUGAUAGUCUAAAUCCAUUGGAUAGUUUUUCACUAAAUAUUUUUUAUUGGCAGCAGAAAAUUCCCAUCGAUAGACUUUUUGCCUACACUCCUUUCCUUAACUACCAUGCAACGGGAUUAUCGGUUGGUAAAUGUUUAUUUAGACCAUGUAUAUCAGUCGAGGAAAGUCAAAUUUCUUGUAGUGUGAUGACCCUUGUCAUGAAAAAGGACACAUUCAUCUUUUGCAAGUAUACAUUUAAAUUAAGAAUUGUCUCAUUUUCUAGGUUUUCAACUUUGAGAUUAGGCAUUAACUGUUAAAGCUUCCAAUGAUAUAUCUCUAUGAUUGUUUUGGUCCUUCUUCCUUUAUUCAGAGCUUAGCAAAGUGGAAUGCACAACAUCAAAAGUAAUCUUAUCCUUACCAUAAAGUAAGGUGAUGGUAAGAUUUUCUUACACAUCAAGAAGCAAAUUCACUAACAAUAAGGCCUUAUUCUCAUCUUCAAUGAUCUAAUCUAAAUUCAAAAAAUUUGCUCUGAUUCUAUCAAAUUCAUGCAUAUGAUCAUUCAUAGACAUAUCUAGUUGAUACUAGAAGCAAAUAAGUUUUUUCUUCAAAUAUAGUUGAUUUUCUAGACCUUUUUUCUUAUACUUGUCCUCCAAUGUCUUCCAUAAAUGUUUUUGUGGAUAUCUCUUUCAUAAUGGAAUAAUUUUAAGCUUUAACAAGAUAUAAGUGGAUGGAACUAUAAAAUUGACAAUUGAUCCCUUACCCAUUCUUUAUCAUUCAUGUUUUCAGGUUUUUCUUCCAAAACAAUAUCUAAUUCCUAUUGACAUAUCUAAUUAAUGCCUCUUGCUACCACAUUCCAAAAGUACUAGUCCUAUCAAAUUUCUCUAUUACAAAUUUUGCAUUAGUAACUAGAGUUUUAACUAACGAAAUUUUUACCUUUUCUUUUAACUAGUGCAAUAACAAAUAACCUUGAACUAUCCUUGAAACCAACCUUGGAUAGAACUAAGGCUCUUAUACCAUUUUUUUGUGCUUUAACAUAAUCCCACAAGACUUCCAAAAGUACCAAAUAAAAUACAAACUAAACUAGUCCAUAAUAUAAAGAUAAAUAGCAAGAGAAAUAAAAAUAAAAGAGGGUACACAAUAUUUAUGAGGUUUAGUAAGGAUGUCUUACCUAUAUCAUUGGACAAUGAUGAUCAACCCACUAAUCUUCAAAUCAAAAUUACAAAAUCAAGUUGGGAAAGCUUGUCUCACAAAGUGGCUGCAACUACAAAGAUUGACUGAAGCUACUUUAACAACUUUGCUAAAGUCAUUCUCACACUACUAUGAUGAAAGGACUUAGACUCAUUUAUAGAACCUAAAUAAGUCCCCGAGCCUUGACAAAACUAAUUCAUAAUUCCUAUGGGACAAGGACUCCUAACAUAUAACAAAUUAUGAAAUCAUAAUCCUUAUAGGACAAGGAUCCCUAAAAUAUAUUAAACUCUUAAUUGAGCUAAAAGCCAAUACCUAAUAGAGAACCCACACCAUAUUUGCCAUAACUCUACUAAGUAGCUAGUUGUUAAGCAGAAUUAUCACUUUCAAAAGUUAAAUAAGCAUUUCUUUUUCCUUCCCUUUCCAUUUUUCUUAUCAUCCAAACAACAACAAUAAAAAAUUUAGUGUUACUUUUGUUGCUUCGCUACUUGUUCUCUCAACUUGCUUGCUUGCGAAUGACCUCCAUAAUCAAAGUAAAUGGAGAAAUAAUGUGGAGUUCCAAGAUAUAGGUAGAAAAGAGUGGACAAAACCCUAGAUCUACAAAAUAGCUAGCAAUUUUGUCUCUAGAUCUCUCAUUGUCGUGGUAAUGGCCAUUGAAGAUGUCAUCACUGAGAAGAUCACAAAGUGAAGAAGGCAUGAUUGAGGGUUGGUAGAGUAGAGAGUUAAGGUAGAAAAUAGCAAAGAUAGGAUUUUGACGUUUUUAGAAUUUGUAAAUAAAAAAUAAAUACAAUCCACAAAUCACUUUCAGAACAUGAUUUUACCUGACCAUGCAAAAUACAUUUUUUGUUAUGUGGAUUGUACUUGACGUUCUUGAAAACAUUGAAUGCAUUUUGGAUUGACUACUAAACAUGACCUUAGUAAUUAAAUUAGCAUAUUGAUAAACUAUUAAGAGGCUCUUAUCAAUUUGGUCAACUCUUAGAAAAGUGUUGUUGAGAACACUAAAUACAAUCUAUAUAAAAAAAAAUUUGAAACAUGAAUUUACUUGACCAUACCAAACGCAUUAUUUUUUAUUUGGAUCAUGUUCAGUAUUUUCAAAAACACUAAAUACGUGCAAUUUGAUUGACUACUGAACAUGAACUUAGUAAUUAAAUUAGAAAUUUCAAAUGAAUUAAUGUCUUCUAUUUUGCAAGCAAGUCAAGAUUUUAUGUUUUCUACUAAAAUUUUGAAUGCAUCACUAAAAGUAACAUCACCACUUUCUAGUUAUAAAGGUUUAAGAAGAUAUUUUUUAUAAACACAUAUAGUUGUUUGCUUUCAUGUCAAGAUACCAAAUACUUUUUCCAAAAUUUUUUCCUUUUUAUGCAAAUAAUAAAGUGGGGUUUUUUCUUGAUUCAUUUUUUUAACAUAGUUUUCCAUUCUACAUUGUUAAUAUACCAACACUUUUCAUUUUUUCUUGAAUUUUGGACGUUCCUUCAUUGUUUGAUGAACUAUUUCCUUAGCCACAACCAUGAUGACCAUGAUUAUUUUGGCUUUCCCUCUUGUUGAUAUAUUAAACUAUGUUGACAAUUUUCUUUUAUUUAUAUAUUGAGUCUGAUAAUCAUACUUCCAAGGGUCAUAUUGAUGUCAUUCAACUUCAAGCUACUUUUGAGUUAACUAUAUUACAAGGUAUAUGUGCAACAUUAGGUUGAAUUAGGGCACAAGUAAUGGGUACCACAUGUAUGCUAGGUGAAAUUUUAGAGUUUUGUUUUGUUUUGUUUUUUUUUGUUUUUGUCAAGGUUAAGGAUUUGAGUAACUAAAGCCUCAAUAAAGUCUUUGAGGUAUCCAUUAAGGAGCACAAGGAGUGUUGCAUGGGGGCGUGGAAGAAGAAUGUAAGUUACGUGUAUCUUGUUUUUAGAUUUAGUAGAUUGUUUAUGGUUGAUAGACUAUUCAUGGAUUUUUACACCCAAAAGGUUUUAAGCAGUUUUUUCAUGUUAUAUUUUGUGUCAUAUGUUUGAUUAAUUAUUCUUAUUCAAGGAAUUGAUGAAAACUUAAUUAUAAUUGAUAUAGCUAGGUGUUUAGGAAUGUUUCUAUUUAAAGUGCUUUUAAUUGAAUUAUUUUUUUAGAAGCAUUUUUUAAAGAAUCUCCUCUCAAGCACUUCUCCAAAAAGCAUUACAAGUGAUUUUUUAACUUUUUAAAGAAUGCUUUCUAAGUUUUUCCAAGCGUAUAGUUUUUCUCUAAAAGCGUUUUUUUUUAAUACUAUAAGCAUUUUCUAAAAGUACUACUAAAUGGACUCUUAAUUUUUGAGGAUAUUUCACUUAGAUAGCCCAUUCAUCCCUCUCUCUAUAUAGUUUUGUGUCUCAAGAUAAAAAGCUUUCUCCUUUAUUUUAACAUAAUCUUUGUUUGAAGAAUUGUUCUAAUUUUUACUUGACUUUUGUUUUUAAUAUGUCUUCCUAGGCUUUUAAUGAUCCCAUAAAUUGGUCAAUGACUAUAGAAUCCAAAUAUUUAGGCUUUUCAAUAACAAAAAAAUAAAAGAUGAAAACUUUUUUUUUAGUUACACAAAUACCAUUAAACGUUCAACAUUUAUUUUUACUUAAUUUACAUAUGUCAAUAUUUUUGAAAAAUAAUAAAAGAUUCUCUUAUAUUUAAACUUUAAAAUUCACUUUUAAAAGUAUGAAAUUGAACUUUUUUUUAAUAAAAAAAACCUUAUCAACACUUUUAUAUUUAUUUGUGAUAUUUCUGGCUGCACUUAAAAUCAUUUCAAAGGUGUCUACUUCUAUUUCUUAAUAAAUGAGCUUAAAAGCUUUCUUGUCUUUCUUUCUUAUAUCUUCAAAAAGUCUAUUUAAUUUUGGGAUAGAUUGGUUUUAGCUCCUUGUAGUUUUUCUCUACAAUCUCUUAUAUAUCUUGCAACCAAAUAAAAUAUUUGUCUUGAUAUUCAAAUCAUCAAAAUUGUUAAAACUAUCUUUAUUGAGUUAAGCAACUUAAUUGAAUUAUACGUCUUUUGAAAAAUAAAAUAAAAUAAAAAUCUUAUUAUGCACAUAAAUUUUGUGAAAGUCCUGCAACAUACAGGGGUAGGCCUUGAAGUUACAAUGAUAAUUUAUUCCACUAAAAAUUUUGAUCUCUACAUUUAUAUCAUUUUUAUUUUUGGAGUAAUAGGGAUAAAUGCACAAAUAAUAGUACUAUUAAAAGAGAUAAGUUGAGGAGGAAAUUAAAAGAAAUUUGUUGUGCUUAUAAAACUUUAAUUCAAGUAUCAUAUACACAACUCCAAUUACAAUAUGUUUAAAUCACUUUUAAAAAAUGAAUCAAAUGUAAUUUUUGGAAACUUCUCGAAACUCAAAUUUAGAUUUCAACAUGUGAUUGAAUGAUAGGGAUGAUAAAAAAAUAAGUAAAUAAAAUAUAUGUAAUAUUAUUGUAUAUUAUUAAUCGCUUUCAUACCAUUAACAUAUCGAUGACAUCUUGCUAAGAAGAAUAACCACCGAAAACAGUCCAUUAUAAUAGUUUGUAGGUAUAAUAGAAUGGCCAGUACACGUACAUAUGAGGUACCAUAUUUUUUAAGAAAGACAAGUCGGUUUGCAAUUGAUGUUAAUAUCUUUCCAAGGCAGAGACAUCAUUUUGUAGGUAUAAUUGAAUUAGUUAAACUUAAAGCCCAAUUGACAUUCUUUCAAGUAAAAUUAUUUUUAACCUAUAAUGCUCAACACUUUAUUAUGAGAAUCAUAAAAGUGUUGUUGAUAAUAUGUCAUAUGACCAUAAAAAUGUUUUUACUAUUAGUAAAUUAUCAAAAAGGACAUCAAUUUUAAUUACAACAAGGAAAUAUUAUAAUAAACUAAUACUUUUUCAUGAUAAAAGAAUAUAUAAACAUCUAUAUUAUUAACAAAAACUAAAAAAUAAUAGUUCUUGUGAUUACAAGAAAAUUUCAGAAAAUAUUUACAACAUGAUUAUGAUUAAUAAACAAACAUCAAUCAUAAUAUACUAAUUUUCAAAAUAAAAUAAAUUAUUUGAUUAUUUAUUCACUUAAAAAUAAUAAUUUUUUAUUACUACAACAAAAUUUUGAAAAAUACUUACAAAAAAUAUAGAUUAAUAAUUAAAAAUUGAAUAAAAACAUAUUAGUUUAGUUACUAAAAAAAAUUAGUAAAUAAAAGCAAAUGAGAAGACAAAUUUUCUCAAUAAAAAAAGGAGAAAAUUAUAUUUUUUUUUCAUAUUAGUGUUAUAAUAAAACAUCAACAAGAUAUAAGAUGACUAUCAAUUUGAUCACAUUCUUGCAUGAUAGAACCGUCUUUCUCAACUCGUGAAUCCACUCUACUCUCUUUUUUAUUAAGCAGAUGUAACCCUUAAUCAUCAUCAUAAGGUUUAAAUUUCAUAUCUAUUCUAACAUUAAUCAUUAUUAAGUUGUAAAAACCAUCAAAGUAAUAACAAUGUUGACUUAUUUUUUAAGAGGAAAAACUAUGCAUUUCUCAUAUUGUUCCACAUCUAUUCUUCAAAAAGGCAAAUGUUCAAUUGUUUUCCUCAAAUAUGUCUAUGGUUAAAUAUUUCCUUCUUACCUCUUGGUAAACUACUCCAUCGAAAUCUAGAAGAUGAUAACACUCACCCUCUAAGGGCCUAAUUAUAUAUCCGCUCAUUUAAGGAUAACCAAUAUUGAGUAAAUAAUCUUUACCAACAAAACAAAAACAAAAAAUUAUAUAAGUGUGGACCCCGCAUUUUCGCUCAAUGCAUUCCCACUCGAUGGCUUGACUCGCUCUUUUAUUUAUUUGGUGAAAAUUUGAUUUUUCAAAAAAAUACUUGGAGUCACCACUUAUUUUUGUUUUAUUUUUUACAGGGAAAAAAAUAAGAAAGAAAACCCUAAGUAUGACUCCUUAUUUGGAAAAGACAGUCUAUGGAAAACCAAAGUCGGGUCCGGGGAUCAGGUUACCUAUUGGGAAUGUACGGUGGUGAGCCGUAGCACCCCUCUAAGUCCCUAAAAAUGGGUCUCUACUAAAUAAGGUGAAGCGAGUGUGGCAAUUGAUAAGGAAAUCAAUGGAUACCAAUGAAAUGAUCAAAUAAUAAAACGAAUUACGCAUAAGAACAAGCAAAGUGGAAGUGAGAUUGUACCUUAGCAGCAAGUAAUAGUGCGCUAUCAUGGAAACAAGGGUAGCUCAAAUAUAAAAUUAUCACAUGCAUAUCAAAGAGCAAGACAAAGAUCAAACAACAUUCAUUAAGCAUAACAGUUGGCAAUUAGAAGAGAAAACUCAUGUAGGGCCCCCACCAAAGCCCAAUUUAUCUUACAUGAAUUAGUUCCACAAAUUUCAUUAUUUUGUAAUUAUGAAAAUUUAAUGUUCAUGCUUAUUUAAAAAAUCAAGGAAAAUGAAAAAAAAUUAUUUUAAAAUCAAAGAAAAUUUGAGAAAAGUGCCUACCUGAAAGGAAAUGUAACAAGUUUAUUUAAAAAUGAGAUUUUUAGCAACUUAAAACCCUAAUGAAUGAUGAAAAGUGGUAGAAUUUAAAAAAUAUUUGAAAAUUGGAGUGAAAUUAAAAUUAUUUGAAUGAAAACUAGAGUUUUGAAAUUUAUUUGAAAAUUGAAGUCUUGAAAAUUAUUUGAAAAUUGGAGUUUUGAAAAUUAAAUUUAAGAAUUGGAAUUUUGGAAAUUAAAUUUAAAAGAAAUUGGAAUUUUGAAAAUUAUUUGAGAAUUGGAGUUUUGAAAGUUAAAUUUAAGAAUUGGAGUUUUGGAAAUUAAAUUUGAAAGAAAUUGGAGUUUAAAAAAUUAUUUGAAAAUUGGAGUUUUGAAAAUUCAAUUUAAGAAUUGGAGUUUUGGAAAUUAAAUUUAAGAAUUUGAAUUUUGGAAAUUAAAUUUGAAAUAAAUUGGAAUUUUAAAAAUUAUUUGAGAAUUGGAGUUUUGAAAAUUAAAUUUAGGAAUUGGAGUUUUGGAAAUUAAAUUUGAAAGAAAUUAGAGUUUUGAAAAUUACUUUUAAGAAUUGGAGUUUUGGAAAUUAAAUUUAAGAAUUGAAAUUUUGAAAAUUAAAUUUGAAAGAAAUUGGAAUUUUUAAAAUUAUUUGAGAAUUGGAGUUUCAAAAAUUAAAUUUUGACGUAUGAGGAUAAAAAAAAAACAAAAAACAAAAAAACAAAGAGGACGGUACAUGGUUAGUGGAAUUCGCAUGCCAAAGGUGGCCAUGCAAUGUGUGCACCGGGGAUGGAAUAUCUUAUAAAAUAAUAAUAAUAAUAAUAAAACAAUCUCAACCUUACAUGCUUUAAUACUAUUUACACAUGAAAUUCCAUCACCACUAUGCAACAACAAUUCUUAAAAUAACGUAUUUAGUGAACUUUGGAAAAUCUUAUAACAUAGUAAUAAUAAUAAUAAUAAUAUAAAAGAAAAUAACAUACCUCAAAGAAUUGGUAAUGAUGUUAUCAAUUUAAUGAUGGUUGCGUCUGAGGCUGAUGAGAACAUGUGAGUGCUUCUCUUGUGCGUGCUAGAGAUGCCUCAAAGUGGGUGCCACUGAGAGUUGACUAUCUAACCUGUAUUUCAUUACAUAGCAUGAAGGGAUUUAACAUACCAAAAGCAAAUAGAAUUCUCACAAUAGGGAAUAAUAGACACAAAAGUGACCACAUUUGGCUACAUAUUGGCUUGGAGCAUUUACUGGAACAUUUUAAAGGCUUCACUAGACUUCUGUAUACUUCUGGUUCUGACCAUAGGCAGAGAUCAUAGAGUUCCAGAUAACAACUUUCUUUUCUGCUGCAGAAUCAAACAAGUCUGGCAAUAAACAAAUUCCUACCACCAACAUACAUUGAAAUUAAAGUAGGCAUCAAAAAUUCAUCAGAAGAAAAUCCAUCAAUUACCCUUAUACAAUUCUUAAAAUAUGGCCAAUAACGACCAAUAUUUCUUAUUUUAUCAAGGAUCUCCCUAAACUAUGAAUCACUUGAUUUUAUAAUAUCUAUAGCUAUAAGACAAACACCAUCUAAUAUAAUCUCAAACCAUUUAGAAAUAAAUUCAUUGGAGUGCUAAAAUCUUUCUUAGGUUAUCAUGUUGCCAAGUCUAUGACCUAUUAUAGUGAGAAAUAUUGCUAAAGCCUCUAUUAAGGGAAUAUCUAAACCUUCUCUUAGACCAUGUCUUUUAAUAAGUGUUUCUAAUAAUUAAUGCAUACAUGUUUUUCCAUCCUAAAUUGCUCAAAACUCUAAUUUCGAAAAAGUUCUACAAGGUUUUUAUUUUUUUAUUUUUUUAUUUUUUUUGUAGUUAGUAAGUGUUACAGGUACACCAAUUGAUAAAAAUCAUUUCACCAUUGCUUUCAUCUUUAAUAUUAUGAUUGCAACUAUUAUUAUAAUUAGAAAACAUAUAUACAAAAAAUAAAAAUAAGAAAUACAUUAAAAAAAAACCAAUAAUGUAUAUUUUAUGUUAAUAUAGCCUAAACUUAUGCAUGUUUACUAAAAUAAAAGGAUUUUUUAUUUAAAAAUUUAUUUGAACAUGACAAUUCAAGAGUAGUAGUAGUAUGCAAAAUAAUAGCACUGAAAAGUAAUAAGAGCAUAAAUACAUGUAAUCAUAUAAUUCUAUUUUUCCAAUAAUAAUAAUAAUCUAGCUCAUGUGGAUCACCCUAGGAUAGGACUCCUCCCAUAACACCCCUAUUUUCAAUCCAUUUCUAUUCUUAAUAGUUUGACUAAACAAAAUUUUAAAUUCAAAAGUGUUGUGUUGAGAAAUCAAAUACAUUAUAAAGCUCAUCUAAUUAACAACUUGAUUGAAACAAAAUUUUAGAUUUGAAAGUGUUGUGUUGCAAAAUCAAAUACAUUAUAAAGCUCAUCUAAUGCUCACAACUUUUAGAGAAAGAAACAAUUAAAUAUACCAUGUGAUAGGCAUAUUUGUCUUCCUCACUCCAAAAUUUCACUCAAUACCAACAUACAAAUCUAAUUUAAAACAAUAUUAGGUAAGAAAAUAUAUUUCAACAUUAGAAUAAGAAAUAACUCAGAUAGUCAAACAUGUUUCUACUUAUGUCUUGCAAUUUGAUCAAUUGAGUUUUUUAAUGCAAGAAACAUCUCAUUAUUUUCCUUGACAACUUGAAUAACUAUGACUUUCAUAUACAACUUAAGGUCAUUCUUCACUACAAGCAUGCCACAUAUAACUUUUAUUACUUUAACAAUGUUACAACUAGACUUAUCUACUCUAGAUGUAACUUUAAAAAUGGGCUCUAACUGUAUAGUAAAAACAUAAGAUUUGGUUCCAUCUCUUAUCUUCUUUCUUCUUCUCUCAUUUUGCCAUGAAAUUUAUUGCCUUGGGGUUCUCUGACAAAAGUAUUCAAUUUAUUAUAUUUCACGACCAAAAUAUAAAUUAACCAAAUAAACUUAGUAAAUAAAUAAAAUUGUAUCUUCAAUUUAUUAUCCCACCAUUCAUUUUUAGCAUUAGUGGUUUGCCUCAUUGGUUCCACCUAAGGCCAAUCUCUUUAUGAAUCAAGGCAUUCCAAAGUUGUCAAUCUUUUUUUAAGAGAACUUAAUAUAUUCUUAGGUUGCUUAUAUUGGUAGGUUCUUCUAGUUAGAUUGUUGAAUACCUUUAUCACAUUUUUCCAUCCAAUUUACUAAAGUAACUAUUUGGUCUAUUUUUAGCCAAAAUCUUAGCAACACAAACUGAUGCAUUAACAACAAUAUCAUUCAAUUAUUAUACUUUGCUUUAUUUAUCAUUUUCUUUACCACUUGUUUGUUGUAGUGGUCGAACAAUAUUGCUAGACAUGUAAUAACAAUGUAAAGAACAAAGAAGUAUUAAAAGCAAAUGUUCUAAAUGUACUUUUAUAUUUUAUAGUUUAGACAUCUAAUGAGACCCAUAAAAAAGUGAAUCUUAAAGAAAUGGGUCAACUAGAGGAAAAUGAAUCUUGGAAUACUGAAUUGGAAAGACUCAGAUUCAUGGAAUAAAUUAAUAUACUAUAUCGUAAUUUUAUUAAUUCUUUUCAUUAGGUUGCUAAAAGUUGAAAAAGAAUUCCUCAUGAAAUGGAUUAAAUAAUUUCCUCAUGAAAGCAUCCAAUCAUGGCCUCAUUAUGAAGUACUGAAUUAACUCAAUGAACUUAAAUAUCAUCUAAUAAAUUCUUUCAUGGGUUUGUUUUUAUAACUUUAAUGUUACCAAUAUAGAAAGAAAUGAAACAUGUUUUAAAUAAUGUAAGAAACUAUGGUAGAAAAGUGGAAAGAUUUAAGGACAAGAGGCUUUAUAUGAACUUUAAUAUUGUUAGUAACAGAGAGGCAAAUGAGAUAUCUCAAUAUUAAAUUAUGCAUAAUUAGUAUAAUUUUUUUAAACUAAAUGAAAGGGAAUUUAGGAGGAAAAUAAGUAAUUAGAGUAUGAGAUAACAUGAAUGGUUAAAAUUGUCAAUCAUUAAAUUUAAGAUAAUUGUUAAUAUUUCACUACAUUUUCCAACUCCAUGAAUUAAAGCAAAGGGAGGAAAUGAGUUGGAUUUCUUAAUAGUAUUAAGUGUUGGAUUGACACAAAAUUAGGGUGCUAGUGGACACUUGAAAUGAGGACCAAGUAACAAUUGCAGAUCGCAUUUUGCUUAUCCAACAUAGUUCAAAUUUGCAAAACCCACUUCUUAUCUAGUACUUUUAUUGAAUAUGAGUGUACUUUGAAUUUCCUAAAGCUUACAUAUUUCUUCACAUAUUAAAUCAAAGAGAAAAUAUUAGCGUUUUUUACAAUUACAAUUUAUCAAGGUUUAAUUCCUAAAAGUGGGAAAAAAAAGGCGAGAGGGAGAAAAAGGGAAAAGAAAAAGAAAGAAAAAACAAAAAGAAGUAAAAACUAUUAAAAGGCAUUAGAAGCCUAAGAUGGGCAUAUCCAUGAUUUGAGGUGCAAAUGAGGGUGACAAUUCAUGUUGGUGGAUCGUGUUCGUGUUGUGUCAAAGCCUAGGUAUUCUACCACAUAGCUCAACCCAACCCCGACACUGCUAACAAUCAUGUAAAAAAUAUAAACCUAAAUACUAUAUAAUUAUUAAACAAGUAAAACAUUGUACAACCUGUUUAAUCCAUUUAAUAUUCAGGUCCUCUUAUUUAAUAAUCAGGUUAAGUUAGGUCUUCUAUAUGUCUAUAUGAUUAAUGUCUCAAGAAAAGAUGUUUUUGACUCAAUUGACCUAUCUAUUUAAAAACAAAUUUAAAAUGAGUCAAAUAUGGGUCAAACGUUUUAAAAAUAUAAUUAAGUUAAUAGCGGGAUUAUUAAAUAGGUUAAUUCGGGUCAAAUUCAUGUUAUGCAAGUUCACCAAAAAAUUACUUAUUUAUUAAACGAGUUAUGUAUGUCGACACGAAUUUUACCUAAACUCAUUUAUACUUGACCUAAACCCAUGAAAAACAUGUUAGGUUCAUGUCGUGCGGGGAAUCGUAUCAAACUUUGUCAUCCCUAGGUGUAAACAACUCCAAGACCCUAUUUUUAAGCAGAAUGUAUAUACUUGAGAUUGCUACAUUAUUCAGACUAAUCCACACCUACUUAUUAAGGGGAAAAAAAAAUAAAAGAGCACAAAGAUAGGGCAUAGGAUGAUAAGACAAGGCACAAAAUGACAAGACGUAGAAUGGUAGGACGUAGGAUGAUAAAAAUCCACUUCAAUUAAUAUUUCCAUAAAUCAAGAGUAAUCAAAUAUUAAAAUAUUUUAUUCUCCUAAUUUAGGAUAUAAUAUUAAUUCAAAAUAAAUAAGAGAAAUCAAAUAUUAAUAAUAUUUUAUUCUUUUAAUUUAAGAAAUAAUAUUUAUUUUCCUUAAUUUUAGGAUAUUUAUUAUUUAUUUCUUCUAUAAUUCACAAUGCAUUCUUGUAUAAAUUUAUGAAAAGAAAUAAUAAAAUUCAUCGCUUCUAUUGUCAAAUUAUCAAAUUCUUCUUGGUAUUAGAGUUAGGGGAGGAGGCUCAAACUUGGGUUUUCUCAAAAGAUGGUUGAAUACCCUAAAAGACUUGACCUAUCCACACAAGCCAUGUCUUCCUUGUCAUUCAAAUUCAAAAAAAUAAAAAAUAAAAAAUCCUUAGUGUUCUAGCUUUCCACCAAUAUUCUUUCUAAUUUGAUUUCAAUCAAGCUAAACACAACAAAUUUUCUACUACAGGGAAAUCAAAUCAUCCUUUAGCUUGAGGAUUCGGUGUUUGAACCUUUCAUCAAUGUUCUAACCUUUCAUUGGUGUUAUUUCUAGUUUGAUGUCAAUCAAGUUAAACACCCCAAAUUUUCUACUAUGGCAAAAUCAAAUCAUCCUCUUAGUUCAUGGUGUGUUUUGCGACAUCUCUUAGGUGGAGAAAGACAUGCAAAAGAAUUAAAGAUGAUGAGGAAAGCAAAAGUUUUAUCCUACAAUACUAAUGAUCAAUCAAUAAUAACAUAUUUGUCACUUCAUGAGCUAUCAUAACCAUGACAGAAGACAUUUUCAUUAUGAUCCUUAGGGCAAACAACAUAUAUGAGGUAUAAACUUCUCUUCAGGAGUAAUUGCUUCAUGUUAUAGUUGAGAAAAAAAAAUAAUCUCUUCAAGAAUAUUUAAGAGAAUUAAAAAAUAUAUAUGAUAAUCUCGCGGCAAUCAAAAGCAAAUUUUAAACCAAGACAAAGUUUGUUGAUUCACUCGUGGUUUAGGAUAAUGGAAUGAUUUUUUAUUUUUUUUAAUAUACUAUGCUUUUCUAGCCAAUUCAUAGUAACUCUUUAGGGACAUAAGCAAUCACUCACUACAAAAGAGAUGGAAAGAAAAUUUUCCUAGAGUAUGCACAAGUUUUUAUUUGGACAACAUAGUUAUGGUCAUAAUGGUUGAAAAGGCAGAAAUUUUAAUUUGAGGGGAAGAAGCUUUACACUUCCUAGUGUUACAAUUUAUAUUUUUUUUUAAAAUACUUUUAUGAUUUUAUCAAGUUCUUGUCAAAGGAUGUCUUCACCAUGUUUGGAGAUAAGUCGGGUGUGCAUAUUCAUUCCCACUCCAACUUGAACGGGCAUAUUAAGGGAAAGAAUAAAAUAAGGCAAAAAGAACAUAGGAUGACAAAAAGUAGGAUGAUAAAAAUCCGCUUCAAUUAAUAUAUAUUUCCUUAAAUCAAGAGUAAUCAAAUAUUAAAAUAUUUGAUUCUCCUAAUUUAGGAUAUAAUAUUUAUUUUAAAUAAAUAAAGAACAAUCAAAUUUUAAUAAUAUUUUAUUAUCUUAAUUUAGGAAAUAAUAUUUAUUUUCCUUAAUUUUAUGAUACUUGUUAUUUCUUUCUUUGUAUAAUUCACAAUGCAUUCUUGUAUAAAUUUUCUAAAGGAAACAACAAAAUUUCAUUUUCAUUGCUAAAUUAUCAAAUCCUUUACUAAUGACCUUAUGAUUAAAAUCUUGUUUGUUUGGUAAGCUAUGAAUUUUAAUGAUAUUCCAUCAUUUCUAGGCCUCUCAAACCUUCAAUUUAGUAGGGUUACAAAAUAUAAUUUCUCAAACAACAUUCUUUCCAUAGUCAUAUCUCUAGCCUUGCUAUAACCUAAGACCAUCAAGGACCAAGACAUAACAUUCUUGUCUGCCAUCUUCUCAAACAACUCAAAUGUUGUAUUUAUCUCUCCUACCGUAACAUACCCAUCAAAUAUUAUAUUCCAACUAAUAACAUCUCUAUUUGGCAUUUCAUCAAAAGCCUUGCUCACAUUUUCUUGAUCCACAUGGGCAUAAAUCACUCUUUAGUUAGCUAAUUGAGUUAAUAAAAUGUUAUUAUUUUCCUGUUUUAAGUUUAGUAAUUUUAAUUUUGAUCUAUUAAUAUUUAGUUUGAGUGUAUUAGAGUUUUAGUCAAUUAAUUUAGUUAGUCACAUGUUAUUAUUUUCAUGUUUUAAGUAUGGUAAUUUUGGUUUUGAUCUAUUAAUAUUUAGUGUGAGCUUUCUGUAAUUUUAGCUAAUCAAUCUAGUUAAUUACAUAUUAUUGUUUUCAUAUUUUCAAGUUUGUUAAACUUUGGUUUUUGAUUCAUCAUAUUUUGUUUGAGUGUUAAUUUACUUUAAUUGAUCCUAUGUUAUUAUCUCCAGAUGUUAAGUUUGUUGGUUUUAAUCCUUGAUUGGUUUUUAUCUUAAUUCAUGCACUUCUUGAAUUCUAGAUGUUAGUCUUGGUUAAUAUUUUUGUUAGUUUGAUUGAUUUGGAAGUCAUUAAUUUGUUACCUUAGUGAUUGUUAGUCAAAUCCUUUUUUUGAAGGCCAUUGGAAACCCAUGAAGUGUGGACCAGCAUUUUUCACGUUCAUCCCCACUCGAACAACGAGACUCGCUUUUAUUUGUGCAAAAUUAAUUUUUGGAAAAGUUGGAGUUGCCAAUUAUUUUAUUUUUAUUUUAAAUUGAAAAUAAAACAAGAAAGAAAACCCUAAAAAGUGACUCCAUAAUUUUUGGAAAAAGUGUCUUUGAAAAACCCGAGUCUAGGUUUGGGGAUCAGGUUACCAAUUGGGAAAGUACCUCUAAAAGGUAGCACCCCUCUAAGCCCUAUAAAGGUCUCUACUAACUACGUUGAGGAAAAUAUGACAAUUAACUGGUUAAUCAUUGAUACCUAAGUAGGCUAGGUGAUUUUGAAAAAUAGCAUGCUUAACAGGAAAAACAAUCAUAAUCAUGAAGAAGAUUUAGGGUGUGUACCUGGACUGCUUCUUAAGCGCUAUCACAAGACAUUAAAGUUAGUUCAAAUAGUAUAUCAUCCAACACAUGCGUUUUAUUAGAAAUAAUCGAACAAUGAAACAUGUAUAUCAAAACACUAAAGCACUAUCAAACAUAGGCAUAAUUCACAAUGACAAGCAUAUUCACAGAAUCUAGAAAGUGGGUGAUAGGGGACAUACCUGGAUAACAUAGAUAACUCAUUAUACGCUUCCUCAUGACAUAAAGGGUUCAAUAAUAACUAAUAAAAUAAGAAAUCCUAGCAUGCUUAAUAUCUAAUUAGCAUAACCAAAAUUAUCAUAGUAUACAAAAUCAUCAAUUAUCACUUACAUCUUGAAUAUAAUUCCUAAAAAAUAAAUAGACAUGAUUACAACAAAUAACAAGAGUGGUAGCAAAAAUAAGUUUUGAAAAGAUUUUCUUAUGUAGGGGUUUCACCAAUUCCCCAAUCGAUAUACACGAAUUUAGCCUAAAAUUAUCCCAUUCAUUUGGGACCACAAGCUUUGAUUUGUGUUUUGUUCAAAACAUAAAUUUUUAUUGAAAACCGAGAAGGAUGCAAACUGAUCAAGAUAUGGUUGCAUAUUUUUUAUUUUUUAUUUUUAAAAAAAAAAGAGAUUUUGAUUCUAUAGACUCAAAAUGAAUUUUCUUUUUGAAUAGAUUUUUUAAAAGGGAUUUUUUGAGAAAAAGUGUUUUGUUUUAAAAUAAAAGAAAUUAAUUUUUAAAAUAACAAAACAUAAAAAACAAAAUACCAAACAAAACAAAAGGAAACGAAAUCACAAAAUAAAGAUUUAGACAAUCAUGCCAAUUAAAAUGGUGAGAGUAAGGCCAACCUUCAUGGGUUUCUAGUAGCCUUCAAAAAAAGAAUUUGACUAAUAAUCACUAAGGCAACGAACUAAUGACUUCCUAAUCAAACAAACCAACAAAAAUAUUAUCCAAAACUAACAUCUAGAUUUCAAGAAACACAUAAUAAAAAAAGAACAAUCAAGGAUUAAAGUCAACAAACUUAGCAUAUGGAGAUAAUACUAUAGGGUCAAUUAAGGUAAAUUAACAUUCUAACAAAAUAUGAUAAAUCAAAGACCAAAGUUUAGCAAUCUUGAAAAUAUGAAAACAAUAACAUGCAAUUAACUAGAUUGGCUAUCCAAAAUUGCUCAAAACUCGAACUAAAUAUUAAUAGAUCAAAACCAAAAUAUGCCAUACUCAAAAUAUGAAAAAUAAUAACAUGUGAUUGACUAAAUUAAUUAACCGAAACUCUAAAAACACUAAAACUAAAUAUUGAUGGAUCAAAAUUAAAAUUGUCAUAUUUAAGACAUGAAAAUAAUAACACGUGAUUAACUAAAUUAAUUAACUAAAAUUAUAAUCAACUACAAAAUUGGAUAUAAAUGGAUUAAAAUCAAAAUUAACGAAAUCGGAAAAAACACAAACACAUUCAAACUAAAAAUAAUAAUUAAUACUAGAUUAAAUUAGAACUAAAAACAUCAACAUCAUCUAAUAAGAUUGGUUAAACUAUCAAAUAGAAAUUGCAAAUACAUUUAAACUAGAACAAAUAAAUAAAUCAGCAAAUUACAACUAAACUAAAAUUAGAAUUAAAAAUAUGGAAUUCACUUAAGAGGAUUAAUCAAAUAAUUAAAUUAAAAUCAUAAAUGCAUUCAAAUUAUAAAAUAUUAAAAUUAAACUAAAUUGAAAUUAAGCUCUAUCUAAUAAGACUAUUUAAACUAAUGAAUUAAAAUCAACAAAUACAUUUAAGCUAAAAAUAGAUUAAAACCAAACCAACUAGGAUUAAAAACACAAACUUUAUUUGACACGAUUAUUUAAACUAAUGAAUUAAGAUCAGUAAAUGCAUUUAAACUAAAAACAAAUUAAGACCAAACUAACAAGAAUAAAAAAACCCAAACUUUAUUUGACACGAUUAUUUGAACUAACGAAAUUAAUAUCAACAGAUGCAUUUAAACUAAAAACAAAUUAAAAUCAAACUAAUUGGAAUUAAAAACAUAAACUUUAUUGAACAUGAUUAUUUAAACUAAAGAAUUAAGAUCAACAAAUGCAUUUAAACUAAAAACAAAUUAAAAUAAAACUAAUUGGAAUUAAAAACACAAACUUUAUUUGACAUGAUUAUUUAAACUAAAGGAUUAAGAUCAACAAAUGCAUUUAAACUAAAAACAAAUUAAAAUAAAACUAAUUGGAAUUAAAAAUACAAACUUUGGUUUGACAUGUUUAUUUAAACUAAAGGAUUAAGAUCAACCACAUGCAUUUAAAGUAAAAACAAUAUAAAAUCAAACUAAUUGGAAUAAAAAAGACAAACUUUAUUUAACAUGAUUAUUUAAACUAAAGAAUUAAGAUCAACAAAUGCAUUUAAACUAAAAACAAAUUAAAAUCAAACUAAUUGGAAUUAAAAACACAAACUUUAUAUAAAUUAUCAUAUAAAUUAAGAUAAACUAGGAUGGAACUAAUGAACUGCAAUCACAAAAAGAAGACAUCUAAUUUAAGAAAAAUAAAAAAAAUUAUACGAAUUGAUAUUCAAAAGAAUUUAUCACAAAAAAAUUGAUUAAACUAAUGAACUAAAAUCUAAACUAAAAAAUGCUCUAUCGAAAACGAAAACUAACCAGUGUUGUGUCUGAAAAAAUACUCUCUUGAUGAUUAAAGUGGCAGCUUGAUCUCCUUCUGAAGUCCUUUGCUCUCCUCCAAAAUUCCGCAUGUUCUCUCUAAAAAAGUUCCCCCACAUGUUCUCUCUAUCUCAAAAAUUCUCUUGUGCAUGUCCUUUCUUUUUAACAAAUAUCCGCAUGUUCUCUCUACCAAAAAAUUCCUCACUCUAGAAUUCCUGCGUGUGUCCUCUCUAAAAAAAUUGCUCUUGUGUGUCGAUCUCCAAAAAAAUCUCCCCUCUCUUCCAUUCCUUCUAUUUUAUUUAUAUAGCAGCCCACCCUAUGGAAUAUUUUAUUUCCUUUUUGGAGAUGUACUUCUACCUUAAAGGAGACCCAACUUUCUAAACUUCUAAUGGCACUUUCUAUUUCAACUGACUUAAUAAAAGAAACAUGCCAACCCAAUGAAUGUUGUCUGAUGGGCCCUUGGUCAUAUUCCCCUUCUCUCUUCCAACCAACAACACCUGUAACUUGUAAAGUUGCAUAGAGGACUGGUUUAUCUGAAAGCUUGGAUGAGAAUGGAGACCAAACUCCUUCUUAGAUAAUGUAGACCUUCAAAAUUUCUGGAGAAAGAUUUUGUGGAUAACCAAAGUCCAUGAUUUCAUCCAAUAACUCAUAAAUCAGAACAAAGUUGUUACAAAUAGCAUCUUCAUCGAAUGCCACACCGAAACAAGAUUUGAAAAAUGCAAUAGGCUCAGCAAUAAACUUGAAUGCACAAGUUACAUUAGCAUUGCUGCUAACCACAAUCAUUAUGUACACAUUGUUGAUUCUCAUAUAAAAGAAGGAGUAACCUCCAAUCUACCGCAUAGGACAUGUGCUAAGUUCUUUUGUUUGCAUUAUAUGCAUUCGAAAGGCAUCCACCAUGUUUCCCCUAACAUCGUCGUGAUAUAGGUAAUUGAUGAGGACAUCGCUCCGGAGAUUCAAGAAAUAGAUAGCUGAAAUAGCCACCGACAUCUCCAAUCUAGUGGAUUCGAUGCGAAACAGAUCAAAGAAUGGGGUUCAGAUAUGCGGUGAUUGAGGCCUUGUUUCAACGACGUCGUUUUGAUUGGGUUAGAUCUCAAGCUUUGGAGAUGAUGAACUCAAAUCUCCCAAAUGAGAGUUGCAGUCAGUGCUAUUGAUCUUGUGUUCUAAAUGCGGUGUGGGCAAUAACCCUGACGGAUCUAUAAUAGCAUCUAGGGUUCCGACGCGGGUGAGGUGGAGAAAGGGACGACGAUUGUGGUAGGGAUUCACGAUGGGGGGAGAUGGGAGAGUGGUAAGAAUGUUCUUACUGGAGAUAUCGAGGUGGGAGAGAAGAACUCGAGGGGAAGGAUCGCGGUCGAUGAAGGAGGUGAGGAUAUGGGUACCGUCCUCGACUACAACCCGGAAGGAGAAAAAGAGAUUAGGUACGGAGGUCAAGUAGUAAAGGUGGAGGCAGAGGAUUGGUCAUGGUGUGAGAUGGAGCUACGAGGCGAGACUUCCGUUUCUAUCUUCUCUGCGAGUGUAUAUGGGUCCCCCACCUUGUAGGCUGCUUAUCUUCAGCAGUGACUCCCCUCUCCUUGAUCGCUCCAAGUGACAUGCAAAAUUUAAAAAAAAAAAUGGAAUAAGAAAAUCCUGUGAUUGGAAAUAGAAUAAAAUAAAAUAAAAAAUCAAAUCAUAUGCCAUAAAAAAUCUAAGAUGUCGAUUCAUGGAAUUAAAGAAUGUAUAAAUAAGUGAGUAAAUAAAAAAAUAAAUUGAUAAGGGUAUAAAAAUAAAUAUUAGACGUAUGCCAUUAGAAAAAAUCAAGAAAUUAAAUUAAUGCAACGGAUCAUAACAAUUUAAAUGUUAAACUCAAACCCUAAAAUAUAUAUAUAUAUAUGUAUUCAUUUAAUGCAAUAUAUAGUCAAGCCAAUACUCAUCUUGUCUCGAAAAAAUAAAAUCAAGAACAUGCCUAAAUGAACUAUGCCAAAAGAAGUGUCUAAGUGACCUAUUCUGAAAAAGUGCUUAGGUGGCCUCGGGUGAAUGUGUACAAGUUGAAAGGUGUCUAGGUGAAUCUAAACGGGUCAAAGGGAACCUAAGUAGGUCUAAGGUGGUGCCUAAUGGGCCAAGUGUAUCUAAAUAGGCUUAGGGUGAGACUAGGUGGGCUUAACUAAGUCUAACCUAAAGUGCACCUAAGUGAAACUUAAUCUAAACUUGAAGGACAACCAAGGUCGUAAUGUGGAACUGGAUAAACCCCUCAACCAAAGUCUCAAAAGUGGCCUAGAGAAGGUAAGCUACAUGAGUAGGAAUGGGCCAUCAUGUGCUAAAGGGACAAAAUGGAGGGUCUACAAAUAUGCCCCUCUUUGGUAGAGAUCACAAGUGUAGAGAAUGUGAGUUGAAAUACGAAUAAUGAGUGGAACGAAGUGAACUGUAUCGAAGAACUAAAGCAGGUCCAGAGAUUUUGUCCUAGCACAUGACGAGAGUAAGAUUGGAACACGGGGCUGCAACAACAAGGAUGGAACAACUAUAUGUGGGAGGAAUGACAGUAAAGAGAAAGGUAUGUGAUGAGUAGCACAAAGAUAGAAAGGGAUAAAAAGAAUGACUCAAGGUCAUGGAUGAGAUAAAUGACUCUAGGUUGUGAGCUUAGGGCUCUAAAUGGAAAAAAAAUGACUUUGGGUCAUAAAUGAGAAAAAUGACUUUGGGUUGUGAGCUCAGGUCUCUAAAUGGAAAAGAAAUGACUCUAGGUUAUGAGCUCAGGGCUCUAAAUGGAAAUAAUGACUCUGGGUCAUAAAUAAGAAGAACGACUCUAGGUCGUGAGCUCGGGGCUCUAAAUGGAUAGCUGAUCAGGAUGCUUUUCGACUCAUGGUGUCGGGUCGAGGCCACUCGCAAGUGGCUAGAAUGGUGAAAACAAAACAUCUCAAGGAUGUGAAUGAUGCAAAUGACUUUGGGUCAUAGGCUCAGGGCUCGAGAUGCUAUGAAUGACUCUGGAUCAUGAUACAAUGGGUAACUUAGGGUUACAAUGAAUAGCUUAGGGCUAUGGAUGGAAUGAAUGACUCUAGGUCAUGAUGCAAUUUGUAACUCAAGGUUACAAUGGAUAGCUCAAGGUUAUAAAAUCAGCUCAGGGCUGUGAGCUCCAAGCUCUAUGAAUGAUCAGCUUGAAGGAGAGUGCGAUAUGCAAACUCCAGGUCAAACCACUCAUGGGUGAGCAAAUGAUGAAGGCUCAGCUCAGGCUAGAAAGACUCCGGGUCUUAAGAAAAUGAUAGCUCAAGGUUAUCAGGUUCAGGGCCUAUAAGGAAUAGAUAGGUCAGGGCCAUCAGGUUCAGGACCUAUAAGGAAUAGAUAGCUCAGGGCUAUGAGACUCAAGGUCUAAAAGGAAUAGAUAGCUCAAGGCUACGAGGCUCAGGGCCUAGAAGGAGUAGAUAAAGAAGACCAACUCAAAAGUGGGUAGAAAGUAAAUGAGAUCAAAACUGUAUACUCAAAAUGCCAAGGGUCGGACUACUGAACUCAAGAAGGGAAAUAUGCCCCAAUAUCUAGGGUGCUCGCACUACUGAAACAACCAAUAAAUCAAUCAUCUACCAAAAUCAAUUGGUUAGAAAUCAAUGCAUCAUGACAAACCUCUAAAAAAUUUAGAUUGAAAGAACUCUCUGUGUCUGAAAAGCUGCUCUAUCGAUGAAUCUCAAAGUGUAUAUCAUGGCUCAUCUAAAAGCAAAUCUCAAAGUGCUACUGCUCAUCUAGAUAACCCAAUUUGCAAGAUAACAAUGGUGAAAGCAAUCUAUCUCAGGAACAUCUGGCUAACAAAUCUACCCAUGCUCCUCAAGUGAAACCUGAUGUGAUCCAUCUCUAUCUCAACGAAUCCAUGUAGGGAGGUCUUGAUACAGUCAAUCGUUGGAAGCUUCAGACUAGUCUCAAUCUAAACCAAGUUGGUUAUUGUCUCAAUCUCAAGGAUACUCAAAGAAAAUGGGGAAAUAUGCCCCAAUAUGAGAUCCAACGUCAAAGUUAUGCUAUAAAUAACCAACACCUAUCAUCCAUCCUCGUACUAUUGCCUAAACAAAAUCUCACCAAGGAGAUGGGAAUAUGUCCCAAUAUGAUAUUUGAUGUCGAAGUCAUGAGAUAAACAACCAACAAUGAUCAUCCAUCUAUGUAUCGCUGCCUAAACAUAAUCUCACCAAGGAAAAAGGAGUAUGCCCCGGUAUGGAUACUUGAUGUAUGAUAAAGAAUCCGUCAAAAUCAAUCAAACAUCUCUAUAACCGUAAAUGGGAAUAGCCAUACCCUCCAACAACAACUAGGAACCUCGGAGAAAAAGGGAAAUAUGCCUCAUUGUGGAUGUCUGAUGCACGACAAAAUGAUGAAUCCGAUAUCAUCAAUGAACUGUCUCCAAACUCAAAAAUCCAUCAAACAUCAAUAUGCCAAGCAAGAGAGAGACCAAAAUGCUUCCAAAAGUAUCCUCCAUAAGAGAAAGCAUAAUAACAACUAUACUUCAACCAAUCUAUAAAAACCUAUCCAAGUGAAGACUACCAAAGAUAACAUCUGAUCUUAUGGCCUUAAGGUGGUCUUAAGACAUGGGACGUAACGUAGGCCAGGGUGAUAGGGUGAAAGAAAUGAAGGGAAACUUGGCUCAAAUACCCAAUGAUCAAACCCAUACCCUCAUUUACAAAAUGUAAUGCAUAGAAAAACCUCAUGAUCCAUGGACUUAAAGGUAACCAAAGGAAAUGUCGAUAUUGAAACAAGAGAGAGGAUAAGUGGUCAAACUAUCAAUGAAACAUGUGGAUGAUGUGUAGAAGGUUUCAGACUAGAAAUGUGUGUCAAUAUGUAGGGAAUGGAUAAAAGGUGGAACGAAGAUCUAGAAAGAGGUGAUGAGAUAUAAAAUAAGGCAAUAAGAAAGUGGAAGGAAUGAUGAUCAACCCAUAUCUGUACAAUAAAGAAAAGUCAUAUCACCAAUGAUUGAAUGGUGGUUAAGACAAUGAUCCGGAGACCCUAGUAAGAAGUUCAAUCAUUUCUCAUACCUAAUACAUAUCAACCAUGACCCAAGAAGCAUAGGAUCUCAUAGAACUCUCACAUGAACUCUCAACACUCCAAAUGCAUAACAAAAGUGGCUCAAAGAGUGAAAACUCAUAUAAAAAUCUCACAAGAAUCCAAAAUAACAAAUAUACCCAAUAAACAUACCUUAAAAGGAGACAUAAGUGUCCAAUUGAGCAAAAUACCAUAUACGAACAUAUCAUUGGGCUUUUUUUUUUUUUUUGAAUGCGCAUGUUCUUAUCAUCAAUAAAUCGAACUCCAAUGGGAAAUAUAUAAGGAAUGAACAAACUCUCUCAAGUCACUAAUGAAUACAUGAACCUCAUCCCAUGAGACAACCUCUCAAACUGAAAUCUCUGAAUCAAUGCCAGAUGAUGGGAUGAAUGGAGUGAUACGAUUGCCCUCUUUGCACCAAGAAGUGAAAAAUCAUCAACACAAAGAAGAGGGGAGAUAAGAUGAAGCAAAUAACGAUAAAAACAAGAAAGAGAAUGAAAAUGUGAUAAUAGUAAAAUAGAACAAACAAGGUGAUAAGGAGAUGGUAACAAGAAUGAGAAGAUUGGCCUAUAAGUAUAAAGUUCAUGAGACUUUCAUAGCAAAGCAUGAAUAUACAUCAAAGGGCCCCAACUUGAGUAUAGAAAUGGUAAUCAAGUAUAUAAGAAAUAAAUAAGGCUAUAACAUACCGCGUGAGGCUCAAUGGGCUAGCAACAGUCUAAUAUAUUAAUAAAGGUGAUAAAGUGUAAGGCUAACCAAAAUGAUGGCCACCCAUUCUAUGACCAUAAUCUCAAACGUAAUACUUCUUCAGCUGAUCCACAUUGGUAGGCUAUGAAAAUUGGUUUCCAUCUAAGUCGGUUAAACAUGCUGCCUCUUUUGGAGUCAACUCUCAAAUAACAUAAGGCCCACUCCAACUAGGUCUGAACUUCCCUGUAGGGUCUCCAACUAAACCUCUGAGAAUCCUUAAAACCAAAUCCCCAUUUUUGUAAUGGUCUAAGCUUAACCCGUUUCUUGAAGGCACGAGCCAUCUUCCUCUGAUAGGCUUGAACAUGAUCCGCUGCUCUCAAUCUCCUCUCAUCUAAAAGGUUAAGCUGAUCAAAUCGAGCCCGAGCCCAUUCUGUCUCAGAAAUCUACUGCUCAAGGACUACUCUCAAUGAACCCAUCUCUGUCUCAACUGGCAAAAUAGCCUCCAUACCAUACACUAGAAAGUAAGGUGUAGCUCCCGUAGAAAUGCAAAAAGAGGUACAGUAUGCCCACAGUGCAAAAGGGAGUUUCUUUAACCAAUCUCGAGAAGUCUCAACCAUGUUCUUUAAAAAUCCUCUUAAUGUUCUUAUUUGUUGUCUCUAUUGUCCCAUUGGUAUAUGGCCUAUAUGCAGAAGAUCUAUGAUGUCGAAUGUCAUACUUCCACAACAAAGUAUCUACCUCAGCUCGAAAGUGCACCCCUCUAUCUGAAAUCAAUUCAUGAAGAAUCUCAUAACGGCAAAUGAUAUGUGACCUGAUGAAACUGGCAACUCUAGUAGAUGUCAACCUCGCAUAUGAUGCAGCCUCCACCCACUUGGUGAAAUAAUCUAUGGCGACUAGGAUGAACUCAUGACCAUUGGAAUAUUUUGGUGAAAUCUUCCCAAUAAUAUCAAUACCCCAUACUGAAAAUGGUCAUGGCGAGGUCAAAGCAUGUAACUUUGAUGGCAGUGCAUGAAUGAGAUCACCAUGAAUUUGACACUCUGGGCAUUUAUGAACAAACUAAGAACAAUCUGUCUCCAUAAUCAACCAAAAACACCCUGUCCUCAUAAUCUUACGGGCCAACAUGUGUCUUCCCAUAUGCAGACCACAAACUCCUGCAUGAACUUCUCUCAUCACUUGGUCUAUAGAGGCUCAAUCUAAACACAACAGAAGCAUACGAUCGGUUGAUUGCUUGUAUAAGAUAUCUCCACAAAUCAUAAAUCUAGUGGCUAACUGUCUCAAUGCUCUUCGAUCCUUAACUGUGGCUACCUUAGGAUAUGUGCCAGAUAUAAGAAACUGAUAAAUGUCAUGAUAUCAAGGUAGAUCAUCCUGGACCUCUGUCUCUCCAAUCAAACAACAGUAGGCGGGUGCAGACCUCAACUCAAUUAGCAAUGGAUGUACAACUACAUCGAUCGGAAUGUCCAUAGAAGAAGCUAGGGUAGCUAAGGCGUUGGCAAACUGGUUUUGCAAUCUAGGCAAAUGAACAUAUCUCAAGUCAUCAAAUCUCACAACUAGUAACUCCAAGUAAGCGUGAUACGACCUAAGCUUCACAUCUCUAGUCUUCCAAUCUCCUUGAAUCUGUUUGAGUACCAAAUUAGAGUCACCAAAUACCUUAAUUUGUCUAAUGCCAAGCUCCAAUACAGUAUCUAAACCAAGGAUACAAGCCUCAGACUCAACUAUAUUAUUCGUGAUAAGAUGUCAAUUAAGGAAUUCCAAACAAAUAGACCUCGAAAUGUGAUCAUCUUGAGGGGAUACCAACAAAACACCUAUCCCAUACCUUGACUGAUUGGUUGCACCAUCAAAGUACAUGCACCAUCCUGAUAAGCUAGUCAUAGCAAUGAAUUCCUCAUCUAGAAAAUCAUCAUCAACUAGUCUAUCCUCAGAUGUCGGUAGUGAGGCUAAGUGAUCGGCGACAAUACUUCCCUUAAUAGACUUUUGAGAAACAUAUUGAAUAUUGAACUCUGUCAAAAGUACGAGCCAUCUCAUCAGUCUACUAGUCAAUACAAGUCUAUCAAAUAGAUAUCUCAACAGAUCUAGGCGGGAUAUCAAAUACACUAAAAUAUUUGUCAUGUAAUGCCUCAAUUUCCUGGUAGUCCAAGGUAGUGCUAAGCAGAGACGCUCAAUCAUAACAUAUCUCAUCUUAUACUCUAACAUCCUCUUACUUAGAUAGUAAAUAGCUUUCUCCCUCCCUGAGUCAUCAAGCUGAGCUAACAUACAUCCUAAGGCCAUGUCUGAAACUAACAAAUACAAAAGAAGUGAAUGUCCGAACAUAAGAGGCAUUAGAAUAGGAGGAGAAAGCAAGUACUCCUUGAUCUUAUCAAAUGCAAGUUGGUAAUCAUCAUUCCAAAUUGUUGGCUGAUUCUUUCUCAAAAGACGAAAAAUGGGCUCACAUAUGUCUAUCAAUUUGGCUAUUAAUCGACUAAUGUACUGUAAUUUGCCUAGAAAACCCCUGAUAUCUUUCUUAGUCUUUGACACAAGCAUGUCAAGUAUGGCUUUGAUCUUGUCUGGGUUGACCUCUAUGCCCCUUUCAUGAACCAUAUGCCCCAAUAAUUUCCUAGAAGUCACUCCAAAGGUGCACUUCUUGGGAUUUAGCCUCAAUCUAAAUUUUUGGAUUCUCUCAAAGAAUCUCUCUAGAGCUUCUAGGUGAUUUGCUUUGCCUCGGGAUUUCAAAAUCAUAUCAUCCACAUAAACUUCAACAUCCCUAUGCAUCAUGUCAUGAAACAAAGCAGUAGCAGCCCUCUGAUAAGUGGCUCCUAUGUUCUUCAACCCAAAUGACAUAACCUUGUAACAAUAGGUACCCCACUCAGUAAUAAAGGUUGUCUUCUCCAUAUCCUCUAGAGCCAUCAAAAUAUGAUUAUACCCUGAAAACCCAUCCAUGAAGUCAACAUUGAAUGGUCUGAGGUGCUAUCAAUCAAAAAGUCAAUAUGAGGGAGAGGAAAGUCAUUCUUAGGGCUAGCUUUAUUAAGGUCUCUAAAGUCAACACAUACUCUAACUUUGUCGUCCUUUUUGGGAACAGGGAUGACAUUACCCAACCACUCUGGGUACUCAACCACUGAUAUGAAUCCAACACUGAGUUGUUUCUGAAUCUCCUCUUUCACCUAUAGACUCUAACAUGGAUGCAACCGUCUUAAUUUUUGCUUAAUUGGUUUGGCAUGUGGUAUGAUAGGUAAGUGGUGUUGAACUAUAGAGGGAUCGAGGCUAGGUAUGUCCUCAUAAGACCAUGCACAGACAUCUAAGUAUGACCAGAGUAAAUAAAUAAGUCUAUCCCUCUCAUCUGUAGAUAAGGGUGAACCAAUCUUCAGCUCUCUAGGUUGAUCCUCUAUGCUAAAAUCAACAGUCUUAACAUCCCCUGUAACUGGUGAAACUCUCUCAUCCAUGGGGUAUGAGUCAUGAUAAAAAAAACCUUUAUCUAAAUAGAGUUGUGCAAUCUCAUAAUUUAUAUCCAAUAUCUGUGGAGUGGGUGAGUAGAUUAAAAAUAUAGAGAUACUAUCAUAAGAGAUAAGCAAAUACUAAAAAAAUACUCAAAUCCAUAAAUGAAGCAAUAGAAACAUCGUCAGAGCGGGAGACAAAUCCCGAUAAAACAUCAAAGGAAAUAGGUGGGUCCACAAGGUCGGAUGCUCCCUUAACUGGGCUAACAGUGCCCUCAAACAAACUACCAUCAUCCUCUAGAACCUCUAGAGCAGGAAUAGUCUAGGUCUCCUCAACAACCUCAAUAGUAGACACCCCAAACAUAUCAAAUGGUGAAACUGGUUGAAGCUGAACAAUGUUGUUGAUCUGAAUCAUGGUUAUCAUGUCCAUCUCAUCUUGGUACUCAUCAUGGAGAACAACUCCAUCAAUCAUCUCAAUGGUAUCGACGACCACUCUCUCAUCAAUGACCUCCUUUGGGAGCAUAGAGACAACAAACUAGCUCAAUCUAGAGACAGAGGAGCAAUUGCCAUAGAAACAGAAGUGCCAUGAGCCCCAUCACUCAAUUGUAACUGGUGAAAUAGAUGUUAAAGCUCGAUUUCUCUAUCUAUAUGAGCCACACUAUCAAUCUCCUCUAGACGGGGUUGAAUCUUUGAUCCUUUGACAAAGUAGUCGGUCAAACUCAUCCUAUACGAUCGAAUAGGAUAAUCAAAUGGUGUGGAGACAAACGGGCCCUCACUCUUUCCUUGCAUAGUCAUGCCAUGUAUCGGUAAUUGACCUUAGUAGGAAUGAACCCAAGUUCAAAUGUUGUAUCAUGGUCAAUGGCAGCUAUAAACUCACUGGGUCCCUACUGAUGUCAUCCUAACCCCAUGUCGGGUAGAAAAGUCAUACCCCUCAUCAUAUCAAGAAUCAUUGUACUGUCGUGUUGAUAAAAUGACAUGGCUACAAAAUCUCUGCAAAAACCCUCAAUCUCAAGAGUCUGUAUCUCAUCAAAAGUAAACCCAAUUAGAAAUAGGUCAUCCUCAUUGUCACUGGUCUGAAGUACUGGCUCAGAAGAGGCUAACAUAUCUCUGGUAGACUGUACCGUGAUGACUUGCCCAUCAUGAAUGAACUUCACCUUCUGAUGAAGGGAAUAAGGAAUAACUCAUGCUCUAUGAAUCCAUAGUCGGCCUAGUAGCAAGUUAAAAGAUGUAGGAAUCCUCAAAACCUGGAACAAAGUAGAGAAUGUGGCUAGACCAAUCCAUAAAUCAAUCACUAAGGUACCCAUAACCUCCAUCUUGGUGCUAUCAUACGCUUUGACCGUCUGAGUAGAGGGAUCAAAAUCCGAAGGCACGAAACCAAGGGUUAUAGCAGUGGUUAAAGGGCAGAAGUUCAAGGUUGAGCCAUUUUCUAAUAGGAUAGAUGGAACUCUAUGGCAUGAACAACCAACUGUGAUAUAUAGAAGGCGUAUAGGGUCUGAACCAUUAGGGGACAAAUCAUCAUCUAAAAACAUAAUGCAAGUGGCCUUGCUGGUCGUCAUUAUAUGAAUCAAUCCCUCUGGAGUGGUGGUAGUCUCUACUUUGAUAUGACUCAAGGCUCGAAUCAAAGCAUCUCUAUGAGUACUAGAUGAUGCUAAUAAGCUUCAAAUAGAAAUACGAGCCUGAGUACUCUAUAACUGUCUCAAAACCUCAUCAUCAUCCCUCUUAACCUCCUCAUGAGAGGCUACACCCUCAAAUGGUUUGACUGCUGGUGGUGGUGGUGGAACUAUCCUCCCACUAAGAGUCACAAUCUGUAUCUCUCUUCCCUCUGAAUCAUCAUCCUCUGGCCACAAAGUUAAUAGGACAGUGGUAUCCUAGUAUCUGAUAACCAAAGGUGUAGAAUAAGCCAACUAGAAUGGCGCCCCACCUGGGAUCAAACUGAAUGGUGCAAGAACCUGAAGACCUAAUGAAACCCCAUCAACCUCACUACUGUCAUGCAGAACAAUUGGCUUGGGUAAUCCAUCAUCCUAACUCAACAUAUGUAUAUUGUCAUCCUCUUUAAAGUCUAUGUGAUGGAUAUCUCUUAGAGGUGGAGACACUGCAUGUGUAGAAUGGGCAGUGAUUCGUGCCCAAUUGGUGUCUCAGCUGAUUCGUGUCUAGCUGGUGCUCCUUGAUUGAGGGAGUAAUCAACAAAAUUUAUAACCUAUUACACCAUAUACUAGGGUAGCAAAGACAAAGCUACUAUAGCAUAGUGGCUCUAGGAUCGUUCACUGAGAUGGGUUUUCACUUCACAAAUGAUAUUAAUUCAAAGUUGAAUUGGUGUCUUUUCAUUUCAAUGUUAGCUUUAAAAGAAAACAUAAAGAUGUUUGAAUGAAAAAGGUUUAGAUUUAAACUAACCAAAAAUAGUAACUGAUUUUACUUACAAAGAAAAAUGUUUCUUGGAGUUCAGAUCACUAGGCUCAGGUUCCUCAUACAAAAAGGGAGUUCCGGUCACUUGUUUCUUUUUUCUCGCAUUAGAGAAUUAACAUAUAGUUCCUUCUCCAACCGGUGUUGUACAGAUGCUUCCCAUUAAUGGGUUCAAACACUAAAUCCCUCUCACUGAUGCACCUUGCAAUGGUUCGUGCCUCUCACCUAGCAUUUUCCAUUCAAGGUGAUCUUUAACCUUGGAUUACCCGUCAAAAGCUCGUAAGAGAUAACUAAUGGAUGUCUCCUUGGAGUCCAAAAGCAUACCAAGUGUUGGCUAUUCUAGAAAAUCCUACCUUCAAGUCACCUCCCAAAGGCUCGCAAGAGAUAAACUAGUGCAUCUCCAUGGACGGAGAUCACUUGCCUUACCAAGUGUUGGCCCAGGUGAUUUAAAGGCGUUUUAAGUUAACUAAAAAGAUAAAAACCAUUAACGGGUCACACUUUCUCUUCAUUAAAAACUAAAACAACAAAACUUCCAAAUUAUGCAUGUGGAAACUUACCCGGCUUUCCUCACUCCAAGAGACAAAGAGCCUAGCCUCUCAUCCUCUGAGGAAAAAUCCUCAGAGUUUGUUUGGCUAGCAAGAAAAUGAAAAUGAAAGAGAAGGAAAAACAGAGCAAGGCUCUGUAUAUUCUAUAUAUUUAUAUAUCUAUAUCCCGUUGGAUUACAUGAUUCUCCCUCUAUUACAGUGGAUGCAAGGGAAUAUAUAUAGAGACAUUUUUCCAACCUUCCUAACUAAGAAAUCUUAUGGUUGGUGGAUUACAAGGAGAAGAAUGGAAAUUUAUACAAAAAUAUUUGAAGAAAAAUAUCUCAAAGUGUCGGUCGCAACUAUCGGGAAGCUUAAGGAGAACACUCGUGCACUGUGCAAAAUGGCUGCGGAAUUCUCGCAGCAAAAGGCUGAUCUCGCAGCCGUGCAAAAAAAAAUCUUCCUUCAGCUUGGAGUGAUCUGCUUGAAAUGGUUGUAACUCAUUCGUUUCAACUCCGAAUCGCACACCGUUUGAAGAAUUGGAUUGUUGACUUCCUGAGCCUUGAAAUGGUAUAUAGCAUGUAGAAAAAGUGUCGGUCGCAACUAUCGGGAAGCUUCAGGAUAACACCCAUGCACUGUGCAAAAUGGCUGCGGAAUUCUCGCAGCAAAAGGCUGAUCUCGCAGCCGUGCAAAAAUCUUCCUUCAGCUUGGAGUGAUAUGCUUGAAAUGGCUGUAACUCCUUCGUUUCAACUCCGAAUCACACACCGUUUGAAGAAUUGGAUUGUUGACUUCCUGAGCGUUGAAAUGGUAUAUAGCAUGUAGAAAAUGGACUUUGGGAAGUGCUCCAAAAGUGGCUGACAUGACUGUUAUCAAGAAUGCUUCAUGGCAGAUUUCUCUUUGCUUCCCCUCCUUGCAUUCCAGAUUUGCUUAUGGAAAAGGACUUCAAAGAUUUGGUUCUUCAUGUUUCUGAGCUUUCCAUUGCUUUGACAUGGAUUCCAAAUAACUCUCCUCAAUCUCGGAUUGCUUUGGUGAUCAAAAAGCUAUCAAAACACCAAAACUUAACACAAUUUGAUUAGAAUUGAUUGCAAGGGUCCUUAACAUGCCAAUUGAGUUAAAAGAUAAUAAUUACUACUCAAGAGUGUUUAAAAGAGUUAAUUACAAGCUACAAAAUAGCACUUUUUGAGUAGUAAUCACUCCCCCCAACCGACAUAUUGCUAGUCCCUUAGCAAUAAAGGAGAGAAAAAUAAAAAUAAACAUUACUAUAAUUUACAACAUCAUGCUGAUCAAAAAACAAUUCUCAAGUGGCAUGAUGAUCUAACUCUCACAUGGAACAUUAAAGAAAUAAAACUCAAACUUCAACAAGAGUUAUCAAAUAACUUGUCUAAUCACAAUUCAUAAAGAGAAGGCAUUAUGCAAAUUUAAGCUUUUAAACUCAUUUUCACUUCCAAAGAACCAAACUUUAUUCUUCCACAAAAAUCUAAGUGUAUGAUUCCUUAGCUUCCAAAUAUAGUAUGCUAAACUAAUCUCCCUCCCCCCCCCCCCCCCCCCCCAACCUAGUUCUUUUUCAAAGCUUAGCAAACUGAUCAACUUCCAAUAGGUUAAGAACGCACCUCUUUUUUCACAAUUUUUUUCAUUGUAGGGGUACAAGGCUUAAAGGUAUUCUUUUCUAAAUUGUCCAUGUAACGGGGGUCCAUCGAUGACUCCCAACCAAUUAAGGUUUUGGGCAUCAAGCUUUAAGGAUCUUUCAACCACUAACUCCUCGGAUUUUACCCCGGACUUUUGAGAAUUAAUUUUAAUACCCAAGCACCUACAGUAUGUUAAACUCCACCUAUUCACCCUUGUAAUGAGCAUUGAUAACUCUAAAUUAAUUAAUAGAUCAAAACCAAAAUAUGCCAUACUCAAAAUAUGAAAAAUAAUAUGUGAUUGACUAAAUUAAUUAACCGAAACUCUAAAAACACUAAAACCAAAUAUUGAUGGAUCAAAAUUAAAAUUGUCAUAUUUAAGACAUGAAAAUAAUAACACAUGAUUAACUAAGUUAAUUAACUAAAAUUAUAAUCAACUACAAAAUUGGAUAUAAAUGGAUUAAAAUCAAAAUUAAUGAAAUCGAAAAAAACACAAACACAUUCAAACUGAAAAAAAAAAUUAAUACUAGAUUAAAUUAGAACUAAAAACAUCAACAUCAUCUAAUAAGAUUGGUUAAAAUAUCAAAUUGAAAUUGAAAAUACAUUUAAACUAGAACAAAUAAAUAAAUCAGCAAAUUAGAACUAAACUAAAAUUGGAAUUAAAAAUAUGGAAUUCAUCUAAGACGAGUAAUCAAAUAAUUAAAUUAACAUCAUAAACACAUUCAAAUUAUAAAAUAUUAAAAUUAAACUAAAUUGAAAUUAAGAUAUAUCUAAUAAGAUUAUUUAAACUAAUGAAUUAAAAUCAACAAAUACAUUUAAGCUAAAAACAAAUUAAAACCAAACAAACUAGGAUUAAAAACACAAACUUUAUUUGAACAGCGCAACAACCUCAACAACAAACUUGAAUGCACAAGUUACAUUGGCAUUGCUACUGACCACAAUCACAAUGUACACAUUGUUGAUUCUCAUAUAAAAGAAGGAAAAACCUCCAAUUUGCCGCAUAGGACAUGUGCCAUGUUCUUUUGUUUGCAUUUUAUGCAUUCAAAAGGCAUCCAACAUGUUUUCCCCGACAUUGUCGCGAUAUAGGCGAUUGAUGAGGACAUCGCUUGGGAGAUUCAAGAAGUAGAUUGCAGAAGCAUCCACCAACAUCUCUGAUCCAGUGGAUUCGAUGCCAAACAAAUCAAGGAAGGGGUUUAGAUCUACGGUGGUUGAGGCCUUGUUUCAACGAUGUCAUUUUUAUUGGGUUGGAUCUCAAGCUCUAGAAAUGACGAACUCAACUUUCCUAAACGAGAGUUGAAAAUAGCGCAAUUGAUCUUGUGUUCUAAAUGCGGUGUGGGCGAUAACUCUGGCGGAUCUAUAAUAGCAUCUAGGAUUCUGAUGCGGGUGAGGUGGAGAAAGGGGCGACGAUGGUGGCGGGGAUUCACAAUGGGGGGAGAGGAGAGAGUGGCAAGAAUGUUCUUACUUGCGAUAUCGAGGCAGGAGAGGAAAGCCCUGGGGGAAGGAUUGCGGUCAAUGAAGGAGGUGGGAAUAUGGGUUAUGUCCUCGAAAAAGGUGCGGAAAGAGAAGAUGAGCAGAUGUGCUAAUGUCAAGCAGCGAAGGUGGAGGCAGAGGAGUGGUCAUGGCAUGAGAUGGAGUUGUGAUGCGAGUCUUCUGUUUUUGUCUUCUUUGUGAGUGUAUAUGUGUGGACCCUCACCCAAUCCACCGGACCGACGCGACUCGCUUUUAAAAGAAAAGAAAGAAAUGAAAAAGUUGGUGUUUUCCAAUUUUGAAAAACCCACCCCUGGUGAGGAACGGUGUUGUUUGGAGUCGCCACUUACUUUUUAUUUUUGUUUUUAAAAUGGGAAAAAUUAAGUAAGAACAAAAACCCCUAAUGACCCCAGUAUGGAAAAAGCGGUCUACGAAAAUUAGAUUCUGGGUCCGGGGAUCAGGUUACCCGUUGGGAAGGUACCUCAUGCGAGGUAGCACCCCUCUAGGACUAGAACUCGGUCUCUACUAAUGAAUUAGGUAUGUGGGAGCAUAUGGGUCAAAGGUCAAAUGAAACCCUAGGCUAAAUAGAUGUCAUGAAUCACACAAUCCUAAUUAGUAUUUGGCAUGCAUAUGAAUUCAACAACCAAAGCCAAUGGGUGCGUACCUGUGGUCCCUAGCUAAGCGCUGCAUAAAAGGUCAGCCAAACACAGAUAAACACAUAACAAACAUUCAAGAUUAAGCACCAUGCAUGCAUAUGAAUUCAACAAAAGCCAACGAUGCAUACCUGUGGUCCCUAGCCAAGCGUUGCAGCAGAGGGUGAGUCAGUUACGCAACAUGUAUUCAAAAUCAAGCAUCAAAACUUGUGCCAAAAAGGAAGAUAGCUGGUCGAAAUGAGGUAAGGGACUCCCCAAAUGUCAUACAAAUCAAACUAGACUCAUCCAGACCACACCACCCAUAACUUCAAAAUUGCCCAUACUAACUGAAAGCAAACACUGACUUAAACCUUCAAGAUGGCUCACAAGUGCCCUAUAGCAAAUGGGUUUGAGCCCCCAUGGAAAAGGGCUCGAAAAAUGCCAAAAUCGAGGGCUACCUAAAGUCCUCCAGCAGAAUAGGUUGAACUAGUUCUCAACUGGUACAACCUAUUGAGAAGAAUUCCCAAAUUUUUCUAGAAAACUCCUAAAUGAGUGAGGAUUCAAACAAAAGAAACGACACUCAAUCCUGAGCCCGAAUGAGUGAGAACCAGACAAAGAAAGGCAGGUGUUCCUCAUGGCUGACAGAGGCAGCCAGCUAUGGUGCUGAACCGGUUUAACCGGUUCCCAACCAGUUCAGCCGGUUGAUAAAAAAUCCCAAAUUCAGUCAGAAAGUUCCUAAGUGAUUAAGAAAGCAAACAAAAGCAACAACUCUCAAUUAUGAGCCCGGAUGAGUGAGAACCAGACAAAGAAAGACAAGUGUUCCUCAUGGCUAACAGAGGCUGCCAGCUAUGGUGCUGAACUAGUUGAACUGGUUCCCAACCAGUUCAUCCGGUUGAUAAAAAAUCCCAAAUUCGGUCAAAAAUUUCCUAAGUGAUUAAGGAAGCAAACAAAAGAAACGGUUCUCAAUUAUGAGCCCGGAUGAGUGAGAACCAGAUAAAGAAAGGCAAGUGUUCCUCAUGGCUGACAGAGGCUGCCAGCUAUGGUGCUGAACCGGUUGAACUGAUUCCCAACUGGUUCAGCCGGUUGAUAAAAAAUCCCAAAUUCAGUCAGAAAGUUCCUAAGUGAUUAAGGAAGUAAACAAAAGAAAUGGUUCUCAAUUCCAAGCCCGGAUGAGUGAGAACCAGAUAAAGAAAGGCAGGUGUUCCUCAUGGCUGACAGAGGCUGCCAGCUAUGGUGCUGAACCGGUUGAAUCGGUUCCCAACCGGUCCAGCAGGUUGAUAAAAAAAUCCCAAAUUUGGUCAAAAAGUUCCUAAGUGAUUAAGAAAGGAAACAAAAGAAAUGGUUCUCAAUUCCAAGCCCAGAUGAGUGAUAACCAGAUAAAGAAAGGCAGGUGUUCCUCAUGGCUGACAAAGGCUGCCAGCUAUGGUGCUGAACCGGUUGAACCGGUUCCCAACCGGUUCAGCCGGUUGAUAAAAAAUCCCAAAUUCGGUCAGAAAGUUCCUAAAUGAUUAAUAACCAAUCAACAACAAUCAUGUGUGGCCUUUAUUAUCCACACCCAAACAAUACAAACUUCAUAUCAAAGGGAAGAAAAGAUGAUGAGGAAGGAGAAAAAGCAUAUGAAGACGAGGAAGAUAAACUGUAAGUAAAGAAAAUUCAGCAUGCUUACCUCAGAAUCUCCACCAAAUAUGAUCCGUGUAUGCAGAUGAUGACUUCCAAAACUGAGAUGUUGUCACUCUCCUCUUCAAAAAAACCACAGUGCUGAAGCUUUCCCCCACGCUCUCAACUCAGAAGAUGCUACUGACCUUUUGUUUUUCUCACCAGCAAAAUUUCCCCUCUCCAAAAUGUCCUUUCCUGUCCUUUGCUCUCCUAUCCUCUCACCUUUUAUACUCAUACCCCUCUUAGCAUUUGAGCCUCCUGGAUUCCUUCCCCUUCAGCACUGAAAUCCCCUUCAUCAGCAUGGGAACCACACCCCUCAUUACUUCUCUUAAACUUACGAGGCCAGCUCACUCCUUUAGUUUUCAGCUUGCUUCACCACCAAGAAUCCAUAUGGAUUCGUGAUGGGCUGCAAGGAACCCAAACCAAGGCCUAAAAUAGACCCACAACAUUGCCCAAAACUGAUCUGGAGCUUACGGGCCUGAGCCAUGUAGGAUUUGGGCCUCAAAAUUACUAGAAUUAGUGUUUUACCUCAGCUGACUCAAUGAACCGGCUGAACCGGCCGAACCGGAUGCCAACUGGUCGAACCAAUGGAAAAAAAAUCUGAAAAUUUGACAAAAUGUUCCUAGUAGAGUAAGGAAUCCAUUAAAAAAAACGGUGCAUGAUUCCAAGUUCGGAAGAGGGAGAUAUGAUCAAAACAAUUACCAAAAAUCAGUGUUCUACACCAGCUGACUCUAUGAACCGGCUGAACCGGCUGCCAACCAGCCGACCGGUUGCAAAAAAAUUUUGAAAAUUUUACAGAAUGUUCCUGGAAGAAUAAGGAAUCCAUAAAAAGAAACGGUUCUUGAUUCCGAGUUUGGAUGACGGAGAUACGAUCAAAACAAGCCCGAGUGCUCCGAACCUCAACAUGCCCCUAUAAACUCCAACUAAGCUAAAACAUCAGGAUGACCCCACUUCUUUCCUAUAGCGUGAUGUGAACGACUAGGAAAAUGGCCAUGGUGACCCUCCAAAAUGAACCACAUAUGUACCACAAUGGACCACAGACAAACCCACAUGAGGCUCGGACACCGACUAAGCCCAAAAGGGGCCCUAGUGGUGUCAUAUGCGAACGAUGGGUGGAUGUGACACCCGAAGGAUAAAUGCCAGUGUCGAGGGACAAAAUUGAGGAUCUACAAUAUGGGUCCCCACCUUGCAGGCUGCUCCUCUUCAGCUGUGACCCCCCUCUCUUUGAUCGAUCCAAGUGAUAUGCAAAACUAAAAAAAUAAAUAAAAUUGGAAUAAGAAAACCCUGUGAUUGGAAAUAGAAUAAAAUAAAAUUGAAAGUCAAAUCAUCUGCCACAAAAAAUCUAAGAUGUUAAUUCAUGGAAUUAAAGAAUAUAUAAAUAAGUGGGUAAAUAAACAAAUAAAUUGAUAAGGGUAUACAAAUAAAUAUUAGACAUAUGCAAUUAGAAAAAAUAAAGAAAUUAAAUUAAUGCGAUGGAUCAUAACAAUUUAAAUGUCAAACUCAAACCAUCAAAAAUAAAAAAAUAUUCAUUUCAUGUAAUAUAUAGUCAAGCCAAUCUCAUCUUGUCUCACAAAAAUAAAAUCAAGAACAUGCCUAAAUGAACUAUGCCAAAAGAAGUCUCCAAGUGACCUAUUCUAAAAAAGUGCUUUGGUGAGCUCAGGUGAAUGUGUGCAAGCUGAAAGGUGUCUAGGUGAAUCUAAAUGGGUAAACGAGAACCUAAGUGGGCCUAAGGUGGUGCCUAAUGGGCCUAGUGUGAGACUAGGUGGGCCUAACAAAGACUAACCUAAAAUGCACCUAAGUGAAACUUAAUCUAAACUCGAAGGACUACCAAGGUCGUAAUAUGGAACCAGAUAAACCCCUUAACCAAAGUCCCCAAAGUGGCUUAGAAAAGGUAAGCUACACGAGUAGGAAUGGGCUAUCAAAGAAACACUGUGGAACACUGGAAGUGAACUUAAAGACAUGCUCUAAAAGGACAAAAUGGAGGGUCUACAACAUGAAGGUUGGCCCUACUCUCACCACUUUAGUCAGCUUGGUUGUCAAAAAUUUUAUUUUAUGAUUUUGUUUUCCUUUGGGUUGCCUAUGUUUGAUCCUUGAGUAUUGUCGUUUGUAAAUUAUUUCUUUCAUUUUAAAAAGAAACCUUUUCUCAAAAUGUUCCUCAUUAAAAUGCAUUUAAAAAAAAAAUUCAUUUAGAGUCCUUAGAAUCAAAAUCUCAUUUUCUUAAAUAACUUGCAACCAUGUCUUAAUCAAUUUGCAUCUUUCUUAGCUUUCAAUAAAAAUUCUGGCUUUGAGUAGAAUACGAAUCCAAGCUCGUGGUCCCAAAUAAAUGGGAUAAUUCUAGGCUAGACUUGUGUAUAUCAAUUGGGGAAUUGGUGGAACCCUUACGUAACAAAAAUUUUCAAAACUCUUCCUUGCUGCUAGUUUUCACUCAACCACUGACUCUUUAGCUUUCAAAUUCGUUUCAAAAACUUUAGAAUAUAUAUUUUUAAAUAAAAAAAAAUUCCAAAUCUUGUAUGAUUUUUCUCACUUCUUGAACUUGAAUUUAAAAUUUCGUUUGAGUUAGAAAGCAAUUCUGGAAUAGAAGAUAUAAAUGAGUUUUUAGGAGGGCUCUGUUUUCACCCAAUUCUGGACACUUGAAAUAUUUUUCUAAAAAUAAAAUAACAUAUGACUUUUUAAAUUUGAUUCAAUAUUUUUUCUUAAUUCAAGACUUCUUGAAAUUGAUGUAGCGAUAUGAAAUAUUUAAAAAAAAUAUGCAUUUUUGAGGGAGAUAUGAUUUUUCAAAGUCGUACCUAUUGUACAUGAUGGAAUCUAGACAUCUAAUUAGUUGGAGUGUUUCAAAAAUAUUUUUGAGUACUAUUCGACCCUGGAUUUAUUUUUCAUGUGCUAUAGACACUUUGACCAAUGUGUGUGAUUUUUUGUAUGAUUUUAUGUGGUCUCUUGUUAUUUUAAAAAAAUUGAUUUAUGCAUGCCACUUUUUUUUACCUAACCUACACUUUGUGGAACUUUUGGGGUGUCUUUGCUACAAUUUGUCAUUUGAAUGAGUGUUUGGUUUUUGAUAUGUUGUUCUAGAAUUGUAGGUGUUGUUUCCUGAAAUUUUUUGUAAUUAAAUUCAACUCCAAAAUAUUUUUUUAGAAAUUUCUUUUUGAUGCUCCAUUUUAUAAUUGCAUGCUAAUGAUCUUAUACAUUACUCUAGCAUUUUUGGAGGAAUUUUAUAAAUUGUGCAUGUUAUCCAGGUACACUUUCUAUCACUUACUUUUCAGAAUUCUAUGAACAUGCAUGUUGUUGUUAGCCUCAUUUAUGUUUGAUUCCAUCCUUGGGUGCCUAGAUGUUUGUUCGAUUUGCUCAAAUAAAAUACAUUUCAUGUGCUAUAUUUCUGUGCUAACUUUAAUAUCUUAUGAUAGCGCUUAAGAGGCAGUCCAGGUACACAUCCUAACCUUCCUUUGCAAUUGUGAUUUGAUUUCUUUUUUGGCAUGCUAGUUUUGAAAUAACCUUAGCCUACCUAGGUACCUCCAAUCAAUUGAUUAAUUGUCACUUUUCCCUCGACUUAGUCAUUAAAGACCUCUUUAGGGCUUAGAGGGGUGGUACCUCUUAGAGGUACCUUCCUAAUAGGUAACCUGAUCCCCAAACCAAGACUUGGGUUUUUCGAGACUUGCUUUUCCAAAACAAUGGAGUCACUUCUUUAGGGUUUUCUUUCUUAUUUUAUUUUCCAUUUUAUAAUAAAAUAAAACAACUGGGGACUCCAACUUUUCCAAAACUAAUUUUUCACCAAUAAAAAUAAGUCUUACCAUUGAGUAGGAACACACGUGAAAAAUGCAAGUCCAUAGGUGGGUCUUAAGGGAAUAGAUGGAGAAAUUGGUAAUUGAGGUUAGAUUUGAGGUUAAGGUUAAGGUUAGGGCUAGGGUUUCAUCUAUGGAUGGUAAUGAAGAUACAUAUAUAAACAUCCCUUGCAAAAUCUACCAAUAUGAUUAGUUUCUACUAUAUAAUCAACUGAAAUUGAAUCAAUUCUCCUUCUCAAACUAUGAUAAUAUGAUUUUAGAUGGUUUUUUAUAAUGAUUUCUUCCUCUCAGUGAAACUAUAGAUCAAUUCUAUGUUACAACCGGAAUAAAGGAUCCUUAGGAUCCCUUAAUCUUUAGUUUCUAUUUAGAUUAGGGAAUAAAGGAUCCCUAAGAUCCUUUAGUCUUUAAUUUCUAUUUAGUUUCCUAUAUAAAAUAAGAAGAGUUCAAUGGGGAAAUAAAUGGAAAAAUAAUCUCAAUAAAAAAAAUUUGUUCUCUCAAUUUUGCAUCUUCUCCUUGAGUCAUAAGAAUUGGUAUUAGAACACGGUCUAGGCACCAAUCAUGGCGGAAAGGACUAGAGUGUAAGAACAACAUAGACUUAAAGAUACUAUUAAAUAGUUGAAAGAAUCAUUGGAUAAACAAGCGACUACCUUAUUAGAACUAUCAAAGAUGGUUGCAAUCAUAAAAUUGAAAUUCAAACACAUAAAUUCAAGAAUAGAGAAGUCAAGUAAUGGAUAUAGUGUUUCAAUCAAUAGAAACAUGAUAGACUAUCACUAAUAUGUCAUAAACUCCAUUCAAACCAGAUUUUCCAAACUCUAUUUUCCAAAUUUUAAAGGUGGGAAUUGGGAAUUAGGAAAAGGUUGGAUUGGCUUCCUUACAUUUAAAACGAAGGGCCUUAGAAAGGUUUCAAGGGUAUGAGGCUAGUAACAAGGAAAUCAAUUAGACACAAUUUUAUAUAGAUGUUGUUUCUAGGUUUAGCCCUAGUGUUUAUGAUAGCCUUAUGGGGCAAAUAACCAAAUUGAAAUAGGUUUCUAUAGUUAGGGCAUACCAAAAUUAGUUUAAAGUAUUGAUGACCAAAACUAGCUAGUGGGUUAUUAAAGAAUUUUUUUUUCUAGUGUUUCAUCAGUAGCUUGAAAGAGGUAAUUAAAAAUCAAGUAACUAUGUUUCAACCAAUCACACUAGUCUAAACCAUCAAGUUAGUCUUGUUGCAGAAAUGAAUAAUGGAGGUAAUUCUCAAGGAAUUCAUGGACUCUAACGAAAGUGGGGAGAGUAUAGUGAGCUUUACAAGAAUCAUAAUGAAUCAUAAUAACAAAUUACCACCCCUUAAGAAGAUUUUAGACAUAGAAGUGCAAGAGAGAUGAAAAUUUUUUUUUUGUUAUUAUUAUGAUGAGAAGUAUGAGUCUAGUUAUAAAUAUAAAAUGAGACAAAAUUUUCUAUCAAAUGGUCAUAAAAGUGAAGGGAAAGCAACAUGUGAAGCUAAAAAUGAUAUAAAGAUGAUGAUCUUGUGGUUUUAAUCAAUGCAAUAUUUCGUUCAACAUCUCAUCAAACCAUGAGAAUCUGUGGCAACAUAAAAAAGAAGGUCGUCACCAUACUAAUUGAUUUAUGAAGCACCCAUAACUUCCUUGAUCUCAUAGUGGCCAAAAGAACAAGAAACUCAAUACAAACUACCAACCCCAUGAAGGUGGUAGUAACAGAUGGAACUAAAAUUACUAGUGAUGCAAUUUGUAGGCAAUGUUAGGAUAGAACCCUUAAAAGCAUGACAUAAUGUAAUAGAUUUGGAAUUCAUUAUUUAUUUAAUGAUGCUCCAGUUUCACUUUUAUCUAUCCUUAUUCCAUGUAUUAUACUUUAUAAGCAUUUUUGUUAACAUCAUUUGCAUUGUACGUGACUUAGAUACAUUAAGAGUUGUACAUAAGAUCUAAGUCAUGAGUUCCUUGCAAAUAGAUGACUUAUUCGCAACCAAUUCAUGGGUCUAGGCAACCCAUUAGAGGUUUUAGUGCACCACUUCCUAAUUAGAGGAAUGGUUGGUAUUGGCUAUUGGGAUGGGUUUCCUAUGAUGAGUGCACUAGUACGUAUGAAUGCACAUUGGAUAGGACCUAUGGUGAGUUAUGACUUAAGGCUAUCAAGUAGUCAUGAUUUCACCAAGUUGCUUCAUUAUGUUGUUUCUUAACCUUGAGAGAAUAUUUAGCUUGUGAUUACUACCAAAAGGUGCUAUUUUGUAGACCUAAUUAUAAUGAUUUUAAGCACCUUUGAGUAGUAAUCAUAUUCAUUUAACCCAAUUAAUUCAUUAAGGUCCUUAGUAAUUGGUUUUAACCAUUUUGUGGCAAGUUUACAUGUUUUUAUCAGCUUAUGAAUCAAUUCAAGCAUGCCAAAUGAUGGAGGAGCUACUUGGACAAGUUAUGGCAAAGCUUUUGGAAGCUCAAAUUCAUGAAGAACCAAGCUUUGGAGCUCCAUAGCCCUUUGCCAAAGUCGUUCAAAGUAUGCAAGGAAAGAACAAUGGAAAAGAGGAAAAGCAAGCAAAGUGAAGAGAAGCAAAGAGGACAACAGCUGCAGUCUUCUUUCGCACUUUUGGAGCUGAAGUCCAUUUUUUACAUACUAUAUACCAUUUUAAAGCUCUGGAAGUCAAGAAUCCAACACUUCAAACCGUGUACGAUUUGGAGCUAAAAUGAGGAAGAUAUGGCCUUCGGAAGCCAACUGCUCCAGGUUGUGCGAAAAUUUCGCACGACACAAGGUGUUAUGCGAAAUUCGCAUAACACCUUCAAAAUUCGCAUAACCCAUGCGUGGUGCGAAUUUUCCUCUAUUUUUGCCGACUCCACUUUAGAUAUUUUCCUUUGUAUUUUUUGAUGUAAUUUCUUUUCUUAUCCUUGUAACUAACCAAUCACAAGCUUUUGCUUUUGUAAAGACUAUAUAAGGGGUGGAAAUCACCUCUUGGAAAAAAUAUAUAGAACAUAGGUUACGUUUUACACUUAGAGUGAUAUACAGAGCUCUCUCGUCUCUCUUUUCUCUUUACUAUUUUCUUUUUCUUGGAAGCCAAACAACCUCAGAGGGCUUUUCCUCAGAGGAUGAUUGGCUAAAACUUUUAGUUUCUCAAAGUAUGGAUGUUAUGUGAUGACUUGGAUGCAAUCCCAUGGAAAUUUCUCGCACCCGGAAGGUAAGGUAGUCAUUUUUCAUUAAAGGUUCAUUAAUGCAAAGUUUGGUUUUUAUUUCCUUUGGACAACUUCCAACGACCAAUACUUGAUAAGCUUUUGGAUUUCUAUCCAUUAGUUAUCUCCUACGAGCUAUUGGAAGGUGAGGUUUUCAAUUCUAAGUUUUUCAUUAAUCCGUUAGAACCAAUUUCAAUGGCCAUUGAAAGGUGAGUUUAUCACCUGGAAUGACUUUGAGUUGCCAAUAUUUGGUAAGCUUUUGGCUUUAGACCAUUAGUUAUCUCUUACGAGCCAUUCAAAGGAAGUCUCAGGCGAAUAACCAUUGAUGAAAUUCACUACCAUCUGUUUUGCCAUUUUAAAGGAUUAAAACUUGAUUUGCUAAAUCCAUACCGGUUCGGGAAGCAAGCAUCACCAUAGUUGCAACCCCAACACGAGGAGCCUAUCCUGAGAUUUCCAAUUUGCAUAAGAGCCAGAGCAUAGCUAUCCUAUCUUUGAGAAACUUGUUUUUACACCCUUUCAUUUUAGUCUUUAAUGUUAGCUUAGAUUAGUUUAAAUCUUUCUAAAACAUUUACAUCUUCUUUUAAAGCUAACAUCCAUAAGAAAAUCACCCAUUUUCCUAAUUUGAAUAUCACUUGUGUUUGCGAAAACCCUUCCCAGUGAACGAUCCUAAAACCACUAUGCUAUAGUAGUUUGGCUACUUUAGUAAUAGUAUUUAAGGUAUAAAUUUUGUUGAUACGCCUUUAAAGCUAAGCUACCAUGAGUCGAAUCAGCUUGUAUUGAAAUUAGCAGUGGCUUUGACCUAUGGGUGAGAUAGUAAGAUGAUCAUAUAUUCCUUAUGGAUUGGACCACUGUUGAUGGAUGCCGGUAGCAAUAAGUAUUCUCAAUAGAAGCACCAUGAUAUCUCUUGGCAUUAAGAUAGUGUGUCCCCUUGGGUGAUCCUAAGAACGUAUGUUCAUGGAAACUAUGGCCAUAGUAGUUCCUUAGAUGGAACUUGGCAUAGGCUCUUUCAAAGGUAAGAUAUGUCAAUUUAACACACAAUAGGAGGAUUUUUAAUUCAAGGAUGGUAGAGGUAGUCUUAAAAGACUGAUAGCUUGCACCUUGUUAAACUACAGACACUAAUUCAUGGGAAGAUUGAACACAAUGGAUAGCAAGUCAUGGACCCGAGCACUUGGUGUCUCAUUGUUAUUUACAUAGGAUAUUGGAGUUCAAUUGAUUCUUUGUUUGGGAUAUUGAAUCCACUUUAGAAUUGGAUUAUGAGGGAACCGGUAUUCUUAUGGGCCCUAGUGGUCCUUGCUUUGAGCUCACAUACCUUGUUGGCACGGAUUAUGAGGUUUGGAUUGGCUUUAGGUUCACUUUUGUACAUAAGGAUAUUUUGGUAAUUAUGCAAGGUUGCACAAAAGUAAGUGAAUAAGGUCUUUGGAUUGCGCUAAUUGAUUAAUUAGUAGGCCUUGUUAGGUUAACUAAUUAACUAGGACCCAUUUUGGGUUAGAUUAAGUGACCCAAGCCAUUAGUGGACUCAAGGCACUUAAGCCAAGUAGGAAACCCUAUAAAUACUCCUUUAGGGGUUAAGGUUCCCAUUGUUUUUUCUAGACAUCCAUCUUCCAUCUCUGGAGAGAGAGAGAAAGAGAUUCAUAGCCUCUACUUUUCCUUCUGUCCCCACUGGAAGUGUGUCAAGAUCAAGUUUUGAGUCAUUGGGCGGAAGACUUUGGGUUUACGAGACUUCUAUGAUUUUGUUCUUCAUCUUCAUCACAUGGAUUUGAUUCGGGAACAUCCAAAUCUAAGGUAUGGCUUUCGUUAGCACUUUAUGAAUCCCUUUAAAGUUUUAAAAUGCUAUUUUUCCAUUGUGCAUAGGAUUUAGAAAAAGACUAGGAUAGUUAUUCAUGUUCCUAACCUGAUCCGAGCUUAGGAAACGAAGAGAUCCGAGUUUUUCCUAUAAGGCAAUUUACAUGGAACAUGCAAGGGAAGAAAUUUUAGAUAGAUUUGAGGCUUAUACCUUUGAGUGGGUGCAAUAUGGUAUUGGGAAUUCAAUGGCUAGCUGAAUUGGGACUCAUAUUGUGGGAUUUCAAGAAUUUAAAAAUGGAAUUUAUUAUUGAUGGAAGGAAAUUCGUGUUGAAAGGUACAACUAUAGGUUCCAAGAAGUUAGUUUCAACAAAUCAAAUUUAAAAGGAUUUAAGGCAUAUGUCUCAAGUAUCUACAAUUUAAAUUUUCACUAUACAAGGGAACGAGGAAAAUAAAGUUGAAAAUGAAUAACAUUGCAACUGUCUAACUCAUUUCCAAAAGAUAUAACAUGGAAAGAUGCUUACAAGAUUCAACAAAACUUUCCAUAGAUUCAACCUUGAGGACAAGGCUUCUUUUGAUGUGGGAAGGAAUGUUACAACCCCAAAUAAAGGAUCCCUAAGAUCCUUUAAUCUUUAGUUUCUAUUUCUAUUUAGCUUCUAUUUAAUUGGAGAAUAAAGUAUCCCUAAGAUCCAUCAAUCUUUAGUUUUUAUUUCUAUUUAGUUUCCUAUAUAAAAUAAGGAAAGUGUAAUGGAGAAAAACAUGAAAAAAUAAUCUCAAUAAGAAAAAUUUGUUCUCUCAAUUUUGCAUCUUUUCCUCAUAUCAUAAAAUUCUACCUGUGGAUUUUCUCCUUUUGAAGCUCUAUAUGAUACAAAAUUAAUUCUCUUUUACUCAAAUUCCAAGUAUGUAUUUAUAGAAAUGGGUAUGCUUUGACUCUCAAUGAACACAUUUUCUCAAUUUUUCUUCCUACCUAAGUGGAAAUAACAUAAGGCCAUUAAACUUGCUUUGAGAUUAAUUGUGGUUUUGACAAGCAUUUCAUCUAUAAUUCAUUUAUGCAAAACUAGGUAUAGUACAAGACCUCCUAAACAAAGUUUCUGGCAGUAAUGAAUUGAAAAGAAGCUGGGUAAAACAAGUUUCUACUCACCAUCCCAAACAUUCAUUUAGAUGUAUUGUAUGGUAGAGGAUUAUUCUUUUAUUAUUGUUAUUAUUAUUAUUAUUAUUAUUUAUUAUAAUAAUAAUAAUAAUUAUUAUUCUUGUUUUCUUUUCCCUUUUAAUGGUUUGUAGUAGAUUCAAAUGGCAUUAUAGAAGUAGAAUUUCCUAAUUUAAUUUGUUGGACAAAUUUGCUUUGGUUUUACUAUAUUUUGUGUUUUGAAUACAUAGAAAUCGAAAUAUAAUAAGAAAACAAUUAUAAUGUGUUUUUAAGGGGAAUUUUUUUUUUAUCUUCUAUUAGUAAAAAUAAAUAAAAAAAAUCAACAACUAUAAUAAUAUAGACAUUUGCAAUUUUUUUAAAGUGUCUCUGUUAGGACAUUGAGUUUUAUUUGUAUGUUGGUAAUUUUGUUCCAAUUUAUUUUUUGCCUUAGAAAUCUUUUUAGAUAGUGGCUUACUUUCUAUUGAAGAUCAAGGAUUGCUACUUGUCCAAUUGGAAAGUCAUAGGCACGUUUAAAAGGUUUGACUUGUGGCAAAUUAGGGUUCUAAAGGGUAUAAAUAAGAGCAUUAUUCUUUUUCUGGGACUGCUCGAGCACUUGACUAGCACUCGAAUGCCCAAGGUGCUCAAGCAAUGGUUAAGUGUGCUUGGCCUCAAGCUCUCGAGUGUUCAUGCCGAUUCUACCAAACAUUAGCAUAAUAUUUACAAAGAUUUCAUGCAAAUCCUAUAUGGAAACCUUGAGAUACCAACUCUCUUCAGCCUCUAAGCUUGUAUAUACCCCAUUAUGACCAUUCUAAGGUUAAGAGAUUGAUUUAUUGUUGCUACUAAGAGAGAGUCUCCUGGAAAGAAAGCCUAAUGAGCCACACAAUUCCUAAUCUCUCAUUUGAAGGAUUCAUUCAAUAAUCUAGGGUUGAAAACUUGCAUCCCUUCAAUAAGGCUAAAGAGUAUUCAAUGGAGCAAUUAGAGAUUGUUGUAUCAUAUACGUGGAUGAAGUUGUAGGUAUUGGAGGGUAAGCCUUUAGGAUAAAACAACCAGGUAAUUUGUGUAACUUGAUCUUGUAUAGUGGAUUUUGAUUAGUAGUCUUAGACCUUGUGGUUUUUUUAUCUCCAUAGUAGUGUAGGGAUUUUUCAUGUAAAAAUCAUUGUGUCCAUUGCUAUAUCUUGUGAUUAUCAUGAUUGUUUAGAUUCUAUUUAUCUCUAAUAUUAUCUCAUAGGGUAAAAAUUGAGUAUAACAUAUAAUCUUUAUUUUAGAAUUCUUUUAAUUACACCCAUUCACCUCUCUCUUCUCUUUGGGUGUUACCCUACUAGACUUGGCUUUUUUAGUCUCAAAAUCUAUAUUAGCAUUUUUUUUUUAAGUUAUAAAUGGAAAAAGUUAUAAACUCGAGAUAACUUGUUAAAAAAGUAAGAAAUAAUAAAAGGACUUGUGUUAGAGCAUAUAUAACUAAUCUGCUCUAGGCUUAAUAUAGCUCCAAUGUCAAAUAUGAAUACUUAAUUAUUUAUUAUAUUUUGAAAAUAAAGUAAGUAUUUUUUAUAUAAAAAAUAAAACAACUUUUCUAGAACAACACAAGGCACUAAUGCAUAUAGUUGGUAAUAAGUUGGAGAAAGAAAAUAAUGUGGAGAAAUAAAACAACGUGUAGAAAUAAAACAACUUGGAGAGAAAGAAAAUGACUAACAGAAAAGGAAAUAGUGAAAUUAUAGAAUGUAAGAUAAUUACACUUAUUUUCAUAAAAAUAAUAUAUUCUAAUACAUUAAAUAAGAAUUAUUUUCCCAAAAAUGUACUCCCCAUGAAAAUGACUUUUGUGGGUUUUUUUUAUUUAUUUAUAUUUUGUAAAUAGUGCAUAUUUACAUAAUUCCCUCAUAAAUAUAAUAUAAUCAUCUAUACCUGAUAAUUAAGGAAAUUGAAAAUAUUUACAUACUAAGCAAGGAUAAUGGAAAUUAAAGAGUAUGUCCAAAGAGAACAAAAAUAUUAAAGAUUAAUUAAAACUCUAAAAUACAAGCCUUAAUCUACACAUAUAGGCCAACAUCUUAGGACGUAUUUGAUUAAAUAAUAAUAAUAAUGAUUAAAAAUAUAAAAAAUUAUGGGUCCCAUUUUUUAAUUGUUUUCAAUAACAUAAUUAUAAACCCCUUAAAAUUUAAAAUCAUUUAUUCAAACCACUUUAUUCAUUUAGCAACAAGGACUUAAUUAAUCACUAAGAUCAAACACAAUGAUUUAUAAUUUUUAUAAUUUUUUCUUCCAUUACUAUCAUUUUCUUUUUUAAAAAAUGAAGAUUUCUAUUGAUAAAUUUUUUAUAAUAAAAUGUAACUUCUUUUAAAUUAAAACCAUUUAUUAUUAAAAAAUUUAUUUUAAUUCAUCUAUGAGAUUAUUUUAACAAAUUUGUUUAGAAUUUUAAUAAUUUUUUUGUUUCAUAUUUAAAGAUAAAAAAUUAUUAUUAAAUCAUUUUAUUCAUUAUAAAAUUUAUCUUUCUUUUCUAAAUCACAAUUUUUGUCAUGUCCAUUCAUAUAAUAAAAUUAAAAUUAAAAAUAAAAAAACCUAAUUUAAUUGAUAGCACCAUGGAAUCUUUCCAUGCACACUCAUGCAGCCAUCAGUUCCCACAACAGCCACGUGUCUUCCAACAAGUAUAUCCCCUUUCUUUGGCUCUCCAUGUGUUUGUGUUCUAUUUUUAUUUUUUUAUUUUAUCUUAAUUAGUAGUCCACAUAACAAGCAUGACAAGGAUAUGAGUAGAUAUGUCACUUCUAACACUAAACCCUCUUAAACCAAAGUGAAGUAUGAAUGCAAUAUGCAAGUCUAAAUAAUGGUGAAAGAAUAAAAACAAAGGAGAAUGCAUGUAAGAUGUGUAUAUAACUAUAACUAAGGAUUAAAAAUGAAGGGAAAAAUCAUCGAGAAGGGUGAACCAUGGGUGAUAAGCCACUUAGUUCAUCAUUUGGAUAAAUAUUAAAAGUUAAAGAGUAUAAAAUGUCUAGGCAUGUCGUCAUUUUUUUUUUACUUUUAAGUUAAAUAUAUUCUUAUUGUUGUAAAUUAAGUAAUGAAUGUCACCACAUUUAUUAUAUUAAAUUUUCAUUAAAAGCCUAUAAAAAUGUUUCCUAUCCCCUGUAAAAUUCAUCAUAAGCAAAGAAAGAAAUUUUCUUUCUCUCUUAUUUUAUUUUUAUUUUUUAUUCUCCAUAUCUUUCAUUCUUUCAACUCUCUUAAUUCUCUUUUAUGAUUCCUUCCUUUCCAUUAUAUAUUAUUAUCAAAAUAAUAUAUAGUUGUUCUCUACUUUUAUUUGCGUUGCAUUUAUCCUUCUUUUACAACACGUUAUUAGCACGAAUUGCUUUGAAAGUAAUUCUCGUAUCUUAAACUUGAAGUUAUUUAUAUAGAAUAAAAUUUUACAUAUUUAUAUUGCAAUUGUUAAAUUCAUUUAAUUUGUGUUAUAUAUUAUUAAAAGUUAUAAGCAAAUUAUUUGAUUUUGAUUGUAAUCAAAAGUCAUACCAAUGCUAUUAAUUUAUAACUAAUUCUAUUAAUAUUGUUUUGUCAUAUAUCUAAAGUUAAUUAAUAAUGUCAAGUCUCACAAAACUUGAAUUUGUGGCACUUGACAUUUCGGGAAAGAACUAUCUAUCUUGGAUCCUUGAUGCUAAAAUACAUCUUGAUGCAAUGAAUCUUGGAGCUACGAUUAAAGAAAGAAAUCAAGCAUCCUUGUAGGACUACUAAAAAACGUUGAUUUUCCUUCGUCAUCAUCUCUAUAAAGGUUUUAAAAAUGAGUAUCUUAUAGUAAAUGACGUUUUUACUCUAUGGAGUAAUUUGAAGGAAAGAUAUGACCACCAGAAAGUUGUGAUUCUCCCAAAAGCUCGAUAUGAUUGGAUGCACUUGAGGUUGUAGGAUUUUAAAACUAUUAGUGAAUAUAACAUAACUCUACACUUUUCAAAAUCAACUCUCAAUUAAAGUUGUGUGGAGAAAAAAUCACAAAAGAAGAAAAAACUUUAUUAUAUUUCAUGCCUCGAAUGUGAUCUUACAACAGUAAUACCAAGAGCGUAGAUUUAAAAAAUACUCUGAAUUAAUAUCAUGUCAUCUUGUUACCGAACAAAAUAAUGAGCUUUUGAUGAGAAAUCACUAGUCUCAUCCAAUUGGAUCUUAACCAUUCCUUGAAGUGAAUGCAAUAUCAUCCCAAACUCGUGGACAUGGACGAGGACAAGGAAAUGGUCGUGGUCGUAAAAGGAAUCCCUAAUAUAAUGGUUAUUAUGGUAAUAAUUCCUCAAAUCCUCAUAAAAGGAAAGCUUCAUUACACCUCCAGAAGUGAAAUAAUAUUGAGGCAAAACAAGAAAAUGGGAAAUGUUUGCAAGAUAAACCUCUAAAGAACCAUGAGAAUAAUUGUUAUAAAUGUGGUCUAAAUGGUCAUUGAUUGCAUACCUAUUGUAUACUCAAAAAUUUGAUCGACCUUUACCAAGCAUCAAUAAAAGCAAAAGGAAAAAAGAUAGAGAUGAACUUUACCUAUGGUGAUGGAUUGGACCUAACCUACUAUGACAUUGAUUUCUUUGGAGGUCUUAGUGAAAAAACAUAUUAUUUAAUAAAUGAUAAGAAUGCUAACAUUGAUUGGUGUUACUUUAUAUAUCAAAUAAUAUAUUAUUAUGUCUUAUAUUUAUAUCUGAUUAUUACAUUUUCUUUUAUAUUGUUAUUUAUAAUAUUAUGCCUUGUUUUUUUAAUAUUAGUUGUAUCUAAAAUCCACACGUUAUUUGGUCUCAAGAUGACUGAGGAUGAUGUAUGUCUCGUAGAUUGUGAAACCACAUACACAAUUCUUCGAGAUAAAAGAUAUUUCCUUGAAUUAACAUUGAUAAAAGCUAAUGUAUGUACCAUAAUUAGUAUUACAAACUUAGUUGAAGACUCUGGAAUAGGAAACAUAAUGCUACCAAAUGGAACUAGAUUUCAUAUAAAUGAUGCUUUAUAUUCUAGAAAAUCCAUAAGAAAUUUGCUCACUUUUAAAUAUAUCCGCAGAAAUGUAUAUCAUAUUGAAACUAUGAAUGAAGAUAAUGUAAUUAUCUUUACAUUACUUCCAUUAUAUUUGGCCAGAAGCUUAUAAUUGAAAAACUCUCGGCUUUCUCCUCUAGGUUGUAUCAUACAACUAUAAAGCCUAUUGAAUCAUAUUUUGUCAUGAACCAGAAGUUCAAAAACCCAAAAGUUUGUCUUUUGGCAUGAGAGACUAGGUCACCUAGGGUUUUCAAUGAUGCAUCAAAUAAUCAAACACUCACAUGGGCAUCCACUAAAGAACCUGAAGAGUCUUUUGCAUAAUGAAUACUCAUGUGCUGCUUGUUCACAAGGUAAAUUGAUAGUCAAACCAUCUUUUACUAAAGUCAUAUUUGAGUCACUAGUCUUUUUAGAAAGAAUACAUAGGAACAUAAGUGGGCCUAUCCAUCCACCAUGUGAACCAAUUCUUUAUUUUAUGAUCUUAAUAUAUGCUUCUCCCAGGUGGCACAUGUUUGUCUCCUUUUUACAUGUAAUGUUGCCUUUGCUAGACUCCUAUCACAAAUGAUCAAAUUAUGAGCACAAUUCCAAUGUUAUCCUAUUAAGAUAAUAUGUCUUGAUAAUGUUGGCGAAUUUACUUCUCAAACAUUCAUUGACUACUAUCUAUUGGUAGGGAUAAAUAUUGACUAUCUUAUUGCUCAUACUCAUACCCAAAAUGGUUUAGCAAAAUCCUUCAUCACACGUCUCCAAUUAAUAACUCGAUGAUUCAUGCCCAGUCGGGUCUUUUAAUCAAAAAAUAUUUAUAAAUCCUAUGACCUCAUACUAGCGUAGCAAAGCUACUAUAGUAUAGCAGCUCUAGGGUCGAACUCUAGGAUGGGUUUUCACUCUACCAGUGAUAGACUCAAGAUUAGAAAUUGAAUCUGAUGAUUUCCUUUGUCAAAAACUUAAAGUUUAAAAGAAAAUAAAAUUUUUUUUGAAAGUAGUGUUUGAAACUAAACUAACAUAGAACUAGGUAAAAAUGGAAGAAAGAAAGUCUCCCGGAGCUAAAGAUUGCUAGGAUCAAGUUCAGAAUGCAAAGUGGGAAAUUCCGGAUUUUGUUCCUCACAUUGGGGACAACAACAUAAAGGAUGGUUGUUUCCCAAACCGGUAUAGGUUUAACAAUGAAGAUUUAAUCCAUAAAAAGUCAAUAGAAAUGGUAGUCAAGUUCCAUUAAUGGCUUUAGACACUAUGGGUCUUCACCUUGAGCCACUUUCCAAUGGCUCGUACAUGAUAACUAAUAGUCUUAUGUGGAUCUAGCAAUAAGUAUCCACAGAGACCUAAAAGCUUACCAUGUAUUAGCCAUUCAAAGUGAUUCUAAGGGAUUUAAAGCAAAACUUUAGAUUUAAAAGCCAUUUAUGAACUCCAACUACCUAUAUUUAAAGCACGAGGGUUUUCCACUUUUGCAUCUGGACUUUUCACCUAGCUUCCUUCACUCCAACAAACCAAAGGUUUAGCCUCUCAUCCUCUGGGAAAACAUCCUCAGAGAUUGUUUGGCUUCCAAGAAAAUAUAAUUAAAAAUGAGAAGGUAAAGUAGAGCAAAGGCUCUGUAUUUUACUUCCUUGCAAAACUGUACAAAAGUUUUGUUGUCUCUCCUCUCUGUCCCCUGAGAACAGGCUCCCAAGAGAUAUAUAUAAGGAAAAAUUACAAAAAUAAUAUAUAAAAGGUUAUUUAUCCUUUUGCCAAACUUAAUAGCUAAGGAAUCCUAUAAUUGGCGGGCUACAAGGAGAUUUUGGGGAUUUAGAUAACAAAUAUCUAAAGCAAAAUAUCUCAAAAUAUCCCAAAAUAUCGAUGGAAAAUAUCAGGAAGCUUCAAGAGAACAUAACAGCACUGUGCAGAAUGGCUGCUCUCCCAUCCGGCGUCAGAAUUCCAAAACGUGAACAUUCGGGUGGAAAGUGCGCGGCAGCCGGGUGUAAAUGGCGGCAGCCGGGUGCAAAAUGACAGCGCGCAUCCGGGUGCAAAUGGCGGCAGCCGGGUGCAAAAUGGCAGCGCACAUCCGGGUGUAAAUGGCGACAGCCGGGUAUAAAAUGGCGGUAGCCGGGUGCAAUUCCUACCCGGAUAUGUUGUCCGGAUGCCCUCCAAUGGUGUAUCCGGACGCCUUGUCCGGGUAUACUCCUUGCAUGGAUUCCAAAGAACUCUCCUCAGUCUCAUAUUGCUUUGGUGAUAAAAAAAACUAUCAAAACACCAAAACUUAACACAUUUUUUAUUAGAAUUGAUUGCAAGGGUCCUUAACAUGCCAAUUGAGUUAAAAAGUGAUAACUACUACUCAAAAGUGUUUAAAAUAGUUAAUUAAAAGCUAUGAAAUAUCACUUUUUGAGUAGUAAUCACUCCCCCCAACCGACAUAUUGCUAGUCCCUUAGCAAUAAAUGAGAGAAAAAUAAAAAUAAAAAUAAAAAUAAACAGUACUAUAAUUUACAACAUCAUGCUUGAUAAAAAAAACAAUUUUCAAGUGGCAUGAUGAUCUAACUCUCACAUGGAACAUUAAAGAAAUAGAACUCAAAAUUCAACAAGAGUUGUCAAAUAACUUAUCUAAUCACAAUUCUUAAAGAGAAGGCAUUAUGCAAAUUUAAGCUUUAAAAGAGUUUCCACUCCCAAAUGGUCAAACCUUACUCUUCCAUAAAAAUCUAAGUGUUAUUUAUUAGUUUCCGAAUAUAGUAUGUUGAACUAAUCUCUCCCCCCAACCUAGUUCUCUUUCAAAGCUUAGCAAACUAAUCAACCUCCAAUAGGCUAAGAACGCACCUCUUUUCUAACAAAAAAAAAAAAUUCAUGGUAGGAGUACAAGGCUAAAGGUAUUUUUUUCUAAAUUGUCCAUGUAACGGGGGUCCAUUGAUGACUCCCAACCAAUUAAGGUUUAGGGCAUCAAGUUUUAAGGAUCUUUCAACCACUAACUCCUCGGAUUUUGCCCCGGACUUUUGAGAAUGAAUUUCAAUACCCAAGCACCUACAGUAUGUUAAACUCCACCUAUUCACCCUUGUAACGAGCAUUGAGGUCGGUGACUCCCAACCAAUUAAGGCUUAGGGCACCAGGUUUUAAAGAUUUUCACCAUAUACCCCUCAGACCUUGCUCGGGUUUCAAGGCAACCAAACAUUUUUCUUUUCUUCUUUUUCAAAGGCUUAUUGGCCUUUUAUAAGGUGUCCCAACACUAUUAAAUGAGGUCAAAGGUACCAAGUCUAAAAUUUCUUAAGUUAAGAGGGAAAUAGUUUUUCAUCUUAUACUCGGAACCUAUUGUGCACAGUGUGUGAAUAGCUUAAAGUGGAAGACAUAAGUUUGAAUUCAAUAGAAAUUUCAACAAUUCAUCAACUUUAAUAAACAUAAUACAAACUCUAAGUCAAAUGAAAAGACAAAAAUUCAAUUUCUCCCAUUUCAUUUUGAAAAUUUUUCCUUAAUAACCAUGGAGAGUAGAAUAAAAACUAAAAAAUUUUAAAAUUAAGCAAAAAGCAACUAAAUUACCAAAAUAACUUAGCAUUAAUAACAAAAACUUCCUUCCUCAACUCUCCCCCCAACCAAGCUGAACAUUGUCCUCAAUGUGACAAAGCGAUUAAAAAAUAGGGAGGAAGUGGUACCUCCUGAGUAACAUGGAGUCUGAAUGGACAGGAGAAACUAAUAAAGGGAGAGGAGUGAUCGUAUGAUCAAGUAGUAGGCUCCUCUGGUGGAUAGGAGGGGUCCUCAGCUGCAACUGUGGAAGGUACCGCUACAGGUGUGGCAUCAUCAGUUGGAUCAAAGUCAUCAGCUGGAGCAAAAGGCUCUGAGGACACAGGAGAAACAGGUGGAGCUGGUGGUAAAAGACCGAGGUGCUGCUGAAUCUCACGGAGAAUGAGAGUUUGCUGGUCCUGCCGAAGUUGGAGGUGGUCCAUCCGGUCCAUAAUGGCCGUCUGAGUAGUAGUCAGAGUCUGGAAAGAAGCAAGCAAGUCAAAAAUAAAAAUCAAAACAUGCAUAUACACAAGAAAAAAAAAACACUAGAUUAAACUAAAAUCAACGCAAAAGGAAACAAAAAGAGGAUGAACUUUUUAGUCUUUGAAGAGACUAAGUUCAACCAUGAACUGAGUGUUUUCAUGUUAGAGGUGGAUCAAGGAGGAUGAAUUCCUCCUUGUCUCGGGAAAAUGAUUCCAUAUAGGGCUUGAGACGAUGCCCAUUCACUUUGAAAGUUCAAGUGCUCUUGAAGUUGAGUAGUUCCACUACUCCAUUUGAUUGCGCGUCAUGAAUUAUGAAAGGACCCGUUCACCUUGAUUUCAAUUUUCCCGGAAAAAGAUGAAGUUUAGAGUCAUAAAGCAGACUUUUUGUCCCUUGGUAAAAUUCUUCUGAUUUACCAACUGAUCAUGCCAUUUCUUUAACCUCUCUUUUGCAAUUUUUGAAUUGAGGUAAGCAUCAUUCCUCAUUUCCUCCAAUUCGUUCAAAUCCAAACAUCUCUUUAACCCGGCUCUUGUCAAAUCCAUGUUGAGCUUCUUGAUUGCCCACCAUGCUUUAUAUUCAACCUCCACUAGGAGAUGGCACGCGUUGCCAUAAACAAGACGAUAAGGAGACAUUCCAAGAAUGGUCUUAUAAGCGGUCCUAUAAGCCCAUAACGAAUCCAGGAGAUUAAUAGACCAAUCCUUCCUAUUCACAUUCACCACCUUCAUCAGUAUAUUCUUGAUUUCCCGGUUGGCUAACUCAACUUGGCCACUUGUUUGAGGGUGACAAGGUGUAGCUACCUUGUGCUUGACCCCAUAUUUGACUAGAAGAGUCUCAAAACGCUUGUUGUAAAAGUGGGUUCUUCCAUCACUGAUAAUGGCCUUAGGCACUCCAAACCUUGAAAAGAUGUUCUCCUUGAGAAAUUUGAGAACCACCUUAUGAUCAUUGGUCCUACAUGGGAUUGCUUCUACCCACUUAGAGACAUAAUCUACUCCCACCAAAAUGUAGGAGUGUCCAAAUGACAUUGGAAAUGGUCCCAUGAAGUCUAUCCCCCAAACAUCAAAGACAUCCACUAUCAAGAUGGGGUUCAAGGGCAUCAUAUUUUGGCAUGUUAGCUUCCCAAGCCUUUGACACCGAUCACAUCCCUUCCACAUAGAGUGGGCAUCCUUGAAAAGAGAGGGCCACCAAAAACCUGAUUGGACCACUCUCAUGGCUGUUUUCUAGGAAGCAAAAGGACCUCCACAUGCACUAUCAUGACAAUGGGAUAGAAUUUCUGAUUGCUCUUGUUCAGGAACACAUUUCCUUAUGAUUUGAUCCGCACAAUAUUUAAAGAGAAAAGGCUCCUCCCAAUAAUAGGCAUGGAUCUUAGCAAAGAAAUGCUUCUUGUCUUGGGCACUCCACUCACUUGGGACUUCUCCAGUAACCAAGUAAUUUGCAAUGUGAGAAUACCAUGGAUCUACCUCUAUUGACAUGAGAGACUCCUCAGGGAAGUCAUCAUUGAUAGGUAGACCAUGUGAGUCAUGUGCUAUCACAAGUCUUGACAAGUGGUCAGCUACCACAUUUUCUACUCCCUUUUUAUCCCGGAUUUGGAGAUUGAAUUCUUGAAGCAAAAUGAUCCAUCUUAUCAAUCUUGCCUUGACAUCUUGCUUGGUUAGCAAGUACUUAAACGCAGAAUGGUCAGUGAACACCACUAUAAAGGACCCUACCAAAUAGGCACGAAACUUAUCCAAGGCAAAAACUAUUGCCAACAACUCCUUCUCAGUAGUUGUGUAGUUCCUUUAAGCCUCAUUCAAAGUUUUGUUUGCAUAAUAAAUCACAUAGGGCUUUCCAUAUUCUCUUUGCCCCAAAGCAGCCCUCAUAGUAAGAUCACUUGCAUCACACAUUACCUCAAAAGGUAAUUUCCAAUUUGGGGCUCUCACUAUUGGUGCAGUUGUGAGGAAUUGCUUCAGUUCCUCAAAACUCUUCUGACAUUUCUCAUCCCACACAAACUUGGCAUCCUUUACCAAGAGUUCACAAAGAGGUUUUGAGAUUUUUGAGAAAUCCUUAAUGAACCUCCUAUAGAACCCGACAUGUCCUAGGAAUUGCCUAAUUCCUUUAACAUUUGUGGGAGGUGGCAACUUAACAAUUAGCUCCACCUUUGCCUUAUCCACCUCAAUACCAUUCUUGGAGAUUAUAUGUCCUAAGACAAUUCCUUGUUGUACCAUAAAAUGGUACUUCUCCCAAUUUAGCACUAGGUCUUUCUCAAUACAUCUUUGGAGAACAGCUUCUAAAUGCAACAAACACUCCUUAUAAGAACCUCCAUAUACAGUGAUGUCAUCCAUGAAGACUUCCAUGAUGCGCUCCACCAUAUCACUGAAGAUGCUUAGCAUACAUCUUUGGAAAGUUGCAGGUGCAUUACAUAGACCAAAGGGCAUCCUCCUAUAGGCAAAAGUACCAAAGGGGCAAGUGAAGGUUAUCUUUUCUUGAUCUUCCAAAUCAAUCUCUAUUUGGAAGUACCCCGAGUAACCAUCCAAAAAAUAGUAGAAAGGAUGCCUUGAGACUCUCUCAAGGACUUGGUCCAUGAAAGGCAAUGGGAAAUGGUCCUUCCUAGUUACUGAAUUCAACCUCCUAUAGUCUAUACACACCCUCCAUCCUGAGGUAAGACGUGUAGAGACUUCCUCCCCUUUCUCAUUCGGGAUCACAGUAAUUCCAGAUUUCUUUGGGACUACUUGGGUUGGGCUCACCCACAAGCUAUCUGAAAUAGGAUAUAUGAUUCCUGCUUGAAGUAGCUUCAGAACUUCACCCCUUACCACCUCUUGCAUGUGAAGAUUCAACCACCUUUGGGGCUGCCUCACUGGUUUUGCAUCUUCCUCCAUGUAGAUAUGGUGGGUGCAUACCAAAGGGCUAAUCCCUUUCAGAUCAGAAAUUUGCCAUCCAAUGGCCUUUUUGCAUUUUCUGAGGACUCCCAAAAGACUAUCCUCUUGAUCACUUGUGAGAGUUGAAGAAACCACCACUGGACAUUUCUCAUCUUUCUCCAAAUAUGCAUACUUCAAAUCAACAGGAAGCGGCUUCAAAACUAGCUUUGGAGAGUCCUCCUCAUUGAACAAGGGUAAGAUCUCUUCCCUUCUCCUCCAAGGAGACAUGAUGGCUAAUGAUUCAUGCCCAAUUGGUGUCUCAGUUGAUUCGUGUCCAGCUGGUGCUCCUUGAUUGAGGAAGUAAUCAACAAAAUUUAUAACCUAUUACACCAUAUACUAGGAUAGCAAAGAAAAAGCUACUAUAGCAUAGUGGCUCUAGGAUCGUUCACUGGGAAGGGUUUCCAAAUUACAAAUGAUACCAAUUCAAAGUGAAUUAGUACUUUUUCAUUUCAAGGUUAGCUCAAGAAAUAAAACAAAAACUUUGAUAGGUAAAGAUUUAGAUUUAAAAUGACUACAAAGCAAGUGAUGGAAAUUACUUAGGAAGAAAAACAUUCCUUGGAGGGUCAGGUUCACUGGGGAGGUUCCUCAUACAAAAGACAUAGCUUCGGUCAGUUGGUUCAUUUCCUCGCGUUAGAGAAUCAACAUAUAGUCAAUUCUCUAACCGGUGUUGUACAGAUACAUCCUUUAAUUAGAUUUCAGCUUUAAUUCUCUCGCUGAUGCAACUUGCAAUGGUUCAAGCCUCUCACUAUGCCUUAAUCAUUCAAGAUGAUCUUUAACCUUGGACUUCCCUUCUCAAGCUCGCAAGAGAUAACUAAUGGAUGUCUCCUUGGAGUCCAAAAGCUUACCAAGUGUUGGCAAUUCCAGAAAAUCCUACCUUCAAGUCACCUCCCCAGAGGCUCGCAAGGGGUAAACUAGUGCAUCUUCAUGGUUGGAGAUCACUUGCCUUACCAAGUGUUGGCCCAGGUGACUCUAAGGUGUUUUAAGUUAACUAAAAACAUAGAAAUCACUAAAGGAUUUCACUUCCUCUUCAUUCAUGGCUGAAACCACAAAGCUUUGCAUUCUUGCACUUGGAACCUUUCCCGGCAACCUUAGUUCCAAGGAACUAAAGGUUUAGUUACACAUUCUCUGGGGAAACUUCUUCAGAGAGUGCAUAACCUAGAGAAAAUGAAAAAUACAAAGUGAGAAGAUAAGGCAAAACAAAGGUCCUGAAUUUUACUUGCUUUCAAAAUUUUACAAAAGGGUUCCUCGUUCAUUACAGGCUCUCCAAAGCUAUUUAUAUGAAAAAUUACAAUACUAAUUAUUACAUGGAUAUUUAGUCUUUUUCCUAACUUAAAAGCUAAGGAAACUUAUAAUUGGUGGCUUACAAGGAGAAUUUUGGGAUUUAGACAACAAAAAUCUGAUGAAAAAUAUCUCGAAGUGUCGGUCGUAAAUAUCGGGAAGCACUAGGGACCAUUUCGCAGGUGCAACCGAGGUCUGCGAGAUUUCGCAGAUGCACACAAAGGGCUGUGAAAUUACUUCGCAGCAAACGGCUGAUUUCGCAACGCUGCGAAGUGGUCUUUCAGCUUGUGGUAUUCGGCUUCCAUCGUGAUGGGAAACUUCAGGGGGGAAUUCACAGCACUGUACAAAAAGGCUGCGAAAUCAUCUCGCAACAAAAGGGUGAUUUCGCAGCGCUGUGCAAAAUUCUUCCUUCAGCUUGGAGUAAUCGGCUUGCAAUGGCUGUAACUCCUUCAUUUCAACUCCAAAUUGCGUACCGUUUGAAGCAUUGGAUUGUUGACUUCCUGAGCUUCGAAAAGAAAUAUAGAAUGCAUAAAUUGGACUUCAGGAAGUGCUCCAAAAGUGUCUGACAUGAAUGUCAUCAAGAAUGCUUCAUGGCAGAUUUCUCUUUGCUUCUCCUCCUUGCAUUCCGGAUUUGCUUAUGGAAAAGGACUUCAAAGCUUUGGUUCUUCAUGAAUUUGAGCUUCAAAUUGAUUUUCCAAAGAUUCCACAUAACUCUCCUCAAUCUCGGAUUGCUUUGGUGAUCAAGAAGCUAUCAAAACACCAAAACUUAACACAAUUUGAUUAGAAUUGAUUGCAAAGGUCCUUAAUAUGUUAAUUGGGUUAAAAGGCAAUAACUACUACUCAAAAGUGUUUAAAAGAGUUAAUUAUAAACUAUGAAAUAGCACUUUUUGAGUAGUAAUCAGCUAACACAUCAGAGGGUUCAGGUAACCCUUCUUCAAGCACUCCUAGGCUUUCAUUCAAGUUCUCUUCUAAAUUCUUGUCACAAUGCUCUUCAACCAAAGUGUUGAUCAAGCACACCUCCUCCAAUCCUUCAUCCUCUUCGGGGUGAAGAUGCCUCUUGCAUAGGUGGAAUAUGUUUUGUUCCAAGGUCAUGUUUCCAAAUGUGAGCUGCAUCACCCCAUUCCUACAAUUGAUGAUGGCAUUGGAGGUAGCUAGGAAAGGUCUCCCAAGGAUGAUUGGCACAUAAUUUGCUUCCAUAACAGCGGGAUCAGUAUCAAGCACCACAAAAUCCAUGGGAUAGUAGAAUUUGUCCACUUGAACUAGAACAUCCUCUAUCACCCCCCUUGGAAUUUUGACUGACCUAUCAGCUAAGGAGAGAGUGAUGGUUGUGGGCUUCAAUUCUCCAAGUCCAUGUUGCUUAUACACAAAGUAUGGGAGCAAAUUCACACUUGCCCCCAAGUCUAGUAAAGCCUUCUCCACUUGUGUCCCUCCAAUGUUGACUGAAAUGGUGGGACAUCCCGGAUCUUUGUACUUAACUGGAGACUUACACUGAAUGAUGGCACUUACUUGCUCAGUGAGGAAUGCCUUCUUUGUCACAUUUAACCCUCUCUUGACCGUGCACAAGUCCUUUAAAAAUUUUGCAUAUGUGGGGACUUGCUUGAUCAUAUCAAGUAAGGGUAUAUUCACCUUCACUUAUCUCAAAACUUCAAGAAUUUCUGAUGAAUUCUUGAUUCCCUUCUUUCCAUGUAAAGCUUGAGGAAAAGGGGGAGGCAUGUGUUUCUUCAUCAUAUCCUCUUUAAUCACUAUCCUUGGCUUUUCUUCAAUGCUUGGAUCAGAUGCAUUUUUCUUCCCACUCUUCUCUUCUUGGUUAUUGCUCUCUUUAACCAAGGUUCUCCUUGACAUGAGUUCUUCAUCUUGCCUCACCUUAGGCAAGGGUUGAUCAACCUCCUUCCCACUCCUCAAGGUGAUCACAACUUUGACCUCCCUCAACUUUGAAGACUCCCCAUCUUGGGUUUCAACUUCAUAAACACCCUUUGGAUUUUGGCUUGGUUGAGAGGGAAACUUUCCUUUCUCAUUCACUGUGUUGAGGUUGGUAAGCCUAGAGAUGGAGUAUUGAAUAUUAUCUAUCUUCUGAGAGAGAUCAUUUUGCAUUCCAUCCAUUCUCUUAAUUUGAGAACUCUCAACAUUUUCAAUCUUUUGGUGCAAUUGGGAGUUGAUUGCCUUUUGUUCACCCACAAAGUCACCCGUGACUUUACUUAGGUUCACAAUGGCUUGCUCCAUUGAAGAGGUUUGUUCAGGUGCCUGGGUUUGGGCUUGUGGUUGGUAUGGAGGUGGCCUUGGUUUCUAAGAAAAAUUUGGAUGGUUUAUCCAGCUUGAAUUAUAGGUGUUUCCAUAAGGUGCAUUGUUGUUGGGCCUAAAUUGCCCCACAACAUUGGCUUGAUCACCUAACAUCUCCCUCACAGCUAGGAUGGUUGGGCACUUAUCUACCACAUGAUCACAUGAUUGGCAAAUGGUGCAUGGCAUGGCAUGGGCUUGUGUCUCGGAAAUGGCUUGGACUUCAUGCAUUUUUUUCAACUCAAGUUCUUCCAACCUCCUUGCCACUGUUGCCACCUUAGCUUUCAUGUCCAUGUCUUCACUUAACAUGUACAUUCCACCCUUUGGAUUUACAGGAGCUUUCAUCCUUCCCAUUUCUCUUGAGUUGGGCUCAUCCCAUCCUCUUGACACCUCAAAUACAUAACUUAAAAAGUCCAUGGCUUCUUCCGGAUUCUUACUCAUAAACUCUCCCCCACACAUGGUUUCAAGAAUUUGCUUCAUGGAGGAAGACAUCCCAUCAUAAAAAUAGCUCACCAAGAGCCAUGUAUCAAAGCCAUGAUGAGGACAAGCAUUGAUGGCCUCCAUAUACCUUUCCCAACAUUCAUAGAACUUCUCAUUUUCUUUUGCAGAAAAUUUUGAGAUUUGUCUCUUCAACCCAUUGGUCCUAUGGGUGGGGAAAAUUUUCUUCAAAAAUUCGGCCUGAAGAUCAACCCAAUUCUUUAUGCUCCUUGGCCUUAAAGAGUUAAGCCAUAUUUUUGCCUUGUCCUUCAAAGUAAAAGGGAAUAGCUUGAGUCUCAUCAAGUCUAUUGAAGCUCCUCCCUCUCUAAAAGUAUUGCACACCUCCUCAAACUCCUUGAUGUGGGCAUAUGGGUUCUCACUCUCCAUUCCAUGGAAAUUUGGUAGAAGGGGCACAAUAUGGGGCCUUAUAAUCAGCUGCUCAAGAGGAGGUACGAUGCAUAAGGGUGCACUCAUCCUUGGUGGGUGCAUUCUAUCCCUCAUGGAUAGAUAUGCAUUUGGAUUAUCCCCUGGUUCGUGUUGAGAAUUCUGAUCCUCUUGUGGAGGGUCCAUGAUGUUUACAUAGAUAUCCAACUCUGUGUCUUGACGAUUCUCUAUCCUUAUUAGUCUUCCUUCUUGGUCCCGAAUCCAAUAGGGCAUUCACAAGUUACAACUUCCCUGAAAACAAAACAAAGACAACAAAAACAAAAGAAAACUAGAAAAAAGUUAAGGUUAGAAAAAAAAAUGAAAGUAAACUUAACAAAAGGAAUCCUACAAUUAAAAUAAAGGAAAUGAAGUUAGUGAAAAAGGAAUUCACCAAACUUGUGAUGGAAAUCCCAAGUAGCCUGUAAAAAGUUGUAUCACUGUAUCGUGGCACCAUUCCCGGCAACGGCGCCAUUUUGAUUCAUGCCCAGUCGGGUCUUUUAAUCAAAAAAUAUUUAUAAAUCCUAUGACCUCAUACUAGCGUAGCAAAGCUACUAUAGUAUAGCAGCUCUAGGGUCGAACUCUGGGAUGGGUUUUCACUCUACCAGUCAUAGACUCAAGAUUAGAAAUUGAAUCUGAUGAUUUCCUUUGUCAAAAACUUAAAGUUUAAAAGAAAAUAAAAUUUCUUUUGAAAGUGGUGUUUGAAACUAAACUAACAUAGAACUAGGUAAAAAUGGAAGAAAGAAAGUCUCCCGGAGCUAAAGGUUGCUAGGAUUAAGUUCAGAAUGCAAAGUGGGAAAUUCUGGAUUUUUCUCCUCGCAUUGGGGACAACAACAUAAAGGAUGGUUGUUUCCCAAACUGGUAUAGGUUUAACAAUGAAGAUUUAAUCCAUAAAAAGUCAAUAGAAAUGGUAGUCAAGUUCCAUUAAUGGCUUUAGACACUAUGGGUCUUCACCUUGAGCCACUUUCCAAUGGCUCGUACAUGAUAACUAAUAGUCUUAUGUGGAUCUAGCAAUAAGUGUCCGCAGAGACCUAAAAGCUUACCAUGUAUUGGCCAUUCAAAGUGAUUCUAAGGGAUUUAAAGCAAAACUUUAGAUUUAAAAGCCAUUUAUGAACUCCAACUACCUGUAUUUAAAGCACGAGGGUUUUCCACUUUUGCAUCUGGACUUUUCACCUAGAUUCCUUCACUCCAAGAAACCAAAGGUUUAGCCUCUCAUCCUUUGGGAAAACAUCCUCAGAGGUUGUUUGGCUUCCAAGAAAAUAUAAUUAAAAAUGAGAAGGUAAAGUAGAGCAAAGGCUCUGUAUUUGACUUCCUUGCAAAACUGUACAAAAGUUUUGUCGUCUCUCCUCUCUGUCCCCUGAGAACAGGCUCCCAAGAGAUAUAUAUAAGGAAAAAUUACAAAAAUAAUAUAUAAAAGGUUAUUUAUCCUUUUUCCAAACUUAAUAGCUAAGGAAUCCUAUAAUUGGCGGGCUACAAGGAGAUUUUGGGGAUUUAGAUAACAAAUAUCUAAAGCAAAAUAUCUCAAAAUAUCCCAAAAUAUUGGUGGAAAAUAUCAGGAAGCUUCAGGAGAACACAACAGCACUGUACAGAAUGGCUACUCUCCCAUCCGGCGUCAGAACUCCGGACGUGAACAUCCGGGUGGAAAGUGUGCGGCAGCCGGGUGUAAAUGGCGGUGCGCAUCCGGGUGCAAAUGGCGGCAACCGGGUGCAAAAUGGCAGCGCGCAUCCGGGUGUAAAUGGCGGCAGUCGGGUAUAAAAUGGCGGCAACCGGGUGCAAUUCCUACCCGGAUAUGUUGUCCAGAUGCCCUCUGAUGGUGUAUCCGGACGCCCUGUCUCGGUAUACUCCUUGCAUGGAUUCCAAAGAACUCUCCUCAGUCUCAUAUUGCUUUGGUGAUCAAAAAACUAUCAAAACACCAAAACUUAACACAUUUUUUAUUAGAAUUGAUUGCAAGGGUCCUUAACAUGCCAAUUGAAUUAAAAGGUGAUAACUACUACUCAAAAGUGUUUAAAAGAGUUAAUUAAAAGCUAUGAAAUAUCACUUUUUGAGUAGUAAUCACUCGACCAUUACUAAAGAAAACCAAAUUACCUACUUCUACCUAGGGACAUGCUAUUAUGCUUGCUGCAGCUUUAGAUCAUAUUCGACCUACAACUUACCAUUCCCUUUACAGCUCGUACUUGAAAACAACCAAAUAUCUCACUAAUGAAUAUUUGGUUAUGUAGUAUAUGUACCAAUUGCACCUACACAUUGCACUAAAAUGGGUCCCAAAUGAAGACUUGGGAUUUAUUUAGGUUUUAAUUCUCCAUCUAUCAUAAGAUAUUGUAAGAAAAAUUAGGCUAAUCCAACCUAAGGUAAUCACCCUAGAGAGAGGGGGGGGGGGGGGGGUUGAAUAGAGUGAUGGUCUCUUUUUGCAAAUUUAAAUUAUAUAAAUACAAGAGAUAAUUAUAUGCAAAUAUAUAAUAAAACAAUAUAAAGACAAUUGCAUAUAAAGUACAAGAGUAGGAAACAGAGAAUGCAAACAUUGGAUAUUUAUAGUGGUUCAGCAUAACCCAACUUCCAUCCACUCCCCUCUAUCUUCAAUCCCAAGCUUGAGGUUCCACUAUUUCAAGGCUUCCAAAUCAAGCCUUCAAGCAAUACAAUUGGAUUAUAGUUCCAAUACGCCCUCUUGGACUUUUGGCUCCAAACACCCUUUACAAUCCUUAAGAGAUACCCCACUCUUGAACAACCCCUCAAGUGAUACCCUACACUUGAGAAUUCCUAAAUGAUAUCACACAUUUAGACUUUUCUUCUCAAAUAUUUACAAAUGAAGAUAAGAUUGAAAGGUGCACUAAUGAUAUGCAAGUUUUAGAACAAUGGUGCACUCAAAAACACUCUCUCAAGGCUCAAAUAUAUUAAAGAAGGGUUUAAGCUCUUGAAAAAAUGAAGAUUGAAACCUUUCUAUAGAGGAAAACGACCAAACUAGCCAUUGAAGGUUUGACCAGUCGAGCUAGGGGUCAACCGGUUGACUAGCCAUUAGCAUUUAAUGCUUGGUAGGUAACCGUUGGAUCUUGACCAGACCUCGAUUAGUUGAACAAGCGUUCUGGAAGAGAGAAAACGUUUUUGCACCCGUCGACCGGUUGAGCUAAACAAGUCAACUAGUUCCUCAUCUGGUUCAACAGGUUGAGUCGUUUUUAGCUCAACAAUCAUCAUCUUCAACUUCAAACAUUUUAAACAAGUUUGAAAAACAUUUGACAUAAGGUUUUAGUUGAAAACAUGAAAUUAUUAAAUUUUAAAGGAUUUAAUAAAAAAAUUAAUUUUGGAUGAUUUUGAUGAAUAAAUUAAUAAUGUAAUGCAUAAAAGAUCUAGUGCAUCAACAACCUUACAAAGAGAUCCUAGAAAGUUUAGGUCUUGAAAAACACUUCUUUUUUAGGUCUUUUACUUCUUAUUGAUUACUCUUUGUCUUGAUUUUGUCUUUUUGAUUGACACUUUGGAAAUAUUCUUACCUAAUCACAUUUGAAAUAUAAUCAUUAGUGCCAAACCUUGUUUUGUUAUCAUCAAAAUAUAGAUUAACCAAACCUUGGUUUCACAAAUAUCUUGAACCUUUGACAGUCGAUGUUUUUAUAGUUUGUUUUGCAGAUUGUCAUUUUAAUGAGAGUGUUUUCCUAUCAUUAGGGAGAGAAAAGUCAAUUCCUAAAGAAUGGUGAGAAAUUACUUGGAAUGCAUCUACUAUGUCCCAUUUUGAUUCUUGUACAAAUCAAUAUGAACUAGAAGUUAAAAGGAUCAUUUAUUUGCAAAAUCUUGCAAACCAAUUACCAAAUGCAUUCAUUAAUACAAAGAAAGUAACAAAGUAACAUAUCUCGGCUACAAAUACUCCAACACGGAUUGAUGUCAUUGUAGAACAGUUAACAAAUGAAUCUAAGAUACGCUUGAAGCAUGGUAAACCUGUUGGCUCAAAGGAUAUAACUCCCUAGAAGAGGAGAACAUAAGAAAAACUUUGUACUUUAGAAGAGGUCAUUAAAAUGACUGAUCAGUCUAAAAUUGAUAAAUCUAUAGCCCCAAAAGAGGCACAAAUAAUGCAAAAAGCACCUGAAGAGGCACAUAUUGAACAAAAAGCUCUUGAAAAGGCACAUAUUGAACAAAAAGCCCCUGAAGAGGCACAGAUACCAAAAAAUUGUGAGAUUUUAGUAAGUUAUGUACACAUGGGAGUAAAAUGGGAUUUAAAUAAUAUUACAAUUAACAAUAUUUUUCACUUUUCAAGUGGCCCAUGUAUCAUAAGAAAUGAUGAAGAUUCCAAACCACAAAAUAUGGAAGAAUGCCGACAUAGAAAUGAUUGGCCAAAAAGGAAAGAAACUAUGCAAGAAAAGUUAAACUUAUUAACAAAACGAGAAGUUUUUGGACUUAUACUCUAAACACUUGAAGAAGUAAAGCAUGUUAGGUAAAAAUGGGUAUUUGUAUGAAAACACAAUGAGAGUAAUGAAAUCAUAAGAUAUAAAGCGCGAUUAGUAGCACAAGGUUUCUUUUAGAGACCAGGAAUUGACUAUGAGAAAACAUACUCUCCCAUCAUGGACGCAAUCACAUUUCGUUUCUUAAUUAGUUUGGUAGUCUCAUAAGGACUAGAUAUGCGUCUCAUGGACGUUAUUACAACAUAUUUAUAUAGAUCCAUAGAUAAUGAUAUAUAUAUAAGAAAAUCCCUGGAGAAUUUAAAUUGCCUGAAACAAAUAAUACAAAGACUUGUAACAUGUACUCAAUCAAGUUACAAUGAUCCUUGUAUGGAUUAAAGUAAGUCGAACGCAUGUUGUACAAUCACCUUAGUAAAUACUUACUAAAAGAAGGGUAUGUGAAUAACCCUAUAUGUCCAUGCAUUUUCAUUAAGAAAUCAGAAACCGAAUUUGCAAUUAUUACAGUAUAUGUUAAUGAUUUAAAUCUUAUUGGAACUCCUAAAGAACUCAUAAAAACAAAAAAAAAAUAUACUUAAAAAAGGAAUUUGAGAUGAAGGAUCUUGGAAAAACAAAAUUUUCUAUUGGUAUGCAAAUCGAGCAUUUUCCAAAUGGAGUUUUAGUACAUCAAUCAACAUACAUUAAGAAAAUUUUGAAGUUUUUUUAUAUGGAUAAAAUGUCAAAAUAUUGUGUGAAUGGCCGAAUACCUUGGCCUUGAGUUUUGUAUAUUAUAUAUAGACUUUACAAGGAUGCUAUACAUGGAAAGCAAAUAAAAGAAAAUAAAUUCCCUCAUGAUUCUAGUCCUAUACAUGUAAACUAUAAUCUGUCAAAUAAUAUAUGCUAACUGUACAGAAUAAUAAAUGGAGAAAUAAGGAAACAAUUGUAGGCUAAAAUAAGGAAAGAAGUGUGGGUUAAAAUAAGGAAAGAAGUGUGGACAGCAAAGCUGUCCUUUGACAGCCCCCCUCAAAUUGAUGCAGGUUGAUCAACAAGCAUCAAUUUGCUACUUAGCAAGCAAUGUCGAUGAUGAGGGAGAGCCUUGGUGAAGAUAUCAACAAUUUGUAAGUCAGUGGAAAUAUGUGGAAGAGUGAUAACAUGAGCUUCAAAGGCUUCACGGAUAGAGUGACAGUCCACUUCAAUAUGUUUUGUGCGCUCAUGAUAGACAGGAUUGGUCGUGAUCUGAAUAGCACUUGUAUUAUCGGCAUGUAGAGGUAUAGGAUCGGUCUCAGAAAAAUCUAACUCCGCAAGCAAACCUCGAAGCCAAAUGAUUUCAGAACAAGCAAGAGACAUCGCCCAAUACUCAAAUUCCGUAUAUGACUUAGAGACUCUGUCUUGCUUCUUACUUUUCACAGACAUCUUAAACUAAAACUCCCUACUAAGAUAGUUUUUGCCAUUGAAACGAACAAUAGAAUAUUCUCCAGACAUUACAAAAACAGAAAUAGCCUAAGAAACAAAAAAAACAUCGUCAAAGAGCCUAAAUCUGAUAACAAACCUCCAAAUAAUCAAAGAUCUCCAAGAGCCUAGAAUCAAAGAAACCCAAAGAAAACUCCAAGAUCACAUCACAGAUGUGUUGUCACAACCACCAGAAAAAAAAAAAAAAAAAAGAACCGAAAAGCUAGGCUAGAGUCCGAGAGCCCCUAGGGCUAAAUCCGAGAAAACCCAAAGAAAAAAAAACUAGAAAGCGUGUAAACUCUAGGUUCAGAACACAAGCUCUGAUACCAUGUCAAAAUAUUGUGUGAAUGGCCGAAUACCUUGGCCUUGAGUUUUGUAUAUUAUAUAUAGACUUUACAAGGAUGCUAUACAUGGAAAGCAAAUAAAAGCAAAUAAAUUCCCUCAUGAUUCUAGUCCUAUACAUGUAAACUAUAAUCUGUCAAAUAAUAUAUACUAACUGUACAGAAUAAUAAAUGGAGAAAUAAGGAAACAAUUGUAGGCUAAAAUAAGGAAAGAAGUGUGGGUUAAAAUAAGGAAAGAAGUGUGGACAGUAAAGCUGUCCUUUGACAUAAAGCGCAUCCUUUAACUUCUCCAAUAGUUGUCUAAUCAUUUGAUGUGAAAAAGGACCCAUUUCGGCCUUGCAAAAAAUGUGAAGAAUUACUUGGUCCUAAAGUACCAUAUAUUAGUGGUAUUGGUGCACUUAUAUAUCUUGCCAAUUGUACAUGUCUAAACAUUCAUUUUUUUGUCAAUUUAUUAGCAAGAUACAGUUCCACUCCAACUCGAAGACAUUGAAAUGGUAUCAAACAUAUAUUGUGCUAUCUUUGCAGAACUAUUAAUGUGGGUCUAUUUUACUCAAGGGAAUCAAGUAAAAAUUGCUUGGAUAUACAGAUGCAAGAUACUUUUCAUAUCCACAUAAAGGUAGGUCACAAACAGGGUAUAUGUUUAAUUGCAAUGAUACUGCUAUUUCAUGGAGAUUUGUCAAACAAGUAAUGAUGGCCACAUUAUCAAAUCAUUCAGAAAUUCUUGUAAUUCAUGAAGCAAGUUGUGAAUGUAUAUGACUAAGAUCUAUAAUCCAAUAUAUUCAGGAACCAUGUGGACUCUUAUCUAUCAAAAGUGACCCGACAAUAUUAUUUGAAAAUAAUGUUGCAUGCAUUGCACAAAUAACAGGGGGUCAUAUUAAAAGAGAUAGAAUUAAACACAUUUCAUCAAAUUUCUUUUAUACACAUGAACAUCAAAAGAGUGGUGAAAUUGAUGUGUAACAAAUACGCUCAAGUGAUAAUCUAGUAGAUUUAUUCACAAAGUCAUUGCCAACCUCAACAUUCAAGAAGUUAAUACACAAGAUUGGAAUGAAUCAACUCAAGGAUAUCGACAUGAGGGUGAGUACACUUGUAAAAGGGUGUUAGUGUACUAUACUUUUUUUCCCUUCGUCUAGGUUUUAUCCCGUUAGGUUUUACUAGCAAGGUUUUUAAUGAGACAGUCCUAACAUAUCAAGAGCAACUUAAAGAAUUAUUAGAAUAUUGUACUCUUUUUCCUUCGCUAGGUUUUUCCUAUAAUGUUUUUUACUAGCAAGGUUUUAAUGAGACAUAUUCUUCUAAUGUGGUGGACAUCCAAGGAAAAGUGUUAUAAAUGAAGUAAUGAAUACCACCACAUUUAUUAUAUUAAAUGUUCAUUAAUAUUAUUUAUGACUUCCAUUAAUAUUCAUUAAUGGAAGCCAUUUGGAAAGCUUAUAAAACAGUUUCCAAUCCCCUAUAAGAUGCAUCCCAAGGAAAGAAAGAAAUCCUCUCUCUUAUUCUUUAUGUCUUUCAUUCUUUCAACUCAAUUAAUUCUCUUUUCUAGUUCUUUCCUCCCCAUUAUAUAUUAUUAUUAAAAUAGUAUAUAGUUGUUCUUUGUUUUUAUUUGCAUUGCAUUUAUCCUCGUUUUACAACACUUAUUUUUUUCUUUUCUCUAUUUUUUUUUUCUUCUAGUUAUUAUUAUUAUUAUUAUUAUUGUUAUUGUUAUUUUAUAAACAUAAUAUAACCUAUCAAAAAAUAAUAAUAAUAAUAACACAUAUAUAUAAAUAAUAUAAUAAUUAAUUUACAAAUUAUUGUUUCAUUAGUUAUUAUUAUUGUUAUUAUUAUUAUAAUUAUUAUUUCAAAAUUUUUUAAAUAUUAUGUAUAACUUAUACAAUAAGAAUAAUAAUAAAAUAAUUUUACAAAUAUUGUUUCAUUCAUGUAUUGAAGACAAAGUUUUCUUAUAUAAACUUUCAUAAAUUAUGAAUUGUUUUUUACAAUAUGAUUAUUAAGAAAAUAUUACAAUAAAAAAUUAGUAUUGAUAAUUAUGAAAAAACAAAAUUAAAGCAUGUGUUAUUGUACUUUUAGUGUACUUAUAUUGUAAUUUCAAUGCAUAACUAUGACACAUACAUUUUGGAACAAACUUAAUAGUGUUAGAAGCAUUGUCUUUAUUCUACUAUAUUGAUUUCUAUAUUAUUAAGGCAUCCCAAUGAAUUAGCAUCAUAUACUAGAUGCAUUCUUAUAAGCAAUAAUUCUUAUAAUGAAACUCGUACACCUUAUAAAAAAAAAUGUCUUAUAAGGUUAAUUUAUAGUAGAUGAAAUAUUAAAAAAUAUAUAAAAUAUGUGACAACCAUUCAUCAAUGCUUGUUUAAAAGGAAAAUUUUAAAAUAAAGUUAGGUUAUGCAGUAAUGUAUAAGACAUUUAAAGUAUUCAUAUUGUAAGAUCAUUAUAUUUUUGUGGUACGUAUACAUUGGCUUUUAUAUUAAUACAUAAUAUCGGUGUACUAGCAUUAUACAUUUAAUGAACCAUUAUUGUGCAUGAUUUUUAUAAUAAACCUAUAAGUUUUAAGAAUUAGAUGAAAGAAAAAUUAUAUUCUAAGAUUGGUUUAUAAUCAAUGACAUUAUAAUAAUAAAAAUAUGAAUAAUGAUACAUAUGGAAUAUUAAUGAUAUAAAACUAAUAUCAUAAAUAAUAAUAUUAAUAGUAUGUUAAUAAUAAUGAUAAUAAUAAAUAUAUAAUUAUAAUUUUUUUAAUAAAUAACAUAGUUAGUCUUAACAUAUAGUAAAUAAAGCACAAAAGGUAGAAAAGAAAAGUAGAAAAGUAAAGUUAUAUGGGAGUAGGAGGAAAAGACAAAAUGAUGUAAUUGGAAUUAUGGAAUGAUCAAAUUAUCAAACUAUAACUUGUGAAUUUGAUAAGACUUUGAGACUUGGUGACCCUUGAGGGAGCUUAUCAUCACUUUGAGCUAGGUGACCAUUUUUUAAAAAAAAACAUCGAAAAUAAAGCCCAUGAAAAAUUUAUUUAUAAAGAAUAAUAACAAUUUUGUAUUUUUUUUUAUACAAAUUAGAUAUUUAAUUUAUUAGAAUAAUUUUGGUGGUAAUGACAAACAAAAUAACUCCUUAAAUAGGUGAAAUAAUUCAUUUUCUCAAUUUUAUAUGCAAAAGUAUUUUAAAACAAAAAGGAUAAUACAUUAUUUUUGUUCAUCAAUCCACAUUUUGACUUUCAUUUUAAAAUCCAUCUAUAAAAUUCUCUCUUUAUAAAUAUCUGCCUAGAUUGCCUAAUCAUCUAUUCGUUCAUUGUCUAUAACUUCUUGCCUGAUUAUCAAUUUAGAUGUUCAUAUUUGCGUAUAUUUAUUCAUUCCACCAUGUAUUUUGUUGGCUUAUUUGUAAUGUAUACAAUUUUGAUGAAAUGUUUGAUUAUUUGAGAACCGAAUUUCCCCUAACCCACUAAUAAAAUGCAAGUAAAAGUCCGACCAAGAGGGGUGUUCUUGGCCGGUGGCCUUCCUGAUAAGUCACCUUAGCCGUAGACUAGAUUUAGAUUUUGCAAUUAGUACCUUUCUUUUCCUUCUAGGAAUCACUAUCAUCUUGACCAAUCUAGCCAUGUACCAAAAAGUCAAUUUUGCCAAGUUUAAAAAGUUUGCUUUAAGCCUGUUCAUCAUAGUUGACAGAAGUUAGAAUUACAAUGAAAUAUCUAGGAGAAAAUGUCCGCAGGAGCACAGAGAGAGAGUGAAGGCAAUACAUUCAGUCAUGAAUUUGAUGCAAAUCCCAAAGUACGUAAUUGUGUCGAAUACUCUCACCAUGAUUGUCGAUCUAUCGGAUCAGACUAUUACUAUGUUUGCCAAAAAUGCCUGGGCCGUAUGUGGAAUAAAUCAAUUCCACAAGGAGGGGAAACUGCAAAAUUCCGUACAAGGUCACCGGCAAACAGGCUAAUGCAGCCAAGGUAGUAAGAAUCCAUGCCUUCUUUUCACCAAAGAGAAGAUAGAUUGCGCUACUGUAGGCUAUCAUCAUGAAUGUUACGGAGAGGAAUAGAGUAACAAGGCCAAAUAUCAACCUCCUGGGAAGGGCAAAAAGAAAAUCAUCUUCUGCAUAUCGUGCCGUGAGAAUGGAUAGGCAUAUCAGCACCGAAGCAAUGGAUAGGAAGAGGGAAAGAGCAUCCGAAGCUGCAAAAACUUUGAAGGCCUUUUCUUUGGAGAAAUUUGGUAUGCCAGUAUCAUCAUGGUUGCCACCCGGGAUGGUAAUUGCUGCUGCAAACACUACAGUAGCAAUAAGCGCUGCUGCUAAUGCGUAACAUUUUGCUGUGCCUUUCAUCCAUUUCUCCCCUUCUUUUAUCAACUUUUCAUGUUCCUUUAUAAAUACCGUUUUCGGUUUAUCUUCGUUAUUGUUCUCAGAUUCACUGAAGGCUCUCGGGGCAUAUUUUUCAAUUUCCUGUGUAAAAAUCAAAAUGUUUCUAAGAUACAGAAAAAGAGUGGAUAUGUAUAAGAAAAUUAAUUCCCCUUCAAAACAAAAAUUAUUACCUUAAACCAAUGUAACUCGCGUUGCAUUUGUAGAGCUGCACCAGAAACGAGACUGAGCCGGUGCGGAGGGGCCAAUUUUCCAGCCAAAUGCAAGAUGUUAUUUGAAUCAUCUUCGGUUCGUAUUAUAAGUUGUCUAUGCAUACCGGUUUCGCAGAUGAGGUUGAAAAUCUUUUCAUAACGAUUUAAUACUGCCAAUUUGAAUACAUCCUCAUCCAGAUACUCGAGUGCAUAAGGAUAUGACUUUAUAAUCUCUUCCAGAAUCUCGGGAAUCCCAUAUUUUGCCCCAUUAAUGAAUGAUUGUCUAAAUAUUUUCUUCGCUCUUGAUACUUUCAAAACUUCAGUACAUAGGUGGUUAAGCAAUUGAAGAGUCAGAGUAUGCAUUGUUUUUGUUUCUUGGAUAUGCUUGAUGGGUGGUACUGCAAUUAAAAUUAUAUUAAGGACAACAUAACAUUGAAUUCAAGACUUUUGCAUGCUUUAGUGGUAGUUUUGUUGUGUCCCUUACCUAACCAUCCAAUCAGUUCCCAGAAUAUUGCAUUCGCCUUUUGGCAAGCUGUGUGCAACGUAAAAUUGAAGCAGUUCAGAUGCAAAAGCAGGACUAACAGGAGAAAAAACAAAAAAGCAACCUUGAAUCAAGUACCAAUUAAACACUAAUCUAAAUUAAAGUGAUCGUGAGAAGUUGCCAACUCAUAUUGGCUGGUGUAAAGUUUUUUGGGGAUUCAAUAGGUUUCAUAUAUUUCCCUUAAACCGUCACACUUGAAUUUAAAGGCUAGAAUGAAGAAGCCUAAUGAAACUUGGUACAAGCUCAAUUACUCGACUUCUUAUUAAUUAACCAGGAGCAUCAGGUGACAAGAUAUUCACAAAAUCUAUCAGAGCAAUGAAAAUUGUGUAUCCUGCAUAAAUCUCUGAGUAGUAGAGUAUUAUCCAUUGGAAUUUGAUUGUAGAGCUGAUUUCAAAUCCAUUACUCUAACUUAAAAGGAUAAAAAAUGAAGACAAUUUUCUGAGGACAAAUUAAAAUUGUGAGGACCUCGAAUUCAACAAAUUAGCAUUUCUCUACUGAGUGCAAUUUGGCAAAUUGGUUUGACUUAACUCGAAUCUCAGUGAAGUUGAGAAACCAUUUUUAGUACUCAAGUUAGGAUUUGGUCGAGUUUCUCGACCAAAAGUUAAUUUUGGUUGAGCUCAAUUUUGGGCUGAGUUCAGACCAAUGCUUCAACAAUCUAAGCUGAAUUAAACUCCAUUAAUAUUUUAUAAUAUUUGUAGAACGUAUUACUAUAUAAUAAUAUCAAAUUUUUUUAUAAAAUAAGUUUAAGGGAAAAAUCAUCAAAAUUUAUUAAGCUAACUCUCAUAAAUUUGCCUACCCCCUUGUGAACACUAUUUGGAAGGAAAAUUAAUUAGGAAGUCUCUUAAGCAAGCCAGAAAGGUAUCUUGUCCUUUGUAUCCCAUGCAUUCAAAAGUACAAGGACUAAUGAACAUGAGACCCAAGCAUGGUGCCUACUACUUCAUCACAUUUACGGAUGGUUAUAUCUAGAAGUCCAAAGAAUUGCUUUGAUUUAGAUGUUAUAUGAAUAUUGUAAAAAAAUUGAAAAGAAAAAACUAUUACAACAUUAAGGAUAAAUCAUGGACAUGAGUAUCCAUUGAAGAGUUUUAAAAAUCACUAUGAUGAAAAGGAAAUCCAAAGAACAAUGAACUGAAAAAAGUAACCAUAAACUUUUGGAUAUGGUUCACUCAAAAAGGCACAAGCCAACUAUCUAACAUCUUUCGGGGUGGGAAAGGAGGGUUACUAUUUUGAUUGCAACUUAAAUCUUGAAUAGAAUGCCCUCAACAUCAAUUACUUCAAAUCCAUAUAGUUAAGAAGCCAAACAUAACUCACUUGUAAUCCUAAGGAUUAGCAGGUUUAGUUCAUGUAAAUUCUCAUAGAUAUUGUGCUAUAAAGAAAACAAGUGCACUUUCAUUAGAUAUUCUAAUAAAUCAAAGGUUGUGUGAUGCUUAGUGAACAACUCAAUGGGAGUAUAAUUGAAAUUAAGUAAUAUGAAUAUAAUUUCUUAUAGGAUGAUAUUUUGAGUAAAGGAGCAUUGAACAUGAGUCUCAGUUUAUUUGAGGCAAUUAAACCAAAGGAAAAUACUAUGAUAUCUCAUAUCGAAUAAGGGAAAAAGUUCUUGACAUUAUAUAUAUAUAUAUAUAUAUAUAUAUGAGCUUCUCUUAACUAUUUAGACACAUUUUAAUGUUAUGAGGGCUCUUUGAGCCCAAAGUCGAUAAUAUAUAUUUACAUGGUUGGGAGUGAGUUGUUACAAAUGGUAUCAAAGUGUAUCCUCAACCAUGGUAUGAGAGUUAGUUUGUUUGGUCCUGUAAUCCUAUGGGACACAAAUGAGGACUUUAUGUCUUCAUGGGGGUGAUUAUGAUAUCCUACAUUGAAUAGGGAAAAAAGUUCUUAGAAUUAUAUAUGUAAGAGCUCUUCUUAGCCAUGAAAACGUGUUUUAAAUCUCUAAGGUCCCUUUGAGUUCAGAGUAAACAAUAUCUACUUGAUUGGGAGUGAGUUGUUAUAGAUGUUAAAGAUCUUGCUAAGGAUAUGAGUGACUCGACAAGAUAGUAACUUUGAGUAGUGACUUGCCACCUACUAGAUUAUGCCACUAAGUGUGAUUUUACCAUUACAUAUUAAGUCACUGGAUUUAGAUGUGUGUGGCGAAAAACUUGGAGCUAUCUGAUCAUUGUAAUUAUGGGCAUUAAGGUGAAGCUUUCAUGUUUGCAUCAUAAGAUCAUGAUGUUAGGAUAGAUUCUUUAAAAGCGUGAUAUGAUGUAACCAGAAAUGGAGUUCAUUAAUACUUACAUUAUGAUUUCAAUUUUCUAUUUACUAUCCUAUUUAUGAAUUAUGUAUGUUAAGGAUUCAAACCUACAUCACUUGCAUGUACAUGACUUGAGUGAAUUAGGAGUUACAUGGAAAAUCUAAGUCAUAGAUUCCUUGCAAGUUAAUAACUCAUUCACAAUUGGUUCAUGGACUUCAAUAAUCCAUUUGAGGAAUGACUUGCCCUAGUCAUUAGGAUGGGUUUCCCAUGGUGAGUGUACUAGUGUGUUUAGUUAUGUUGGGAAACCUAGAUCUCUCCAUUCCUAUAACCCUAGAUUGUAUAUGUGCAUGCAAAAUACCCUAGGGCUCUAAAUCCUAUGUAAUAGAAGCAAAAAUCAAAAUUUUAACAUUCUAUAAUCUAGAGAAAAGUUAUUAAAAACUUUGAGAAAAUAAAAGGCUAAUCUUAAUAGAGAAAACACCCAAGAGGGGAGGGGGGUGAAUUGGGUUUUAAAAAAUAUUUUUCAAACACAACAAAUUCAAGCAAAGGAAACACAAAUAUAAAGAGAUAAGGUUAGAAAGAGUAAACUCAGAUUUUAUAGUGGUUCAACACUUGUUUGCCUACGUCCACUCUCCUCAACCUCCUAACUAAGUGAAGGUUCCACUAUACUUGAAGCUUCAACCAAGCUUUUAAUCACCUUUAUACUUGGAUUCCAACUUCAAUAGUCUAUUACACAACCCCUUCAAGUCUUAACUCACUUGAAGCUUUUAACACUCAAAUAAUAAGUUCGAAUCUCUCAACCUAGCUCAACAAGGGCUCAAAUACAACUUAAAUGUUAGGAAGAAUCACAAAGGUGCACUAAGGAAUAUGCAAAUGGAGAUUUAAUGCACUAAGGAAACAAUGAGAGCUUUUGAGGCAAGAACAAGUAGGUAGACAAAUAAAUGCAGGUGUUCUCUACCUCAUAAAUGAAGUGGAGUUCUCAAUUUAUAGGUUUCUAGCCUCGGGAGCCGAAAAUGCCAAAAAGUAGUAUUGAUCAGUUGAGUUGAGGGUCAACCGGUUUACUAGCCAUUAGACAAUAAAUGCAUGGUAGGCGACCAUUAUGCCUUGACCGAUCCUUGACCAAACCUCGAUCAGAUCUCGACCGAGAAGGCAUAUCCCUCGACCAAGAAUGCAAAGCUACAAGAAGAGAGAAUAUUUUUUGCAUUUCUCAAUCGGACCUUGAUCAAGAAGGUGUAAUCGAUUGCCCGGUGCCCUAACCAGUUGAGCCGAUUGACCAGUGCCUUGACCAGUUCACCAUUUUUGGCCUAAAAACCUCUUUUUUUUUUUUUUUUUUUUAUUCUUUUCUCUUAUAACACUUAGGCAAGGUAUUUAGGUAAAUUAAUAUGCCACUUUUGAAACAAUUUGCCUAAGGUUUAUUUGCUAAAACUAGGGUUUUGACGGAAAUGUAACUUUAAUGCCUAAACUGAGUUUUUAAAGAGCAUGAAAAUAUAUGAAAUCCUAAGUGCACCAUGCAUUCAUCUUACAUAUGUUUCCUAUUAUUAAAGGGUCUUCUAAUUGUCUUGAUCUUGCAUCCAUUGGGUCCUUUGAUUAAUUUCCAAACUAAUACCUAAAUUCUUUAUAUCAAACCAAUUAACAACUUAACCAUGGUUUGUUAUCAUCAAAACGCGAUUAGGAAAACCCUUGGGCUAACAAACCUUACCUUUGAUUUGAAUGGUUCUCAAAUCAAUUCUACUAAAUGAAGAUGAAAGCCUAAAGAGUCUAGAGGUCUCAUACACCAAAAAUCUUUUGCUUGAUGACUUGAUCCAUGAUCUUGGCACUCCAAAAUGUGGGCUUUGGAAAAGAGGAAUCCUAGGCUCUCUCUCUAGAUGUAGAAGACGAUUGUCUCUCAAAAAGUGAUUGGAACCCCAACCCUUAGAGGGUAUUUAUAGCGUUGCCCUACUAGGCUUAAAUGACUUGAGCCCUCUAAGGCUUGGGUCACUUAAUCUUGUCUAAAAUGGGUCCUAAUUGAUUGGUUAACCAUAUAGGGUCAUUUAAUUAAUCAAUUCAUGUCAAUGAGAUAAUAAAGAGAAAGUAAAAAAUAUAAAUAAUAAAUUUAUAAAUAAAUCUCUAUUUGUUACAUCAUGUCACUCUUUUUAGGACUCAAUUCUAAUAGUUUACACAUUAAAUAGGAUUUACGGUGAGUCAAACAUUGGUCAUUAGGUAGUCUUGACUUCACCAAGCUGCUAUGUUGUAUAAGCUCCCAACCUUGAGAGAAUAUUGAUCUAGUGCUAAGGUCUUCAAUGGAUUUAACCCAUGAGUGAGACCCUAAAGUGGUCAUAUAUUCUCUAUAGAUUGGGUCACUACGAUUGAGGCAUGUGAUAAUAGGUAUUCUCAAGAUAAGCACCAUGAUAUCUUAGGGGUUUGAGACAUUAUGUCCCCUUAGGUGAUCCUAAGGACAUGUGAUCAUGAAAAUUGUGGCCAUAAUAAUUCCUUAAGUGGAAUUUGAUGUAUGCUCUUAGAGAGAUAUAGUAUGUCAAUUGAUCACAUAAUAGGAGGAUCUAAGACUCAAGGAUUGUAGAGGUAGUCUUGAGAGGUUGAUAACAUUCAUCUUGUUAAAUUAUGAAUACCAAUUCAUGGGGAGCUUGCAUGCAAUUGUUAGUAGGUCGCAGACUGAAGUUUUCUAUCUCGAUCUAAUAUCAUAAGGAUACUAAAGUGUAGUUGACUCUUUAUAGUUAGAUUUUGAGUCAACUUUAAAAUUUGAUUUUAGGGGAGCCAACACUUCCCUACGGGUCCUAGUGGUUUCCACUCAAACUCAUAUUCCUUGGUAAAAAAAUAUUUGAGGAAUAGUUGGAUUCUUUAUUUAUAUGUGUGUAUAAGAGCAUUUUGAUAAAUACGGAAGGUUGCACUAGUACAUAUAUAUAGCCUUUUUAGAUUCGGAUAAUUAAUUAAUUGGAACUCAAUAGAACAAAUUAGUUAAUUAGGACUCAAUGAGUUAGAUUAAGUAACCCAAACGUAAGAUGAGCUCAAGUCACUCAAGCUAAGAGGUAAGCCUAUAAAAACUCCUUAAAGGGUUUCAGGCUUAGUACUUUUCAUCCAUUCAAUCUUCUAUCUUAAUAUCUUAAUAAAACCAAAAUGAGAGUGUAGAGUAUAAAAAUAAAAAUGAAAAAGAACUUCUCAUGAGAAGUGAGGUUUGCCUCAACUCUCCUUAUUCAACCCAUUAUCACAUCUUUGGAUUUAAAAUUAUAUCAAAUAAACAUUCAAAUUGUUUUUCUCAAUGGAGAACUAAAUAAGAAGAUCUAUAUAGAUCAACUGACUUGUUUUAUGGAAACUAAAUAGAAAGGCAAAGUUAACAACUACAAAGGUCCAUUUAUAACUUACAAUAAUCAUCUAAACAAUGGUAUAUUACACUAAUGGGUUUAUGAUGGUCUAAGAACACUAUUGCAUGUUUGUUAAAUGGUGUAAAGGUAGAUUCUAUAUUCUAUUUUUUGUAUACGAAUGAAAUGUUGGUUAGGGAUGAUAAUGAGAUGGUUGUCUCUAAAGUGUGGUGGUCGUCAACUUUUAAAAUGAACAACAUGCUUAAAGCAAACUAUGUGUUCAAAGUUAUGAUCCUAAUCAAUCAAUCAAGAAGACUUUUUGGUUUGUUUUACAAAUCAUACACAAUGAAUAUUCUUGAAAAAAUUCUAGAUGUAAAAUUGAAAAUCUAUUGGCAUUCAUAUAGAGAAAGAUAAGACCUUAAGCUUUAACAUGUGUCAUAAGACUUUAGAUGAAUAAGAAAAGAUCACUCAAGGUUCCUAUAUGCUAGCAUUGUUAGUAGCUUAAAGUAUCCAAUGAUGUGUACAUGAACUAAUAUUUGUUAUAUAAUUAGGUUAGUAGCUUCCAAUUAGAUCUAAACCUUGCUUACAAAAAAGCAAUGAACCGGAUGAUUUCAUACCUCAAAGUCACCAUAGGCUAUAUAAUUUGCUAUUGAGGAUUGAAUUUGGACUUGAUUAGCUAUGACAAUGAUAAUUGAGGUAGCAUCAUAAAUGACCCCAAAUCCACAUAUGGUUAUAAUUUUAUAUAUGCUCUAUGAUGUUAGCAUAUAUUGGUGAAAUAGAAAAUAGUCAUGUAUAACAUUGUCUAACAUGCAUGGAGUUGGGAGUACAUUACUUGUCGUUUAGGAAAGUGACUAGUUUAUGAUGUUCAUGCAUAUUUUUCACAAUAUUUCUUGUUCUUUUGAGCAUACUACUAUUUAUUGUGAUAGCAUGGAAACUUUAGCCUAUGUCAAAGACCCCCCCAAGUAUCAUAGUUGAACCAAACACAUCAAUCUUAAAUAUUAGUUUAUAUGAGACAUGGUUACAUAGGAACAUAUUUCUACUUGAUUCAUGGUUAAAAAUCCCUCCCCCCCUCCCCUAUUGACUAAGCUAAUACGUAAAGAUGUUUAUUAGGGCCAAGUUGAGAGCAUUGGAUUAUGUAGAUAAUGAUUACAUAGGAGUUAAGUUAAGAGAAUUGGAUCAUGUAGAUUAUGAUUACAUAUUGUAUAUUUCAAUUAACCAUUAUACCUAUGAUUUAUUCAUUGUCCAAUCUUGUUUGAUGGUGCCAUUUAAUUAUUUAUUUUACUUUAUCGACAUGCACUUUCAUUACUUUGCACAACUGAAACAUAAUGAGUCCAAACCACUUAGAUAGUGUGUUAGGUCAUUGAUAUUUGUAGUACUCCUUUUUGUAUCCAAUAUGACUUACAUGUUAGUAGCGACCAAGUAUAGAUAGUCCUAUUGUCUACAUUUGUAAUGGAGCCAAUUGCCAAAUCUUGUUAAUUUAGUGCUUGAUUUAGUAAGCAUGUGCAAAACUUCAGUUCUUUACUUGAUGCAAUUAAACUAAGAUUUGUACGAUAUAGAAGAUCUAAGGUACACUCAUAAUGAAGAUCUCCAUGUUGGCAUGUAUAUUCAUACUAUAUCUUCUUGGUAAUCAAACAAGAAUGAAUGAAUAUAUUCCUAGCUACUUCCUCAUCCUGUGUAUUAAUCUUAUAGGUAAUUAUAUAGGAUAACUUUUAUGCCCUUGUGAUUUUCAGUCAUAAGUUACAUAUAUGGUGUAGUUUGAAAUAUUUUUCUAGGGGGAUUAACCAUGUUUAACUCAAUGUGAAUAAAUGUGUUUAAGAUAUAAUGAGACACCUUUUAGGGAUGAAUUACAUUGGUUAAGAUGAAAUUUAGUUUAAUUCUCUUACACCUUUCUUAUCAAUGUGUUCAAAAGUUAUACAAUCCAUUGGUCAAUAUAAACAUGGAUGGUAAUGAUAUAGUUGAGAGAAAUGCAUGAUGUUAUUUUGCCUACUAUGCAUGAGUGGGAGACAAUGGAGUUUCGAUUUCAUGAGAUACUCUUAGUAGAACUUCAUCAACUAAGAACUUGAGAGUAAGUUACAUACUUAUCAGUUAAGAUUCCUCAUGGGAGGAAAGUUUAGUUAAGAUUCCUCUUGUGGGAGAAGGUUCAUAUUUAGAUUUGGUGAGAAUCUGUAAGAGUUGUUUGUCUUUUUGUAAUUCCAAUUCUAGGCCUUUUGCAUAUUUUCAAUUUAGUUUGUGGCAGUUGUUAAAUACUUCUACUUUAGUUUUUAGCAAUUAUAAUUUUUUAAAGCUUGCUAUUUAGGUUUAGAUUUACUAUAUGCUUAUUAGAUAUCUUAAUUCUUAUUGUAUUCUCCUUGGUUAAUAAUCUUCCAAUUUGAUUGUGGAGUUCAAAGAUUUUAACCAAAAUAGGGAUCAGGGUUUUCAAAGUUAGGAAAAGUAUUUAAUACAAUUAAUUUUUGAAUAAGUUUGCAAACUAAAUCUUUCAAUUGAACCUAAUGAGUUUACAUACUAAAUCUCUCAUUUUCAGCCUUGGUUGUUUCCACUCUUUGCAAUUUAAUUAGUUUUUUUUCAAAUAUAUAUAUAUAUAUAUAUAUAAUUCAUUUUGUGUACCUAUAUACUCAAGUUUUUGAGUAAUUAUGAGUUGUAUUGUUAUAUUUAGUAGAAUUUGACAAACUAAAAAUGAUUACCUUUGAACAAUCGAGUCCAACAGCACAUUUGUGUGGAUAGUUCAUAGCUACCAACUUGAUUCUUCAUGCCUCCUCUAUUAGGUUGACUAAGAAAAUGGUUUAAUUUCAUAGGAACACCUUAAGAAUAAAAAUGUCAAGAAAAAGGAAGGAAAAUUAUGCUUCGUCUAAUUUGACUCAAAGACUUAAAGGAAAAAACAUAAUAAUAUAAUAGUUAUUAUAAUGAAUAUAAUAAAAAGAAAAUUUGUCAUGUUCUUCCCAAUACUCAUUAAACCCCUUUCAAUGAAACUUUGUAAGCUAUACUAAUACAAAAUAAUGGUCCAAAUAGUAAAAGCUCAAUAAAUGAAUGUUUGAUAAAUUAAUAAUCUUACUUAUAAAACAAAAUAUUCUAGUCUUAACUCAAGCCAAUGUACUAAAUUAGUAAUCUCGCUAAAUACAUAAGAUAAAAAUAUUUUCAAAAGUCUUUAAGGGCUUAAGAAAUAUAAACUAAUAAUUGAUGAAGUAUAAACAAAAAAUCAUAGUAUAGCAAAUAGAACUUCAUAACAUAGUAUUAAGUAAUUUUUUAUAACUUUUAUUUUUCUAAAUUCACUUCUUUUAGAAUUAUCACAUAUUUGAAAUAGCUUUAUCUUUUACAACAUUAAGUUUUGAUGCCACAUCUUUGUUGGGGAGUCUUUUUUUCUUUUACAAUCAAUAACUAUUUUUUUUUAUUCAGUCUCUUAGGUUUCUAUUUAUUAACUUUUUACCAUGUGUACUAUUUUCAAAUUUAUAAGUUAUACAUGUACAAAUAAUGUACAAUAACAACAUAAUACUCUUCAUCAAUUAAUAAAUAACCAUUUAUCUAUAAAUCAAUAACCUUGCUAAGAUCAUAUUUUUUCUUGGUCCCAAGAGUAUUAUUUUAUAAGAGUUUUUCUCUAUAUAGUUCCUUCAUUGUAGGAAUUUCUUUAGGUUAAUAUUACUAAAGUUGUAAUUUAAAAAAAAAAACUAUUAUGGAAACUAAGAGAACUUUGAAAGCUAUAAAUUAGUGUUUUAUAUCAUUCUUUUUUUCUAUGAAUGCCAAAGCCAUUGUCAAAUAAAAAGAGUAAAUAAAGUAAUUAGUUGAAAGUGAAAUAGGUGACUUAAAACUAUUGCUUUGGUACAUGUUUGUUUUAGGUAUAGUAGAUCAUAAGAAAUAAAAUCCUCUAGCUAUGUUUAUUUGAUAGAAUAAAAAAGUGAGUGUGUGGUUGCUCCACAGGAGAAGACCACAUGUUAGCCAAAGAAUAAGUAACUAUAAAGCUUACAAAAGUGUUAAAUGAUCAAUUUCUCACCUAAGCACAUUAAUGAGAACUAAAUGAUGAAUUAAACCAUACUCAUGCACCCAUACUAAGACCCAUGCCUCCAUGCGGGGAGACCCUAAUUGGUCCCUAAAAGGAGAAGUUUAACAAUGGCCACAUCCUCUAUGCCAUGUUAUUAUUCCAAAAACAUAGAAAGUUAACCUUUGAGUUGAUGCUUAUUUGUUUGGUAGUUUCCACAUUCUUCUUACUAACUUGACAUUUGAAGGCUCUACGACCAUAAGGAGCCUAGAGUGCUCACUUUAGGUUCCUUAUGAUUGUAAGGUCCUAACCAUCCAUUGAAGUAAGAAAGUGAACUAAGAGUUGGAAAAAUGGUGUCAUCUAUGGUUAAGAUACAAAAAUUCAGCUCACCAAAAAAUCACAGUAAAGCUACUAAAAAACACCCCACCCCCAGGCAAGGACCUUCAUUUAAGUACUCCUUGAGGUAUAUCCAAAUCAAAGACCUAAAGUUGAAGAAAUGAAGUCAACUAAACUUGGUUCCAUGCAUGAUAAGGUUGAAAAGCCUGCAUAAAAACCUACAUAAAGCUUGCUCCUUUAUAAGAAUAACCUGAACCUACAAGGGAAGAAGACCUAUAAAAGGAAAUCAUAAACAACAAAGAAAAAAAAGUCCCUCUCUCCUUUGAAAAAGAUUUCUUUGAAUGCAGAAACCUAUUUUUUGUAUCAAAAAAUUGGUGGAAUAAAAAUUUUCAAUUAUCUAUGAAGAGUGUUAGCUUCUUCAUAUGGGAAUGCAUUAAAAGCCUUGAAGACAUUGUUUAGAUCUAUAGCAACAAUUGGGCAAUAGAAAACUAUGCAAUAGAGUUUUGGUAGGGAAAGGCAAUCAUGAUAGAAAUGAAGUGGAGCAAUGAGUGAGAGCAAACCCUUCAAUAGAUGGAAGAGCUCAUUAAAAGAAGCGACUAACUCACUCAAGAAAAUGUUGCCUUUAGGGUAAGGGUAGACAAAUACCAAUGUGACUUUGACCAACAGCUCUCAUUGGCAAGCACCAAUAAGAUGCAAGUUAAUGAAUAAUAGUUAUCGAAGCAACUAGACCAACAUCUAGAUUAAAUUGGGAGAGAAAGGUGGGAUAAACCUUAAUUAAACUAACCAAACAGACCACCUUGCCAAAGGCCCCAAUGCUCUAAGGGAUUCUUGCCACCAGAGCUACCACAAAAUGCAUAAUCUUGGUGAAUAAGGUGAUUGAGCCCAAGUCCCUUUAGAAGGAGAAUGAGGCCAUAUGAGAGUUUUCUCUCCCUAAGUUCAAUUUCUUUCAAUGAAACUAAAGACACCCUAGACUACUUAUGCAUUUCUAUGCAUGUGAUAAUCUUAGAGAAGGGAAACAAUCGACUUUUAUGCAAAAUCUUCCCCUCCAUCCUCCAAGGACUAACUUUGUUUUGUCUUUAUCAACUUACCUUAGAGUUUGCUCCUGAUAUCGAGACCCUAAGGGUGAAGUAUGCCUCUUAGUACAUGCACUUAAAGAUUAUCUACUAGAUUUGAGCAACUAAGCAAGGUAUCAAGAUAGUUAUAGAAGCAUAUGGCAAUUGAAGCAAAAGUCCUCACAUCCUUGCAUGAAGCAACUACCACUUGCCCACAUGUCAUAUGCUUCUCUAAUAAAGGCUUAAGAGGAGUCCAAACCCUGCUCAAGAUCCAUUGGUUAUUACUUUAAGAAUUAUUGACUACAACAUGCACCUAUUUUUAGUUGACCUAACAAGUUUAGUUAACUUGCUAAAUAUAUUAGCCCAUAUAUGAACAAGUGAAUAUGGACGAAGGAAAACUAGUGUCAAGUCUUGGGUCGUUUGUGGGACUAGACAAAGUCCUAUGUGGCUCAACUAGGGAAGUCGCUCUAAUGGUUCCAAUUGGUUGUUGCCAUAUAAUGACACAAUUCUUUGUUAUGGAUAUCCUUUUCCCGAUAAUGCCAUUAUGGGAUGACCAUGGAUAUACAACCUAAGAGGAACACUAUUCACAUACCAUCACACCAUUAAAUUCCUAAUACUACAAGGAAUAUGGGAAAUAUAUCGAGACUAGGUGGCAUCAUGAGUAUGCUACACCAUAGCCCUUAAAGCGGUCAUCAAGUGCAUCAACUAGGACCCUUAGGAAGUUCAUAAAUCAAAAGUCAAAUAAAAAUUAGUAGGUGACCCGAGAAGGCAAUUAGAGAACCUAGGGAGUCAUUAUUCUAGAGCCCCUAAACCUAGGAGGUUCCUUCUAGCCCAUGCAAAAAAAAAAAAAAAAGGUUUCAGAUGGCUAUUAGAAAAGAACACAUCUUUACUAGGAAACUACAAGACAUCGUGGGCAUUGAUCCCCAAGUUACAUGUCAUCAACUCAACAUAAACCCUAGUGGUUAGCUCCUUAAAGACAUUAGAUUGUGAAAAAAAAGGUAUCUAGGCUCUUAGAUGCUAGAUUUGGUCAUCUAGGUCUUCUGACAACAAAUAGAAGUUAGUAUGCUAGUUUACAUUAAUAACAUGUUAGUAACAAGUAAGAAGAGGAAUGACUACUUGAUCGACCUCCUAAGAACAUUUCAAACUCUUCAAAAGUAUUAAAUGAAGCUAAAUAAGUGAAGUGCAACUUUAAUGUAGGGUGUGGAAAGUUCCUUAGGUACUUGGUUACAUACAAAGGAAUGAAAGCUAACCUAGGCCAAAUAAAAUCAACUUUGGAGAUACCAAUGACCAAAAGGGCUAGAGAAGUCCAAAAGAUCACUAACAAGAUUGGUUCUUGAAAUAGAUUUAUAUAUUGAACAACAACUAUGUGUCACCCUUUCUUCGACAUUAGCAAGAAGGGAAAAUGGACUAAAAGAACCAAAAAAUGCAACUAAGCCUAUGAAUCACUAAAGCAUUACAUGAUGUUAACCCCCAUUCUGGAUAAACCCUAGGAUAAGGAGGUCUUACAAGGUCUCAAUAGCAGUAGUAAGUGGAGUCUUAUCUCAAAAAAAGAGGAAAAAAUGAGCAAUCAAUGUACUAUGUCUAAAAGACCCUCUUAGAUGUGGAAACCUGAGAUAUAUAUAAAUAUUGAAAAACUGGUGCUUGCCCCUUAGAUCGCCACAUUGAAGCUUCAAUGUUACUUCCAAGUGCAAGGUAAGAACUAAGUGAUGAGAACUCAAACUUAAUACUUUAAUGGCUUUAAAGGGCCCACUUUAGUGUAUUUGAGGUACUAAAAAAUUAACCUAAGGUUUUGUUUUUUGUAUAAUACCUUAGAAAAUUAUGUUUGAUGCAUUCUAUGACCAUUCUACAUGCUUUAAGGUGUUUUUUUUGUUAGAAUAGAAUCCUUAAAAGCAUGACAUGAUGUAAUAAAUUUGGAAUUCAUUAUUUAUUUACUGAUGUUCUAGUUUCACUUUUAUCUAUCCUUAUUCCAUGUAUUGUACUUUAUGAGUAUUCUUGCCUACAUCUUUUGCAUUGUACAUGACUUAGGUGCAUUAGGAGUUGCACAGAAGAUUUAAGUCAUGGGUUUCUUGCAAAUAGAUUAUUUGUUCACAGUCGGUUCAUGAACCUAGGCAAACCAUUAGAGGUUGUAGUGCACCACCUCCUAAUUGGAGGGAUGGUUAGUCUUGGCCAUGGGAUGAGUUUCCCAUGAUAAGUGCACUAGUGUGUAUGGUUGCACAUUGGAUAGGACCUAUGGUGAGUUAUGACUUAACCCUAUCAAGUAGUCAUGACUCCACCGAGUUGUUUCAUUGUAUUAUCUCUCAACCUUGAGAGAAUAUUGAGUUUGUGCUGAAGUUAAUAAUGACUUUGAUUUAUGGGUGAGGUCGUAAGUUGAUCAUAUAUUCCCUAUGGAUUAGGUCAAUGUUGAUGGAAGUCGGUAACAAUAGGUAUUCUUAAUAAAGGCACCAUGAUAUCUCUUAGGAUUGAGACAGUGUGUCCCAUUGGAUGAUCCUAAGGAGGUGUGUUCAUGGAAACUAUGGCUAUAGUAGUUCCUUAAGUGGAAUUUGACAUAGACUCUUUGAGAUCUAAGAUAUGUUAAUUGAACAUACAACAGGAAGAUCUGUAGCUCAAGGAUGGUAGAAGUAGUCUUGAAAAGCUAAUGGCUUUCACCUUGUUAGACUACGAACACCAAUUCAUGGGGAGACUAAACAUAAUGGACAGUAGGUCACGGACCCGAGCACUUAGUGUCUUCGUUGUUAGUUACAUAGGAUACCGGAGUUUAGUUGAUUCUAUGUAGUGCAAUGUUGAAUCAACUUUAAAAUUGGACUAUGAGGGAUCCAUGGUAUUCCUAUAGGUCCCAAUGGUCCCUGCUAUGAGCUUAUAUACCUUGUUGGAAUGGGUAAUGAGGGUUGGAUUGACUCUAGGUUCACUUUUGUGCAUAAGGGUAUUUUGGUAAUUAUGUAAGGUUAUAUAGGAGUAAAUGAACAAGGCCUCUAGAUUAGGCUAAUUGAUUAAUCAAUUAGAACCCAUUUUGGGCUGGAUUAAGUUACCCAACCCAUGUGGGCUCAAGUCACUUAAGCCUACUUAGAAACCCUAUAAAUACCCCCUAUGGGUUAGGGUUUCCAUAACUUUUGUCUUCCAUCAUCCAAAGAGAUAGAAAGUCAUAGCCUUCACCAUCUUUUCCUCCUCAUUGGAAGUGUGCCAAGAUCAAGGUUCGAGUCAUCGGGCGGAAGACUUCGAGUUUACGAGACUUCUGGGAUUUCAAUUUUCAUCUUCACCAUGUAGAUUUGAUUCGAGAACACCCAAAUCUAAUGUAUAGUUUUUGUUAGCACUUUUUGAAUCCUUUUAAAGUAUAAAAAUGUUAUUUUUCUGUUGUGCAUAGGAUUUAGAAAAAACCUAAGAUAGUUAUGCAUGUUCCUAACCUGAUUCAGACUAGGGAAACAGAGAGAGAUUCAGGUUUUUCCCAUCAUUUUUAGUGCAAUAGAACCUUGUUAGGAACUCAUAGAGACAAAAAUGCCCAAGUAAGGAGGAAAUACAAAUUGCACACCCAAAAGGUGUGCAAGACUCAAUCAUGCACUUCUUUCUUUUUGUAAAGCCACAUAGUACACCUCCCAUGUAUACCUUAAAGACCAAACACACAAGACCUCUCUAAUGCUUUGGACCAAAUUUUAUACCCUAUUCAAGCAACUCGAUCUGCAAACCUCUUAAGUGCUUUAAGCCAAGAUGUUGUGCACCCCCUCACUUGAGUCAACAGGAUGUGUAGUAGUGCAACCCCUUGAUGUCAUCUAAAUUACAAACCAUUCUUACCUCUACAAUAGCUAAGUACUUAAUAAUUCUUCUAAUGAUUGGCUCACCCACCAAAGUAGUAUGUUGUUCAUACCUCAAAGUCUUCAAUUGUACUACCAAAACGUACCCUAACCAAAUUACAUAGAGAAAAAGGUGCAACUACUGACCAUAAGCUAACUAAUCAAGAAUGAAGGUGGUUGAUUGCAAUGACAAAGGACGUGACCCUUAGUAUAAGAAGAGACAAGUCUAGAGGAGUGGUGUCCGAGUAGUUGGAAUGACCGGGGAGGGAGGGGGGACAUUGUUUUGUAUAUAAAUGGAGGAUUGUGAAUAUACAAGUGGAAGAAAAUUAUAGAAAGUGAAAUUGUAGAUAAGUUUUUCUUCUUAUAGGAACAAAAGUAGGAAUAAGAGUAACUUAAUGUAAUUUAAGUUUUUAGGUUUCCAUUGUAAUCUUUUCUUUUCAUUAUAAACUUUCCUUAAUUUCUAGUUUAAUGAAUUUUCUAGUCUUUUUAAUUAUUCUUACAUUUCAGUUUUUCAAUUUCAACUUACAAAUUUGCAUUUUUAAUUCUUUACUUAAUUUUUAACAUGCUUAGAUAACCUUUAACACUCUAAGGGGUGAGAGGAGCUCAAGUCUCCCAUAUCUUAGUUUAGCUAUCUAUUGGUUUAUUUGUGCAUUAGUUACAAACAAUAUGAUCUCUAUCAGUAGUUAUAAUGACCAAAACAAGUAACCAUGGGGAAAAAGUCUAUGUUGCAUUGGUUGUGAGCAUUGUACGUCAAGCAAAUUUGGAAGCAUACUUAGGCAUUGUUUUAAUGAUUCUUUCAACUAAGUAUAGGCCUAUUGCCAUGAAAAUAAUCUUAUCUAAAUCAUUUGGUUGUAAGGAUAUAUAUAUAUAUAUAUAUAAAGAGCAAUUAGAGAGAGAUGAACCUUAUUAAGGUGGUUCUUGUUCAUUUGAAGCAGGAAACCUUUUUUGUAUAAAUCCUUGCUUUGAGCCUAAAUCUGAAAGCAUAAGUUCAAAGCCUUGUUGGUGAGUUGUAUAUGAAAGUGGUGAUCCUAGUGAAUCUCUAGGUUUGAGGUUUUCUUUCCUUUAAUUUUCUAUCUUUUAAACUUUGUGUGUGUAUGUCCUUUUUAUUUAUAAAAUCAUUUUUCUAAUCUUUUAGCUGCCAUUCACACUCCUAAAGCUAUUACCUUAGUUGCUAACAAUUUAAAGUUCCUUGUGGAGGCAACCUAACAACUAUACCACUAUUAAUUUUUUUAUUUUUUUAUUUUUUGGUUAAGGAGUUGAGAGUUUCAAUGAAUGAUCUAGUUUAAUUUCUCUUUGUAAAACUUAACUGUUAAAUAUAUUUCCAAGUUUUGAUAAAAGGAAUGAAUUAGAGAAUGACAAACCAAAAAUUAGUGUCGUCACUAGGGAACUUUCAACAUUGAUGACUCUAUAGGUAUUUUUGUGUAUAUGCUUGUUGUUUUAGAAGCUUAACAAGUAUAUUUCACCCAUUCCCCACCUAUCUUUUAGUUGGAUUUUUUUCUUUUUUUACUUAAUUUGUUUUCUUUGGAUUUUCUUUUUAUUCUCAGUUUUCAUUUUUAGUUGUUAAAUCCAACAUUUCAAACAUUUUCUUUAAAGUGAUAUGAUGUAUUAGGGAAAUGAUUUUAAAAGAAGGGUACUAAGAGUGAGUUUGAGAGUGAUUCUAUGAAGCGUUUCUAACAUUUCUAACACUUAAGUGAUAAAAUGUUGAUCUUCAAGGCAUCAUCAGAGGGCUUCUCAAUAUCUCUUCUACUGAAAAAAAUUUCUUGACUGAAAGUGGCUCUUAACUAGAGGGGAGGGCAUCCCAAAAAUUUUAGGAAACCAUGAAGAAAAAUUUAUCAAAAUGGAUGCUUCCAAUCUACCUGUGGGAAGUAAAGAAAAAGUGAAGAGCCAUUGGCUAGCUAGAAGCUAGCCAAAAACUUGUAAAUAGCUUUCAUUUUUUAUUUUCUUUAUUAUUUUUGUUUAUAUUGCUUUGGCCAAUUUAGUGUGUAGGAGUACCAUCAUAAGAACUCUAAGUAUAAAUUUCUCUAUACUCUAUUGGUUUUAUCAUGCUUCAGAGUAGGUGUAAAUUGUUAGCACCAGGAAAGUGUUGGACAUAUAGGAAUUGCGCACUUUUGAGGUUUGCUAACCCAACUUGUAUGAUGACUUAAAUUGCGUAUCUCAAAUUGUACACUUUGAAAGCAUGACUGAAACUCCACACCCUAAGAGAUUAAUUUAAACGGUGCAUCCAAAGGAGCGCAACUAAAAACUGCACACCUUUAAGCAACCAUUGAUAUUGCCCAGCUUAAAUUACACACCAUAAGCACGCCAUCCAUACUAAAAAUGCCUUCCCAAAUAAAACCAUAAUUGCUUAGAGACUUUUGUCCACCCCACCAUCAUAUCAAUUGAGGUGUGGGUAGCCAACCAAAUUAAUUAUUAUCCAAAGACAGAAAAUUAAUUAAACAGGAUUAGCAUAAAAGAAAAUAACUUGACUUAUAAACAAAAGCAAGGGAGAUGCAAUGGCAAACACAAAGCAAUUUAAAAGGGGCAAGCGAGUAAAGAAACUAACAGUGAUAUAUUAUGAGUUGCCAUAAGUUGAAGCGACUUCCACUUCGGAAAGCCCAAGGCCUUUUAGCCAAUACCGUCAAAGGGGCUUUAUCAUCAUCAGAAUCUUUAGCAUCACCGAAAUUGCAUGUGGCAAGGUCAGGAUAACGUUCAACCAGAUGCAGUGCUACAUCUGCAUAUUAUAAAAUUGUACAUGGGAACCCGACGGUAAUUCAUAUCAAGAAAAUAGAUAGGGGAUGGUAAAUAUAGCUCACCAUGAAACCCCACCAUUAGUGCUCUGCGCAGAAGUUCGAAUCCAGGCGAAUUUGAGAAAGGAUAUGGAGGUUCAUCAUCUCUGGUGACGCUUAAUAAAUAUAAAGUCAGCUCUUUAUGACCAUACCUAACAGCGCUGUGAAGAGGCGCAAAAUUGUCGCGUUGGCAGAUAUUGGGCAAGCUUGGGUUUUUGUUCACUAACAACUUGACUGCUUUUAUAUUGCCAGCCCUUGCAGCGUUGAAAAGGGCAGUGGCGCCAUCAGAAUCCCGCAGAGCCAGUGCCUCACUUGGCAUAAACUCAACCAACUUCUCCACGAAACCCAUUCUGGCCUCUCCUAACUCAACUGCUAUGUGAAGCAUUCGGGAAUCAUCUGUUCCGAUCGGGGCAGAGAAUGAUCGUGGAUCAUCCUUCAAUAAUUUUGGAGCACUUUCCCAGUCACCAUUGAGCACAGCUUUGUACAGUUCCAAGUAAUAGAAUUCUGCAGUCACAAAACCAAAAGAUGUAUAGGUCAGCCUAGAUUUCCCUGAUAUCUAUAUUACUUCAACGUUCACAAAAUCCUAAUACUAAAAUUAUUUUUUAAAAAAUAAAUCAUUUAAGUUAUGUUUGGUUCUUAGAAAAUUUGACAAAUAAUACAAAGAAAAAUUUAAAUAAUUUAAAAUUUAAUAAAUUUAUAACUAAUUUUAAUUACAUUUGAUUUUCUUAAAUAUUUUUUUUUCGAUAAAACCAAAUACGGGAAAAUCAUUUUCCUUGAUAUCUUUUCUUUGCUAAUUAUUUUCUUAGACUUCUUUGUUUACCUCUAAUCAACAUCUUUCUAUCUUUCAAUAAUAGUUUGAACCUCCAAUAAACUACAUGAAUUAAAAUUUAAUUUAGUUUCAUUUUUUUUUAACAGCAGGUUGUAAAACACUUCUACUUGUAUACUAAUUAUGCCCAAAAGUUGCAGGAGGACCUCAAACGGAAAUGGACAUGAACAUGGUUUUUAGCAUCUUACCGGAGCUGCUAAUCCUUUGCAAAGAUGAAGGGGAAGAGACUGGAGCAUAUUCAUCAGCAAUGUCGAUUACCAUUGUUUGGGCUGUCAUCGAUUACCGAGAUGGAAAUGAAGAGAAGUCAUUGCAGUAAACUCCUCACCAUGCUCAGCAAUGUCGAUGUCACUGUUUUUAGGACUGUUUGCGCUGUUGUCAUUUCUAAGACGUAGUGAAGAAGAAGAAGCCUUUACAACAAAUUCCUUAUCGUGCAUAUAGUCAUUGCCAACUAUAUGGAAGAUUAUAUUUAACUGCAGCCCUUUUUCCCAGAGUCUUCAAAAGAUACAGGAAAUGGGCCAGGAACCAUUGAAGCAUAAGAGGUGCAAUGAUAGAGUCUUCCAAGUCAACUUUAUUUAGUUGAGUAGAUAGCGUUGAAAAGUUUUGAUAAUUUUUAUUGCGAAAAAACGAUGUUUUAUAUACUUUUAUUUCUAUCAUACUUUAUUAUUGUUUAUAAGAUAACGAAAUAUUCAAAUAUGAUAAACAAUAGUAAACAUAUAUCAAAUAUAAAAAAUUUCUCACAAGAGAUGCAAUUAAUAUUUUUUUUCUUCAAUAAUGUGUAUAAUAUAUACCAUGUGAUGUAUUAUUUCUAUUUUAAGUUUUGUUUGGAUGUAUUUUUUAUUUUUUUAUAUAUAAAAAAUGAAUUAUAUUUUAAAAUUUAUAUGUGAUAUAAAAAGGUUAUUAUUUUUUAGUAUUUGAUAUAAUACAUUUAUAUAUUUACUAAAUUAUGACAAUAAAUGAAAAUAAAGUGGAGCGGACGAUGUAGGUUAAGGAUUAAUGUCUUUCACAUUAUAACAUCUUUCACAUUUAAUCCUUUCUGAUGUGAAUGCAGUACAGCAAAAGAGAAAGUACCAUUAACUUGAAUGCGAGAAGGGUGAUUGAUCUAUCAAUCUGUACGUGUCCUUCUUGAAAGGGACCAGAUUCUAUGGGGUAGCUUAAGGAUUAAUGUGGGUGCCUGUAGCAUGAAAGUGGAAGGAAUUAAUCCUGUGCACCACACAUUGCUAUGAUCGUUUGCAAUAACCAAUUAUAUAAAAUCUAUUGAAAUAUUUUAUAUAAUUAACUUUUUGGAAUUUUUUUAUCAAGUUGUAAAAUAAAGAAAAUUUAGGAAAAAAUAUUUUUGUAAAAUGAUAAAAUUUUACAAAAAUGACAUUUUUUUUGUAAAAUGUAGAAAAGGAUACAAGGCUAUGAAUUCAUAAUUGUAUGAUAACCUUUUAGUAUUUCAAUCUUUGAAUUUUUUUGGAGAUUAUUUCCAUAAAUUCCACAUUCCAAAAACAAUGAUAAUCUUUACACAAUAUUAUUGUCAUUUAAAGUGGGAAAAAAUAUAAAAAUAAAAUAAAAUUUUCAAAAAAUUUAGAGAUUGCAAAAAAUACGAGGAUAUGAAGAAUGUGAGGAUCGUCAUAUUUUUCAUACCCUCCUCACAUUCUUCAUACCCUUACCCAUUUGAAUAUUUUAAUCUUUUAAUUUUUUUUUCAAAUAGUAUUUACUUCAAUUUCAAGUGUAAUUAGUGUUUUUACACAAUACCAUUGUCAAAUGAAGUAAAAAAAAAAAAAAAUCAAAAUUAAAAUUUUCAAAAAAUUUAAAGGGUACAAAAAUGCGAAGAGGGUACGAAGAAUGUGAAGAGCCUCACUUUUCUCGUACCCUCAUCACAUUCUCCAUACCUAUUAUAAUUUAUAAAUUUUAAAAAAAAUAUUUUUCAAUUUUUUUAACAUUAUUUGCAUCAAUUUCAAGUGUAAUUAAUAUUUUUACCCAAUAUUAUUGUAAAGUGAUGUGAAGAAAAAUUUAAAAUUAAAUAAUUAAAUAAUUUUAGAGGGUACAAAAAAAUAUGAAAAUAGUAUGAUGAAUGUGACGAGGGUACGAGAAAUGUGAGGAUACAAGAAAUUUAAAAUAAAAAAUAAAAAUCUCAUACCCUCCUCACAUUCUUCGUACCCCUACAAAUUUUUAAUAUUUUAAUCUUUUAAAUUUUUUGAACAUUAUUUGCUUCAAUUUCAAGUGUAAUUAGUCUUUUUACAAUAUAUUAUUGUCAAGUAAAUUAAAUUUAGAGGGUACAACAAAUAUGAGGAGUGUGCGAGAAAUGUGAAGAGGGUAUGAGAAAUAUAAGGGUACAAGAAAUAAAUAAUAAUAAUAAUUCUCGUACCCUCUUCACAUUCUUGUACUCUCCUCACAUUCUUUGUAUUUUCACCAAUUUUUGAAUAUUUUAAAUUUUUUUCGAAUAUUAUUUGCUUAAGUUUCAACAAAAUUUUCGUACCCCACCAAUUUUGUAAUAUUUUAAUAUAUAUAUAUAUAUAUAUAUAUAUAUAUAUAUAUAUAUAUAUUAACAUUAUUUGUUUCAAUUUCAAGUGUAUUUAGUCUUUUUACACAAUAUUAUUGUCAAGUGAAGUGAAAAAAAAACAUAAAGUUAAAAUUUUCAAAAAAAUUAAAGGAUACAAAAAAUGUGAGAAGGGUAUAAAGAAUAUGAAGAGGGUGCAUGAAAUGUGAGGGUAUAAGAAAUAAAAAAACAAAAUACUCAUCCCCUCUUCACAUUUCUUGUACCUUCCUCACAUUCUUUGUACCUUCACCAACUUUUGAAUAUUUUAAUCUUUUAAUUUUAACUCAUCUACCCUUACAAAUCGUGUCUUUAAGGAAUAUGAGCUUAGAGCAGGAACCAUUGGGAUCCAUAGGAGUACUGGCUCCCUUAGAAUCAAAUUUUGAAAUUGAUUCAACAUCCCACUAUAGAGAGUCAGCUGCACUUUAGUACCCUAUGUACAUUACAAUAAGACACCAAGUACUUGGGUUUAUGAUCUACUAUCUAUUGCAUGCAAACUCCCCAUGAACUUGUGUCCGUAAUUGAUUACUACCAAAAAGUACUAUUUUGUAGAUCUAAUUAUAAUGGUUUUAAGCACCUUUAAGUAGUAAUCAUAUUCAUUUAACCCAAUUAAUUCAUUAAGGUCCUUAGUAAUUGGUUUUAACCAUUUUGUGGCAAGUUUACAUGUUUUUAUUAGCUUGUGAACCAAUUCAAGCAUGCCAAUUGAUGGAGGAGCUAUUUGGGUGAGUUAAGCAAGGAUUUUGGACAAUUACAGGCUUGAAUUUCAAGUGGAAACACGAGCACAAGCAAUGGAGAAGAGGAAAACAGAGUGAAGAAAACAGCUGCAGUCUUCUUUCGCACUUUUGAAGCACUUCCCGAAGUCCAUUUUUUGCAUGCUAUAUACCAUUUGAAAUCUUAGAAAGUCAAGAAUCCAACGCUUCAAACCGUGUAUGAUUUGGAGUUGAAAUGAGGAAGAUAUGGCCUUUGGAAGGCAACUGUAUCAUGUCAAAUGACCAAUUUCGCAAGGUGAAUUUCACAUUGCGAAAAUUUCACAAGGAGAUUUUCUUCAUGGUGCGAAAUUUUGCCACUUCGCACCAUGAAGAAACACCUUGCGAAAUUUCGCAAGGUGGAUUUAGGCACAUUGCAAAAUUCCUUUGAAUCCCCUGUUUUGAGACGUUGUUGAUGUUAUUCCACUGCCGGUUCUCCAAGAUAUUUUGCUUGAUUUUUAGCUUUGUAAAUACCUAUUUUACCCUUGUAAUCAACCAAUGAAUAGGUUGCUUUUGUAAUAGCUCUUGUAAUUUAGCUUGUUAUUGUCUUUAAAUAGAGGUGAAGAGCCUCAGAUCAUCAAAUCUUGUAACCUGUAACUUUAUAAGUUAUAAGAGCACUUUUGUUCAUACGCUUCUUUUCUCUUUUCUUUCUCAUUUUCUUAGUAGCCAAACAUCCUUGGGGGAUGAAAUCCCCAAGGAUGAGAGGCUUAAACCUUUUAGUUUCUUGAAGUAAUGGAUGCCAUGUGAAGCUCCCGUGUCAGGAUGGAGAUUUCCAAGCCAUGAAUGUAAGUAGCUGAGCGUCAUAAAUGUUUUCAUUCAAAGUAAAGCUUUUAAUCCCUCUGACUUGCUUUGAAUGGCCAAUACUUGAUAAUCUUUUGGUCUCAAUGGAUUCUUAUUGUUAGAUCCACUGACGUUCAUUAGUUAUCUCCUACGAGCCAUUGUAUUGCAAGUCGAGGAGAUGCCCUAUAUCAUUAAAAGGGCAUUUAUGAGGUUCAACUACCCUUUUUGUAAGUUUUCAAGGACUAAAACUCAGUUGUUAAACUCAUACCGGUUCGGGAAGUAAGCAUCACCUUAGUUGCUUUCCCAACUCGAGGUGAAAAGUCCCAAAAUCUCCAUUUUUUCACAGUGAGUUAAGCAUGGCUAUCCAAAGCUUUGAGAAACUUCUUUUUCCAUCUUUUAACCUAUUUUCAUGUUAGUUUAGUUUACACACCUUCAUCUUUUUAUGUUUUCAUCUUAACCUAAUUUUUAUUAAGAAAAGUUCACUCCAUCCUCCGAACUUCACCAGUUAAAGUAAAAACUCUUCCCAGUGUUCGAUCCUAGAGCCACUAUGCUAUAGUAGCUUUGCUACUUUAGUGUAAGGACCUUAGGUAUAAAUUUUGUUGAUACCCUUACAUGCCAAGCUACCAAGAGUCGGGUUAUCAGUAAUCUAAUAAGGUGGUGUUGUCACCUAUCAAGAUUACCCCUCAAAUCCUUUAGUUAUAGAUCAUACUUAUUACGUGAUUAAAUGACAUACUUUACCUCUAAUGAGCAUAUGUCAAAUUCCACUAAAGGAAUUAUUCCAUGAUCACAUGUCCUUUGGAUCACCCAAGGGGACAUAUCGUCUCAAUCCCAUGAGAUAUCAUGGUGCCUCUAUUGAGAAUACCUAUUGUCAUUAGCCUCCAUCAACAGUGACCCAAUUCAUAGGGAUACAUGGCCACUUUAGGGUUUCACUCAUAGCUUAAAGUCUUCUAUUAACUUUGGCAUAGACUCAAUAUCCUCUAAGGUUGAGAGUCUAUACAGUAUACUAGUUUGGUGAAUCAUAACAAUUGAUAGCCUUGUGUCAUGAUUCACCGUAGGUUUUGUCUAGUGUGCAUCACAUACACUGGUACUCUUCAUAGGAAACCCAUUCCAACGGCUAAGACCAAUCAUCUCUCUAAUUAGGAGGUAGUGCACUAUAGUCUCUACUGGAUUGCCUAAAUCCAUGAACCAAUUGUGGACAGCUUAUCUACUUACAAGGAAUCCAUGACUUGUACUUUUGUGCAACUCCUAAUGCACCUGAAUCAUGUACAAUGUAAGAAACAUGGGUUGAAUGCUCAAAUCAAUGUUAAUACACUAGAGGGAUAACAAGGAGACAGUUAAGUCUAACUUUGUUACAUCAUGUCUUGCUUAGUUAAGUCUAACUUUGUUACAUCAUGUCUUGCUUAGUUAAGUUUAACUUUAUUACAUCAUGUCUUGCUUUUAGGGUCUUAAUCCUAACAAGCUCCUACUACCCCAAAAGUAGACUAGGGUACUGUAGAAAAAAUAUACUCUACAGUCACGUCACCUUUCUAUACUAUCCCACAACAAGGUAUCACUUGUUUUCUAUAUAUUAUCUCUUAUAGUGGCACUUUAGUUAUUUGGACUAUGCCACAAUCCCAUAUAACAAUAUCUUAGACGAUAUAGCCAAUGGAAAUACUCAUAAGCUAAAAGGCUUCCUUUGUUGCUAUAGAAAUAACAAAAACCACUUAGAGUGUACACAUUCCCUAAGGUAGACUUGCGAGAGUCCUCAUUAGACUGAAAGUCCAAUUUCUCGAUACAAGGACUCACAAACAUAUCAUUCUUCAUUCUCUAAGGAUACUAGAGUAUAUGUUUGAAAUUCGCUCAAAGCUCUAAUCAAGAAAUGAACUAAUAUUCACUCAUUAUUCCUACAACAAAGCAAAUAUCUGGUUUAGCACAUAGCAUUGUAUGCUUAAGGCUAUCCAUUGUAGAGGCAUUGGAUACCUCCUUAAUGUGAUCUUUCUCCACAAAUGUCUGAUUACUACUCAAAAAGUGCUAUUUGAUAGCUUGUAAUUAACUCUUUUAAACACUUUUGAGUAGUAGUUAUUGCCUUUUAACCCAAUUAACAUGUUAAGGACCCUUGCAAUCAAUUCUAAUCAAAUUGUGUUAAGUUUUGGUCUUUUGAUAGCUUUUUGAUCACCAAAGCAAUCCAAGAUUGAGGAGAGUUAUUUGGAAUCCACGACAAAGCAAUGGAAAGCUCAAAUUCAUGAAGAACAAGAUUUGGAGCUCCAUAGCUCUUUGCCAAAGUCGUUCAAAGUAUGCAAGGAAAGAACAAAGGAGAGAGGAAAAACAGAGUGAAGAAAACAGAGGACAAUAGCUGCAGUCUUCUUUCGCACUUUUAGAGCACUUCCCGAAGUCCAUUUUCUACAUUCUAUAUACCAUUUAAAAUCUUAGGAAGUCAAGAAUCCAAUGCUUUAAACGGUGAGCAAUUCGGAGUUGAAACGAAGGAGUUACAGCCAUUGCAAGUAGAUCACUCCAAGUUGAAGGAAGAAUUUUGCACAACGCUGCGAAAUCACCCUUUUGUUGCGAAAUGAUUUCGCAGCCUUUUUGUUUAGUGUUGUGGAUUCCCUCCUGAAGUUGCCCGAUAUAUGCCGCAAGUUGGAAGCUGAGCACCUCAAGAUGAAAGCCAACUUCGCAGCCCUGCGAGAAUAACCUUUUGCUGCGAAGUGAUUUCGCAGCCCUUUUUGUGCAUCUGUGAAAUCUCGCAGACCUCGUUUUCACCUACGAAAUGGUCCUUAGUGCUUCCCAAUAUUUGUGCACCGACUCUUUUAGAUCUUUUCUUCAGAUAUUUUUGUAUAAAUUUCCAUUCUCUCCUAGUAAGCCACCAAUUAUGGGAUUCCUUAGUUAUUAAGUUGGGAAAAGGGGUGAAUAACUUGAGAUAUUUUGUUUUGUAAUUUUCUUUAUAUAUAGCUCUCGGGAGCUUGUUCUCAGGGCAUCAUAUCGAUCAAUAUAUAGAUAUAUCAUAUAUAGAAUCAACGAACAGAGCACUUGCUCUGUUUUUCAUAUAUAUUCUUGUUUUCUCGUUAGUUUUCUUUCUAGCCAACCAAACUCUGAGGAUUUUUCCUCAGAGGAUGAGAGGCUAAGCUUUUUGUCUCUUGGAGUAAGGAAAACCGGCUAAGUUUCCACAUGCAUAAAUUGGAAGUUUUGUUGUUUUAGUUUUUAAUGAAGAGAAAGUGUGACCCGUUAAUGGUUUUUAUAUUUUUAGUUAACUUAAAACGCCUUUAAAUCACCUGGGCCAACACUUGGGAAGGCAAGUGAUCUCUGUCCAUGGAGAUGCACUAGUUUACCCCUUGCGAGCCUUUGGGAGGUGACUUGAAGGUAGGAUUUUCUAGAAUAGGCAACACUUGGUAAGCUUUUGGACUCCAAGGAGACAUCUAUUAGUUAUCUCUUGCGAGCUUUUGACGGGUAAUCCAAGGUUAAAGAUCACCUUGAAUGGCAAGUGCUAGGUGAGAGGUAUGAGCCAUUGCAAGGUGCAUCAGUGAGAGGGAUUUAGUGUUUGAACCCAUUAAUGGGAAGCAUCUGUACAACACCGGUUAGAGAAUUAACUAUAUGUUAAUUCUCUAAUGCGAGGAAAAGAAACAAGUGACCGAAACUCUCUUUUUUGUAUGAGGAACCUGAGCCUAGUGAUCUGAACUCCAAAAAACAUUUUUCUUUGUAAGUAAAAUCAGUUACUAUUUUUGGUUAGUUUAAAACCAAACCUUUUUCAUUCAAACAUCUUUAUGUUUUCUUUUAAAGCUAACCUUGAAAUGAAAAGGCACCAAUUCAACUUUGAAUUAAUAUCAUUUGUGAAGUGAAAACCCAUCCCAGUGAACGAUCCUAGNNNNNNNNNNNNNNNNNNNNNNNNNNNNNNNNNNNNNNNNNNNNNNNNNNNNNNNNNNNNNNNNNNNNNNNNNNNNNNNNNNNNNNNNNNNNNNNNNNNNUAAUGGGAAGCAUCUGUACAACACCGGUUAGAGAAUUAACUAUAUGUUAAUUCUCUAAUGCGAGGAAAAGAAACAAGUGACCGAAACUCUCUUUUUUGUAUGAGGAACCUGAGCCUAGUGAUCUGAACUCCAAAAAACAUUUUUCUUUGUAAGUAAAAUCAGUUACUAUUUUUGGUUAGUUUAAAACCAAACCUUUUUCAUUCAAACAUCUUUAUGUUUUCUUUUAAAGCUAACCUUGAAAUGAAAAGGCACCAAUUCAACUUUGAAUUAAUAUCAUUUGUGAAGUGAAAACCCAUCCCAGUGAACGAUCCUAGAGCCACUAUGCUAUAGUAGCUUUGUCUUUGCUACCCUAGUAAAUGGUGUAAUAGGUUAUAAAUUUUGUUGAUUACUCCCUCAAUCAAGGAGCACCAGCUGGACACGAAUCAGCUGAGACACCAAUUGGGCAUGAAUCAAUGUCCAAGGACAUUGAUCCUAAGAAAGAUAACUCCAAAUCCAAAGAGUAACAAACCUUUCUUGGAGUUUUACAUCAUAUACUUGAACAAAUGCUGAUUAAUGUAGAUGACAUGGCAUAAUUUUUCCUAUUCCUGCAAUGCUAAAAGAUCUUAACCUUAAGAAUAUAUUGCGCAUUCCUCUAAAUUUUUUUCUAGAACUAAGUAAACAACUAGAUCUUGACAGAUGACAAUAUCUUUACAUCAUAUCCAAUGAGUAGAUUAUCAUCCACCUACAAGAUCUUAGAGCAUUACUACACUCCCAUAUGCUUUCAUGUACACACAAGGCCUAUUGCUAUGAAAAUGUUUGGUUGCUAUAUCUCAUAAAUCAAACACACUGCAAUAGAUAAGAGUAAUCUACUAGAUUUGAGUAUGAUCACUAUUGAAAAGGUUUUCCAUAGUUGAAACAAAGUUUCAAACUAUAACCUUUAACUAUAGUCUUAGCCAUAUAAAACUCAAGCUUUCCAUCUACUCCUGUGUUUCUCUUAUAGACCAACUUACACCUAUGAGUUUUAUCUCUUUAGGUGUCCUACAGGAACCCAAACUAUGUUAGAAUACAAAGAUUCUAACUACCUUUUCCUAGCUCAUUACCUUAAGUGAGUAUAAACAUUGUUGAAUGCUUCAUCAUAAUCUAUGAUAUAUAAACUUCCAUUACGAUGAGGCAUUGGUGUACUAGAAAUCAUAGGAAUGGUAUGCCUUUAACCCUCUAGAUCCACAAUAUCCUAUGCAAUAUGGGACUAUUUUCUAAUUUCUCCUCCAAUCUAUAUCAUUUUUUGCCUUAUUCCUUAUCAUACAGUUUUAAAUUUUUUUUUGACAUUUGUGCUAACAAAUAUCUUUUAAUGAUCCUAACUAUAAAGGUAGUAACCCAAAAAUGCUCUUAUAUAUCCUAUAAAUUGACAUACCUCUUAAGAAAAAGGGUAACCACCUUUUUAAAAAAUAGUAGGUAAAAUAUACUUGAUACAUACCUUCAAUCUUUUGUUUGUUUUACAUUUUGGUCUCUUAUAUUUGAAAUCCAUCAUUUUACCUAUUCAAACUUAUUAGAAAUCAACACUUCCAUAUCAUUUGCAAACCCUUUAUAAAUUAUAAAAAUGAUCUUUUUUUUUUCUAUAUUCUUGUUUGAACAUUGGUUUGAAUUUAGGUAAAACCAAUUUUGAAUUCAUAGCCUUGGGUAGUAUUUCCCAAACAUCUUUAUUUUAUUAUUUAUUAUCUAAUCCUUCAUGUCUUGUGGAAGCACGUUACAAGUUAUCUAUGCUAUCCAAGUACACCCCCUAUCACCUACCUUCUAAAUUAUGUGAAUAUGCUUAUCACUGUGAACCGUGCCUAUGUUUGGUAGUGCAUGGGUGUCUUGAUAUAUUGUUUCAUUGUUCAAUUAUUUAUGAUAAAGCGCAUGCUGGGUGAUAUUCUAUUUGAACUAACUUUAAUGUCUUUUGAUAGUGCUUAAAAAGCAGUCCAGGUAUGCACCCUAAAUCUUCUUUAUGAUUUGUGAUUGGUUCUUUUGUUUAGCAUGAUAUUUGUUUAAAUCACCUUAGUCUACCUAGGCACCCUCAAUCAACCAAUUAAUUGUCCCAAUUCUCUCAACUUAGCUAGUAAAGACCUCUUUAAGGCUUAGAGGGGUGCUACCUCUUAGAGGUAACUUCCCAAUAGGUAACCUGAUCCCCGAACCUAGACUCGGGUUUUUCAAAGACACAUUUUUCCAAAAACUAUAGUCACUUCUUUAGGGUUUUCUUUCUUAUUUUAUUUUUCCUUUUAAAAUAAAAUAAAAUAAGUGGUGACUCCAACUUUUCCAAAUUUUUCUUUUUUACCAAUAAAAGCGAAUAUCAUCGAUUGAGUGGGAGCGCAUGUGAAAAAUGCAAGACCACACUAUGGCUUUUGUAGUACUCCGGGUAUUGUUCUUAAGGACUAGCUUAUGGAAAUAGUCAAUACUAGAAUAAAUGAAUUGCUUUCGUUUAAAUCCUAAAGUGAAAAACACUAUGAGAAUAAUGUGAAACUAAGUAAAAGAAAAAUAAAUUAAUAACAAAAAUGGAUGUUGAUAUUAAAUUUGAUUGAUUCAAGUUUGGGGCUUUCCACAAUCCAACCUAGGGUAUAGAAAUUAGAGAAAACAAGGGUCUUUUAAGUAAUAUGAUCUUAGGGUUUUGGGAUCCUUGGCUCCUCAUGAUCAAGUUGAGUUCUAUAACAUAAAAUUGCAUCCGAAACCUAAUUUUUCCUUUUUAAAAUAAAAUUCCUAAAACCAUCAAAUGAAUGAGAUUGAUUACUAGUUUAAAAUUUGGACUUUUAACCCUUCCUACUCCUUAUAGUUUUGUUUUGGGGCAAAUAAUGAUAGAGAAAACGAGGAUAACUAAUGAUCAAGAAUUACCAAAAAUCACUAGUAUCGGGUAAUAACCUACCAUAUCAUUCCCUAAACUAACUCACAAGGAUAGGAUAAAAAAAUGAUAAAUUGUCACCCAACCAAUAAUUAAUCUCAUUGAUAUAAUAAUUUACCCAUUGUCCCUAUAGGUUUCCUAACCCUUAGGUUUUCAUGCUUUAAGCCCCAAGUUAGCUCUUAACCUCUCAUGGGGUUAUUGUCACAUUCACAAUCCAUAAUAGGGUAAAAAUCCAUAAUUUGAAUCAAAAGAACCUAAAAUAAUAUAUUUAAUAAAGAAGAAAAAGAAAACAAACCAAAGUUCUCAUCUUCUUCCACCUUCAAUGUCAAACUCUCUAGAAAAAAAAAAAAAAAAUCCAAGGUCCCUAAAACCUAGAACUAAGAGAGUUUAGAUAAUAUCAUCAAUUACCUAACAUGUGCCACACUCUCAUUGGCCACUUAUUACAAAAAUAAUUACCUAAAAAUGAUUAAAAAUUAAUAAAAUGGUGAUUUCUAGCAGUGUGUGGGGUCCAUUUAGGGGUGAUGGAGUGUCUUAGAUGCAAUUUCCAAGGUAGAGGAGGUGAAACAUCAAAGUGGCAGUGGGUGAAUUUGAAAUUGGUGUCAUUUUGAUGUGGAUUUUGAAUUCAUAAGUUGAAUUUCGAAAUCAUUUCGAAAUGACCCUUUAGAUUUGUGUAGUCGUCUUCAAAUAACCAUAACUUCUUCAUUUCAGCUUCAAUUUGCACACUGUUUGAAGUGUUGGACUCCUGACCUCCCAAGCUUCAAAAAAAUAUAUUGUAUGCAUAAAAUGGGCUCCAGAAAAUGCUCCAAAUUUAUCCUCAAAGUCAGAGUAUAUAUUACCAUCAGAUUUUUGAGUUCUAGAUUUCCAUGUAGCUGAAUCUUGCUUCAUGCCUCAAUUCCUAUGUUUUCUUGCCUUCUUUCUUACUCCAUUAUGAUCAUUUCUCAUAUUCCAAACUCAUGAUAUCCUCGUCUUGCCUUUCCUCAUGGUCCAUGAGUCAUGACUCACCUAUUUCUUCAUUUAACCCUUUCUUGAUCUUUCAAAAUCUAAAGUGAUUCAACUUGCACCAUUUUCUUCCCUUGAACCUGAGAUAAGUCUCCAAAGUACAAAUAAAACUCCUGGCUAGGUCCUUAGCAUUAAUUUAGGUCAAGUUGGGUGAUUUGAAUGUUCUUUGGUGCACAAAUCAUAUCAAAUAUGUGUCAUUAGAGCACAUAUUUUGGCUCCAAUCAUCCCCCUCAACUAAACUUUGCUAGUCCCUAGCAAAUGAAAAGAGUAAAGAAAAAAAUUAAAAAUAUGUAAUGAGAUUCAUGAAACCAUAUUGACUCAACAUAACAUAUUUCACACACAAGAUACCCAAGUAGUCAAAUUUCUUAGAAUUGAGCAAAAUGAAACAAGAUAUGCAAUUUUUUAGUUUUCUCACCUUAUCUUCGUAUACAUAAAUGUGCAUCCACGUUUAGCAUUCCCCUUAGUGUCUCUUGAUUUUCCCCUGAUUAGUUUUUUCCACCUAAACCUCAUGUGCUUAAUUUUGGUUUCCUCUCACAGUAUUUUUCUUUAGACUUUUCUUAAACUCAAACUUCAUCAUUCUUUAAGUUAAAGAGGGGGGGAAAUUUAUUUUGAUUUUUCUUUCUUAGUUUAGGAAAUCUCCUUCUAUAUGGCUUAAUAGGGAUCCACCGGCAACUCCUAAGUUUUCACCCAUGGUACCAGGUAUUGGGAACCUUUAUAGGCUACUUACUCCUCAGGUAUUACCCUAGCUCUAGAUAGAACAAGGUCGAAUUUCCUAAACAUUUAUUUAUUUUUAUUUUUCAAAACUGAGUUUAACUUAUGUUACAAGCAAGAUACUGAUGACUCUUAACCAGUCGGUUUCGGGCACCAGGGCUUGAAGACACAAGGCCAUUACCCCCUCAAAUAAUUUCUCAAGCUUAAAUCAAUCAUUUUCAAUUUUCUUUUCAUCAAUUUGUUUUUUUUUUUUUCAUUUCCUCCUUUUAUUAGUUAAGAACAACUCCUUUUAAUCUAAAGAAAUUAUCUUAAUCAAGAUACCAUAAAGGAAUAUGUGCUUUGUGUGUGCUUUGAGUCUUAAAUAGAAAAUAACCAUAAAAAUAAAAUAAAAUAAAAUUUUGAAGGUAUUCCAAGGAUUCAACCUAAUUAUUUUUGUACUUAAAGGUAUAUAAAGAUAAGGUAAGUGAACUAAUAUUCUUGCUCUAACUGUAUUUUUUCUCAAAUUCUAAAGAAAUAAUACUACUUAAAGCAUUCUCAUGCAAAAUAAACCAUGAGUUACCAAGGCAAAUCAAGAAUCUCAUUAACUAACCAAAGAUAACAUGCAAACUUUUGAAAAAAAAAUUAGGGCUAAUAGACCUUCCCCCCUCAACCUAAAUUACACAUUGUCCCCAAUGUGUAGGAUAUUGGGUCAAAAGAAAGGAAAAAUGGAGAUGUUAUCUCAAGAUCAUCGAGUGAGAAGUUUGUUAUGAGGACUUCAUAUAAACUAGUCUUGCACAAAAGCAACAAGAUUAGUGGCAAAAGUAUGCAUAGAGAAAAAUAUAAAUGGUGAUCUAAAAGAGAGUAUAAGAGUAUCAGUAUGCUCCAAAAAUACCAUAGUGUAUACAAUUAUAUCGAAUAAGGUAUAUAUAGAAAUGAACAUCAAGCACCAAUGAUAGGAUCAACAACUCCAUCUAUCCCCUCCAACACAUGGGUGGCUACCUAGUCAAUAUCCUCCAAUAUAGGUGUAGUAGCUAAUUAGUGAUCUCCACGAUAGGUGUAACGGCCUCGCCAACAACCUGUACCAUAGGGGGGUCAUCCUUAAUAAUGAUGUCCACACUAGUGUCAGUAGUAUGAAUGAAGAUCUCACCAUCGACCUAUCCUGCAGAAUCUGGAAUAUCAAUAGUUGAGGUAAAAAUCUUAGUUGCGGCAUCACUUGAUGUUUGUAAAAUAGGCAUGGUCUCAUGGGCUACUGUCGGUGCUCUAGUGUUAGAGCCAGAAUCAAUCACCUCUGUAGUGUUGCCAUCAACCUCUAAGUUGGUAUCAAUUGGUGUAAUAAAAUCUCCCCUCUGUCUAGAUGGAAUAAUCAAAGAAGUGACCUAUUGUACACAAAAAGUGAGGUCAUCCAUCUAAGUCUCCAUCUUACUUAAGCGAGCAUCAAUGCGAGAGUCCAUGGACACAAAUAACUUUUGAAGUGUGUCUAGACGAGCCAUGAUUGAUAAGGUACUCAGGGUAGCAUCAACAACCUGAGGCAGUGAAGGUUUAAGAAGAUCAAAGGUUGGUAAUGCUAGUGUAGAAAUAGGAAUAUAUAGCAGGCUCUAAGACACAUGAAAGAGGUGGUGGAAGAGGAAUAGGAAGCACUGGUAAGCUCGUGUCAAAAGUAGGAGUAGGUGGAAGCGGGCUCUCUAUAGUAGAUGGAAGUGGAACAACAUGCAAAGCUCUCUUUCUCUUAGCGCCAUAGGUAAUCAACUAUGACCCUGAAUGAAUUGUUUGACCCACUGAUUGAUAACAUAAGUGUGAGAAGUCAUGCGAUGAUCAGACUUAGGUAACUGGCAUCCAUGACGGAGCAAGUAGUAUGAGAGCAACUGAGGCAAAGGAAUAAGAUAACUUUGAGCUAAAGAUAAUUGUUUCUCCUUAACCUUUUGAAAAAAAUAAAAGAUGGUAUCCAUGAUGAGUUGAGGUGGACUCCACCACUUGCCUGUGUACAUGUGAUAUAACCCCUAUAAGACUAAACCAGAACACUUUAUAGAGUGUCCAAAUGGAAAAUGUUGGUCUUAAUGACCUGAUCCACAAACCAUAAGAUCUAUGGCAUCUCAAGGUGAGUGAUGGCUGAACGAUAACAAGUAUCCCGAGGUGCUAAUAUAUGUGCAAUCCUCGAAAAAGCUGGUUGUGAUUGAGGUGAAAAUUGGGCUUCAAGAGGAGCAGAUGAUGGUAAACCAAAGGUUGCAACAAUGGUCUCAGUGGAAAUAAUAUCAAUUCAUCUAUUGAUAGAAAUAUGGAGCUCUCGGUAUCUCCCUCUCCAAUCCUCGAGAGUAGAGAAGAACUCUCUUACACUAGCGACAUAAAAAUAUGGCGGAGGAUCCAUCAAUAAGAGAAAAUAAUAUCGGUCAAGGAGAUGCAUGGACUAUGUAGUGGGCUAGUAAGUACUAAAUGCCUUUAUUUCAUAAGAGAACUCUUGAUCAAACUUCAGUUAAGAUAGGUCCACCCUAGGGGCAUCAUCACAAACUAUUAGAGAUGGAGGACGUGUUGGGCUCAGAGUAGGAGGAGCUGCCCAUGGAUGUGGAGGAGUGGUAGUAAGCUUGGUGGUCUUAAGAGUGGUUGAGUGAUCAAAAUGAGCCUUUGUCUUGGCUUUGACAUGCUUGGCUUGACGAGUGACAUGCCUCUCAGUAGGCUCAAUAAUCAUUCCACCACUUCGACUUUGGACAAGAGGUCGGGCAUGUUUUUGCCUUGGAGAAUGCUUAGUCUCAUUGUCACUUUGAAUAACAACUUUCCUUUUAUAUUAAGCCAUCUGAAAUAAAUGUCAAAAAAUAAACUAAACUUAAAAAAGGGAAAUAAAUAAAUAGAAAUAAAUACAAAAACUCAUAAGGGUUAAGAAAACAAUCUAAAAAAAAAAAUUGGAUGCUCAUGAAAUUUAUGGAUUCAUAUGAAACGGUGGUAGACCAUUCCUAAAAUGCGGGAGAACAUUCAAGGUGUCCAACAAUGAUGAAAACAUGAGUCUUUGAAGCCUUAGAUAUAAUCCAAACAAUACCUAAGUUCAAAUAUCAUGUGACAAGGAAAUCAAAGUGAUUGGUUAGCUUAGGAGAAUGUGUAGAACAAAUAGAAAAAUCUACUAGAGAGUUUAAAAUGUUCUAGAGCAUAUAAAACAUAAAUUAGGCAACAAUUAUGCAAAACUCAUGGAAAAAUAAGAACUUUGCUCUCAAAGUAUUCUAAGAUGUUCAACAAGCCCUAAGAAUCAUGUAGAAAAAAUUUCAAAAUUUUUCUCCAAGUAUAAACCAAAAAUUCUAACACCUUGAAUUUCCAAGCAAAACAAAUGAACGUUGUGUAAUCAAAAUCAAUCUUGUUGAGUUACGUUCAAAUUUUCGGGGGUCGAGCUCCCCGCUAAGCUUGUGGGGGUCGGGGGGCAGCACCCUCUAGAAUUGUUUUUUCAUUAUAUUUAUUAUUUUUUUUUAUCUACCCAACAGAAACAAUAGAAACCCUAAACAAUGUUAUUGAGAGUUUGGUCACACUGCAUUUUAUAUGGAGCAACACCACACAAUGAAACCAUAAAGAUCAAGGAAAAUCCAUGAAAAAUAAACAAGAAAUGAGUAUGAGUGUAAUGCGUACCUGGAAUGUGACAAACCCAUAAUGAACCCUUAAAUCACCUUCAAUGGAAGCUAGGACAAUGAACAAGGGAAGAAUAAACAAGGGGAAGAGGAGAUAAAGUGGUCUAGAAGUGGAAAUGGCCUUUUGUAAAGGAGUUUGGUUGAUUUCGGAGUGAACUCGAAAUAGAAAUUAAGUAUUUUGAAUUGGAACUUUGGUUAAGAAAAGUCAUUUUGAAAUUUAACUAUUGAAUUCAAAAAUAACCUUAUUUUGAAUUCGUUAAUUAAUGGUAAAAAAAUGCCCAUUUUAAAAUGUAACCAUUGGAUUCGAACACUAUCCUAUUUCCAAAUGGCUCACUAUAUACAAAAACAUUUCAAACACCUCAUUUCGAAAUGAAAAAAAAAAAAUCAUUUCUAAAUUGGGCAAAUUUCGAAUUCACCUUCUGAACUUAAAAAAUCUCAAUUCUAAAGCAAAAGUUUCAAUUUUGAAAAGCCCACCAUUUCAAAUUUGCUAAAUGUAGCCUCAAUACAGUGUAAAAAACCUGUUUCAAAAUUCCACUAAUGAUUUCGAAAAUAGCUUCAUUUCAAAAUGGCUCACUGUUGAUUCCAACUUCUAUUUCGAAAUAGCAAUCUUUUUUAUUUCAAAUUUGACGUCAUUUCGAAAUAACCCACUAUGGGUGUUGAAGUCCAUCUUAAAGCAUCAAAAUUGCUCAUUUCGAAAUUCAAAAUUCAUUGUAUUUCAAACUUGUUUUUUGUGAGUUCAAAACACCUAUUUCAACAUUUACUAGUGAUUUCAAAAUCAAUCUCAAUUCAAAUUCACUUUCUAUAUAUUUAAAAUUGCAAUUCCAAGACAAAAAAUUUGAAUUCGAAAGGAUCAUAAUAUUGAAAUCACCCAUUACUGGUCUUCAAAAGUGUCAUCUCCAUUUGAGAUUUCAAAUUCAAAAAUAAAGGAAUUUUGAAUUCAUCCACUAUACCUUUAGCCCUUUAUCAUAAAAAUUUAGGAUUUCUUUCCCAAGGGCUACUCAGUUUUGUAUUUCAUCCUUUGUUUUCAAAGUUCACCAAUGAUCCUCACAAGUAAAUUUUUGGGAGGCCUAUGGUCUUAAAUAUAGAUCAACGUACUUGUAGGAGCUUUGCCACCUUGAACACUUAUGAGGCUUACCUUUUCACUACAUUGAAGUUCACAUUUACCUAUAUCACUUGGAUGUUUGCAAGCUAAGUUGCUACAACUCAUAAACUCAUUAGUAAGUUAAAGACAACUUAAAAAAAUACUAACCAUAUUUCUAAUGACUAAUUGAAAAUGAAAAACUAAACAAAGGAAAAUAAAUAAAAUAAAACAAAAUAAAAGAGAAAUUAAAUAAAUAAAAGUUUUACCUAAAUUUAAUUUUUACCUACUAGAUUUUCAGAAAAUACUUCAACCCUUUUGAACAUUCCCAUAAAGAAAAUGGAGAUUCUCCUCUAAUGUCUCAAAUCUUUCAAUGAAAUGCUUUAAGCGCUGACCACUAACUUUGAAUUCAUUACCAUUCCUCAGAUUUCGAAUGGUCACGAUGCCAUAAGGGAAGACUUCCUUUACCACAUAAGGGCCAUUCCACCUUGACCUAAGCUUUCUUGGAAAAAUGUGACGCUUAGAGUCGUACAACAACACCUUUUCAUCUUGCUUUAACUUCAUUCAUAAAAUAAGUUUGUCAUGGUAGAAUUUGUGUGUUUCCCUUGCAUUACGUAAGCAUUCAUAAUUCUAAUUUUGAUAUGCCUCAAGUUCAUUCAAAUCAUAUUUCCUUUUAGCUCCAGUUUGAUCCAAAUCAAAGUUCAUUUUUUUAUAGCCCAAUAUGCACGAAGUUUGAGCUCUAUAGGCAAAUGACAUGAUUUACCAUAAACAGUCUGAUACGGUGACAUGCCAAAGAUAGUCUUAUAGGUUGUCCUAUAUGCCCGAAGUGCAUCACUCAACUUGGUAGACCAAUCUUUUCUUGUAGUAUUGACUACUUUGGUAAGGAUUCUCUUAAUCUUUCGAUUUGCUAGCUCAGCUUGCCCAUUUGUUUGAGGGUGAUAUGGGUGGACACUUUAUGCCUCACUCCGUAUUUCUGAAAAAGAGUGGAAAAAGGGCUUGUUACAAAAGUGUGAACCUCCAUCACUAAUGAUUGCUCUCAGAAUGUCAAACCUAGAGAAAAUAUUCUCCUUUAAAAAUUUGAGCACCACUUUGUGAUCAUUGCUCUUGCAUGCCACUGCUUUUACCCAUUUAGAAACAUAAUCCACUCCCACCAAAAUAUAGAGAUUACCAAAAGAAUGAGGGAAUGGUCCCAUAAAGUCAAGGCCCCAACAAUCAAAGACCUCAACAACACAAAUAUAAUUUUUUGGCAUUUGAUACUUUGUGUUGAUUUUCUCCAGUUGUUGACAUUGUGGACAACUUCUGCAGUGAGUGUUACAAUCCUUGAACAUAGUUUUCCUAUAGAAUCCACUCUGUAGAAUUUUUUCCUAAGUCUUCCGUAGACCAAAAUGACCUUCACAAGCUCUCUCAUGGCACAUUCGCAACAUGUUUUGUUGUCCAUCCUCUGGAACACAUCUUUGAAUAAUUUGAUUUGGACAAAACUUAUACAAAUAUGGAUCAUCCCAAGCAUAGUGUUUUGCUCACCAACAAUCAAAGACCUCAACAACACAAAUAUAAUUUUUUGGCAUUUGAUACUUUGUGUUGAUUUUCUCCAGUUGUUGACAUUGUGGACAACUUCUGCAGUGAGUGUUACAAUCCUUGAACAUAUUUGGCCUAUAGAAUCCACUCUGUAGAAUUUUUUCCUAAGUAUUUUGUAGAGCAAAAUGACCUCCUGAUUCGCUUGUAACUCCAAAUGGGUCAUUUAAUCAAAAACAUUUAUAAAACCUAUGACCUCAUACUAAUGUAGUAAAGCUACUAUAGUAUAGUGGCUCUAGGGUCGAACUCUGGGAUGGGUUUUCAUUCUACCAGUGAUGUAUUCAAAAUUAGAAAUUGUAUUUAAUGAUUUCCUUUAUCAAAAACUUAAAGUUUAAAAGAAAAUAAAAUUUGAUUUGAAAGUGUUUAAAACUAAACUAACAUAAACUAAUUAAAAAUGGAAGAAAGAAAGUCUCCCGGAGCUAAGGGUUGCUAGGAUCAAGUUCAGAAUAGAAAGUGGAAAAUUCCGGAUUUUUCUCCUCGCAUUGGGGAUUUAACCUAUAGUUAUUUCCCGAACCGGUAUAGGUUUGACAAUGAAGAUUUAAUCCAUAAAAGAUCAAUAGAAAUGGUAGUCAAGGUCCAUUAAUGGCUUAAGACACUAUGGGUCUUCACCUUGAAUCACUUUCCAAUGACUCGUACAUGAUAACUAAUGGACUAAUAUGGAUCUAGCAAUAAGCAUCCAUAAAGACCUGAAGCUUACCAUGUAUUGAUCAUUCAAAGUGAUUCUAAGGGGUUUAAAGUAAAACUUUGGAUUUAGAAGCCGUUUAUGAAUUCCAACUACCUGAAUUUAAUGCAUGGAAGCUUUCCACCUUUUCAUCUGGACUUUUCACCUAGCUUCCUUUACUCCAAGAAACCGAAAGUUUAGCCUCUCAUCCUCCGGGCAAACAUCCUUAGAGGUUGUUUGGCUUCCAAGAAAAGGAAAAUAAUAAAGAGCAAAGAGAACGAGAGAGCUCUGUAAAAUUCUCAGUGUAAAAACGUAAUACGUAUUCCAUAUAUUCCAAGAGAUGAUUUCCACCCCUUAUAAAGUCUUUACAAAAGCUAAAGCUUAUGAUUGGUUAAUUACAAGGAUAAUAAAGGAAAUUACAUCACAAAAUACAAAGGAAAAUAUCUAAAGUGGAGUCGGCAAAGGGCAGAGCAAAAUUCGCAACACGCAUAGGUUAUGCGAACCAUAUGCGAAUGUUAUGCGAAUUUCGCAUAACCUCUUGUGGAAUGCGAAAUUUUCGCAUAUGCUAGAGCAGUUGGCUUCCGAAGGCCAUAUCUUCCUCAUUUCAGCUCCAAAUCGUACAUGGUUUGAAGUGUUGGAUUCUUGACUUCCAGAGCUUUGAAAUGGUAUAUAGCAUGUAAAAAAUGGACUUCGGGAAUUGCUCCAAAAGUGUGAAAGAAGACUGCAGCUGCUACAUCUUGAUUUUUUUUCACUUUGCUUCUCUUUGCUUCUCUCCUUUGCUUGACUUGUCUUAAUGAUCCAAAAAGCUGUCAAAACAUUAAAACUAGCCACAAAUAUGAUUAGAAGACAUUGCUAGGUCCUUAACAUGCCAAUUGGACUAAAGAUGGAGAACUACUACACAAAAGUGCUUAAAACAUAAUGCAUUAAAGGUGUAAAAUAGCACUUUUUGGGUAGUAAUCACCUCCACAAGCUCUCUCAUGGCACAUUCGCAACAUGUUUUGUUGUCCAUCCUAUGGAACACAUCUCCGAAUAAUUUGAUUUGGACAAAACUUAUACAAAUAUGGAUCAUCCCAAGCAUAGUGUUUUGCUCAAGAAAGAAAAUACUUUUCAUCUCCAUGUUCCAUUCUGAGGGAAGCUCUCUAGUUGCCAAGUAGUUGACUAUAUUUGCAAACCAAGGAAACUUCUCCACUGCACAAAGUGCAUCAUCAAGAAACUCAUCAUUAAUCUAUGCUUCGUCAAAAAGUGACUCUACUUUAACUCAAGAGAGAUGAUCAGCAACCACAUUCUUUACCCCUUGCUUAUCCUUGAUUUGCAUGUUAAAUUCUUGAAGAAGAAGGAUCCAUAUGACAAGUCUUGUUUUGACAUCCUUUUUGUUGAGUACAUAUUUCAAGGCCGAAUAAUUAGUAAAAAUUACUAUUGAAGUUCCCAAAAGGUAGUUCCUGAAUUUAUCAAGUGCGAACACCACUGCAAGGAGCUCCUUUUUAGUAGUUGUGUAGUUCUUCUGAGCAUCAUUGAGGGUCUUACUAGCAUAGUACACCCUAUAUGGUUUUCCAUCCUCCCUUUGACCUAGUACGACUCUCACUGCAUAGUGACUGGCAUCACACAUCAACUCAAAUGGAAGAGACCAAUUGGGAGGUCUCACAAUUGCGGUAGUAGUGAGAAGUGACUUUAGUCUCUCAAAAGUUUCUUGACAUGCUUUAGUCCAUAUAAAUUCUGCAUCCUUAAGUAACAAAGCAUAAAGAGGUUGAGAGAUUUUUUAGAAGUCCUAUAUGAACCUUCUAUAAAAAUCUGCAUGCCCCAAAAAUAGUAUAAUUCACAUGUUUAUUUUAUUUUAAAAAUUAAUUGGAUAAUUAGUUUUGGUAUAAUUUUUGUUAAUUUUAUUUUAAAGAUUCUUUGUAUGAUUAAUUUGUAUAAUUUUUGUUAGUUUAAUUUUAAAAAUUCAUUAGAUGGUUAAUUUGUAUAAUUCAUAUGUUAGUUUUAUUUUAAAAAUUAAUUAGAUGAUUAGUUCAAGCAUAAUUUUUGUUAAUUUUAUUUAAAAAAUUCUUUGUAUGAUUAAUUUCUAUAAUUUUUCUUAGUUUUAUUUUAAUGAGAUUGAUUACCAGUUUAAGAUUUGGCUUUUUAAUCCUUCCUACUCCUUAUAGCUUUGUUUUGGGGCAAAUAAAGAUAAGGAAGACGAGGAUAACUAAUGAUCAAGAAUUACCAAGAAUCACUAGUAUCGGGUAAUAACCUACUGUAUCAUUCCCUAAACUAACUCACAAUGAUAGGAUUAAAAAAAAUGAUAAAUUGUCACCCAACCAAUAAUUAAUCUCAUUGUUAUAAUAAUUUACCCAUUGUCCCUAUAGGUUUCCUAGCCCUUAGGUUUUCAUGCUUUAAGCCCCAAGUUGGCUCUUAACCUCUCAUGGGGGUGAUGUCACAUUCACAAUCCAUAAUAUGGUAAAAAUCCAUAAUUUGAAUCAAAAUAACCUAAAACAACAUAUUUAAUAAAGAAGAGAAAGAAAACAAACCAAAGUUCUUAUCUUCUUCCACCUUCAAUGUCAAACUCCCUAGAAAAAAAAUCCAAGAUUCCUAAGACCUAGAACUAAGAGAGUUUAUAUAAGAUCAUCAAUUACCUAACAUGUGGCACACUCUCAUUGGCCACUUAUUACAAAAAUAAUUACCUAAAAGUGAUUAAAAAAAUUAAAUGGGGAUUUCUAGUCGUGUAGGGUCCACUUAGGGAGGAUGGAAUGCCCUAUAUGCAAUUCCCAAGGUAGAGGAGGCAAAACAUCAAAGUGGCAAUGGGUGCAUUCGAAAUUGGAGUCAUUUUGAUGUGGAUUUCGAAUUCAUAAGUUGAAUUUUGAAAUUAUUUCGAAAUGACCCUUAAGCUUUGUGUAGUUGUUUUCAAAUGGCCAUAACUUCUUCAUUUCAGCUCCAAUUUGCACAUUGUUUGAAGCAUUGGAAUCAUAACCUCCCAAGCUUUGAAAUAAUAUAUCGUUUAAAUAUAAAAUGAACUCUGAGAAAUGCUCCAAAUUUGUCCGCAAAGUUGGAGUAUAUAUUACCAUUAGAUUUUUGAGUUUUAAAUUUCCAUGUAGCUGAAUCUUGCUUCAUGCCUAAUUUCUUAUGUUUUCUUUCCUUCUUUCUUACUCGAUAAUGGUCAUUUCUCAUAUUCCAAACUCAUGAUAUCCUUAUCUUGCCUUUCCUCAUGGUCCAUGAGUCCUGACUCACUUAUUUCCUCAUUGAACCCUUUAUUAAUCUUUCAAAAUCUAAAGUGAUUUAACUUGCACCCUUUUCUUCCCUUGAAUCUGAGAUAAGUCUCCAAAGUACAAAUUAAACUCAUGACUAGGGCCUUAGCAUCGACUUAGGUCAGGUUGGGUGAUUUGAAUGUCCUUUGGUGCAUAUAUCAUAUUGAAUAUGUGCCAUUAUAGCACAUAUUUUGGCUCCAAUCAAGCUUACCUGCCAAAUUCUGCAUGCCAAACAUUGAGUGAUAGAAUGGAGUGGGUUGUCCGAAGAUUCAUUUGAGGCUCUAUAGUAUAUUUGUGAGAGCACACAGAUUAGAUGAUAUGUAGUUGGUUGCUCUCUUCCCUAUGUCAUUUAGUUGAGUAGCAUAGAGGUGGCUGGCCUCAAUUAAGCAUUCGAGACUCUACACUUGGGAGGAUGUGGCCUAUGAGUUUUUGACACUGUUUGCCUUUAGUGCCGAUAUUGAUUUUUUUUUUUUUUUUACCAAACAAAGCGUCGAGAAUGUUACUUAACCAUCCCUAUAGUAAAAGCAAAAUUUGUUGCUUUUAGUGCUGAUAAUGAUGUUUCUAGGCGAGAGUUAGAGGCUACUAAGUAGAGGCCAAAUGAAUCUGUUUCUUCAUUUAUUAGUCAUUAGAGGGCUAAGGUGGUUGGUAUGAUAGAUUGACUAAAGGAGUAAGAUAGGAUUAACGUGCUUCUUUGGAAACUUCAGCCGAGGUUUGCCAAACAUCUUGUAGGUAUUCCAUUUGAAGACUUAUGAAGUUUGGUUCAAGUCGCUUUUAGUGUUGAGGAGAGUAUUGCUAGAGGGUUAUAGAAAAACAUUAUUCCUUCCUUAGAUAAUAAAGGAAAGAAGCCUGUAGAGGUUAGCACUAUCAGUUAUCAUCAUCAAGGUCAGUUUAUCAAUCAUACCAAAGGUCUCCUACAAUCAGAGCCCACUUUCCUCAUCCUUUGUGCCAAUAUUAGUCCACCUAUAUUCAACAACCUUUCAUUACUCGGACCAGUAUGCAACCACGACUUCCAUAUCCUAGAGGCAUUGGUUCUCAAUCAUUACUCAUGUUCCCACUCAUAUUUUUUACACACGUGAUCUUUAUCGAAGAGGGACAUAUUUGUAGACCCUCCAUUCUAUCUCCUUAAUAGAUGCCCUAUUAAGUGUUCUUUCAAUACUCCACAAUGGUUCCCUAGUGGCUCUUUGCUGCCCAUAUAGCCUACCUAUUUUAGCCACCUUGGAGGCUUUGGUUAAGGAAUUUAUUUGACCCCUUAUUUUGACCCUUGGCAGAAUCGAGUUAGAUUUAGGUUUUUCUUUUUUCUUUUUAGGAUAGUUCCUUUAAGUACAUUUCUAGGAUAGAAUACUUAGGCAUCAUUUUUCGAUCACCUUGGCCCAUUUAGACACUUUUGGCCAAUUUAGGCACAUCCGACCCAUUUAGGAUCACCCUAACCCAUUUAGAUACAUCUGGCCUAUUGAGAUCACCUUGACCGAUUCAGACACUUAGGUACAUCUAACUCAUUUAGGUCACCUUGGCCCAUUUAGACACACAUAGGCCCAUUUAGGCGCAUCCGACUCAUAUAGGAUCACCCUAGCCUAUUUAGACACAGCCAACCUAUUUAGGAUGACCUUGUCUCAUUUAGACACAUUUGUCCUAUUUAGGAUUACCUAGACCCAUUUAGGCACAUUCAACCCAUUUUGGUCAUCCUAGCCCAUUUAGACCACUUAGGCCCAUUUAGGCACAUUAGGCACAUUGGACCCAUUUAGGAUUACCCUGGCCUACUUAGGCACGCCUUAACCCAUUUAGGUCACUUGGCCCAUCUAGGCACAUUUGGCCCAUUUAGGAUGACCUAUGCCAAUUUAGGCACAUUCAACCCAUUUAGGUUGCCUUGGCCCAUUUAGAAACACCCAAGCCUAUUUAGGUCACUUAGGCCCAUUUAGGCACACCUUGGCCUAUUUAGGUCACUUAGGUCCAUUUAGGCGCAUUCGACCCAUUUUGGAUCAACCUGACCCAUUUAGGUAUAUUUGGCCCAUUUAGGAUCAUCGUGGCUCAUUUAAACACACCCUGGCCCAUUUAGGUCAUUUAGGUCCACUUAAGAACACAUUAACCCAUUUAGGUCACUUAGGCCCAUUUGACCCAUUUAGGAUCACCCCCAGCCCAUUUAGACAUACCCAAGCCCAUUGAGGUGACUUAGGUCAAUUUAGGCACAUUUGGUCCAUUUAGACACUUUGGGCCCAUUUAGGAUCAUCUAGGCCCAUUUAGGCACAUCCAACCCAUUUAAGAUCACCCUAGCCCAUUUAGACACAUUCGACCCAUUUAGGAUCGUCUUGGCCUAUUGUAGCACAUUUGGCCCAUUUAUGAUCACCAUGGCACAUUGGGCCCAUUUAGGGUCACUUAAGCCCAUCUAGGCACACCCUAAGCCCAUUUAGGUCACCCGUUGUUUCACUUCUUAUUGCAUGGUUUGCGUGAUUGCAUUGUUGAACUUCCUUGCAUGGCUUGCAUGACACUUUGUUUUUUUUUUUUGUUAUUAUUAAUUACUUCUUUAUUUUUAUUUAUUAUCUUUCUAUUUAUUUAUUUAUUAUUUACUUAUUUAUCUAUUAUUAUUUCAGCAUUUUCUAAAUUAUUUUUAAAUACUAUUCAUUUGUUCAAUCUAAUUUUAUUUUUGUGUUUUUGUAGGGAAAUUUACCAAAGAGAGAGCCAACGGAGAUGGAAAGUAAGAAUCACCAAAAUGAAAAAGGAAGAUAAUGGCGAAAGAGAGUAAUACUUACCAAAAAGAGAGGGGAUUGUGAGUUGCAUUAUAAAAGUAUGGAGAACACAAUUUGGGAAGUUUAUCAAAGAGAGAGCCAAUGGAGGUGUAAAACAAGAAUUACCAAAGUGAAAAAGGAAGACAAAGCGACAGAUAGUAAAACUUACCAAGAGAAGAGGGGAUUGAGGGUUGCAUUAUGAAAAUAUGGAGAACAUGUUUUGGUACUGAGAAAUUCAACACAUGGAGAAGGUUUUGGAGUAAGGAGAGGAAGGAUUUCGUCAAGGUGGAAUUUUAAGAAAAAAGGAUAUUCAAUGUGGUAGGAAGGAAUGUUUAGCAUAUUAAGGAAGAAUGUGGGGAUAGGUAGGGGGGAAGAAGAAUAAUUGCAAUUUGUUUUUUUUUUUUUGGUAGAGAGAACACUUUGGCAAAUUUUUGGGAGGUUCAACGUGCAUGUACAAUAAGAUCUCUUGAAAGAGCACGUAUAGAAGAGGGCACAAAUUUUUUUAGGAGACAAUUAGUUGCAUCUUAAAAGGGAAUUGAAGGUAAAUAUUGAUGAUGAUAUUGAUUUUAUUAGUUUCGAAAAUAUUGAUAUUAGUUUCAUGAAUAUGGAUGUUUUAGUUUAGAUAGAUAUUGAUGUUUUAGUUUUGAAAAUAUUGAUGUUUGCUAAGAUGUUUUGAUUUGGAUAAAUUUUGACAUUUUAGUUUUGAUAAAUAUUGAAGUCUUGGAUGUAUUUGCAUGUUGGUUAUAUUAAAAAAAAAAAAAAUUCCAAAAGUUUAGUUUUCAUGAAAUUGAUUGUUAGUUAUUUCUAUAAAAAAUAAAAAUAAAAAUAAAAAUAAACAUAAAUCUUGGAAUGUAAUUUUGAUUAAAUUAAUUGUUAGUUGUUUUUUUUUUAAAAAAAAUAUAUAUAUAAAUUCUUGGAAUGUUCAUUUGAAUAUUUUUUUGUUAAUUUUGUUUUAAAAAUUUAUUGGAUGAUUAGUUUGGGUAUAAUUUGUAUGUUAAUUUUAUUUUAAAAUUUCAUUGGAUGAGUAAUUUGUAUAAUUUACAUGUUAGUUUUAUUUUAAAAAUUCAUUGGAUGAUUAAUUUGUAUAAUUCACAUGUUAGUUUUAUUUUAAAAAUUAAUUGGAUGAUUAGUUCAAGUAUAAUUUUUGUUUGUUUUAUUUAAAAAAUUAAUUUGAUAAUUAGUUGAAGUACAAUUUUUGUUAGUUUUAUUUUAAAAAUUCAUUGGAUGAUUAAUUUGAAUAAUUUUUAAAUUAAUUUUAUUUUUCUAAAUUCAUUGGAUGAUUAGUUCGGGUAUAAUUAGCUUGUUUAUUAUAUUUUAAAAUUUUAUUAGAUGAUUAAUUUGUAUAAUUCACAUGUUUGUUUUAUUUUAAAAAUUAAUUGGAUGAUUAGUUUUGGUAUAAUUCUUGUUAAUUUUAUUUUAAAGAUUCUUUGUAUGAUUAAUUUGUAUAAUUUUUGUUAGUUUAAUUUUAAAUAUUCAUUAGAUGAUUAAUUUGUAUAAUUCGCAUGUUAGUUUUAUUUUAAAAAUUAAUUAGAUGAUUAGUUCAAGUGUAAUUUUUGUUAAUUUUAUUUUAAAAAUUCUUUGUAUGAUUAAUUUGUAUAAUUUUUCUUAGUUUUAUUUUAAAAAUCAAUUGGAUGAUUAAUUUGGGUAUAAUUUUUGUUAAUAUUUUUAGAAAUUAAUUGGAUGAUUAAUUUGUAUAAUUUACAUGUUAAUUUAAUUUUAAAAAUUCAGUGGAUAUUUAAUUCAUAUAAUUUGCAUGUUAGUUUUAUUUUAAAAAUCCAUUAGAUGAUUAAUUUGUAUAAUUCACAUGUUAUUUUUAUGGGAUGAUUAGUUUGGUUAUAAUUCACAUGCUGGUAUUAAUUUAAAAAUUCAUUGGAUGAUUAUUUUGAGCAUAAUUUUUGUAAAUUUUAUUGGAUGAUUGGUUUGUAUAAUUUUAAUGUUAGUAGAGUUUAAAAUUUUAUUGAAUGAUUGCUAGGUUAAAUUCCCAUGUUGAAUGUGUUUUAAAAACUCGUUAAAAAAAUUAAAUAAAAAUUCUUUGAAUGUUUAUUAGGUUAAAUUCUCAUGUGGGCAUUAUUAUUAUUAUUAUUAUUUCAAAGAUAAAAAAACAAAAAAAUCAUUUAAUGCCAUAUUUGGUUGAAUUUUCAUGUCAAUAGUUUUUUUUUAUUAAAAAAAAAAUUGUUGAAGUUUGUUAGUUUAAACGUUUAUGUUAAUAUAUUUUUAAAAUUCAUAGGAUGUUGUUGGCAUAAUUCUUAGUUGCCCUUAUCUUGAUACUUAUUGUGUUUGUUCCUUGAAGAAUUCUUAUAUUUGAUUUAAAAAAAAAAUCGAAUUGAAAAUUACUUUUUGAAAAAAAAAAAAGGAGAAAAGAAAAAAAUUGAAUUUUUUCCAUAUUGAACGAGGCUUCUUGAUUUCAAAUGGAAGACAAUAAAAAAGAAAUAAAAAUCCUUAUUGUGUAUAUAUUGUUUGAGGUUUACUAAUUCACUUGAUCCUUUUUUUCUUCUUUGAAAAAGAAAAAACCAUCUUCAAAAGUAUUUAAACCGUCAAAAGGAUUUGGAAACAAAUACUCAUUCUAGGUUUAAGGACCAUAUUUUAUUUUCAAAUCAUGCAUUCUACUAUUUUAUUUUCAUCUAAGCUGCAUUCUACUUUUUUUUUUUUCUUCCAAAAUGUUGUUUUUUAUUCCACAUAGAUUUGAAUGUAUUAGAUAAUUUUGAAGAUGGCCACCUAACACAUGCGACCCAUCUCUAAAACCUUUCUAAAAUAAGAAAGUCAUCCAAGAAAAUAAAAAUAAUAUAAGAAAAAGGCAAAGUUGUUGCCUUUUUUUUUUUUUUUUUUUUUUUUUUGGGCCUGUAUUUAUUUAUUAAUUUAUUUUUGUCAAUCUCCUACAAGAUCAUAUCCCACUUACCCCCUUACGCAGCAAGAAGAGCGCGUGGGACACCCACUUCGACCCCACAACUUUAUGAUGAAUCUGAACCCUGUGGACAAUAAUACCACGUGCAUACGAGCCUGUAACACUCAUUUAUGGGUUUAAAUUCAUUCAAAUGAGUCAGUAGUAAAAGCUAUGAAAUAGAUCGAACCCCACCUUCUUUUUCGUUUUUAAAUUUUCUGGGGUCCCUCAGUUACUUUACAGAAGGUGGCAGAGAAAGAGAGAGAGAGAGGAGUUAUUAGAGUUACAGACGAACAAUCACUUUCAAUGCUGUUGUCUUCUUGUUGUAAGGGUAAAAUAAGAGGCAAACAAAUUAAUGAAUUCAUUAUCUUACCUUUCUAUUCAAAUGCCUUCCAAGAAAUGUUUUGAGAGCUUUGAGUUUAGUCUAUAAUAAUGGUAGUAUAUUUCAAUGAAUAUGCGUUCUAGAAAAAUAUAUACCUUUAGCAUAUACCAAGAUAUCCUAGGGUUUCAAGUCGUGUUACAACGGGGAAGUAAUAACCAAUCAAAACACAUGACUUUGUUUUCUAAAAAAUCACUCUUCUUGGAAAACAUGCAAGGAACUUAAGCAUCAUAAGUUAAGCAAUCCUAGAUGGAUGUUCGAGUAUCCAGCUCUUUUCUUUAAUCCUAGAUGGAGAGAGACAACAUCUGCUCUCUCUCCAGCAUGCAAGUGUGCGUCCUAGGCAGCUCUUUUGUGCUUUAAAUGAAUUGAAUACUUGAUCUUAUUCUGCCAUUGUUUUGGCUCAAACCUAGGAAGUAUAUUUACCCUGACUUCUUUUCAUGUCUUCAACUUACUUAAAGGCUCACAAGUCCCAUUGGAAGCAAGCAGUUAAGGAUUUUUGAACUAAAAUGAUCAAACAUAGUCUUGCUUUACUAGUAGGUUAUACUCUUUUCAACAGUUUAAAUUGCUUUUGUUGAUAGAUUAUAUGGAUGUUUUAACACUCCAAGAAAUUGGAAUGAAGCAAAAUAUGAAGAAAGAAGAAAUGACUGUCAAUGGAUAUAUUUAUUCUCUUUUAUUUCUAUUGAUACUAAAAUUUUUAGGGAUAAAGGAAUUGUUACUGUUGUCCAAAUAUUUAAAAUUCAUCUGGAUCUGCAAGAAACCUGCAAGGGAAUAUUUUCUUAGAAAUAAUGGUUUAAAUAAGGAAAAGAAAAUAUAUAGAUGAAUUGACUGAAGGUUGCAGACAAGGGACCAACGACCAGGUAAUGGAAGACUGGAGAAAGGGAUUCAUCGGUUUGAUUUUUCUCCCAGCUGGCCCAGUUGUUUAUUUCAAAGUGCAGUUUAGAACAACUUUCAACAUUUGAAUAAGGAAAAGAAAAUAUAUAGAUGAAUUGACUGAUUCAAAGGGCAUAUUACAGUCAGUCUGUGCGUAACAGGGCGGGUGACUUCAAAUGGAUACACUGAGGUCUAUCUGUGCGUGUUAGGCAUUCAUGAACCUGUUUUCUUCGGUCAAAGAGCUGCCAAUACAAGGAAAAAAAAAAUGGCGAAAAUUAAGUAAAGUAUGACUUCUGGAAGAUUUAUCGCCUUCGUAAAUGAAGUGAGAGUUUUGACCGAAUUGAAGUAAAAAAAUUAAAUGCAAAACUUCCACUAAAGCUUGGCAUCAUUUUUCAAGGUUCUUUGUCAAUCCCUCAUUCUCCAGAACCAUGGGAUUGGUAGAGAAACUCAUUCUUCUCAACCAUGGCUCUUAACCAAUGGUUAAUUACCUUGCAACAAUGCAUGAUAUUAUUGAUGAAUUGGACCUUCUUAGAGAAGCCAUUCCAAAUUAAUAACUCAUCACUUACACAUGCAAACGUGUCGCCCCGAAUUCAAUGAAUUGUUGUUAUAUGCACACGAGAUACUAUGAUCACAUUUGAUGAGUUUCAUGACAAAUUAGUCGAAUAUGAAGCCUUCCUCAUGUAGCUUAAAACCAAAUAUGUCAUCAAAGAAGAUAGCAAUAAUCACCCCCACACAAUGAUAUCUAUUAUAAUACAUUAGCUGUAUCGAACACAAAUUUCCUUCAAUAUGUGUCUCAAUAUUAAAGUCCACGUAGAAUCAGGUGUGCACCAUAUUGGGGUUGGAUAGUUAUAAGACUGAAAGGAGCAUGAGCAUAGGAUGGCGAAAGUUCAAAUGAGAAGCGUUGUAAGAUCAUUGCCAAAGCUGUUUUUGCCUCCAUCAUUGCAAAAUUUUGUCCAAUGCACACCCGAGGACCCCAACCGAAUGGUAAAAAUGAAACUUGGUUUUUUGUUGCCUUUGAAACUCCUUCAGCAAACCUCUCUGGAUUAAACUCCUUUGCAUCGUCUCCCCAAAUUUCAUGAUCAUGGUGAACUAGGAUGGUGGGCAAAGAGACCUGCACUCCGGCUGGAAAAUACAUGUCUCCCACUUGAGUGUCCUUAGAAACCAUUCUGGUAAGCACUGUUACUGGUGGAUAUAACCUAAGAACCUCAUGAAAAAUCAUGGUAACCUGUGGUAGAGAAACUUUAGAAGUUGUAGCAUGAAAAUUGUUACUGAAAUACAUCUUAAAUCCUUAUGAAGGACACUGACGGAUAAAGGAAUUGUUUAAAAUAGUAAUGCAGAAGAGAUAUUGGUCUAAAUCAUGCAUGGCAUGAUGUCAAGUAUACAAAGGAUAUAAUAAUUUUAGAACCUCAUGAAAAAUCAUCAUAAUCUAGAGAAAUUUCAAGUCAUGGCAUGAGAAUCCAUUCCUGAACUAUAAGUAAAUGAAAGAAAAUGUUCAGUACAAGAUAAAAAAAAUAAAAAAAAAGUUAUGCGUUUUCAUUUUUACUCCAUUUAUUUUUCUCUUUUUUUUUUUCCUUUUGUGUGUGUGUGUGUGAGGGUGGGGGUGGUGGGUGGAAUAGAGUGGACUGAGUACUCACAAUUUUUAGGUGGUUUAAGCCAUCAUUUUCAGGUUUGUUAUUCCCAAAAACCUGUAAAACCUCUUCUCUUGCACGAGCUUGCCAGUCUGUAUGUUGGCUUAGCAGGACCAUUGUCCAUAAAAGCAAAACUGAGGUUGUCUCUUGGCCAGCAAGAUAGAAUAGCUUACAUUCAUCAAUGACAUCUUUGGCACUCAUUCCAAUCUUCGUGUUAUUUUGAUGUUCUUGAAUUUCUCUAAAAUUGGAUUCCAUUAAUAUACCUAAUAAGUCACUAUUAGCAGUUUCGCCAGCCUCCAUUGCCUUCUCCCUUUUGUUGAUGAUGCCCCCCAACAAUGCAUGUACUUCUUUGCUUAUUUGCUUCAUCCUCUUGUUCGUCUUUGUGGGAAAAAACCUGCAACUUAGUAAUUCCAGUAAAUAAAAGAUCACAUGAAGAACACUGACAUUAAUUUUUUGAAGCUUGUAUAACACUUCAUAGGCAGAAACUAUCAGACAAUAACUAAUGGUUUCAUCUACACAUGUAUUGCGGUGGCAUCUUAUCAUCUUGGCACAAUAUCUGGCCAACACAAGGCAUGGGGAUGCUAGACCUCAAUUUAUGAAACACACUACUUUCUAAGUGCUACACAGAAAGAACAGAAAGAACAGUCCUAGUAAAUGAAGUAUAAAGGCAUGAAAACAUAAAAUUGUCCAGGUAAAUGAAGACAUGCAAUGAAGAAGAAAACUAUUGCAGGCUACACAAAUCACAACCACAUAAAUCAACCACCCACCCAUUUUCAAACUUCCAGCUCUCAUGCACUGGCACAGUUCGGUCCUCUUAAAGAUUAAAGUAGGCAUCUAAAAUUUUAUUGGUUUCAAGGAAGAGAACCUUUUUAUUCUAAAUAUUUAAUAGUAGAUUCCUUUCUUAGCUUACCAGUAUAUAUAUAAAUUACUCAGGACCUUAAGAAGUUGAUAUUAUAAUUUAAACAAUGUUAUAUCAUGUGUAUUAGGAGAGAACCAAUCUCACCCACAAAUAAAGAGCACUCAAUUGUCAAUUCUUAAGUUUAUGACUAAUAUAUGUAUACUUAUAUAGUUUAUGUAUCUUUUGGAAAGUCAUGUGUAUAUUUAAAAGAUUAUAGUGUACACCAAUAAUAAUAUACCUGCACCAUUCAUCUAUGCACCUCCUAGAGCUCCCAUGAGUUCUUUUUUUCUCCUUCAUCCUACGUUUCACCAUGGCUGAAGCAAGCUCAACCAGGCUAUCCCACCUUCCCUUACCUAUCAAUACCACCAUGAACCUUAACAAUCUCAUUGCCAUCAACACAAUUAGCUAGCCAACUUCUACUCAAGCUCAUCCUCACUAACUAUUACUCAUGGAAAACAUAGUUUGGUGCACUGCUCUUUGGAUAUGACCUACUUGGCUACAUUGACGAAAUAAAGCAAGGACAAACAAAUCUCAAUCCUAACUAUACUUUUUGGACAAGUAGGACAAACUUCUUCUUCUAGGGAUCAUCGGCUCUCUCAGCCACAAAGUCGUACCUGUGGUUCAUUCAUGCAAAACUUCCACUAAAGCUUGGCAUCAUUUUUCAAAGCUAUGUCAAUCCCUCAUUCUCCAGAACCAUGGGAUUGGUAGAGCAACUCAUUCUUCUCAACCAUGGCUCUUAACCAAUGAUUAAUUACCUUGCAACAAUCCAUGAUAUUAUUGAUGAAUUGGACCUUCUUAGAGAAGCCAUUCCAAACCAAUAACUCAUCACUUACGCAUGCAAACGUGUCACCCCCGAAUUCAAUGAAUUGUUGUUGUUAUAUGCACACGAGAUACUAUGAUCACAUUUGAUGAGCUGCAUGACAAAUUAGUGGAAUAUGAAGCCUUCCUCAUGUAGGAAGAGCUUCGCUCCACUAGCAAUCUUGGUACCAUUAAAGUCAACAAUACACAAUUUUCAUCUUCCCAUUGUGACAAAAACGCUAGCCAAAAAUAUUUCCCUAGUAGGAAAGGAUACCAAGGCCAGCGUCCUCCUCAUUUUGGGAAUCAACACCCCAGCAAGAAAGCCACUAUGAUUUGCCAAUUCUCUGAGAAGAAAGGUCAUACUGCUUGCUAGUGUUACAUUUCUAAGAAAUUGUUCCUUUCAUCCACACCUACUACUAGUCCAAUUAUCCCCACAAACAACUCCUUAACCAAUUGGUUCGUAGAUAUCAGUGCCUCACAUCUUGUUACAUUUUAUCUUAACAACUUGUCUCUCUGCCAACCAAUGAAUCUUGUCAUUAAUAUUUUUCACAUUUCCUAUACUUGGAGGGUUGUUCCAAGAUUAAAUAAAGUAUUUUCCCAUGCUAGUCUAAAUAUAGUCUUUUCCUUUUCUUGGAGGGUUGUUCCAAGAUUAAAUAUGCUCAGUUUCAGAAUUGAGAGGACUUUUUCAUAUUGCUAAGAAAAAAACUUGUGAGUUUGAUUUUUCUAUCAAAGGUUUAUCUCUAAGGUGGAUUCCUCUGAGUGGUGAGCUUAAUUGUGAGUUCUUAUCUGUAAGGUGAUGAAUUUCUUAUCCUUAAAAGUGGUGAACUUGUGUUAUUAGCUCAUCAUUUUAUUUCCUUAAAACGGUAUCAUUUUGUGUUGGAAAAUGUAGUUACAAGCUUCCUUCAAGUUUCUCAUGUAUCAACCCACAAUCAACUUGUAGAUAUACUCAACAAACCAUUGCCCAAGUCCCACUUUACAUUCUUUCAGUCCAAGAUUGGCGUUUUUUAUGGAAGCACCAUCUUGCAAGGGCAUAUUAGGAGAGAACCAAUCUCACCCACAAAUUAAGAGCACUCAAUGGUGAAUUCUUAAGUUUAGGAGUAAUAGAUGUAUAGCCUUGUAUAGCUGUUGUAUCUUUUGGAAAGUCAUGUGUAUAAGAUUGUAGUGUACACCAAUACUAAUAUACUUUCACCAUUCAUCUAUUUACCUCUUUAAUGUGGAAUGACAACUGCACCAAAAGAUACUUUGGUGCCUAUACAUCCAUUAGUUUUUCAAUUAAACUGUUGAACAAAUGCCAUGAAUUGAGGUACUUUUGAGAGAUAAGAAAGCUCUUACCUUCAUCAAUUAAGCAAUGAAUGAAGGUACUUUUGAGAAGAUUUUCAGUGCAACCAUAACCAAGGAAGUAUGAGAGAUAUUACAUUUUAAGUACACAUAACAAAGUUAACAAUACACAAAAGGUUAAUCUUCAAACUCUUAAAAGAGAAUUUGAAAGUUUGAGUGUGAAAAAAAAAAUUGAAUUAAUCUCUAAUUAUUUUUCUAGAGUAUUAGAUGUUGUGAGUUUACAAUAAAAAUAUGUCAAAAGUUUGAAUGAUAGUUAUGUGGUAAAAAAAUAUGUUUAAUCUUUAGAUUCCAAAUAAGUUUAACUAAAUUGUUGUUGUCAUUGAAGAAUCUAAACAUUUAGAUUCUAUGACCAUUGAUAAACUCAUGAGACCACUAUAAGCUCAUAAAAAGAGAUUAAAAAGAAAUAACUAAGAAAAAUUGCAGCUUUUUUAAGCAAAUUAAACUUACACUAAAGGAGAAUGAUGAAAACAUUAGUUAAAGAAGUCAAAACAAUCAUGGAUAUGUCGAAGACGUGGUCAUAGACAUGGCUAAGACAAUAGAAGAAGAGAUAAGUUUAAUUUAUCAAACAAUGAAAUAACAAGUCAAAAUUCACAUUCCUUAGGAGGACAUGAAAGAUGACACAACUUAAGGCACAGUAAAAGAAGAGGAUAUGAUAAAUUUCAAAUUGAAUGUUAUAAUUAUAAAAAAAUAUGGUCAUGAUGCUUAUGAAUAUAGAAAUGCUACAAACAAUAUGAAAAGACACCUCCAAGGUACUAAAAAUAAAGAUCAAGAAGAACCAACCUUAUUAUUGGCAUAUAAAGGAGAAAGCUAGGAGAAAAUUACAUGGUAUCUUAACCUCUAAGUAAAAUCAUAUGUGUGGAUUCAAAAAUGUGUUUGUAGAGCUUAAUGAAUUUGAAAGUGGCAAUUUUGCCUUUGGGGCUACAUGUAAAAUUCCAAUAAAAAGAAGAGGUAAAAUCUUGAUUCAUAUGAAAAUGGAAGGCAUAUUUCAAAUGUCUACUAUGGUGUAACAUGGAAAACAAUAUAUUAAGUUUAGGUCAACUCUUAUAAAAGGGCUAUGAUAUUUAUCUCAAAAAUAAAAGUGUCUUAAUAAGAUACUAACAUGCCAAUAUAAUUGGUAAUGUGCCCAUGAUAUAAUGUUUUUGAAUAACAUUCAAAAUAAUAUUGUAAAAUGCCUAAAAUCUCAUGUCAAUAAUUCCUCUUGAAUUUGACACUUAUGAUUUGAACAUCUUAAUUUUAGAGGAUUGAAAUUGUUAAGCAUGAAAAACAAUGAAAUAAUUGUUCUUUAAUAAUUUGUGUCAAUUGUGUGAAAGAUGUUUACUCAGAAAAUAUGUCUAAAAAAGUUUUCCAAAGGAAGAAACAACAAGAGAAGAAGCUUUCAGUGCUCAUUAAUGUGGAUAAUCCAGUUUUAAUUUUUAUGGGUGAUUCUAGUAAAAAAUAAAAAAUAAAAAAAUUUGGUUGUAUCUUUAGCUCAAAAAUUUGUUGAAGAAACUUAAUUUACCACAAGAGAAACCAAUAAACAUCUAUAUGAAUAUAAAAUUGGUGAUUGCCUUAGAAAAGAUAUCUAGUUCUCCAUGAUUGAAGCAAGUAUAUUAAUACAAAAUAUCAUUUAUUAGAAAGUAUAUUAUGAAACAUGAAGUACACAUAAAAUUUGCAAAAUCUCAUAAUCAAAAUUUGAAAAUGCUUAUAGAGCCUCUCAAGUUUAAAGAUUUUAGAUAGCUAAGGAUGCUACUUUUACAAAUCAAGUUGAAAAGGGCAUGUAAGUUUAACUAUAUUUAGAAAGUUUCUAAAAAUUAGAAUUUGAGUCUUUCUAAAUAUUAAUUAAAAUAUUUUAUAUUAAAAGGUUGAUUUAGUUUCACCCUUAGAAUCUAAGCCUUUCAAAGUGCCAAUAGUUGUUAGUUGUAGAUAAGGCUUUCCUUUUUACAGCUCUGGGUUCUAAUCUAUAUAACCUCCUAAUGGUACAAAGUGCACCUUUUUCAUAGAGGCAAGUAGUAACCUAUUGUUAGCCCCUUGAAAUGGACUAUGAGGCACUAAGGCCUCAUGGGGCAAUAGCUUCACAUCAUGAGUAACCUAUGAUGGCAAUAAGGUGGCACAGGGGUACAAUUCCUUGUGCAAGGAGAUGGCUUGGUGAGCCAUGGGCGUAAUGCCAUGAUAGGUACAACACUAAAAGAGACUUAGAUGAGCAUAUUGUUGUGGUGACUUAGAUGAAAUACAUGAGGGUGCAAUGCCUUGUGCAUGGGGAGUCAUAGGUGCAAUGCCAUGACAUGUUGCCAGACCAAGAAGAGGGUUUGGGCAAAGCAUAGAGUCACAACAUCAACAAGGUGAAUGUCGGAGCAUGUUGCCUCAACAUGGAUGCAAUCUAGAUGUGUAGGCCAAAAGAGAACUUAACAUGCACAUGAGCCAUUUAUAUAGAUUCCUACAACAACAACAUUCAAAGUUGGACUCGAAGUAGGAUUGCAAGUCAAGCAUGAGUAGGAGUCUUGAUGUGAAUUGUAAUUGUAGUAUGAUUAGGACUAGGACUUAGAGUCUACGUAAGAGUGUUUAUUUCCAUAACCUAUUAAGAAAAGUCCUUAUAUAACUAGGAGUAAAACUCCUAGUCUAACAGAGAGCAGGUGGUGCCACUCUAUAAAUAGGGAGGGUUGGAUAGACUUUAGAGAGAGAUCAAGAGGAAGCCUGAACUACCAAAAGUAUUGUGGAAGUGUAGCUAAAGUCUUGUAUUCUUAUUCAAUAAGUUAAUAAAAUAUAAUUUAGGGUUGAUGCCCUAUAAAUCUUGUGUAUUGCCUUGCGUGUUGUCAUCUAGUGGGGAAAGGUGUAGGUUAGCUUAGAGAGCUUCUAAGUAUUUGCAUAGAUGUGAAAGUUUAUGUGGGAAUUUUGCACCUAUGACAAUUGGUAUCAGAGACUAACAAGCAAAUGGUUGGGGGAAGUACUAUAGAGACCUUAAGAGAAAGGAGCUCAAGACUAGAAGAAUUGUUAGGGGAAUAACAAGGUGAUAAGUUGGUUGGCUUGAGAAUCCUUGAAACAAUUGAAGCACACUAGUUCAACAUAGGAGUAUAUCGAGGAAUUUAGUUCCUUAAUGCUCGACAUAAAAAAUAUGUCCAAUGAGGACAAAUUGUUCAACUUCAUGUUUGGAUUGUAGGGAUGGGCCUAAAUUGAGUCACAAAGAUAAUGGGUGUGAGAUCUUUCUAUUAUAAUCAUUGCAACAGAUUGUUUGGUAGUCUAUAAGUUGAAUGGUGUGAACUCUACAAAUCAGAAACCUAAACUAGAUGGAGCAAAGAAACCUAAUAAAGAGGGGAAAUCUUCUAAGAAGUCAUAUGAGAAGAAUUUGAAAAAGCCUGCAGCAUCGUAAUCGAAUGAAAAAACUACUAAGUAUGGGUAGCAAACAACCAAACCCAUGGGUUGAUUCAUUUGCAUGGCCCUCACUGUGCUAAGAAGUGUCCAAAAUGGGAAAAACUAUCAGCCCUUAUGGCUACUAAAAGUAGUGGUGAUUCUGACAUGGAUACACCUUUAAGAGUUAAUCCUUCAUAGCUCUUGAACAUAAUCCACGCAAAUGCACUAAUUCAAAAAGGGUUGAUUCAUGUCCAAGUGCUAGUAAAUGGCAUGUAGGUAAAACCAAUGAUGGACAGAAGGGCAACCCAUAAUUUUGUGGCUAGUAAGAAGCCAAGAAGCUCAGUUUGGAACUAGAACAAUACACUAUUAAGAUCAAGGCAAUAAAUAGCAAAGCCCAACAAAUUAAUGACAUUACCAAAAAAGUCUCACUCUAAGUCGGAAAUUGAGAAGGCAACUAUAGCUUGCUAUGUGUACCCUUAAACGAUUUUGAUUUGAUCUUAGGGAUCGACUUUUUCCUUAAGGCUAAGCCGGCAUUGCUCCCAUACCUUGGUAGGUUAAUGAUCAUGGAUGAGAGUCAACCUUGGUUAUUUUUUCUAUAAAGGAAAAAGUCAUAGAGAAAGGUCAAACCAAGAUGGUUUCUACGCUUCAAAUAAAGAAAGGGUUGAAGUGUGGGAAUGUCACGUAUAUUAUAACCUUGGUUGAGAACAAAGCAGAUCAUUCAAUGGAGGUGCCACAUAGUGUAGCCCAUAAUAAAAAAGAAUUUAAAGAUGUGAUGCCUACAAAAAAACCCAAGGAGUUGCCUCCUAAGCACCAUAUAGACCAUAAAAUUGAGUUGCCACCUAGGACCAAACUUCCUACUGAUCAGGUCUCAUAUUGGAUGUCACCUUCGAAUUACUUGGGUUAAGGAAGUAAUUGAAGAAACUGUUGGAUGCAGGCAUGAUCCAAUCUUCAUGGGUUCCCUAUGGUACUCCUAUUCCAAAAGAAGGAAGAUGGGACCCUAUAGAUGUGUGUUAAUUAUUGGGCCUUGAACAAAGUAACGAUCAAGAACAAGUAUCCAAUCUCCUUAGUGGUAGAAUUAUUUAAUAAAUUGGCCAAGGCAAAGUUUUUCUCCAAAUUGGACUAGUGGUUAGGAUACUAGCAAGUAAGGAUUUUAGAGGGGAACGAAAAAAAGACUACAUGUGUAACCCGCUAUGGGUCAUAUCAGUUCCUCAUGAUGCCAUUCAAACUAACUAAUGCCUCAAUAACAUUCUACAACCUAAUGAAUGAUAUGCCAUACGAGUUCCUAGAUGCCUUUGUUAUGGUUUGCUUCAAUGCAUUAUUGUUUAUAGCAAGACCUUAGAAGAGCACGUGAAUCACUUGAGACUAGUGUUUCAAAGACUAAGAGAACAUGAAAUCUACGUGAAGAGAGAGAAGUGUGAGUUUGCACAAAGGCAUAUUACCUUUCUAGGAUGUAAGAUAGAGGAAGGGUUGAUCGAGAUGGAUGAAGUGAAGGUCCAGGCCAUUAAAGAUUGGCAUGCUCUAAGCAAGGUGACACUGGCAAACUACUAUUGAAGGUACAUAAGGGGUUACUUCAAGAUAGUGGCUCCCUUUACUAACCUUCUAAAGAAGGAUAUUUGCUAGGAUUGGGGGUUUGAAUGCUAGAAAGCUUUUGACAAGUUGAAAGUGGUGAUUUUAGUUAAAUUGGUGCUACAUUUACUAGAUUUGGAUAUCCUAUUUGAGGCCCAAACAAAUGCAUCAACUAAGGCCUUGAACUUGGUGCAAGAAAGGCACCCAAUAGCCUUUGAGAGUCAAAAACCUAAUGAGUUAGAACAAAGAUACUCCACUCACGAGAAAGAGAUGACAACGAUUAUCCAUUGCUUAUAGUAGUGGAAGCAUUAUCUAUUGGGGAGUAUAUUUACUAUAGAUGGUCACAGACAACAUAGUUAAUACCUUUUUCAAGAUGCAGAAGGAGUUGAGCCCUAAGCAAGCUAGGUGGCAAGAAUUCCUUGGCGACUUCAAGUUUGAAUGGUUGUAUUGACGAAAAAGACAUAAUGUAGUUGUAAAUGCCUUGAACCAAAAGGAAUUAACAGAGUAUGUAAUCACUCAAUCACAUAUGAUUUCAUAUUUUAAUGAGAAGAUCAAGCAAGCUGCUAAGCUUGAUUCUACUUAUGAGAAUAUGAAACAACAAUUCAAAGAGGGGGCUACUAAAAAUUUUUGGCUAGAAGAUGACCUCUUGGUGGCUAAAAGAGGUAGGCUAUAUGUACCAAGAAGUUGCUUACAUAAGGAGUUGCUAAGAGUGGCCUAUGAUGUCAAGUAGACAGGUCACCCUAGCAAAGAGAUGACAUCAAUAGUAUUGUCCAACUACUAUUACUAGCUAAAAAUAGGAUAGGACAUCCAGACUUAUGUUCUAUAUUGUUUGAUAUGCUAGUUGGAUAAGACAGGCAAGAAGAAAACAAUAAGGUUACUACAACCUCUCCCUAUCUUAAAGAGACCUUAGAAUAACAUAUCUGUGGACUUCAUCGGUGGCUUUCCAAAAGUGAGGGAAUUCAAGUCUAUCUUCAUGAUAGUAGAUAGACUCUCUACGUAUGUUGUUUUCAUACUUACACCACAUGCAUGUCCCGUAGAGGAGGUGACUAGGCUAUUCUUCAACCAUGUGGUCAAGUACGUACUUCAAGUUGCCUAAAGACAUAGUCAGUGAUUGUGAUGCUCGAUUCAUUGGUCAAUGUUGGACUGAGUUGUUUAAACUCCUAGGAUUGAAGUUGAAGUUCUAAAAAACAAAUGAUUCGUAGAUAGACGGGCAAACAAAGUGUAUCAAACUUAAGGAAUACCUCAGACACUAUGUUUUUAUAACACAAAAGAACUGGAUUGAUCUAGUGGAGAUAGCUCAUUUAUCCUAUAACUUGCAUAAGAGUUCAAUAAUAGGGUUGAGUCCCUUUGAAUUGGCUAUAGGGCAACCACUAAUUAUGCCUUGGAGAUGUUUAAGCAAAAGUUUGGUGGUAAUUGUCUUAUAGCUUAUAAAUUUGCAAGGUCUUGGCAGCAGAUGCUCGAUGAAGCUUGUAAAAGCUUAGAGAAGGCAUUUACAAAAAUGAAAAAGUAUGCGGACAAGGGCCGAAGACCCUCAUAAUUUAGAUUGGGGAUAGGGCCCUUCUAAACCCUCAUAUAUGGAAUAAAAUUAGCAGUAAGACUAUGUAGAGGGUGUUGAUUCCCAAAUAUGAUGGACCUUUCAAGGUGAUGUAGAGGGGGAUAAGUAGCUUACAAAUUGAAGUUGCUGGAUAGGUUAAAGAUAUACCUCACGAUCCAUGUGAGCUUCUUAAAGCCUUACCAUGAAAACCUAGACUCAAGAAGGAUACCAACAAGGCGAGUGAUUAGAAAGAAAUUUGAUCGCGAGUGAUAUCAACAAGGUAGAGAAGAUAUUAGAUCAUUGAACUGUGGGAAUGAGUAAGAAAAAUUGAAGAAUUGAUUUUCUAGCUUAGUGGAAGGAUAGUCUUGAAUUAGAGGCUAGUUCGGAAUGAGAUGUAAUGCUCUGGAAAUUUAAGGAGGUAGUCUAAGCCUACCCAUAGUCCAAGUCAAUGAGAGCAUCAACUACAUCAAGUAGAAGUGGUUUGUUAGCCCCUUGACAUGGACCAUGCGAUACUAAGGCCUCAUGGGGUGACACCUUGGCCUCUUGAGUGACCAAUGACAACAACAAGGUGGUAUAAGGGUGCAAUGCCUUAUGGAGGGAGAUGACUUGGUGAACCAUGGGCACAAUGCCAUGGUAAGUGUAGUACUAAGAGAGACUUGAAUGGGCAUAUCAAUGGGGGGCAACGAAGCCAACUUAGAUGCAAUACAUAAGGGGUGUAAUGCCUUGUGCAUAGGGAGUCAUGGGUGCAAUGCCAUGAACUAAGAAAAGGGCUUGGGCAAGGCACAGAGCUGUAACAGCAACAAGGUGGAUGUAGGAGCAUGUUGCCUUGACACAAAUGCAAUCUGAACAUACAAACCAAAAGAGGGCUUAUCAUGCACACGAGUCAUAUAUAUAGAUGCACACGGUAGUAGCAUGAAGAGUUGGACUUGAAGUGGGAUUACAUAUCAAGCAUGAGUAGGAGUCUUGAUGCCUAAUGUAAUUAUAGUCUAAGUAGGACUAGUACUCAAAUUCCAUGUAGGAGUGGUUACUGCCACAACCUAUUAGGACAAUUCCUAGUAGAACUAAGAGUAGCACUACUAGUCUAAUAAGGAGUGGGUGGCACCACUUUAUAAAUAGGAAGGGUUGGAGAAACUCUUGAGAGGGAUCUAGAGAAGGAAAUCAUAAGGGAGGUCAAAACUCACCGAAGCUAUUAUGGAAGUCUGGCUAAAGUCUUUUAUUCUUAUUUAAUAAGUUAAUAAAAUACAAGUUGGGAUUGGUGCCUUGUAAACCUCAUGUGUUGCUUUGCAUGUUGUUGCCAUCUCAUGGGGGAAGGUGUAGAUUGGCUUAGAGAGCUUUUAAAUGCCACAUAGACAUGAAAAUUUAUGUGGGAAUUUUGUGCCUAUGACACAUAACCUUUAAAAGUCUAUUCAAGGGGGACCCUUCAUCUCCCUUCAUAUAUUUAAUUAUUUGCCUGUUUUUUCAACCCUAUUAAUGCAACAUAGGUGAAUUUGCCCGAUGGUUUAUAAGAAAAUUC
rnacentral:lncRNA from 1 species